rnacentral:lncRNA from 1 species
AAGCAGCUUGCAAAUGCAUCAAAAGUCUGGCCGCCGACAUUUCUGACAUCAACUAUAGCGUUGCAGCCGGACUCCCAGGCCAGUGCAAAGUCCACAUCCCUUACAAGAUCAGCCCUAGCAUUGACUGCAAAAGGUUCGUAUCUAAUUUAAGCUAGAUUUCAUUGAAAUUACGAAAAAGAAAAUAGCCCCAAAUUUGUUGCAUAACAUUAAGUGAGUUUAUUGAUUAAUUAAUUGAUGAAUGUUUUGCUUUGGUGUGGUUGCAUUUGCAGAGUCAAGUGAAGUGUGGCCAUGGAAGUUGGGAUCAGCUAAUGGAAGGGAAAUGGUGGUGUACUCACUGAAAUUUAUCCUAGUUUUAGAGUUGGUGUAUGCGACUAUCUAAUGAUAUCGUUACGUACUCUAAAUAUUAAUAUCACUCUCAAUGGUUGUCUCUUCUAUGUAUACACUCUUCAUUUCCCUUUGCUUUGUUUUUUUUUUCUUUUUUUUUUCCAACUCAAGCAUUUCAUAUAAACACCCACGUGACCUAAUGAUAAUGGAAACCCACGUGAGUCAGAUAUGGAUGCUUUUAUUUGAAGAUGAAUCUAUGGACCAGCAUUUUUAAGCACUAAGAAUAAAUAAAAAUGUUUUUCAAGUGAAUUGAAUACAAAUCAUAAAUCCUACGAUGAAGGAAUGCAUCAUUUAAAUUUAAAACAAAAGAAUUGUUUAAAUAAUUUCUUUUUUUUUUAAAUUUUUUUAGUUGCUCAAAUGUGAAUUAUGAAUAGGUCUAAGAGUAUUGUUGAACCAACCGUUUUAUAUACAUCGUUCAAAAUUAAUAUAUAAUUAAGUACUAAUAAAAUAAAAGCUCUUUAAAUUGAAUUUCAUUAUCUAAUGUUUUAAGUAUACAAAAUUAAAAUUAUAAUGAAAUAUUGAUAAUGGAGAUCAAAUAUUAUCAAAAUAAAUUUUAGCAAACAUAAAAAUUUACGGAUUAAAUUAUAAAUUUUCAAAAUUUGAUAAUUAAAAAUAUAAAUUCUUGAAAAAUAACCUAGCCUAUAGUAUAUCUUCUGUUUAUUUCAAAAUUAUAAUAACUUAUGCAUCUAAUUUGAUAAAAUAUAUUCUUUUAGUGUUAUCUUACAUGUGAUUAGUACCAUCAUAUCUUCCAAUUGUUAGUCACUAACAGUCGGGUAACUAAUUUUUAAUGUCCUUAAUGUUGGUGUGUAAAUUGAUAACUUCAUAUAGUAGGAUGCCUAGAUCCAAGUUUCUCAAAUAAUUACGUAAUAAAUAAUCUUAUUAUAUUAUUUAUUCAUAGCAUAUGACAAAUUUAAUAAUUAAAUGAAAAAUGAUUAAUAACAUAAAAAGGUAACCUUUUAGUAAAAAUACUAUGAUUGAUAACAUACGGUAACUGAUUGAUUACAUACCAUAAUAUUUACAAUAUAAAGUAUAAUUAUACACUUAGCUUUACAAAAUGAUAUCUGUUAGGUUAAUUUAUUAAGUUGGAUGUUUUUCAAAUUAAAAGUUAAUUUGUUAAUUUAUAAUUAGUUUUUCAACUUACAUAUAUGUUUUAGAUGUUAAUAAAAAUAUUAGUAAAAAAAAUUGCAUACCUAACACAUGCCAUAUAACAUAUUAAUAAAUUUAAUAUUUUAAAAACAAAUAAUUAUAAAUUAAUAGUAUAUGAUGCAUAAGAGAGGUGUAAAUGAAUAAUAUUAUAAUAUCUAAUUGAGAAUACAUCAAAUUAAUUAAUAAAAUUUUAUAAUUAAUUAUUGUAAUAAUGAUAUCUCAAACAAUCCAUUUUUAUUGCCAAAAUAAAAAAAAUAAAAUAUAGAAAUAUUAUAUGUUUACUUAUAUUAACAUUUACUUUUUGUUAUAUUUAUGUAUAUAUUAUAAAUUUACAUUUAAAAUAUUUUUAUUAAUAGAAUAUAAUAGAAAUCAUUUUAUAAUUAUAUUUAUAUGAAGAUUAAUAAAUUAAUUUAUGAUAUUAUAAUCUUAUAAUAUCUUAUAACUUGCACAUGUCAAAAAAUAAUUCACUAAUGUUGCCGACAUUUGAUAUUUUGGUAACUGCUCUAUUAAAUCAUUGACGAUGUUAUAGUCCAAUUUUGCCCCAUGACUCAUUUACAAUUUUGAGCCACUUAAACCCAAAAUUAAACCCAACAAUAUCCUAAAAUCCAUCAGCCCACAUCCAUUAAAAUUUAAACCCAUUACAUCAACCAACCCAAUCACAUUAAAACCCAAAUACAACCCAAUACCCACUAAACCUUACCCACAAAUAAAACAAAAAUAAUAAAAAACCUAGCCAGUCCCAUCACCCCAUACUGUCUGUCUCCACCGACCCCUUUGUCAAAAGCCUGCUUCGCCACUCCACCGGCCAUCAACUGAUCUGCAAGACCAAGCAAUCACGCAAAUAAUAGGAUUAGGGCAUUGUAAAGGCUAUAAAAAGCCAUGAAAACAAAUGUAAAACGGUUCGGCAAUUCAAACACAAAAAAAUAAGAAAAAUAUUCAAUUUCAGAGUAAGAAUAGCAAUUUAAUCAGCAUUUAAAUACAAGAAUAGCCUCCAAGCAAACCGAAUACUAAAGAUCGAAGAAUCAAAAGUGUGAAAAGCCUAAGGUGAUUAUUCUUUUUUUUUUUUCAUUUUAAAUUCUGUUUUGGUUUCAUUUUUCCACAUAUAUAUAUCAAAAACAUAUAAAUAUAUAAAAAAUAUAAUACAAAAAAAUAAAAAAAAUAAAAAUUUAUCUUUCUCGGCCAUCGUGCAUGGUGCCCAGCGCCAGCGUCGGUGACGGUUGUCCGACGAUGGGACCAGUGACCGGCCAUUGGCCGGAAAUCCCCCUCCCUUCUCUCUCUUUUUUUUUUCUUUCUCUCCUCUCCAAAUGAUUUUUUUUUUGCAAAUUUUGGACCUUUUAUAGCCCCCUAAAACGACGUCGUUUUAAAAACGGAACGUCCUUCUCAAAAGAAAACGAAACUUGAAAUUUCUCGUGUUUUGAUCGAAUCAUGAUUAAAUAUUACUUUGAACUUGCAAUUUUGAAAAUUAAGACAACAUUUGUUUAAUAAGAUACCAAUUUUGGGUGUUACGAGGGUGCUUGUAACACCCCGUACCCGAGACCGUUGCCGGAGUCGGACACGAGGGGUUAACAGACUUAAUUCACUUAUUUUCACAGUCCAUUUUAAAAAUUUCUAGACAAGCUGACUAACUGCGUCACUGUCACCUUAAAAAUCAUAUCUUGAGUUCCAAAACUCGAAAAUCAGUUUCGUAAAUUUUUCCUGAAACUAGACUCAUAUAUCCAUCUACAAAUUUUUUUCUAGAUUUGUUUGUCAGGCCAAUUAGUACAGUUUAUUAGUUAAAGUCUCCCCUGUUACAGGGUUCGACUGCUCUGACCUUCAUGCAUUACGACUUAUAUAUCUCCCUGUACAGGGCUUCAAUACUUAUGACGUUUGUUUCUAAUGAAACUAGACUCAAAAAGGAAUCUAUAUAUAUAUGGAAUAACUUCUAAUUAUCUCUGGUUAAUUUAUAAUGAAUUUCCAAAGUCAGUUAAGGGGAUCCAGAAAUCGCUCUGGCCCUGUCCCACGAAAACUUAAAUAUCUCUUAAAAUACGACUCAUAUGACCGUUUCGUUUCUUCCAUAGGAAAGUAGAUUCAUCAAGGUUCGAUUACAUAAUUUAUUCACUAUUUAAUUCCAUUCCUACUACUUUUAGUGAUUUUUCAAAUUUAGACCACUGCUGCUGUCAGCAUCUGCCUUUAAGGUAGACUUUACCUAUUACAUAGUUUCCAUGAUUCAACCAACCCUUUAGCAUAUAUAGCACAAAGUAUGAUCGUGAUUAACCAUUCCAAUGGCCAAUCAUUGCCAAGCAUAUCCACACCUCUCAAUAACCAUAUACAUACAAAAUGAUUAUAACAUUAUGCUCAAAAUAUAUAUAAGCCAUUUUCGCAUGGCUAUCCAAAUUCGUACAAUACCGAAAGGUACAUGACCAACAUCAAAAAGGGUAGUCCUAUACAUGCCAUUUCAGAGUUCAACCAAAAGUGUACCAAAGGGGCUUUGAUAGUGUGGACGAAUUCGACUUCGACAAUCCCGAGUCCGAUAGCUGACGAACCAAAAUCUAUAAAACAGAGAUUUAAAGAACGGAGUAAGCAUUAAAUGCUUAGUAAGUUUCGAACAAUGAAAUUAGGUGCAACUGAGGUAUAGCAUUCAUAUAACUAAAUGGAUAAUUUCAUAUACACAUAUUCUUAAAAAUCAGUCCUACUCCACAUUUCCAACCCUUAUAUUCACACAUAAGGGAUCAACUUAACCAAAGGCCGGAAGCUCAUUAAUUGACUGAGCGAAUAAUAUUCAAAAGGAAUUUACUACUCCAAUGCAUAUACGAAACGUACCUCAUCGUUGGGAUUUACGAGCGUAUCAAUUUAAAUUAUUACAGCAAGAUCGGUCAUUCCCAAACCAAGUACCUUCGGAGUUUAGCCGUAUAUAGCUACUAGCUCAAAUGCCUUUGGGACUUAGCCCGGUUAUAGUAACUCGCACAAAUGCCUUUGGGACUUAGCCCGGUUAUAGUAACUCGCACAAAUGCCUUCGGGACUUAGCCCGGAUAUAGUAAGUCGCACAAAUGCCUUCGGGCUUAGCCCGGAAUUAGUCACUAGCACAAAUGCCUUCGGGACUUAGCCCGGUUAUCAAUCCGAAUAUCCAUGCACAUAUCAAUAAAUCAUGACACAUCAAUAUUUCAUUUUCAUAACUAGAAUUCAAACACAAGUCACUUAUCAAGCAUUAUCAUUUUCGGCUCAAUAGCUACAUACAAAGGGCAUGAUUUUGAUUUGCUUAUAACAUAAUCUAAUCGAAUCAUAAUCUAAGUUUCAUUACUCGAAAACUUACCUCGGAUGUUGUCGAACGAUUUCGACGACUAUUCGAUCACUUUUUCCUUUCCCUUGUCCAACUUUGGUCCUCUAAGCUCUUGAGCUAAUUCAAACAAAUUUAACUUAUUAAAGUCUCAUUAUGCUAGCUUAUGGCCGAAUAUGACAAGGAGUUUGAUAGGUCAUAUGGCCACCUUUAGCUCAAAUACAAAAUGGUCAUACGCAUUUUUAAUCACAUUGAGCAAUUUAAUACAAUUAAUCUAACAUUUCCUCAUGUGCACGUUUAUGACCGAAUACACACAUCAUUAACCUAAUAUCAAUUAUCUGAGCACUUUAACAAAAUUCUCCUUGAGCCGAGUAUCUAAGUCAAGAUAGAUUCAUCAUUAUGCUCGCCUCUAACCGAAUACAUGCAACACCAAUCUACCUCAUGUGGCCGAAUAUGCAUGUCUAUGUUGAGGCCGAUUAUAUGCUUAAUACUUCCUACAAGUAUGGUUACUUGUAUUGACUAUAUAUCAUUUUGUUUCAAGUUCAAAACUCGGCUAAUACACAUAUAUACACUAGUAAUCAAAUACUAAAAUUUUGCACUUCACCUUACUACCAUUUCUCAUCUACUUCCUACCAUGGCCGAAUGCAUCAAGACACCAUACCAUUUCAAUUUUGGUCAUGGGUUACACAAAGAACUUAAUGUCUAACUCAAAAAUGCCAAAAAGAAAAUCCAAGAGUCAUCAAACACCAUCACAUGUAUCAUUACAAAGCUUCACACUUAGCAUGCAAAUGACAUAAACACAAAUCCACCUUAGCCGAAACUUAACUCAUCUUCAUGCCUCAUCACCACAACAUCAAACACCAACCAAGAAGACAACACCCAUGGCCGCAUAUCAUCUCCAUCUCAUAGCAAAGAUUUAAACCAUGGGCUAGGUAGAACUCAAACUAACAACUAAAAACAUGCAUGAAUCUCAUGAAACAACAUCAAACAUACCUUAGUCUAGCAAACCACCAUAGCCGAUUUCCUCAAAGCUCUUUUUCCUUCUUUUUCUUUCUUCUAUUCGGCCAAGAACAACAUGAGAGCUUUUUUUUCUUUCUUUUUUUUUCAUCAUCAUUUACCUUCCCAUUAUUAUUUUAUUGCCCAUACUCCUUAUUUUAUUUUUCCUAACAUAAAUCACUAACAUAACAUGUUUAUGACAUGUUUUACCCAUAACAUUUUGUCCACCCUUCUUGUCAUGGCCGGCCACUAUUAAUUAAGUGGGGAAAUUGACAUGCAAGUCCACCCUUUUGAGUACAUGCACUAAUAGAUCCUUAUAGAUUAACCUAUCACAUUUCAAAAGUGUUACACAUAAGUCCUAUUAGCUGAAUUCACAUGCAAUCGACUAAAUCGAAGCUUAAAAUUUUCACACAUUCAUAUUCACAUAUUUUAGACAAUAAAUAUCAUAUUAAAAUAAUUUGGUGACUCGGUUUAGCGGUCCCAAAACUACUUUCCGACUAGGGUCACUUUAGGGCUGUCACAACUCUCCCCCACUUAAGAAAUUUUCGUCCCCGAAAAUCUUACCGGUAAAUAAGUUUGGGUAUCGUUCUUUCAUAGAGUUCUCGGGUUCCCAAGUAGCUUCUUCCAUCCCGUGUUUGAGCCAUAACACUUUUACUAAAGGAACCUUUUUGUUUCGCAACUCUCUCACUUCACGAGCUAGGAUACGAAUUGGUUCUUCUUCAUAACUCAUAUCGGUUUGAAUUUCAACCUCGGAGGGACUUAUUAUGUGCGAGGGAUCAGAUCUGUAACGUCGAAGCAUCGAAACAUGAAAAACGUUGUGGAUCCUUUCAAGUUCAGGGGGUAAAAGCAACCUAUAUGCAACUGGACCAACUCGUUCGGAGAUUUCAUACGGCCCAAUGAAUCUCGGACUCAACUUGCCCUUACGCCCAAAUCUGAGUAUUUUUUUCCAAGGUGAAACUUUAAGAAACACUUUAUCUCCCACCUGAUACUCAAUGUCCUUUCGUUUCAAAUCCGCGUACGACUUCUGACGAUCUGAUGCUGCCUUCAGUCUUUCACGAAUUAUUUUUACUUUCUGCUCAGCAUAUUUAAUCAAAUCAACUCCGAAAAUUUUACUUUCAUCGAGCUCGGUCCAAAACAAUGGCGUACGGCAUUUUCGACCGUACAAAGCCUCGCAAGGCGCCAUCUUAAUGCUUGACUGAAAAAUAUUGUUGUAAGCAAACUCAAUCAAAGGUAGAUACCGUUCCCAUGAACCACUAAACUCAAGGAUGCAGCAUCUCAACAUAUCCUCGAGUAUCUGAAUUAUCCGCUCGAAUUGACCAUCGGUUUGGGGGUGAAAAGCGGUGCUAAAAUGCAACUUGGUACCCAAAGCUUCUUGCAAUUUCUUCCAAAAUCGUGAGGUGAAUCUCGGAUCUCUAUCCGACACAAUAGAAAUGGGCACCCCGUGUAAUCUCACAAUCUGAGAAACAUACAAUUCAGCUAGUUUAUCCAAUGAAAAAUCCGUACGUGCGGGAAUAAAAUGAGCCGACUUAGUCAGUCUAUCCACAACAACCCAAAUCACAUCUUUCUUACUUGCCGACAAUGGCAACCCAAAUACAAAAUCCAUCGUGACUCGAUCCCAUUUCCAUUCAGGUAUCAUGAUCGGCUGAAGUAAACCUGUGGGCACUUGAUGUUCCGCUUUCACUUGUUGACAUAUUAAACACUUCGAUACAAAAUCAGAAAUGUCUCGUUUCAUACCAUGCCACCAAAACUGACGUCUCAGAUCAUUGUACAUUUUCGUACUCCCCGGGUGAAUUGACAUUCGGCUACAAUGAGCUUUGUUCAGAAUCAUCGAAAUGAGUUCUGAAUUUCUUGGAACACACAAAUGACUUCUGAACCUCAAACAAUCGUCAUCAUCAAUUUGAAACUCUGAUUCCGUAUUCGGAACACAUUCAGCCCGUUUUGCAACCAAUUCAUCAUCGACUUUCUGAGCUUCACGAAUUUGAUGGAUCAAUAAUGGUUUGGCCUUUAAUUUUGCCACUAACACAUUGUCGGAUAGAACGGACAAGUGUACAUUCAUCGCUCGUAAAGCAAACAGUGAUUUACGACUUAAAGCAUCCGCAUCCGCAACCACAUUAGCCUUUCCCGGGUGAUAGUCAAUGACAAGCUCAUAAUCUUUCAACAACUCGAGCCAACGUCUUUGUUGCAGAUUUAAGUCUCUUUGAGUCAUCAAAUAUUUGAGACUUUUGUGAUCCGAAUAUACAUGGCACUUCUCACCAAAUAAGUAAUGUCGCCAUAUUUUCAAGGCGAACACAAUGGCAGCUAGUUCAAGAUCAUGGGUCGGAUAAUUUUUCUCAUGUGGCUUUAAUUGUCUCGACGCAUAGGCUACAACUCGACCUUCUUGCAUCAAUACACAACCCAACCCAAGUAGGGAGGCAUCACUAUAGAUGACAAACUCUUUGCCUGAUUCGGGCUGCACUAGAAUUGGAGCUUCAGUCAAAUAAGUUUUCAGUUGAUCAAAACUUUUCUGACAUUUUUCCGUCCAUUCGAACUUAACAUCUUUUUGAAGUAGCUUCGUUAUUGGUGUGGCUAUCAUCGAAAAACCUUUUACAAACCGUCGGUAGUAACCGGCAAGUCCCAAAAAGCUUCGAACCUCAGUAAUAUUUCUCGGAGGCUUCCAGUUAAGUAUGGCCGAAAUUUUGUUCGGAUCAACUCGAAUACCCGAUGCAGAUACCACAUGACCCAAGAAGCUAACCUCUCUUAACCAGAACUCACACUUACUGAACUUAGCAUAUAACUGCUUAUCUCGUAAAAUUUGCAACACUAAUCCCGGUGUUCAGCAUGAUCGGUUUCAUUUCUCGAAUAGACCAAAAUAUCAUCGAUAAACACAACUACAAACCGAUCCAAAUACGGUCUGAAAAUCCGAUUCAUCAAAUCCAUAAAUACCGCGGGGGCAUUAGUGAGCCCAAACGACAUCACUAAGAAUUCGUAGUGACCAUAUCUCGUUCUGAAAGUAGUUUUGGGUAUAUCCGAAUCUCGAAUUCGCAACUGAUAAUAACUCGAUCUCAAAUCUAUCUUUGAAAACACUGAGGCUCCCUUUAGUUGAUCAAACAAAUCGUCAAUACGCGGUAUCGGAUAUUUAUUCUUUAUUGUCACCUUAUUCAGCUGACGAUAAUCGAUGCACAACCUCAUGGUUCCGUCGUUCCUUUUCACAAACAAUACUGGUGCACCCCAAGGUGAGAAACUUGGUCGAGCGAAACCUCUAUCCGUCAACUAUUGCAACUGAGCUUUCAACUUUUUUAACUCGGUUGGUGCUAUACGAUACGGAGCUAUCGAAAUCGGCGUAGUCCCAGGCACAAGCUCAAUACCAAACUCUACCUCCCGAACAGGUGGUAAACCCGGUAAUUCUUCGGGAAAAACAUCCGGGUAUUCACAAACCACCGGCACAGAUUCAAGUUUCUUUUCUGGCUCUUUAUUAUCAAGUACGUAUGCAAGAUACGCUUUACACCCCUUUCUCACAUAUUUAUAAGCUAACAUCGAGGAUAUUAUAGCUGGCGACCCAUUCAAGUCAGUAGACUCAACUCGAAUCAUCUCAUUAUUUGCACACCUCAAAUCGAUAGUUUUUCUUUUGCAAUUCACAACUGCAUCGUGAACGGUUAGCCAAUCCAUACCGAGGAUAACAUCAAAUUCAUCAAACGGUAAAAGCAUCAAAUUGGCCGGAAAGCAGGAACCUCUGAUUUCUAAGGGACAUUUCUUACACACUUUGUCAACAAGCACAUAAUGACCCAAGGGAUUUGACACCCGAAUUACAAACUCAGUAGACUCAACAGGUAGAGUCUUACUAGAUGCUAAGGUUUCCCAUAUAUAGGAAUGAGUAGAACCAGGGUCAAUCAAAGCAAUCACAUUAGUAUCAAAGAGAGUAAAAGUACCGGUAAUAACAUCUGGCGAGGAAGCAUCCUCGCGUGCGCGUAUAGCAUAAGCUCUAGUAGGAGCACGAGCCUCAGAUCUGGUUGUAGCAUCUCUAGAUCCUCUCUAACCGCCACUAGCAUUGCUCGUAUUCCUAGAUGGUCUACCCCGAGCAGUAGUAGCACCAAGUUUCCCACUCUGAUUUACGUUCUGUUCAGACAAUCUCGGGUAAUCUUUAAUAAAGUGGUCGGCUGACCCGCACUUGUAACAGGAGCGGUCAUGGAAUCUACAACUCCCCGAAUGCCAUUUACCACAAUACUGACACUCCGUUCUGUCUCGAUGAUCAUUUCCAACACUGGCGACUGAAGUGACUCGUGCACUCACAGGGGGUCGAUCAUGGUCUCGUCUAGAGAAACCCGAAGUGUCUCUAGAUCGGCCCAAAUCAUCUCUAAAUUUCUUCGAUGACUGUUGAAAGGGCCUCCCCGAAGACCUCUUACGAAACUCCUUUGCUCCCAUAUCAGCUUUUCUUUUCUCCAUACUGAGCUCCUCGGCUUUGCAAGCUCGCUCGACAAGUACCACAAAUUCUCGGAUUUCCAAAAUGCCAACAUACAGCUUUAUAUCAUCAUUCAGUCCAUCCUCGAAACGUUUACACAUUACGGCUUCUGAGGAAAUGCAUUCUCGAGCGUACCGGCUAAGCCUUACAAACUUUUGUUCAUAGUCGGUAACCGACAUGGAACCUUGUUUAAGUUCAAGAAAUUCCUUCCGUUUUUGAUCCAUGAAUCUCUGACUGAUAUACUUUUUUCAAAACUCGGUUUGAAAAAACUCCCAAGUUACUUGAUCUUUGGGCACAACAGAAGUCAACGUAUUCCACCAAUAGUAGGCAGAAUCACGUAGCAAGGAGAUAGUACACUUUAGGCACUCAUCGGGUGUGCAAGAUAGCUCAUCGAGUACCCGAAUAGUGUUGUCCAACCAAAAUUCAACUUGCUCGGCAUCAUCGCUGUCCGUAGCUUUAAAUUCAGUAGCCCCGUGUUUUCGGAUUCUGUCAACUUGGGGCUUAUUUGACCUUAUUUGGUCGGUUGCCGGAGGUAUUGUAGGUGCGGGGGUGGCAUUAGUCGGGAAUGGAGGUUGUGGAACAGCCGUAUUAGUUCGAAUGUAUUGGUUGAACCAAUCAUUCAUCACGCUAUAAAAAGCUUGUCUUGCUUCAUCAUUCGGAUUACUAGCAAUAGGUUGAGAGUCCGCCGGAGCUGUCCCUUGUGCGGGAACAGGCGCUACACUCUCAAGAUCAUCAGCUAUCGCUCGGUCGGGAUCGGGAUCCAUUACUAUAAAUAAACACAUUUUCAAUUGUCAAAAAUCACCACACUAUCAAAUAAUCACAUAAUGGCAUGUAUAGCUAGACCCAAACGUAUUACGGUAGUCCUAGAAUCGACUAAACCGUAGCUCUGAUACCAAUAAAAUUGUAACACACCGUACCCGAGACCGUUGCCGGAGUCGGACACGAGGGGUUAACAGACUUAAUUCACUUAUUUUCACAGUCCAUUUUAAAAAUUUCCAGACAAGCUGGCUAACUGCGUCACUGUCACCUUAAAAAUCAUAUCUUGAGUUCCAAAACUCGAAAAUCAGUUUCGUAAAUUUUACCUGAAACUAGACUCAUAUAUUCAUCUAAAAUUUUUUUUCUAGAAUUUUUGGUCAGGCCAAUUAGUACAGUUUAUUAGUUAAAGUCUCCCCUGUUACAGGGUUCGACUGCUCUGACCUUCAUGCAUUACGACUUAUAUAUCUCCCUGUACAGGGCUUCAAUACUUAUGCCGUUUGUUUCUAAUGAAACUAGACUCAAAAAGUAAUCUAUAAAUAUAUGGAAUGACUUCUAAUUAUCUCUAUUUAAAUUAUAAUGAAUUUCCAAAGUCAGAUCAGGGGAUCCAGAAAUCGCUCUGGCCCUGUCCCACGAAAACUUAAAUAUAUCUUAAAAUAUGACUCAUAUGACCAUUUCGUUUCUUCCAUAGGAAAUUAGAUUCAUCAAGGUUCGAUUACAUAAUUUAUUCACUAUUUAAUUCCAUUCCUACUAUUUUUAGUGCUUUUUCAAAUUCAGACCACUGCUGCUGUCAGCAUCUGCCUUUAAGGUAGACUUUACCUAUUACAUAGUUUCCAUGAUUCAACCAACCCUUUAGCAUAUAUAGCACAAAGUAUGAUCGUGAUUAACCAUUCCAAUGGCCAAUCAUUGCCAAGCAUAUCCACACCUCUCAAUAACCAUAUACAUACAAAAUGAUUAUAACAUUAUGCUCAAAAUAUAUAUAAGCCAUUUUCGCAUGGCUAUCCAAAUUCGUACAAUACCGAAAGGUACAUGACCAACAUCAAAAAGGGUAGUCCUAUACAUGCCAUUUCAGAGUUCAACCAAAAGUGUACCAAAGGGGCUUUGAUAGUGUGGACGACUUCGACUUCGACAAUCCUGAGUCCGAUAGCUGACGAACCAAAAUCUAUAAAACAGAGAUUUAAAGAACGGAGUAAGCAUUAAAUGCUUAGUAAGUUUCGAACAAUGAAAUUAGGCGCAACUGAGGUAUAGCAUUCAUAUAACUAAAUGGAUAAUUUCAUAUACACAUAUUCUUAAAAAUCAGUCCCACUCCACAUUUCCAACCCUUAUAUUCACACAUAAGGGAUCAACUUAACCAAAGGCCGGAAGCUCAUUAAUUGACUGAGCGAAUAAUAUUCAAAAGGAAUUUACUACUCCAAUGCAUAUACGAAACGUACCUCAUCGUUGGGAUUUACGAGCGUAUCAAUUUAAAUUAUUACAGCAAGAUCGCUCAUUCCCAAACCAAGUACCUUCGAAGUUUAGCCGUAUAUAGCUACUAGCUCAAAUGCCUUUGGGACUUAGCCCGGUUAUAGUUACUCGCACAAAUGCCUUUGGGACUUAGCCCGGUUAUAGUAACUCGCACAAAUGCCUUCGGGACUUAGCCCGGAUAUAGUAAGUCGCACAAAUGCCUUCGGGCUUAGCCCGGAAUUAGUCACUAGCACAAAUGCCUUCGGGACUUAGCCCGGUUAUCAAUCCGAAUAUCCAUGCACAUAUCAAUAAAUCAUGACACAUCAAUAUUUCAUUUUCAUAACUAGAAUUCAAACACAAGUCACUUAUCAAGCAUUAUCAUUUUCGGCUCAAUAGCUACAUACAAAGGGCAUGAUUUUGAUUUGCUUAUAACAUAAUCUAAUCGAAUCAUAAUCUAAGUUUCAUUACUCGAAAACUUACCUCGGAUGUUGUCGAACGAUUUCGACGACUAUUCGAUCACUUUUUCCUUUCCCUUGUCCAAUUUUGGUCCUCUAAGCUCUUGAGCUAAUUCAAACAAAUUUAACUUAUUAAAGUCUCAUUAUGCUAGCUUAUGGCCGAAUAUGACAAGGAGUUUGAUAGGUCAUAUGGCCACUUUUAGCUCAAAUACAAAAUGGUCAUACGCAUUUUUAAUCACAUUGAGCAAUUUAAUACAAUUAAUCUAACAUUUCCUCAUGUGCACGUUUAUGACCGAAUACACACAUCAUUAACCUAAUAUCAAUUAUCUGAGCACUUUAACAAAAUUCUCCUUGAGCCGAGUAUCUAAGUCAAGAUAGAUUCAUCAUUAUGCUCGACUCUAACCGAAUACAUGCAACACCAAUCUACCUCAUGUGGCCGAAUAUGCAUGUCUAUGUUGAGGCCGAUUAUAUGCUUAAUACUUCCUACAAGUAUGGUUACUUGUAUUGACUAUAUAUCAUUUUGUUUCAAGUUCAAAACUCGGCUAAUACACAUAUAUACACUAGUAAUCAAAUACUAAAAUUUUGCACUUCACCUUACUACCAUUUCUCAUCUACUUCCUACCAUGGCCGAAUGCAUCAAGACACCAUACCAUUUCAAUUUUGGUCAUGGGUUACAUAAAGAACUUAAUGUCUAACUCAAAAAUGCCAAAAAGAAAAUCCAAGAGUCAUCAAACACCAUCACAUGUAUCAUUACAAAGCUUCACACUUAGCAUGCAAAUGACAUCAACACAAAUCCACCUUAGCCGAAACUUAACUUAUCUUCAUGCCUCAUCACCACAACAUCAAACACCAACCAAGAAGACAACACCCAUGGCCGAAUAUCAUCUCCAUCUCAUAGCAAAGAUUUAAACCAUGGGCUAGGUAGAACUCAAACUAACAACUAAAAACAUGCAUGAAUCUCAUGAAACAACAUCAAACAUACCUUAGUCUAGCAAACCACCAUAGCCGAUUUCCUCAAAGCUCUUUUUCCUUCUUUUUCUUUCUUCUAUUCGGCCAAGAACAACAUGAGAGCUUUUUUUUCUUUCUUUUUUUUUUCAUCACCAUUUACCUUCCCAUUAUUAUUUUAUUGCCCAUACUCCUUAUUUUAUUUUUCCUAACAUAAGUCACUAACAUAACAUGUUUAUGACAUGUUUUACCCAUAACAUUUUGUCCACCCUUCUUGUCAUGGCCGGCCACUAUUAAUUAAGUGGGGAAAUUGACAUGCAAGUCCACCCUUUUGAGUACAUGCACUAAUAGAUCCUUAUAGAUUAACCUAUCACAUUUCCAAAGUGUCACACAUAAGUCCUAUUAGCUGAAUUCACAUGCAAUCGACUAAAUCGAAGCUUAAAAUUUUCACACAUUCAUAUUCACAUAUUUUAGACAAUAAAUAUCAUAUUCAAAUAAUUUGGUGACUCGGUUUAGCGGUCCCAAAACUGCUUUCCGACUAGGGUCACUUAAGGGCUGUCACAGUGUUAAUACCUUCCUCGUGCGUAACCGACUCCCAAACCCAAUUUUUUCUCUGAAUUUUGACGUAGACAUAAGCUCGGCCUUUUUGUUAUCCAAAAAUAAAUUUUUCUUUGAAAAAGAGGAUUCAUUAGGUGUCCGAUCAUACCAAGAAAAAAGAUCGGUGGUGACUCACUUUUUAAAAUCAAACCUCGAUCUUUAAACUUUCAAUCAAACACCCUAAUUAGCGAUCAAGCUAAAAAGAAUUUACGUCGUUACAGCUGGCGACUCCACUAGGGACCCUUUUUGAGAGUCGUGCCUGAAAUUAAACUCGCGUUGUCUGAAUUUUCAAAGUUCCUUGUUCAAAUUGAAAUUUAGUCGUGAUCCUCAAAUUUUUGUUUUCAAAAAGUCAUGCAUUCGCAUUAUGUGGUAAAUAUCUUUCUAACUCGUCUUGUCGUUUUGUUUUUCAGCGUUAACUUUUAUGGUUUUAGUUUAGUAGUUUUUUAAAUAAAAUGAAAGGUUUGUGAGUUUCUCCCCACACACCGUGCACGUGCAUCUUUGCAUAACAGGAGCUCUAUACUCGGGCUCCGUCCAUUUAAGUGAAAGUAAAUGUUAUGCCUUCGUGAGUUAACUCGUCCCUCUGUAUAGGCUAGUGAAUACUUUCGGGUUACAUAUGACUUAUGCUUUCGUGAGUUAACUUGUCCCUCCGCAUAGGCAUAAGUAAAUGUAAUCCCUCGAAUUGAAUUCGUGAGCCUGUGAUUGGCUACGACCGAGGCUUCGUACUAAUCUUAGUAGAUAACAGUACGGAUAAUUUGAGUACCUGUAUAGAACUGAAACCGCAUAUAGUGAACCGUACGAGCCACCUAAUUAGAGCCAUGCCGAACCUCCGUCCGUUAAUAGUCACCAAAAUAAGUACAUGGGAGAAACACCUCUUACCUUUUAUUUCUUUGACAUUUACACUUUCUAUUUUGAUUUUUCGUAAUUCAUAUUUGUUGUACUAACCAAAAUAUUUGUCUGUGUUCUUAUUUUGCAUCAUGCAUUAAGGCAUCAUAUUAGGAAGGUGUUGACUAGAGAUUGGUUGCCAAAAAAUGGGUUUCUAAUGGAAGAGUCAAUUAUACAAACAACCGAGAAGAAUGCCGUGGUUCGGGACUGGUCUCUAAAAACUCAAAAAGAAAAAGGGGAUAGUCUAAUAGAGAGAUGUAUUGCCAAUCUGCCCAAGCACGUAACUGUGAAUGUUCGCCAUAAUAACCUUGAAGAUUUGGUUCGGGUUUGGAAUCAGUGGGACUCAGACACUAGGGGUAUCUUCACUGAAAGAUAUGGGGACAUAGCCAACUUGAUUGCUGUCAACGUAGACGAACGAUUGAUCCAAGCCGUGGUCAGAUUUUGGGAUCCGGCUUACCAAUGUUUUACCUUCAAUCGAGAGGAUAUGAAUCUGACUAUAGAGGAGUACGUUGCUUUGCUUCGUGUUGAAAAUGUGCAAUUCUAUAAAGUAUAUGUGAAGGAGCCUAAGCCGAUGACCUUCAAGAAAAAGUUAGUGAGAUUGACAGACAUGACUGACGCAUGGGCCGAAAAAUAGAUAAAGAAGAAGAAUGAAACCAUUUGCAUCCCAUGGUCUUCCCUACGAGAUUUGGUUCUGAACCAUCCCAACAUGUUGAAAAGGGUAAAUCUAUUUGCUUUGGCCAUUUACGGUUUGAUCAUCUUCCCGAAAGUUAUUAGACACAUAGAAGUUGCAGUGGUGGAUUUUUUCGAAAGAUUAAAGCAAGGAAUCAACCCUGUCCCGACUAUCUUGGUUGAGACCUUUAGAUCCUUAAACAAUUGUAGGAAAGUAGGGAAGGGACGCUUUAUCGGAUGUGCGCAAUUACUUAAUGUUUGGAUUUUGAGCCAUUUCUGGAAAGUAGAGCACACACCGUACCACAUGUUUUCAAAAACUUUCACUCCGUUGGAGGCCUAUCCUGAGAGAGAAUGGCCAAAGGGUGUCACUGAAGAGUAUUGGGUUUCAGUUUUUCAGAACCUUCGAGCUGAAGAUGUAACCUAGAGAACACCGUGGAUCCGUCCUUCGGUUCUAUUAUACAAGGUUGGAAAUCAAGAUUGGGUCCCAGUACUAGGGUUAUGGGGUGGAAUUGGAUACGCUCCGUUAAUGGUCCAGAGGCAAUUUUCUUCACGACAAUUCAUACCCACCACUGGAGGAUUAGCGCAGUCUGAGUUUGCUUUUGCGGGUAAAGGCUAUAUGAAGAGGGUCCGAAGUGUUGCAAAAUCUUGGAAGGAAGUUCAUCUGAUGGAGUUGGCCCUGUACGCUGAUACUCUCACUCAAGAUUACAACGUAUGGAGAAUACAACGGGUGAAUAGCCAGCGAGUUUCAUCAAUGAGUUACGCCUUUUAGAAUCCCUUCUUGAAGGAAAUGCCGUCUGAGUUAGAAGUGGCAAGACAAGAAUUUGAAUGAGAAAAGGCCAAGAUGUCUCGGGACCUUAGUGCUCUUCAAGAAGAAAACUACCAAUUAAAGAUCGAUGUUCAGAUUGAAAGAUCCAGAACCGAGAAAGUGCAAAAAGAGGCUGAAGUCGUAAGAAAUGACUUAAGAGAUCUUCAUCUGGAAAAUAAAAAGUUAAGAGGCACAAUAAAGAAUAGUGGGCUGGGCAAGUCGUCGACAGAAUGGAAAGAAGAAAUAAGCAACAAUAAAGGUGGGAUGGAAUUUUGGAAAGGAAAAGCGAAGAAAGAGGAGGAAAAGGCUGCGCGGGCUAUGAUAGAACUAAAGAGGAAGAACGCUGAAUAUGAAACUGUGUCUGCCAAACUUAUGAUUAGUCAGUCCGAAUGCCGAGAGUUAAAAGAGAGAAUACGGGAAUUAGAAGAUAUGCUGCAAGAUCGUCAACAACAGUUAGAUACUCUCUUGGAGGCUUUAGAAGAAAAGAAUAGUCAAUAUGAUAGAGACAUUCAUGCUUACAAAGAGGGCCUCCAAGAAAAAGAAAUGCAACUUAGCUAUUUGAUCAAUGAAAUUUGUGGGGUAGCCAUGCACGUGGUACAACUAUCGGAAGAAGCUGAAAUUCUCAUUUGCCAAUUCCCUCCAAGUCGAAGAUCGAACAUAUCAUAAUUCAUAGCACGAGUAAAGAAAUAUGGCGAUAUAACUAGGAAGUUUGUGUAAUGGCUGAAUUGAAAAUAACAAAAUGUUCUGUAAUGAACUCUUUUUAUGAAUGAAAUACCUAAAUAGGGUCUAUCUUGAAAUCAACACCCAUUUCUUGCAUUUCUUUCAUGAUUGACAUUCAUUUAUGCAUUCAUUCAUUCAUUGCAUGUACUUAUCCCAUAAUCACUCGCUAAGGUUAGAGUAAUAUAAUUCGAAGUCACAACACUUCAAAUCUGGAAUCACGCCAUUCGUAUAGAACGCAUUGACAAGCUAGAACAAUGGAAGAUGAGUUCAAUGAAAGAGUCGAAAGGAUGGAAAGAGUCCAAAGGGAAUUGCAAGAACAACUGGCUAAGUCACAGUAAGAAACGAGGGAUCUGAUGGUGAGAUGUCGAGAGGAAUCACUUGAACAGAAGGAUCAAAUGGCUAAGAUGAUGGAAAUGAUGUCGGCUCUGGUAAAAGGAAAGGGACCUAUGAACCCUAAUGUUGUGGAACCACAGUUAAGGGCUAAUCAUGAUCAGGAUCCGCCCCAUCCGCUAGGAUUUACUCCACCGCAUGCCCACGCAACAUAAAGAGGGUAUGCUCAAUGGGAACCUACAGGCCUGGAGGAACGACCUGGGCCACCUGCUAAUCUGGGGCAAGGAAUGUUCGUAUCAAACCCGGGGGCUAGUCCUGCUGAUCCACUCGUUCCAGAUUUGGAUGAUCCAGCAGAGAUAGCCAAGUUGAAAUUGAAUAAUCACGAUGCGAAUGAGAAAUAUAGGAGCCUAGAGGAAAGACUCAAAGCGAUAGAAGGCACUGAAGUCUUCUCCGUACUAGGUGCAAAAAAACUCAGUUUGGUACCCGAUCUAAUUCUGCCUCUGAAGUUCAAGGUGCUUGAUUUUGAAAAGUACGAUGGGACAAGAUGCCCCAAAACGCAUCUCAUCAUGUUCUGCCGGAAGAUGACCGGCUAUGUGAACGAAGAUAAGCUACUCAUACAUUGUUUUCAAGAUAGUCUAGUAGGAUCGGCUCUUCGGUGGUACAACCAGCUUAGUAGAGAAAAGAUCCGAUCCUGGAAUGACUUGGCAUCAGCAUUUUGUGAGCAGUACAAGCAUGUAUCGGAUAUGGUGCCUGAUCGAAUGACUCUACAAAUGAUGGAAAAAAAACCAGCAGAAACUUUUAGACAGUAUGCGUAAAGGUGGAGAGAUAUCUCGGCCCAAGUGGAGCCUCCACUGACUAAGACUGAGAUACGAUCCUUUUCAUCAACACCUUAAAAGAGCCUUUCUAUGACAAACUGGUAGGAAGUGCUACAAAGGAUUUUUUGGAUAUCGUAAUAUCCGGAGAACUUAUUGAGAAUGCCAUCAAAAGUGGGAGGAUGGAAGGUUCAGAAAGUUCAAAAAGGGCAGCGCCCAUGAAGAAGAAAGAACCAGAAGCCCAUAUGGUGGGAAUGGGAAGCCAUUAUACCCCUAAUCCAUAUUCAAACCAACCCCGACCUCAAAAUUAUCCUCCUCCGAAUUUCUAUUAUCCUCCUCAGGCCCCUUACUACCAAGCACCACCUCCUUCCUACCCCGUAUACGCCACGAACAACCAAAAGCCCAUCGCCACAUUCCCACAAAGCAAUGUACCCGCUCAAAGCCAACCCAGGAAUGAACAAAGGCCAGCAAGACCCAAUCCUGAGAGACCGCAAUUUACCCCUAUCCCUGUGUCGUAUGGGGAACUGUACCCAAAACUCUUGGAGAAGAAAUUAAUAUCUCCCCAUUACGUGGCACCCUUUAAGCCUUCAUACCCGAAAUGGUACGAUCAAAAUGCUAGUUGUGCAUACCAUGCUGGGAACCAGGGGUAUUCUACGGAGAAUUGCCUUGCCUUCAAAAGGAGAGUUCAAGGACUCAUCGAUGCUGGCAUUCUGUGAUUUGAUGGCACUGGCGGUACGGUCGAAAACCUAUUCCCAAACCACACCGAAAGGAAUGUGAGUGCAGUGGGAGAGGAGGAAAAACGGCAAAGUAGAAGAUGGGUUUCUGAAAUAAGAACACCUCUACAGAAAAUCUGGUAGGUACUAGCUGAAAAGGGGCUACUCUGUCAUCUUAACAGGAUAUUCGAAGGAAGAAAUGCAAAAGGUCAAAGUUUUUGCGAAUUCCAUGGAAUUGAGGGGCACGACAUUCAAUCCUGCGAGGAGUUCAAGAGAUUACUGCAAAAUAUGAUGGAUAAUAAGGAGAUUGAGAUUUUUUAUAAAGGCAAAGAGGCCGAUAGAGGAGAAAUAUGCGCCUCUGACAAUCAAUCGUCAGGUUUCCUGUAUAGCAUCGACUGACCGUUAAUAAUUUAUUAUGACACGAAGAAGGAGCCGGAGAAACCAAAAGUGAUAAUCGAAGUACCAUCUCCUUUCCCCUAUAAGGACAAUAAAGCAGUACCAUAGAAAUACGAUGUCAAUAUCGUCACACCUGAAGAUGAAAAACCCAAAGCCAUGACUGGAAGUGUUGGGGAAGUAGGUCAUUUCACUCAUAGUGGGAGAUGUUAUUCGAAAGAGGUCGAACCAGUGAAGAAGAAUAGUGACUUGAAACAGAAAGGAAAAGCACCGAUGCACGUGAUCGAAGAUGAGCAUGAAAUUGUGCCUGAACAAGAAGCUAAAAAGCCUGUAGGCAAGGAGGAAGCACAGGAGUUCUUAAAAUUUAUCAAGCAUAGUGAGUAUAAUGUGGUGGAACAAUUUAGUAAGCAGUCAGCACGAAUCUCGGUAUUAUCUCUACUGUUGAAUUCAAAACCACACCGGAACGCUCUGCUGAAAGUGUUAAAUCAAGCUUAUGUGGCAAACAAUAUAUCUGUUGAAAAGCUGGAUAGGUGGGUGAAUAACUUGAAUGCGGAUAAUUUUAUUUCUUUUAGUGAUGAUGAAAUAUCGCCCAAUGGUAGAGGCUCCGUGAAAGCAUUGCAUAUCACCACCCACUGCAAGGGUUACAUAAUACCGAACGUGCUCAUCGAUAAUGGGUCAACACUCAACAUCAUGUCCUUGGCCACGCUUUCCAGAAUUCCAAUGGAUCUGUCCUAUUUAAAGCCCUGUCAUUUCACAGUAAGGGUAUUGAUGGGACAAGACGUGAAGUCAUGAGGAAGAUUGAGAUCCCUCUAGAAGUGGGUCCCUACAUAUAUAAUGUUGAGUUCCAAAUCAUGGACAUUACACCAUCAUACAAUUGCCUUUUGGGAAGACCCUGGAUUUAUUCCGCUGAAGCGGUCCCAUCAUCCCUCCAUCAAAAGGUGAAAUUUAUCAUGGAUGGCUGUUUGGUCACUGUUGAGGGAGAAGAAGAUAUUGUAGCAUCUAUUUCUACCGACGCACCAUACAUUGAAGUGAGUAAAGAUGCUAUAGAAUGUUCCUUCCGAUCCCUUGAAUUUGUCAAUGCCACAUUCGUCGCUGAGGGAAACAGAAUUCCCGCGCCAAAAUUGUCAAGAAAUACCAGGAUAGGUAUCAAGAUGACUGUGGGAAGAGGAGCCUGAGCAAGGAAAGGUUUGGGAAGGUAUCUGCAAGGAAUAGUCAGGGCCUUAAAGCCAGUACAUCACAAAGCUCGAUACGGUUUAGGGUUCUAACCAGAUGUGCGUCAAAGAAGAAAACAGUGGAAGAAGGAUCAGGAGAGAAGGAUUGUAAGAACUUUGGGCCGAGAAAUAGAAUGGGAGCCCAUAACGUAUCCUUCUUUGUCAAAAACAUUUACAUCUACAGGGAUGAUAUACCCCGGACGAGAUAAUACACAAAGCACGCUGUUAUUAAUUGAAAGGGGCCUUCAGAAUGUCGGUAUAAAUGUCAUUGACAAAGGAAGUGAGGCAAUUAAAGAUGUUUCAACGAUACGCCCUUGUCCUCCUGGUUUCAUGUUGAAUAAUUGGACUACCGAGGACCUUCUUGUAGUUUAUAAGUCUUCAGAGUGCUCAGAUAUCAACAGCAUGAACAAACCCGUUAUGAGUCUUGAAAUCAAUUUUGAGAAGGCUGUUUGUUUAGGAGAAUUUGAAGUCGAAGAAAAUGAUGAAGACUAUGUCUCGUCUCUUGACUUGCUAAGAAUGGUGGAACAAGAGGAUAAAUAGAUUUUGCCUCAUCAAGAAUCUGUUAAAACAAUAAAUUUGGGAACUGAAGAAAAGAAGCAAGAAGUGAAGAUUGGGACCUCUAUUUUAGAGGAAACCAGGCAUAAUUUGAUUACUUUUGUCCACGAGUACAAAGAUGUAUUUGCAUGGUCAUAUCAAGACAUGCCAGGAUUGGAUGAAGAUGUAGUAGUCCAUAAACUCCCAUUAAAGCCAGAAUACAAACCUAUUCAACAAAAGCUAAGACGGAUGAGACCUGAGAUGUUGUUGAAAAUAAAAGAGGAAGUCAAGAAGCAAUUUGAUGUUGGCUUCCUAUAAGCCUCCAAAUAUCCAGAAUGGGUGGCUAACAUAGUCCCAGUACCAAAGAAAGACGGCAAAGUACGAAUGUGCGUGGAUUAUCAUGACCUGAACCGAGCAAGUCCUAAAGAUAAUUUUCCCUUACCACACAUUGACACGUUAGUGGAUAACACAGCAAAACAUUCAUUGUUUUCUUUCAUGGAUGGAUUCUCGGGGUAUAAUCAGAUCAAGAUGGCCCCUGAGGAUAUGGAGAAAACUACCUUCGUAACAAUAUGGGGAACAUUUUGCUACAAGGUGAUGCCAUUUGGGUUAAAGAAUGCUGGGGCAACAUAUCAAAGGGCUAUGGUGACGUUAUUCCAUGACAUGAUGCAAAAAGAAAUAGAGGUCUACGUCAACGAUAUGAUUGCUAAAUCUCGAGGGGAAGAAGAGCAUGUAGUGAACCUCAAGAAGUUGUUCGGAAGGCUGAGAAAGUUUUAGCUAAAGCUUAAUCCAGCCAAAUGUACGUUUGGUGUUACCUCGGGAAAGUUGCUAGGCUUCAUUGUCAGUGAAAAAGGUAUCGAGGUUGAUCCAGAUAAAAUAAAAGCCAUUCAAGAGUUACCACCUCCGUGCACGCAAAAGGAAGUCAGAGGAUUUUUAGGGCGGUUAAACUACAUCACCCGAUUCAUCGCUCAACUUACCAACCAGUGUGACCCAAUUUUUCGACUCCUUCGAAAACAUAAUCCCGGAGAAUGGAAUGAGGAAUGCCAGAUGACCUUUGAUAGGAUAAAACAAUAUUUGUCUAGCCCUCCAGUACUAGUACCGCCAAUCCCGGGAAGACCAUUGAUAUUGUAUUUGACUGUGUUAGAAAAUUCAAUGGGUUGCGUACUGGGGCAACACGACAAAUCAGGAAAGAAAGAAAAGGUGAUCUACUACAUCAACAAAAAUUUCACUGAAUGUGAGACAAGGUAUUCGUCCAUUGAAAAAUACUGUUGCGCUCUAGUUUGGGUAGUUUAGAGGCUCAUGCAAUAUAUGUUGUAUCAUACGACAUGGUUAAAUUUCAAAGCUGGACCCAAUAAAGUACAUGAUGGAAUCACCUGCACGAUGGCAAAUCCUAAUGUCAGAGUACGACAUCGUCUAUGUGAGCCAAAAGUCGAUAAAAUGGAGCGCAAUAGCUGACUUCUUAGCAACUCGAACAACAGAGGAAUAUGAUCCAUUGAGAUUUGAUUUCCCAGAUGAAGACUUGAUGUGUAUUAUAGAAAAUGAAUGCGAGUCAUCAAAAGAAAAAGUCAUGGAAAAUGAGCUUUGAUGGCACAUCGAAUGCCUUGGGGCAUGGGAUUGGAGCAGUCUUGGUAUCACCAGAAGGGCACCAUUACUCGUUCACUUCCAGAUUAAACUUCUUUUAUACUAAUAACAUAGCGGAAUAUGAGGCUUGUAUCAUGGGACUUCGUGCGGAAAUUGAACGAAUCAUCAAAACUUUAGAGGUAUACGGAGACUCAGCAUUAGUGGUUUACCAAAUCCGUGGAGAUUGGGAAGUGAGUGAUCUGAAAUUGGUUAAGUACAGUGAUCUAGUGGUUGAAUUGAUCAAAGAAUUCAAAGAAAUAACUUUUCAUUACUUCCCACGAGAAGAAAACCAAUUGGCUGAUGCUCUGACCACUUUGGCUUCAAUGUUCAAAGCAAACAGAGAAAUAGAAAUAAUGCCUCUUCAAAUGAGCAUAUAUGAAGUCCCUGCACAUUGUUUCAGCAUUGAAAAAGAGCUAGAUGGAUGGCCAUGGUUCCAUGAUGUCUUAUAAUAUAUCAGAAAUCAAAGGUAUCCCAAAUAAGCAAAUGAGAACGAUAAAAGAACAAUCAAAAGAAUGGCAGCGGGAUUUGUUCUUGAUGGGGACAUCCUGUACAAAAGAGGAAAAGAUCAGGUGCUCUUGAAGAUGUCCAUGAGGGGAUUUGUGGGACACAUGCCAAUGGUUUCACUAUGGCCAGGAAGAUUAUGAGACUCGGUUAUUACUGGUUGAUGAUGGAAAGCGACUGCAUUAGUUUUGCAAGAAAAUGCCACAAAUGUCAAAUUUAUGGCGAUAAGAUUCAUGUAGCCCCUUCGCCCCUUCAUGUCAUGACUUCUCCGUGGCCUUUUUCUAUGUGGGGCAUGGAUGUUAUAGGGCCAAUUUUUCCAAAAGCUUCUAAUGGACACCGAUUCAUUUUUGUGGUAGUUGAUUACUUUACAAAAUGGAUAGAAGCCGCUUCGUUUUCCAAUGUGACGAAGACUGCAGUUUGUAGGUUUUUGAAAAAGGAAAUCAUUUGUCGAUAUGGUUUGCCUGAAAGAAUCAUUUCAGAUAACGCCAUGAACCUGAACAACAAGAUGAUGAAAGAAGUGUGUGAACAGUUUCAAAUAAAGCAUCAUAACUCAUCACCCUAUCGCUCGAAAAUGAACGGAGCUGUUGAAGCAGCCAAUAAGAAUAUUAAGAAGAUCAUUGGGAAAAUGACCGAAACAUAUAAAGACUGGCACGAAAAGCUACCAUUUGCUUUAUAUGCAUAUCGCACAUCUGUACGGACAUCUACGGGGGCAACUCCUUUCUCUCUGGUCUAUGGGAUGGAAGCUGUGCUACCUAUCAAAGCUGAGAUCCCCUCUCUACGAGUCUUAAUGGAGUCAAAACUAGAGGAAGCAGAAUGGGUUCGAGCUCGAUAUGACCAGUUAAACCUCAUCGAGGAAAAAUGUCUAAAGGCAAUUUGUCAUGGACAGAUGUACCAGAAGAGAAUGAUCGCGGCCCACGACAAGAAAGUAUGGCCAAGAGAAUUCCACGAAGGAGAACUCGUGCUGAGAAGAUUCACCCAAUAUAAAAAGACCUGUGAGGAAAAUGGGUACCAAAUUAGGAAGGACCGUACGUCGUAAAGAAGACAUUCUCGGGGGGGGCUUUGAUUCUCACUGAGAUGGAUGGGAAGGAGUUACCUAAUCCAGUGAAUUCAGAUGCUGUGAAGAAAUAUUAUGCCUAAAAAAAAGGAUCAAGGUAAAAACCCGAAAAGGGCAUCUUGAUUAACACAAAAGAUUAGAAUGGAAACCCGAAAGGGCAUUCUAAUGAAACAAACUGGCUUAAAAAGAAAUGCGUUUUGAACGGUGGGUCAAACAGUGAGACUACAGUAUUUGAAGCAUUUCCGAAAGCUUGAAAUCUUCUACGCAAGAAACCAUGCUCGAAAAGAUUCUUAAUUGAGGAACGGGGAAGAGUUCAUGCGUUGAAUAUCUAGAGCAUUUGUAUUUGUUGAAUGCGAUCCCUUUUCUCUUUAUGAAACUUUUUUUACUAUCAUUGAUUAACCUUCUUUGUUUGCUACAUUUGAAAUAAAUAAAUGUGAGGUAUCCUUUUGGCCCUACCUGACCAUUUUCAUGCAUCUCAUUAUGUAAUUUAUUUACAUGAUAAAUAGUGAAAUGACAUGCUCUAAACAAAAGAAAUGUUAAGCAUUACCCAGAUAAGAAUUUGAUAAGUACAAGAGCCUCAACACAAGGACAAAGUUCAACUAGUGGCAAAAGAACGAUAUCUGAGAAACACAGAUUAUUCGUGAAGCUUGAGGACAGGUACAGGGCCUGAAGAUAAAGUCAAGAGUCAUUGCAAUGAACGCAGGUCAUCAAAAAUCAUGACGGAAAGGGACAUAUGACAAACAAACCCAAGGCACAUAACAUGAUCAUGUAGGCAUAAAGGCAUUUAAGACCAACAUGUGCACAUCAUGAUAACAUCAUGCAUGACAUAUACAGGUACUUCAGUAGAGCAAGAGGAUGUGAUUAUAGCUGUACUGAAUCAAAAGAAAAGACAUCUGAGUUCCACCAGAUGACAUGUUUCGGUAUUCUAAUGUUUUUAUUUCUAUUUUUCAAAAAAAUCAACUCAUAUUGCGAGAGGUGAGUUGAGCCUCGGGACACGCUGAGGUAUUUUCAAUUUCUGUUUUUCAAAAAAAUCAACUCAUAUUGUGAGGGGUGAGUUGAGCCUCAAGACACGCUGAGGUAUUUUCAAUUUCUGCUUUUCAAAUUCUGCUUUUUAAAUUCUGCUUUUCAAAAAAAAUCAACUCAUAUUGCGAGAGAUGAGUUGAGCCUCAGGACACGCUGAGGUAUUUUCAAUUUCCGUUUUUCAAGUUAUGCUUUUCAAAAAUCAACUCAUAUUGUGAGAGGUGAGUUGAGCCUCAAGGUACGCUGAGGUAUUUUCAAUUUCUGUUUUUUCAAUUUAUAUUUUUUAAAACUCAACUCCUAUUGCGAGAUGUGAGUUGAGCCUUGGGUCACAUGUCGAGGUAUUUUCAAAAUCUUCUUUUCAAAUUAAGUUUCAAAAAAGCAACUCAUAUUGCGAGAAAUGAGUUGAGCCUUGGCUCACGUGCUAAGCUAUUUUUCAAUUUCUGUUUUUACUGUCUGUUUUCUAAAGAGUCAAUUUACAUUGCGAGGAAUGAGUUGAGCUCAGGAUCACAUGCCGAGUAAAGAAUAAAGAUUGGAGCUGAUCGAAGUUGCAGUGGAGCUAAUCGAAGUUGCAGUGGAACCGAUCGAGGGUAUCAGAUCUUGCCUUUCUAAAAGGGCAGAAGAGAAGACCAAAACCUUAUCUCACUGAAGUGAUAGAAGAGCAGAUUAAAGCUGUAGAUCUUAUCUUUCUGAGUUACAGUGAUGUAGAUCGAAGCCACAAAUCUCAUAUCCUUGAAGCUACAUUGGGGUAGAUUGAAGCUACAAGGUGUAUAUCAGAAGAUGCAGUGGAUUGAACCAAAGCUACAAGAUGCGUUGGACUGGAAAGAGACUACCUGAAGAAGAGAAGCGCCAAAGAGGUCAAAGCUCGACGAGGCCGGGCAAAAUUGGUCUUUCCUAAAAGUCUUUACUCUAUUCUCGUCACACGACAACAACUCUGUUAUCGUUAUACGACAAUGAGUAAAGAGGGGUAGCUGUUAUAGCCCAAUUUUGCCCCAUGACCCAUUUACAAUUUUGACCCACUUAAACCCAAAAUUAAACCCAACAAUAUCCUAAACCCAUCAGCCCACAUCCAUUAAAAUUUAAACCCAUUACAUCAGCCAACCCAAUCACAUUAAAACCCAAAUACAACCCAAUACCCACUAAACCUUACCCACAAAUAAAACAAAAAUAAUAAAAAACCUAGCCAGUCCCAUCACCCCAUACCGUUUGCCUCCACCGACCCCUCUGCCAAAAGCCUGCUCUGUCGCUCCAUCGGCCACCAACUGAUCUGCAAGACCAAGCAAUCACGCAAAUAAUAGGAUUAGGGCAUUGUAAAGGCUAUAAAAAGCCAUGAAAACAAAUGUAAAACGGUUCGGCAAUUCAAACACAAAAAAAUAAGAAAAACAUUCAAUUUCAGAGAAAGAAUAGCAAUUUAAUCAGCAUUUAAAUACAAGAAUAGCCUCCAAACAAACCGAAUACCAAAGAUCGAAGAAUCAAAAGUGUGAAAAGCCUAAGGUGAUUAUUCUUUUUUUUUUCAUUUUAAAUUCUGUUUUGGUUUCAUUUUUCCACAUAUAUAUAUCAAAAACAUAUAAAUAUAUAAAAAAUAUAAUACAAAAAAAUAAAAAAAUAAAAAUUUACCUUUUCCGGCCACCGUGCACUGUGGCCGGCGCCAGUGCCAGCGACGGCGGUCCGGCGAUCGGACCGGUGACCAGCCAUUGGCUGGAAAUCCCCCUCCCCCUCCCCCUCCAUUCUCUCUCUUUUUUUUCUUUCUCUCUUCACCAAAUGAUUUUUUUUUUGCAAAUUUUGGACCUUUUAUAGCCCCCAAAACAACGUCGUUUUGGGGUUGGCCUUUAAACCCCAAAACGACGUCGUUUUGACCUAACUCGUUUGUUGACUCGACCCGCUCCAAGGAUCCGCGUGUUUUUCAUUGGAGGGGCUAAUUGCACUUUUAGCCCCUCCGCUUUUUCAUGCCUCUACAAUCAAGUACUUUUUUAGUUUUUUAAUUUGGCCCUAAAGUAUUUAGCGCUUUGCGAUUUAGUCCCUCUUGCUGUGUUGUGUUUUGAGGGGAGGAAUAAUUGUGUUUUUAGUCCCCCUUUUGUUUUGUGCGCGUUCAAAUAAGCCCUUUUCCCUUUUUAUUAUUUCAAAUUCGCCCCAAAACUUUGAUUUUAAUUCAAUUUUAGUCCUUUUUUCAUUUUAUUUAUUUAUUUAUUUUAUUUUCGUUUUUUUAAUAUUGUCAUUAUCAUUCCUAAUAUUAUUAAUACUAUUAUUUCUAUUAUUAUUAUUGUUAUUAUUAAUAUUCUGGUUAUUAAAUAUUAUUAUUUUAAUGUAUUAUUAUUUCUAGUAUUAUUAUUAUAUAUAAUAUUAGUGUGUGUUUUAUAUAUGUAUGUACAUAUAUAUAUAUAGUAUUAUCUUAAUUACUUUAUUUUAAAAUUACUAUUGUAUUAUAUUUACUUUUUAUAUUUCAUCAUUAUUUCUAGUAUGGUUAUUAUUAUUAAUCUUAGUGUAUGUUUUAUUAUAUAUGUAUGUAUAUACAUUUUUAUAUACAGUAUUAUUUUAAUUACUUUAUUCUAAUAAUAUUAUUAUUAUAUUAUUAUUAUUAUAUUAUAUUUAGAUAUAUAUAUGUAUAUUUAUUUUAAAAUGUCUCGUUUUUUUACUAUUAUGUAUAUAUGUAUUUAUUAUUAUAUUAUUUACUUUCACUAUUAUUUUUAUUUUUAUUUUUUUAUCAUUAUUAUACAUAUAUGCGUAUAGAUAUUUUUAAGUACUUAUUAUAAAAAUAUUAUUUUCUUAUUAUAUUAUUAUGUAUAUUAUUUUACUCAUUUCUUCAUUAUUUUUUAUUUUUUAUUUUUUAUUUUUUAUUUUUUAUUUUAAUACUCUUAUUUAGUUUUUUUAAAAAAUAUUAUAUUUUUCAUAUAUUAUGUAUUUUUUUAUAUAUUAUAUUAUUUGUAUAUUUUAUUGUUUAUAUAUAUGUAUUUUUCUUAAAUAAUUAUAUUAUGUAUAUAUUUGUAAGUAUCAUACUAUUCAUAUAUUUUAUUGUUAUUUCAUAUAUAUAUAUAUGUAUAUUAUUAGUUAUAUAUAUAUUUUUUUAUACUAUUUCAUGUAUGUAUUUUUUAUAUUAUCCUUAUCAUUGUUGUUAAUAUUAGUAUAUGUAUAUAUCCUUAAUAUAUAUAUAUAAGUACAUAUUUAUGUGACAUUAUUAAUAGGUGUUUUCAACAUUAUUAUUAUGUAUGUAUAUAUUAUGUAAAUAUUUUAACAUUAUGCAUUUUUAUAUAUUAUGUAUAUAUAUACCUUUUUAGUAUUGUAUCUUUAUAUACAUCAUGUAUAUAUUUCGAAUACUAUAUUAUAUUUUUUCUUACAUAUUAUCUUAUAUAUAUAUUUUAAUAACUCUAUAUUAUGUAUGUAUUUUUAACAUCAUACUAUGUAUAUACUUUCUAAUACUAUUAUCAUGUUUAUAUUUAUAAUAUAUAUACGUAUGUAUAUAGGUAACAUUAUUAGUGUUUUGAAUAUUAUGUUUCCAUCACUUUACUUAUUAUUAUUAUAUGUUUAUAUAUGUUCGUCUCUAUUUCUUGUUUAAUACUAUUAUUAUCAUGUUUAGUAUCAUAUCCAUUACUUUUUUUUUACUAUUAUUAUUGCAUAUACAUUGUUAAUGUUUUAUAUAUUAUUUGCUUCAUAUAUUUUUAACUUUUUAUCAUCAUUUAUCCGUUCCGAAGUUAGCAUAUUAGUUCACAUCUUAUUUUAACAUCAUUGUUAGUUUUCUAUCACUUUUAUUUUUAUCUAGAAAUAUUUUUAUUCAUGUUUUUAAUUUCAACAAGUAAGACAACGUACCGAUUUAACAUUAAGUUGUCGAUAUCAUUGCUAUGUUGUGUGAAUAUCAAUCGGCUCGUGUUAAAAACGGAACGUCCUUCUCAAAAGAAAACGAAACUUGAAAUUUCUUGUGUUUUGAUCGGAUCAUGAUUAAAUAUUACUUUGAACCUGCAAUUUUGAAAAUUAAGACAACACUUGUUUAAUAAGAUACCAAUUUUGGGCGUUACGAGGGUGCUAAUACCUUCCUUGUGCGUAAUUGACUCCCGAACCCAAAUUUUUCUCUGAAUUUUGACGUAGACCUAAACUCGGCCUUUUUGUUAUCCAAAAAUAAAUUUUUCUUUGAAAAAAAGGAUUCAUUAGGUGUCGAUCACACCAAGAAAAAAGAUUGGUGGCGACUCUCUUUUUAAAAUCAAACCUCGAUCUUUAAACUUUCAAUCAAACACCCUAAUUAGCAAUGAAGCUAAAAAAAUUUACGCCGCUACAGACGACAUGAUAAUAUAAUUUUUUUAUUGACAUAAUAACAAAUUUAGUCCACCAAUGUUUAUAGCUUCUAUCAAUUUAGUCUUGGUAUUAAAAAUUCAAAAAGAAAAAAAAAGCCUUCAACUUUGGACAUUUUAUCAAAUUAAUCUUGAUUCUAAAAAAUUCAAAAAAUAAUUUUAAAAUAAAAGAUAUUAAAAAUCCAUUUCACAAUAAAAGUACCUAAAAUUUUUAUAAAAACAUUUAAAAAUGACUCCUAUUUUAUCGACUCAAAUCACAAAGCAUUAAACAUAAAUAACUCCCGUAACCUUAUUUUCCCAUACAUGAAAUUCUAAUCCAACAUAUGUAACCUAUAAACAAAAAUAAAACUCUCUUACCUUUUUUCCAUUCACAAACCUUAUAUAACUCAUCAAAUCAAAUAAAUUGAUGGUCAAGGGUGUUCACCGCCUCAGAUGUGAUCUGAGUUUGAGUCACGUUAGUCGCGUUAGUCGCGUUGGUUGUUCGGACUUUGCCCUAUUAUUAUAAUUCACCAAAAAAAUAAACAACUCUCCAAAACCAUAUUUCGAAUAUGAACCAAAUAAAUACAAUUUUUUUUCCAACCAUAAAACUCAAAACUCCAAACUAAAGAAGCAUCAAGUUCUUGUGAUAAUUUUUAAAUUUUUUUAUUCAAAGUCUAAAAUUACCUAUAACUCUUUCUCAAGAGCGUUUAAACUCUUGUCCUCUUAUACUAAUAAUAUUAUCGAUACUAAUUAAAUUAAGACUCAACCAACAAUUUUUAAUGUUACUUUUGAUACAAAAUGAAGCAUAAAGAAAACUAGAAUCUCAUCCUACAAGCACUAGCCUGUAAGAAAGGUGAGAUACUGGCAGUUGGAGAAUCAAGAAACUGGACUCUUAUCGGGAUCUCCUACGCAAGGUUCCCCAAAUGAUAAUAUUUAUUCAUGCCUGUUCAAGCAGAAACUCAAUUUGUGUUCGUUUCUAGGGAAAAAAUAUUUAUUUAUCCUAUCAAGUUUAUUAAUUGGUAAAAAUUUAAAACUAUUAUUAAAAUAGGGUGAUAUUUAUUAUCCUUUAUGUGACAGCCCAAAAUUGACCCUAGUCGGGAAGUGGUUUCGGGACCACUAAACCGAGUCAUAAAAAUAAUUAACCGUCAUAAUUGAUGCUCAUUAUAUGUACAUGUGCAUGUGUGAAAAUUUCGUGUUUGAAUUUUGUUAAUUGUAAGUGAAUUUUAUCAAAUAGGACUUAUGUGAGAAAAUUUUGAAAUGUGCUAGGCAAAUGCAAAGUGGCCUAUUAAUGCAUAUUGUGAAAAUGAUGGGUUUGCAUGUCAAUUUACCCAAAUUAAGGCAUAGUGGCCGGCCAUGCUAUGAGUGGAAACAUGUCACAAACAUGUUAUGUGAGUGAGGUAUGUUAGGAAAAAUAAAAUAAGGAGUAUGGGUAAUAAAGAAAUGGAAAAAAAAAUGUGUGGUUGUUUCCCCCCCCAUUGCCGUGAGUUAAAGAAAAGAAAAGAAAAAAUUUUGUUCAUCCUUUUUCAUCUUCUUUUGGCCGAAAAUUCUAAGGAAGGAGGAAGGAGUUCUUGCUUCAUGUUUGGUUUGGAAGAGGAUUAGGAGGAGGUUUGACCAUACUUGUAUCUAGAUCAAGGUAUGUUUGAGGUUGUGCCAUGAGAUUCAUGCAUGUUUUUAGUUGCUAGCUUGAGUUCUAAUUAGCCCAUGGUUCAAAUCUUUGCUAUGUCAUGGGGAUGAUAUUCGGCCUAGGUGGAUUUUGUGUUAAUGCCAUUGCAUGCUAAAUAUGAAGCUUGUUAAUGAUGCAUGUGAUGGUGGAUUGAUGAUUCUUGAAUCUUCUUUUUAGCAUUUUUGAGUGAGCACAUAUGUGCAUUGGUUGCUAGAUGGAGAAGAAUCGGCUAGCAAGUUGUGUGCUAAGGCCGAAUAUAAUUUUUGUAUAUUAAUGAGUAAUGCAUGUGUUAAAUUGAUGGAAAGGGAGAGGAUGCUUUACUAGUGUAUAUAUGUGUGUAUUAGCCAAGUUUUGAACUUGAAACAAAAUGGUGUUUAGUCAAUACAAGUAACCAUACUUGUAGAAUGUAUUAAGUGUUGCAAUCGGCCCCAACAUAGACAUGUAUGUUCGGCCACAUGAAUAAGUACAUAAGCUAUGUGUAUGUUCGGCCAUAGGUAGCCUAUUGAUGGCUUUAGCUUGACUUAGAAAAUUCGGCUAAGGGGAAAUAUUAGCUAGUAGGUUGAAUUCGAUUCGUGAUUUCGUACACAUGUGACUCUAAUGUCUAAUGUAUAUAUGGGCUAAGUACCUUGAGCUUCUCUUUUGAUGUUCGAAUGAAUUGUAUUAAAUUGCUUGAUGUGAUUAAAAAUGCGUAUGACCAUUGUGUAUUUGAGCUAAAAGGGUGGCCAUAUGACCUAUCAAACUCCUUGUCAUAUUCGGCCAUAAGCUAGCAAAAGGAGACUUUAAUGAGUUAAAUUUGUUUGAAUUAGCUCAAGAGCUUAGAGGACCCCAGUUGGAUAAGGGAAAGGAAAAAGUGGUCGAGUAGCCAUCGGAAUCGUUCGACAACAUCCGAGGUAAGUUCUUGAGUAAAAGAGCUUAAAUUAUGAUUUGAUUAGAUCAUGUUUUAAGCAAAUCAAAAUCAUGCUCCUUGUGUGUGGCUAUUGAGCCGAAAUUGCAAGAAUGAUAAGUGUCUUGUGUUUGAGUUUUGCUAACGAAAACGAAAUACGAAUGUGCCAUGAUUUAUUGUUAAAUGUGCAUGGUUAUUUGAAUGAUGUCCGGGCUAAGUCCCGAAGGCUUUGUGCUAAGUGACCAAAUCCGGGUUAAGUCCCGAAGGCAUUUGUGCGAGUUACUAAAUUCGGGUUAAGUCCCGAAGGCAUUUGUGCGAGUUACCAUAACCGGGCUAUGUCCCGAAGGCAUUUGAACGAGUAGCUAUAUCCGGUUAAAUUCCGAAGGUACGUGAUUUAGGAAUGAAUGAUCUUGCUGUAAAAAUUUCAGUUAAUACGCUUGAAACAUCCCAACAUUGAGGUAUGUUUCGUAUGUGCUUUGAAUUAGUUGAGCCCUUACAAAUAAGUAUUCGCUCAGUUGAUAAAUGAGCUACCGGCCUUUGGCUAAGUUGAUCUUUGUGUAUGAAUAAAAGGGUUGGUAAUGUGAAGUAAGUAUGAUAUUGAAAAAUUGUGCAUAUGAAAUUAUCCGUUUAGCUACAUGAAUGCUAUACUUUUGUUGUGCUGGAAUCCCUUGCUCAAAACUUACUAAGCAUAAAUUGCUUACUCCGUCUCCUUGAUUCUCUGUUUUAUAGAUUUUGGUUCUCCAUCUACCGGACUCGGGAUUUAGAAGUCGAAGUCGCCCACACUAUCAAAGCCCCCCCCUUUUGGUACAAUUUUGGUUGAACUUCGAAAUGGCAUGUAUAGGACUACCCUUUUUGUUGGGGGUCAUGGACCCUUUGGACUUGUAUAAUUUUGGAUAGCCAUGCGAAAAUGGCUUAUAUAUGUUUGAGUAUAAUGUUAUAAUCAUUUGGUAUGGAUAUGGUUAUUGAGAGGUGUGGAUAUGCUUAACAAGGAUUGGCCAUGGGAAUGGUUAAUCACUAUCAUAAUUUGUGCUAUUUAUGCUAAAAGGGUUAGUUGAAUCAGGAAACUAUGAAAUAGGUAAAGUCUACCUUAAAGGCAGAUGCUGACAGCAGCAGUGAUGUAGAUUUGGAAAAUCACUAAAAAUAGUAGGAAGGGAAUUAAAUAGUGAAUAAAAUAUGUAAACGAACCUUGAUGAAUCUAUUUUCAUAGGAAAGUAACGAAACGAUCAUAUGGACAGUAUGUUAAGAGAUAUUCAGGUUCUCGUAAGACAGGGCCAGAACGAUUUCUGGAUUCCCUGUUUCGACUUUGGAAAUUCAUUAUAAAUUAACCAGAGAUAAUUAGGAGUCAUGCCAUAUAUUUAUAGAUUCCACUUUGAGUCUAGUUUCUAUAGAAACAAACGACAUCAGUAUUGAAGCCCUGUACAGGGAGAUAUCCAAGUCGUAAUGCGCGAAGGUCUGUGUAGUCGAUCCCUGUAACAUAGGAGACUUUGACUAAUAAACUGUACUAAUUGGCCCAACCAAAAAUUCUAGAAAAAAAUAUGUAGAUGGGAAUAUGCGUUUAGUUUCAGGGAAAAUUUACAGAACUGGAUUCUGAGUUUCUGAACUCAAGAUAUGAUUUUUAAAGCGACAAGUACGCAGAUUGGCAGUGUCUGGGAAAUUUGUUUAUAAGUGGUUAAAGUCUGUUAACACCUCGUGUUCGACUCCGGUGACGGUCUCGGGUUCGGGGUGUUACAUUUGAUUGGUAUCAGAGCUACGGUUUAGUCGAUUCUAGGACUACCGUAAUGCGUUGGGUUUAGCUAUACAUGCCAUUUUAUGUGAUUAUUUGAUAGUGUGGUGAUUUCUGACAAUUGUAAAUGUGUUUAUUUAUAGUAAUGGAUCCCGAUCCCAACCGAGCGGUAGCUGAUGAUCUUGAGAGUGUAGCGCCUGCUCCCGCACAAGGGACAGCGCCGGCGGACUCUCAACCUAAUGCUAGUAACCCGAAUGAUGAAGCUAGACAAGCUUUCUAUAGCGUGAUGAAUGAUUGGUUCAACCAAUACAUUCGAACUAAUACGGCUGUUCCACAACCUCCAUUCCCGACUAAUACCACCCCCGCACCUACAAUACCUCCGGAAACUGACCAAAUAAGGUCAAAUAAGCCCCCAGUUGACAGAAUCCGAAAACAUGGGGCUACUGAAUUUAAAGCUACGGAUAGCGACGAUGCCGAGCAAGCUGAAUUUUGGUUGGACAACACUAUCCGGGUACUCGAUGAGCUAUCUUGUACACCCGAUGAAUGCCUAAAGUGUACUAUCUCCUUGCUACGCGAUUCUGCCUACUAUUGGUGGAGUACUCUGACUUCUGCUGUGCCCCGAGAGCAAGUAACUUGGGAGUUUUUCCAAACUGAGUUUCGGAAAAAGUAUAUCAGUCAGAGAUUUGUUGAUAAAAAACGGAAGGAAUUUCUUGAACUUAAGCAAGGUUCUAUGUCAGUUACUGAUUACGAGCGAAAAUUUGUUAGACUUAGUAGGUACGCUCGGGAAUGUGUUUCGUCCGAGGCUAUCAUGUGUAAACGCUUCGAGGAUGGGCUGAAUGAAGAUAUAAAAAUGUUCGUGGGCAUUCUUGAAAUACGAGAGUUCGUAGUACUUGUCGAGCGAGCUUGUAAAGUCGAAGAGCUUAGAAAAGAAAAACAAAAAGUUGAUGUGGGAACUGGAGAGUUUCGUAAAAGAUUCUCGGGAAAGUCUCUUCAACAGGCAUCGAAGAAAUUUCGAGAUGAUGUGGGCUGGUCUAGAGGCACUUCGGGCCUUUUUAGACGAGAUCGUGACCGACCCCCUGUGGGUACACGAGGCACUUCGGUCGCCAGUGUUGGGAAUGAACGUCGAGACAGAACGAAAUGUCGAUAUUGCGGUAAAUGGCAUUCGGGGAGUUGUAGAUUCCCUGACCGCUCCUGUUACAAGUGCGGAUCAGUUGACCACUUCAUUAAAGAUUGCCCGAGAUUGUCUGAACAGAAUGUAAAUCAGAGUGGGAAACCGGGUUCUACCACUGCUCAAGGUAGACCAUCUGGAAAUACGGGCAAUGCUAGUGGUGGUCAGAGAGGAUCUAGAGAUGCUACGACCAGAUCCGAGGCUCGUGCCCUGCUAGAGCUUAUGCUAUACGUGCCCGCGAGGAUGCUUCUUCGCCUGAUGUUAUUACCGGUACUUUUACUCUCUUUGAUACUAAUGUAAUUGCUUUGAUUGACCCCGGUUCUACUCAUUCUUACAUAUGUGAAACCUUAGCAUCCAGUAAGACUUUACCUAUUGAGUCUACUGAGUUCGUAAUUCGGGUGUCAAAUCCCUUGGGUCGUUACGUGCUUGUCGACAAAGUGUGUAAGAAAUGUCCCCUAGUAAUUCGAGGUUCCUGUUUUCCGGCGGACUUGAUGCUUUUGCCGUUUGGUGAAUUUGAUGUUAUUCUUGGUUUGGAUUGGUUGACCGUGCAUGAUGCGGUUGUGAAUUGCAAAAGCAAGACUAUUGAUUUGAGGUGCGCAAAUAACGAGAUGAUCCGAGUUGAGUCUACGGACUUAAAGGGGUUGUCAGCUGUAAUAUCCUCAAUGUUGGCCCAGAAAUAUGUAAGAAAAGGGUGCGAAGCAUACCUUGCGUAUGUACUUGAUGACAAAGAAUUAGAAAAGAAACCCGAAUCUGUGCCGGUGGUUUGUGAAUACCCGGAUGUUUUUCCUGAAGAAUUACCGGGUUUACCACCUGUUCGGGAGAUAGAGUUUGGUAUUGAGCUUGUACCUGGGACUACGCCGAUUUCGAUAGCUCCGUAUCGCAUGGCACCAACCGAGUUAAAAGAGUUGAAAGCUCAGUUGCAAGAAUUGACGGAUAGAGGUUUUUCUCGACCAAGUUUCUCACCUUGGGGUGCACCAGUAUUGUUCGUGAAAAAGAAGGACGGAACCAUGAGGUUGUGCAUUGACUAUCGUCAACUGAAUAAAGUGACGAUAAAGAAUAAAUAUCCGUUACCGCGUAUUGAUGAUUUGUUUGAUCAACUAAAAGGAGCCUCAGUGUUCUCAAAAAUAGAUUUGAGAUCGGGCUAUUAUCAGUUGCGAAUUCGAGAUUCGGACAUACCCAAAACUGCCUUCAAAACGAGAUAUGGUCACUACGAAUUCUUAGUGAUGCCGUUUGGGCUCAAUAAUGCCCCUGCGGUAUUUAUGGAUUUGAUGAAUCGGAUCUUCAGACCAUAUUUGGAUCGGUUCGUAGUUGUGUUCAUUGAUGACAUCUUGGUCUAUUCAAGAGAUGAGACCGAACAUGCUGAGCACCUGAGACUAGUGUUGCAAAUUUUGCGGGAUAAGCAGUUAUAUGCUAAGUUCAGUAAGUGUGAGUUCUGGUUAAGAGAGGUUAGCUUCUUGGGUCAUGUGGUAUCCGCAUCGGGUAUUCGAGUUGACCCGAACAAAAUUUCAGCCAUACUUAACUGGAUACCUCCGAGAAAUAUUACUGAGGUUCGGAGCUUUUUGGGACUCGCCGGUUAUUACUGACGAUUUGUCAAAGGUUUCUCGAUGAUAGCCACACCAAUGACGAAGCUACUUCAAAAGGAUGUUAAGUUCGAAUGGACGGAGAAAUGUCAGAAAAGUUUCGAUCAACUGAAAACUUAUUUGACUGAAGCUCCAAUUUUAGUGCAACCCGAAUCAGGCAAAGAGUUUGUCAUUUAUAGUGACGCAUCCCUACUUGGGUUGGGUUGCGUAUUGAUGCAAGAAGGUCGAGUGGUGGCCUAUGCGUCGAGACAAUUAAAGCCACAUGAGAAAAAUUAUCCGACCCAUGAUCUUGAACUAGCUGCCAUCGUAUUUGCUUUAAAAAUAUGGCGACAUUACUUAUUUGGUGAAAAGUGCCAUGUAUUUUCGGAUCACAAAAGUCUCAAAUAUUUGAUGACUCAAAGAGACUUAAAUCUGCGACCAAGACGUUGGCUUGAGUUGUUGAAAGAUUACGAGCUUGUCAUUGAUUACCACCCGGGAAAGGCUAAUGUGGUUGCGGACGCCUUAAGCCGGAAAUCAUUGUUUGCUUUACGAGCGAUGAAUGUGCACUUGUCUAUUCUACCCGACAAUGUGUUAGUAGCUGAAUUAAAAGCCAAACCAUUAUUGAUUCAUCAAAUUCGUGAAGCCCAGAAAGUUGAUGAUGAAUUGGUUGCAAAACGGGCUGAGUGUGUUCCGAACAAGGAAUCGGAGUUUCAAAUUGAUGAUGAUGAUUGUUUGAGGUUUAGAAGUCGUUUGUGUGUUCCAAGGAAUUCGGAACUCAUUUCGAUGAUUCUGAACGAAGCCCAUUGUAGCCGAAUGUCAAUUCACCCGGGGAGUACGAAAAUGUACAACGAUUUGAAAUGUCGGUUUUGGUGGCAUGGUAUGAAACGAGACAUCUCCGACUUUGUUUCGAGAUGUUUAAUAUGUCAACAAGUGAAAGCAGAACAUCAAGUGCCUUCAGGAUUACUUCAGCCGAUCAUGAUACCCGAGUGGAAAUGGGAUCGAGUCACAAUGGACUUUGUGUCCGGACUACCAUUGUUAGCAAGUAAGAAAGAUACGAUUUGGGUUGUUGUCGAUAGACUGACUAAGUCGGCUCACUUUAUCCCCGUGCGUACGGAUUUUUCAUUGGAUAAACUAGCUGAAUUGUACGUUUCUCAGAUUUUGAGAUUACACGGGGUACCUAUUUCUAUCGUGUCGGAUAGAGAUCCGAGAUUCACCUCACGAUUUUGGAGGAAAUUGCAAGAAGCUUUGGGUACCAAGCUGCAUUUUAGCACUGCUUUUCACCCCCAAACCGAUGGUCAAUUUGAGCGGAUAAUUCAGAUACUUGAGGAUAUGUUGAGAUGUUGCAUCCUCGAGUUCAGUAGUUCAUGGGAACGGUAUUUACCUUUGAUUGAAUUCGCUUACAACAAUAGUUUUCAAUCAAGUAUUAAGAUGGCACCUUACGAGGCUUUGUACGGUUGUAAAUGCCGUACACCAUUAUUUUGGACCGAGCUCGGUGAAAGUAAAAUUUUCGGAGUUGAUUUGAUUAAAGAUGCCGAACAGAAAGUAAAGGUAAUCCGUGAAAGUCUGAAGGCAGCCACAGAUCGUCAAAAAUCGUAUGCGGAUUUGAAACGAAAAGACAUUGAAUAUCAGGUGGGAGAUAAAGUGUUUCUUAAAGUUUCACCUUGGAAAAAGGUACUCAGAUUUGGCCGUAAGGGCAAGUUGAGCCCGAGAUUCAUUGGGCUGUACGAAAUCUCUGAACGAGUUGGUCCGGUUGCGUAUAGAUUGAUUUUGCCCCCUGAACCUGAAAAGAUUCACGAUGUCUUUCAUGUUUCGAUGCUUCGACGUUAUAGAUCUGAUCCGUCACAUGUGAUUAAUCCCUCAGAAGUUGAAAUUCAAUCUGACUUGAGUUAUGAAGAAGAACCGAUUCGUAUCCUAGCUCGUGAAGUGAAAGAGUUGCGAAACAAAAGGGUUCCGUUAGUUAAGGUGUUAUGGCUCAAACAUGGGAUCGAGGAAGCUACUUGGGAAACCGAGAGCUCGAUGAAAGAACGAUACCCAAACCUAUUUACCGGUAAGAUUUUCGAGGACAAAAAUUUCUUAAGUGGGGGAGAGUUGUGACAGCCCAAAAUUGACCCUAGUCAGGAAAUGGUUUCGGGACCACUAAACCGAGUCAUAAAAAUAAUUAACCGUCAUAAUUGAUGCUCAUUAUAUGUACAUGUGCAUGUGUGAAAAUUUCGUGUUUGAAUUUUGUUAAUUGUAAGUGAAUUUUAUCAAAUAGGACUUAUGUGAGAAAAUUUUGAAAUGUGCUAGGCAAAUGCAAAGUGGCCUAUUAAUGCAUAUUGUGAAAAUGAUGGGUUUGCAUGUCAAUUUACCCAAAUUAAGGCAUAGUGGCCGGCCAUGCUAUGAGUGGAAACAUGUCACAAACAUGUUAUGUGAGUGAGGUUUGUUAGGAAAAAUAAAAUAAGGAGUAUGGGUAAUAAAGAAAUGGAAACAAAAAAAAAUGUGUGGUUGUUUCCCCCCCAUUGCCGUGAGUUAAAGAAAAGAAAAGAAAAAUUUUGUUCAUCCUUUUUCAUCUUCUUUUGGCCGAAAAUUCUAAGGAAGGAGGAAGGAGUUCUUGCUUCAUGUUUGGUUUGGAAGAGGAUUAGGAGGAGGUUUGGCCAUACUUGUAUCUAGAUCAAGGUAUGUUUGAGGUUGUGCCAUGAGAUUCAUGCAUGUUUUUAGUUGCUAGCUUGAGUUCUAAUUAGCCCAUGGUUCAAAUCUUUGCUAUGUCAUGGGGAUGAUAUUCGGCCUAGGUGGAUUUUGUGUUAAUGCCAUUGCAUGCUAAAUAUGAAGCUUGUUAAUGAUGCAUGUGAUGGUGGAUUGAUGAUUCUUGAAUCUUCUUUUUAGCAUUUUUGAGUGAGCACAUAUGUGCAUUGGUUGCUAGAUGGAGAAGAAUCGGCUAGCAAGUUGUAUGCUAAGGCCGAAUAUAAUUUUUGUAUAUUAAUGAGUAAUGCAUGUGUUAAAUUGAUGGAAAGGGAGAGGAUGCUUUACUAGUGUAUAUAUGUGUGUAUUAGCCAAGUUUUGAACUUGAAACAAAAUGGUGUUUAGUCAAUACAAGUAACCAUACUUGUAGAAUGUAUUAAGUGUUGCAAUCGGCCCCAACGUAGACAUGUAUGUUCGGCCACAUGAAUAAGUACAUAAGCUAUGUGUAUGUUCGGCCAUAGGUAGCCUAUUGAUGGCUUUAGCUUGACUUAGAAAAUUCGGCUAAGGGGAAAUAUUAGCUAGUAUGUUGAAUUCGAUUCGUGAUUUCCUACACAUGUGACUCUAAUGUCUAAUGUAUAUAUGGGCUAAGUACCUUGAGCUUCUCUUUUGAUGUUCGAAUGAAUUGUAUUAAAUUGCUUGAUGUGAUUAAAAAUGCGUAUGACCAUUGUGUAUUUGAGCUAAAAGGGUGGCCAUAUGACCUAUCAAACUCCUUGUCAUAUUCGGCCAUAAGCUAGCAAAAUGAGACUUUAAUGAGUUAAAUUUGUUUGAAUUAGCUCAAGAGCUUAGAGGACCCCAGUUGGAUAAGGGAAAGGAAAAAGUGGUCGAGUAGCCAUCGGAAUCGUUCGACAACAUCCGAGGUAAGUUCUUGAGUAAAAGAGCUUAAAUUAUGAUUUGAUUAGAUCAUGUUUUAAGCAAAUCAAAAUCAUGCUCCUUGUGUGUGGCUAUUGAGCCGAAAUUGCAAGAAUGAUAAGUGUCUUGUGUUUGAGUUUUGCUAACGAAAACGAAAUACGAAUGUGCCAUGAUUUAUUGUUAAAUGUGCAUGGUUAUUUGAAUGAUGUCCGGGCUAAGUCCCGAAGGCUUUGUGCUAAGUGACCAAAUCCGGGUUAAGUCCCGAAGGCAUUUGUGCGAGUUACUAAAUCCGGGUUAAGUCCCGAAGGCAUUUGUGCGAGUUACCAUAACCGGGCUAUGUCCCGAAGGCAUUUGAACGAGUAGCUAUAUCUGGUUAAAUUCCGAAUGUACGUGAUUUGGGAAUGAAUGAUCUUGCUGUAAAAAUUUCAGUUAAUACGCUUGAAACAUCCCAACAUUGAGGUAUGUUUCGUAUGUGCUUUGAAUUAGUUGAGCCCUUACAAAUAAGUAUUCGCUCAGUUGAUAAAUGAGCUACCGGCCUUUGGCUAAGUUGAUCUUUGUGUAUGAAUAAAAGGGUUGGUAAUGUGAAGUAAGUAUGAUAUUGAAAAAUUGUGCAUAUGAAAUUAUCCGUUUAGCUACAUGAAUGCUAUACUUUUGUUGUGCUGGAAUCCCUUGCUCAAAACUUACUAAGCAUAAAUUGCUUACUCCGUCUCCUUGAUUCUCUGUUUUAUAGAUUUUGGUUCUCAGCUAUCGGACUCGGGAUUUUGAAGUCGAAGUCGCCCACACUAUCAAAGCCCCCCCUUUUGGUACAAUUUUGGUUGAACUUCGAAAUGGCAUGUAUAGGACUACCCUUUUUGUUGGGGGUCAUGGACCCUUUGGACUUGUAUAAUUUUGGAUAGCCAUGCGAAAAUGGCUUAUAUAUGUUUGAGUAUAAUGUUAUAAUCAUUUGGUAUGGAUAUGGUUAUUGAGAGGUGUGGAUAUGCUUAACAAGGAUUGGCCAUGGGAAUGGUUAAUCACUAUCAUAAUUUGUGCUAUUUAUGCUAAAAGGGUUAGUUGAAUCAUGGAAACUAUGAAAUAGGUAAAGUCUACCUUAAAGGCAGAUGCUGACAGCAGCAGUGAUGUAGAUUUGGAAAAUCACUAAAAAUAGUAGGAAGGGAAUUAAAUAGUGAAUAAAUUAUGUAAACAAACCUUGAUGAAUCUAUUUUCAUAGGAAAGUAACGAAAUGAUCAUAUGGACAGUAUGUUAAGAGAUAUUCAGGUUCUCGUAAGACAGGGCCAGAACGGUUUCUGGAUUCCCUGUUUCGACUUUGGAAAUUCAUUAUAAAUUAACCAGAGAUAAUUAGGAGUCAUUCCAUAUAUUUAUAGAUUCCUCUUUGAGUCUAGUUUCUAUAGAAACAAACGACAUCAGUAUUGAAUCCCUGUACAGGGAGAUAUCCAAGUCGUAAUGCACGAAGGUCAGUGUAGUCGAUCCCUGUAACAUGGGAGACUUUGACUAAUAAACUGUACUAAUUGGCCCAACCAAAAAUUCUAGAAAAAAUAUGUGGAUGGGCAUAUGAGUCUAGUUUCAGGGAAAAUUUACAGAACUGGAUUCCGAGUUUCUGAACUCAAGAUAUGAUUUUUAAAGCGACAAGUACGCAGAUUGGCAGUGUCUGAGAAAUUUGUUUAUAAGUGGUUAAAGUCUGUUAACACCUCGUGUUCGACUCCGGUGACGGUCUCGGGUUCGGGGUGUUACACUUUAAAUGUUAUUAUUUUUAUUAAUAUUUUCAAAUUAAAUUUAAGUUUUUAUAUUGAUAUAAUAUAAUAACAACUAUUUUAAUAAUAUUUUUAUUAAAAAACGUAUAAAUAAAUUUAGUAUAUAGUAUUAUAACGUGCAUAACACGUGUCAUUAAAUUUAGUAACAUAUAUAUUGAGAUCAGGUCCAUGUAAGGUAUCUAAAUUAAUUUUUCAAGUUCGGACUCGGCCUGAAAAUGGGCUUACUUUUUUGUCCAAACCCGACCCAAUUUAAGAAAGAUAAAUCUGGACCCGACCUAGCUCACCUAUAUUUGAUUUUUAUAUAUUUUUAUUUUAAAAUAAAUUUUUAAAAAAUAUAAUACACUAUAUGCACUACAGAACGCUAAAAUAAAAGUUUUGCAACACAUUAAAAAGUAUUUAUAUUAAAAAACACUGUCAAGCCUUUUAAGGUCUGUCGUCUAGCAUGUUUUUGUUUCUCUUUGUCUGUCCAUUGUGACAUAUUCCUUUCUUUAUGGUAUAUGUUUGGUUUUGGUUUUGGUUUUGAUUCUAGUCAUCUUCAACACAUGGCUAGGGUUUUUUGGAGUAAGAUUGUGGGGCUAAAUCAAUGGAAAAUGAUUUAACGAGGUUAAGGAUUGAGGAAGAUGAGGAGGAGGUAUGGAAAUUCAAUGGGGAGGGUGGAAAAAAUACACCGAGGUACGAACAUUGUCUGGUUGCUUGCUUUUUUACGGUAAGUGUGGUACACUUUUUGGUAAUGCGAAACACAAUGGCAAAUCUAUGGCAUCCACUUGGGGAGUUUUAAUUUCAGAUCUGGGGGAGAAGAGAUAUCAGUUUAAGUUCUAUCAAAAACUAAAUAUUGAUAGAAUUUAAAAUGGGGCACCAUGGACUUUUAAUAAUAAACUGUUGCUCUUUCACUAGUUAGUUGAGAACAAGAAUCAGCUAGAAGUUCCUUUGGUUUUAUCUUAUUUUUGGGUUUGAAAACAUGAUCUCCCACAUUGUUUCUUCUCAGAAGGAAUAACAAAAUAGUUUGGGGAGUUUUUGGGGAAGUUUAUGGAGUAUGACACAAAGCAUAUCAGUGGUGGUUUUAGGAACUAUAUGAGGAUUGGGGUUUUAAUCGAUGUGAGAAUUCCCUUAAAACGACACAAGAGAAUUAUGGUCUCUUCCUCAAAACAGGUUUAUGUGAAGUUCAAAUAUGAGAAAUUAACAUUGUUUUGUUUUUUAUGUAGAUGUUUGGGCCAUAGUGACAAAUUUUGUCCGAUAAGGCUAAGAGAAGGGGGGAGUGAGUUUGAGAUAAGAUAGGAUCUUUCAUUGUGAGCAAACACUAGAAGAGCCACUACUAUAAAAAGUGUAUGGUUAAAAGAGGACGACAAUGCAUAUUUUCCAAGGUUUUGGAGGUAUGGGCAAGGGUUUGAGAAAGAAGGUAGGGAAGGAAUUAUGAUGCUCGAUAUUAUGAAUCUGAUCACUUACAAAAUAUUGAUUUAACGGGAUUUAAAGACAUUGAUAUGGAAAGCAUCAUCAAAUACUUAACUGAAAACUGAGGAGAAUGGAACCUCUGACCAGAUACCGGACUUCUAACAAAUUUCAAUCAAGCUAUAAUGUUUCCAAUAGCUAAAAUAUGGAUAAAAUUUAUUUUCACAAGACUCACCCCUCCUCUUAAUGUUUCUAAUGUCAAUACUUUUCGAGCAGUUUUUUCUAUAUGGAAUUUUGCAAAAACGGUAGAUAUGCAUUGGGGAAUAGAUCCAUCACAACAUGAAGCAUUGUGUGAGUGGCCAGAAAGUUGGAAUUUCUUUCCCCAUCUUGUGAUAGCACUUUACAAGAACACAGAGGUUCCAAUGGAAGAGAACAAGCAAUUUUUGCAGCCAAAAAGGAGUUUAAUUGGUGAUUCUAUGUACAUUCAAUACGUAGAACUCAAUCGAAAAGCAGUUUAUUGAUUGGAACCAAAGGAGAAAAAAAAGAUAGAUGUCCUAGCUUCGCUCAAAAGGAAGGUAAAAUCAAAAUCUCGAAAAGAGGCAGGUGGGAGUAGUGAGGAAACACUAGACAGAAUGAUAAGAUGGAUGCAAAAAACGGGCCCAGUACUACAAGAAUUUGCACGAAAAAAUAGCUUGAGGAUUCCAAAUUAUCCGCAAGGCAUGUUCGGUCCGAUGCAAACCUAUCAAAAAGAAGAAGAGGUGAAAGAUGAGGAGACGAACUUGGAAGAGGAUGAUGAGGCGAUGGAGUAGGAUUUCCAAAAAGAGGAGGACGAUUAUGAGGCGACAUUCUAGCCAUAGUAUUCCAUGCCAAAGUUCCUAUCAUUCAUAGCCCGACACGAUAGGCAAAUCUGUUGGGUGGUGGCUAUUUCCAAAGAAAUAUCUCGGGGAAGGGGAAAACAUCUAUGGAGAGGGGCAAUUACCCAUUUUGAGGAUUCGUAUGAUGAUUAAACAGAACCUUUUAUUUUAAAAGAUUGUAAUUAAUUUUGGGAUAAUUUUUAUUUGUUAUUUUUAGGAGUAGAAUUAACAGUAGAUUGUUAUUUGUUUUAUUUUUCUAUUCUAAGUUUUUUGUGUAGGAACUCUACAUGAAAGAAACACAACAAUUAGAGCUUUCAACAACAAAUGGAAGGGAGCACCCACUAAUAAUUAUGGAACUACAACAACCAAUCAUGUAACUUCUUUUCAUAUCUUUUUAGGGCCACACAUUGAGGACAAUGUGUUAUCUAAAGUGUGAGAGGUAACAUAGAAAAUUUAUUUUAAUUUUUAUGAUUUUCUUUAAUUUUUAUUGUCAAUUGUAUGCUUGAGUUGUAGAAAUGCAAGAGAUUGGUUAGGAGCAUGUAUAUAGGUUGAUUAUAUUUAUUAUAAAUUUGGCAUGAUAGUAGAUGAUUCUAAAUUUUUUAUUAUUAGACUAUUAAGUUCUAUAUAUUACACUGUAAAUAGGCAUUGAGCUAUUAAAUCUACCAAAUGAUAUAGAGAAUACAAGGAAACGAACAGACUAGUAUGUAUGAUAGAUUGUUGAAUUUGUGAUUGUUAGGUUGAUUAAAUUUGUGAAUACUGAGAUACUUAGGGAUGACCUAAGGCAUUUUUUGGUAUACACCCAGAGCCAAAAUGCUAACCCUAUUUAUUCAUCUUUAGUACCUAUAUUUGAGCCAGAAAACACUUCUUAAUGAACCUCCAUACAAAACCCGAGCAAAAAACGUUAAUUUUUAUUUGUUCUCUUUCUUUGGUCCCGAACUACACGAUUAUAUAUGUCUGGCCAUACGUAUUGAAGGUUAAGUAAAUACAUCAUGGUGGAUUUUGUAAAAAUAAGAGAGAAAUAAAAAGGAUCAGUGUAAUAUAGUAAUUAUAGGAUAGCCUAUGUGUGCGAAACAAAAGAAAAAAAAUAAAAAUAAAAUCAAAACGAGUAGAAAAAGUGCGUGUAAAAUAAAAACAUUUGGGAGUGGUAAUGAAAAAAGAAAAAAAAGGUGACAAAGUCACAAAAAUAGAAGAACUGAUUCAUUAGUGCACAUGAACUCGUGAGCUAGCCAUAGUUGUUGUAUUGUGCUGUGAUUUCCUAUAUGGAGAAAUAAGGAAGGUAAGAGAAGGAGAAACAAAGUGAUGUGAAGGUAAGGGUCAAUAAGGGGGAGAAUAGGAAACAGUAUGAUGUGCCAAACUAUUUUCUUGCUUGAAACUAUUUUGAUGCUUACCAUUCUUGAAUUCUAUACCUGUCCUAAGCUUCAGAAUAUUACAAGCUGAAAAGCCCUAUAUGAUCUAGAUAGACUUAUUCAUGAAUUAUUUGCAUUUACGAUUGUUUGUAUUGUGCUAGGAUAAUCAAAUUACUUGUAUAAUCUAUUGAUGGAUCCAUAUAUUUGAAAAACUUAAUGUUUGUAUACUUUGUAAUAUACUGAACUUAGGCACUUGAUAUUAAAAGUGGUAAAUCAACUAUAUAUCAUGUUAAGAUUAUUUGUAAAUAUGAAAUUCCUAGUUAUGUGCUCCAAAACUAAGGUUUGUACUAUACUUGCUCAAGGAUCGUCUUUUAAUUUGUUCUUUUUUUUUUUGCCUUGCUUGAGGACAAGCAAUGACUUAAGUAUAGGGGAGUUUGAUUUGCUGUAAUACGGUGUAGCAGACUAAACUAGUUUUCGCACUUGAUGAGCUUGAAUACGAGCAUUUUCAUUAUGUUUUAAUUAAUGUUUUCAUAGUUUAGUCUAAAUACAAUAAAAAGUGUAUUAUGAGUCUUUUAUUAACCUUAGAGGCCAAAUGAAGCCUAAAAGUGAGCAAAUAUACUUAGUGAGUGUGCAAAAGACCAUUAAAGGGUGUAUAAAAUCAAUAUUGGUCAUUGUGUUACAACACAAGAAGUUUGAUAUUGCAAAAUAGGGAGCAGAAUAUAAGAAUAUUGAGACUGCUUUCGCUGUGGCAACACAGCCAUAGGAUGUCGCGACAUACCCCUGAAGCAACCCUGAACCUAAGCAUAUUGCCUUUAAUCUCCUGACAUAGGCACUAGGGUGUCACGACAUCGGGUGUCACGAAAUCGGUCCUUUACGAGAAAUAUUUACCAGCUAGGGGUGUUUUAGUCUGCACAAUCAAAUAUUUAACACAAGAACGUCAGCUGACCUAGAGUUGGGGAUGACGACAACCUAAAUCUAUAAAUAGGUUCAUUUGGAAUUUUUUAUGGACGACUUUUAUAUUCUAAGUUUUUCUUUGUAAAUUUAGUCUUUAGUUUUUCCUUUCCUUUAGCAUUUAGGCUUAUUUUAGUUAUUUUUUAUUUCAUGUUUAUCGAAGAAUGUGAGUUGUAACAACGAUCAAACUAUUUUGGAUUCUGUACUUCAACCAAUACAAUCUUGAUUUAUUAUUCAUGCUUAUCUUUAUGAUCAAGAUUAUUGUGUUCAUGAGAUCCACAAGAAGCUAAUCCUUUUCUGGGGAAUUAGUGAGUGGAGGUGGGAUUAAUUAAUUACUAUAUAGCUUUUUCUUAGCAGAUCAACUAUUUAGGAGAAGAAGAAUUUAAACCCUAUGCUUGACAACCCUAGAAAGUCAUUUAGGUGGGAAUUAACCUAAAAUUGGUAUGACCUAUCUGUAAACACCUUAGCCCCAAACCGGUCUAGACUAUGAGGUCGAGAUAUAAGUAGUUCUUAUUGAAUCAUUAGUUUAGUAGAAAAUCGAGAGAUCCUGCUAAGGUAGUGACUAGUUGAUUGAGUAGAAACCGAAAAUAAGAAUUAGUUAUGAUCACCAAAGUAAGCUAAUCACCCAUACGUGGAUUUGAUUAAGUUAGAAUUUAGUUUUCCAAAGUUACUUUCAUUUUUUUAUUUUUAUUCCAUUAGUUAUAAAAACCCCAAAAUAUUCUUUUCACGUUUUAUUGUACUAUAAUUCAUUUAAACUACUAAUUACUUCUAUUUGCAUUUAGGUUGACAUUAAUUUAAUACUCCCCUCCCUUGGGUACGAUCCUCAGAGUACUUGUAAACUCCAAAAUAUAUACAUAUUUAAACACUCUUUUAUUUAUAAAUUAUGCUAAUUUUAAGUACAAAUACAACACUGUAACACCCCUCACCCCUAUUCAAUGCCAGAAUAGGGUUAUAGAGUAUUACCGAACUUAGCACACAUUUAAACAUACAUCUUUCAUACAAUUAAUCAAUUCGUGAGAAAUCCAAUCACAAUUAAAUAUUUCAUCCUUAAUGCAAGCCUACGAAGCCCUUAACUAGCCCGUGUGCCCUAAAAAUGGCCAUACACUCCUGUGUGCCAGGCCGUGCCAAACCUAUAGGGUAUACUGGCUUAUGCCACACGACCAAGUCACACGCCCGUGUGUGAGGCCGUGUGGAGCAUACUAACUUGAUUUUAAUUUCAACAUCAGGGGACACACGACUGUGUACAUGACCGUGUGUCACACAUAGCUGAGACAUACGCCCAUGUCUCUACCCGUGUGGACAAAAAUAGGCUAUUUACCAAGCUAUUUUGCCACCCAAACUUGUGCGCACCAAUAUUAACCCAAAUGGUACCAAAACAUAACAUUGAAAGGCAUUUUAAUCAACUAAUUCAGCCAUAUCUUAUGCACAUUCUAUUCUCUCAUUUUCCAUGAACACAAAUCAUAAAUACAUGCUAUACCAUUUAUACCAAUUCACAUUUAUAAAUCAACUAAUUAUACACUUCUAACUUGUAUCAUUUAGCAUCAAAACCAAAAGUAUGUAACUACUCUAAAAUCAACCACUUAACAUCCUAAUCUUUAUAAUUUCCAAGCAUUAUAUAUUCAUCCAUAAACUCACAACACAAAACAUAUAUGCACAUAUUUAUACAUAACCAAAAUAACCAAUUUAAGACAACUCUCAUGACUAUAUCUACAAAUCAAAACAUAUACAUUUACAAACCAUUUCACAUGGACAAAAUUAUUAACAACCCAUAAUCAAAAUGACUCAAAAUUCCUAUACAUGCCAUAUAACCAAAACAUAAGCUUAUAAGUACCAAAUUGAUAGCUUGAUAGUGUGAUGUAGUCUCUAACGAUCCCCAAACUGAGCUAUCUUAGAAGUCACUAUAAAACAUAGAAAAUAAACAAAGUAAGCUUUAUAUCUUAGUAAGCUUAUAUGAAAUAAACUCAAUUUAAUCAUAAAUGCCCAAUUCAACAAUUAAAAUAUAUAUCAACAUAUAACUCACAUUAACUAUCAAACCUUUCAUUUACUCAAUCAUAAGAUUAAACAUAUCCUUCACAAGUUUCUUCGAUUAGAAGCUUAUACAAUUCAUGUACAUACCUGUACCAUAUCGUAUCAAUCUCAUACUCAAUCACAUCUUUCGUUUACCCAUUGAACCAUUUGGAAUACUAUCGGAUACUCAGGAAACUCGUGCCCUAAGUGCCACAUAUAUAGUUGAAGCUAUCUCAAUCAUAUAUCACAUAUAUGCUUACUCUUGAGCUAUCAAUGGGUCUGCUCAUACAAGCUGUCAGUCAAGACAUAGCAACACGGUGCUACUCACACAAGUUGUCAAGUAACCGUAACACAUGCCGGUAUACUCAGCCACUGGUAGGAAGUACAAGACUAGCAUUCAGAUUACAUAAUCAUAUUAACCCCUAAUGACAUGUCACUAGUAUCCAAAUCUAUUCUAACGUUCUACAACACCCUUAACUCAUAUUUGUCAUUGAAAUAGGGUUUCAGAGUAUUAUUGAAGCAUUCAAAACUCAUCUAGAACCCGAAUAGUAUUUCAACAAAGAUACCGCACAUUUCAAAUAUUCGGCUGGUGUAUAUGAUAACUCAUUUAGAACCCGAAUAGUAUUUUCUAGCAAAACUUGGCCCUCUCUGGAUCGUCAUCGGCUAUAGCCCUAAAUUCUUCAGCCCCAUGUUUUCUGAUUUUGUCUACCGGAGCCUUACCAAUUCUAACAAAUCUGGCAUCUUAUGGCGUUCCAUCAUUUUGUAAAGUAGGUGGGGCAGGUCGUUGAACAGCGGGAUUUGUUCUCAUAUUUUCACUAAACCAUUCAUCCAUCAAUUCAAAAAAGGCUACUUUUGCCACCUCACUUCGGCCCUCAGAUACGGGCCUUCUACUACCACUAGAUUCAGCUUACUACACGGAAGCUUGAGUAGCGCUCUCAGCUUCCUCAAUCUCGGCUCUAGCUUGGUUGGAAGAUAUUACUAUAUGAAAAUACAUUUAAAAGUGGCCAGGAGUUAUCAUACUAUCAUAAUUUAUAUAAUGGCAUGUACAGCUAGACUCGUACUUGCUAUGUUAGUCUGAGAAUCGACUAAACCGUAGCUCUGAUACUAUUAAAUUCAAAACCCUUAACCCGUAUCAGUCGUCAAAAUAGGGUUUCAAAGUAUUACCAAAACAUUUAGAAUAUUUUUAAUUAAUUUACGUAAAUUAUUAUUCAUUUUGUCGAGAUCAUACAUAUCGUUCCAUAUAUGGACCCUCAAGGCCCAAAACUAGUGUUUGAAUUAAAUCGGGACUAAAUCGAGAACUCAAGGAAUUUUUCACGAAAUUUUAAAAAAUUUCCUAGGUGCAGGGCUUACACGCCCAUGUCGUCUAGAGACACGCUCGUGCGGUCAGGCCGUGUACUACACACGCCCGUGUCCCUAACCCAUGUAACUUUCUAAUUUUUAAAGCAUGAAAAAAUUGAAGUCACAUGGCCAAGUCACACACCCGUGUGUUGGGCCAUGUGGCGAAUUUUUAUUUUUGAAAUUUAGGUGCAGUUUUAACACGGUCGUGUAACAUUCCCGUGUUCAAGGCCGUGUCAACCACAAGGCUGAGACACAUGCCCGUGUCUCUGCCCAUUUGCCCAAUUUAGAGCAUUCAGUUUCUUAUUUUUAAAAUACAGGGGGCACACGACCGUACCACAUGCCCAUGGGACACAUGGCCAAGACACACGCCCGUGUGCUUGCUCGUGUGGAAAAAAACAAGCCAAUUCCUAGCCUCAUUUUUCACCCAAAUUUACCAUGUUCCUGCACUAAAAAAUACCAAAUACAAUCCAACCAUUUCAAGCAUCCAUCUCAAACAAAUUCCAUCACUUACAAGGCAUACCACUACAUGCAUACAUGUUCAUAAUUCUAUUAUAUUAGACAUACUAAAAACAACCACUUAAUAUAUAUAUAAAGCUAGCAUAGCAUGACAUUACAUUACAAGUAUAUCAAACAACCAUUACUAGCCAUUCAAAUGGCUAGAUUACAAACAUCAUCAUCAAGCCAUAAUUGGCCAAUUAAGCUUAUACAUGCCAUUAUACCAAAAUGAGAUUUCUAUUUGUACCAAAAUGAGAUAGUGGAUAGUGUGAUGACUGCUCUGACCGACUUCCAACCUUCGCGAGCUUUGAGCACUAUAAGACAGGGAAAGAUAAAAUGGAGUAAGCAUUUUAUGCUUAGUAAGUUUGUAUAAAGGAAAAUAAACUUACCAGUUUAUUUAUUAACACAAGCACACAUAAAUAUAUAUUCCAUAUAUUUUGGGUAAGUUAUCUAAACACAUACACUUAUUCAAACAAGUUAGUCACAUAAUCUCACAUGAAUAUCAAGUAAACGUAGAUGAGCUCAUCACAUUACAAGUUCCAUAAAUUUUACACCUUUCUUUGUUUAAGAUUCAUUUUUCCGUUGAACUAUUGAAAUGCCGAUGGACUUCUGGUUAGUAUAGUCAAAAGUACCCCCUCUGGGCACAAACUUAACAAGUGCGCUCUUGAGCCACAUGUUAUGUUAUAGGAUUACCAGUCCAGGCUAAAUCCUUUUUAGGACGUAUGCUCUAAAGAGCUUAAUUUAGAUUGCCCGUCUAGGUUAAAUCCAAACUAUAACAUAUGCUCGAGCGGCUUAUAUCAAGAUUACCCGUCUGGGCUAAAUCCCUUUUACAACAUGUGGAAUAUUAUCCUUGUUCGAGCGUAUCACCUUAAUCCAUUGAAUUUUAACGUUCAACCAAAAUAUAGCAAUUUGUCCACAUAUCACAACUUAUGAUUAUUUUAUAAUGUAUGUUAUCUCAUUCACAUCAACACAAUCAUACAAUUAAAUUCAAGCAUUUAACAUACAUAGUUAAGUAACACGAACUUACCUUGAAAAUGGUUCGUUUUUAAAUUUCAACUAAUCUAAAACCUUUUGCUUUCCUCGAUCUAGUUCUGUAGUUAGUCUUUUCAGAUCUAUAUGGAUAAAUUUGACUAUUAAUCUAUCACAUUUCAUAUACAUUUGCAUUCUAUUGCAUCCUACGUAAAAUUACCAUUUUGCCCUUAUCCUUUUUAAAAAUUCCAGUUCGUCCCUAGGCUUAGAAAAUGAAAUUCAUGAAAUUUAACCCUCUUUCCAAGCCUAGCCUAAAUUUAUAAACAACAUUUACAGCACACAUUUUUCAAAAAUUUCAUAAUUUUCUAUGGGUUUUUUUACCAUUUUUCAUUUUAGUCCUUCAAUCAAGUUUUCAUGAAAAAUUGCUUUGUAAAAGUUGUUUAUCUAUAAACAAAAUUUCAUUUUCUACCAUAAAUUUCUAAUUUUCAGCAUAUUCAUCCAUGACCCAAAUUUCAUACCUUGAUAACUUUUCAAAUUAAUCCCCUAAAUAGAGAGAUUAGACUAACGCAGUUUAAAAAAUAUAAAAAUCAUUAAAAACGAGACUUGAUUUCAUACCUUUUCAUGCUUGGUAAGUUGUCUUCUUCUCUCUUAGGGUUUACAUAGAAAUUUUGGGGAAGAUGAUAUGAAAUUAGAUGAAUAUUUCUUUUUAUUUAAUUGUAAUCUUUUAAUUUUAGUGAUUUCCAACUUAGUCCCUUGCCUUUUUCUAAUUUUUCCAUGGAUGAGUCAUUAAAAUAUCUACUAACUACCCUUCAAUGGUCUAAUUACCAUAUAAGGACCUUAGUUUUUGAAUUCUAUAGCUAUUUGAUACCUAUAGCUACUAGAAUCCAACUUUUUCAUUUUAUGCAAUUUAGUCCUUUACCUAAUUAACUACACAAUCGAUAAAAUAAAAUUUUCGUAUCAAAAUUUUCAUGUGACCUUCUUAUAAUGAUGCCAACCAUAAUAUAAAAUAAAAUAAUUUUUAUUUUUAACUUGGAUUUGUGGUCCCGAAACCACUGUUCUGACCUCACCGAAAUUGGGCUGUUAUAGGUUCAACCGAGAUUUCAAACGCUGAAUCUUUAUCGAAUCAUUGUUGAACAUAUCCGUAGUCUCUUAAUCAUAGUUUAUGCAAUAUAAAAGCAUUCAAAAUACAUUUAUAAUGAAAUUUAUCACAUACGAGCUUACUUUAGAUGUAAAAACGACGAAACGAGUCGAUUAAUCGAGAACUUUAUUUUUCCAAUGAUCUAGAUUCGAGUUUCACUUUUCUUGAUCUACAUGUAAUAAAAAUUAACUUAUUUAAUCAUCUCUCUAUUCAAUUUAGUCUAAAAGUCACUUUAAAGCAUUUUUACACAAUUGCCCCUAAUGUUUCACAUCUUUUACAAUUUAGUCCUUAUUUCUUUAGAACACAAAGUCAUACAAUUUAGGACUAACCCAUGCUAGCCAAAUUAAUAUUAUGCCCCUAGCAGCCCAUAUUUUUCAUUUAUUUCACAUUUUAACCACAAAGUUUCCACAUUUCACAAUUUAAUCCCUAAUUUGCAUUUUUACUAAAAUCACAUAACAAAACUUGGGCAAUCACGUAUGUAAUGAUUUCUUCAGUGGAAACAUACUCUCGAGCAUACUUGCUCAAUCGUACAAAUUCUCUUUCGUACUCAGAAAUAGUCAUACGACCCUAUUUCAAUUCUAGAAACUCUUUAUGCUUUUGAUCGAGAAAUCUCUAACUUAUAUAUUUUUUUCGAAACUCAGUCUAAAAGAAUUCCCAGGUCACUCUUUCUCUUAGUACCACUGAUACUAGGGUAUUCCACCAUUGAUACGCAGUGUCCCUCAAUAAAGAAAUAGCACAUUUCAAUCUCUCAGCUGGCAUACAUGACAGUUCAUCAAAUACCAGAAUACUGUUUUCAAGCCAAAAUUCAGCUCACUCGGGACAAUCAUCAACAGUAGCUCUGAAAUCUUUAGCCCUGUGUUUUCAGAUUUUAUCUACUGGUGACUUAAUCAAUCGUUAAAGUUCCAUAACUUGAGGUGUAACACCCCAAGCCCGGCCUAGAUGUUAUGACUGCAUCUGCGAUAUCACAUUGAAGUGAGUUUUGAAAAACGUAGUUCUAUUAGUGAAGUCCGUUUGUUUUAAAACCUCAUUUAUGAUCCUUAUGAAAAGCUAUCUUAUUUUAUUUAUUUGUUAAAUUAUGGGUUCAUUAAGCAAAACAUGACUCAAACAAAAUCGUUAUUACGCUUUAAAAUAUUGUUCGUUGCGGAAGCUUUUGAAACCAGUUACGUGGCAGAGCAGUGAAAACAUUUUGCCUUCUUAAAACCCGAGUCCUACAGCUAGCAGAUAUAAGUCAAUUUAAAUAAAACCCAAAAUAAAAUGAAACUUUAAAACAACCUUAUUACAUAAAAUUUACCUAUAUAAACUACUUUUACUAAAUUCAAGCAGAAACAUAAGCAGUGGUGUGGCCAUCUCCGAGUCCCUCACAGCACCAACCCGCCUAAGGAUUACCUGCACAGAUAGGCGGAAAAGGUGAGUUUUUGAAAACUUAGUGUGUAAUCCAUAUUUAUCAAACAGUUAAACAUACAGUGUUGAACAGUCUAGGCUUAAGCACAUAUCAGUAGCAGUAUCAGUGUGAGCCUUAACCCAAUACAGUAACAGUAUCAGUGUGGGCCUUAGCCCAUUUAAGUACAGUAUCAGAAAUGCAUACAAAAAUCCUACCCAUCCAUCCUCUACAUUCCAUUCUGUCUAGCCCUACACUCCAUGUGAGAAUAAAAUUGACCCACCCAUCUCUACGCUCCAGAAUAUAGUACCAGUCUCGGCACUAACAGUAUUUGCAGCAGAGCUGCCAAUAUAGGCUUAUAGACUUUUAGUACACUUCCUCCAAUAUCAUAUAUCCCACCCCAUGCAAUGCAACAUAGUAUAAAUGUUCAUACAAUAAAGAUGGCAUGCUCAACAGUCAUACAACAUAGAGGGGAAUAUCCGUCAUUUAUCUCAUAAGGAUAUAACAGUCAUUUCAUAGAUUAGGGUCUAGAUAUACUUACGGACACACCAGUAGGUUCAAAGUCGUCUCGAGUGACCGUGCAACCUUAACAGUUUAAACAGCAAAAAUGGCCCUAAGCCCCUACUACAACCCAUGUGGGCCCGCUUGCUCGUGUUGCCCAUUAAGCUCAAUAAUUGCCUUGGCCGUGGGAACUACACAGCCUGGCCCAUUAUACUUCACACAUCCGUGUGAUUUACCUAUGUGGAGCCCACGAGCCCGUGGCGCCUACACAGCCCAUGUCAGUCCAACGUGGCCUAAAAUGACGUAUGCCCACGAGGUCGCUCAUGGUGGUCUCUAAAGUCACAUGCUUGCACUUAUGAGUUUCGAUGACCACAUGGGCGAACGCACGCCCGUGUGGCAUCAAUGGUAACAGUUGUUCGACUUUUUCCGUUUAAUGAUUUAAGCAGUGUGAUUACACACCUAUUACGAGACGUGUGCUACGACCAAGAGUUUUCCAAACCUACAUUCAGUCACGAUAAUCCAUUAGUCGAUUAAUGCUAGGGUUAAUCACCCUUUCCUAUUCCCAACUUAAUUUCAUCCAAUACAUGCCUUGAAUGAAGAAUCGAUUAGCCUUGUUAAAACUGUUGACGAAGGUUUGAUAAAGAACUCUUCGGUGAACACUGCAUAAUAAACGGUUUUUAUUAAUCAUGUUUACUCAUACAUAAUCAGUUACAGAGAUAACGACAUUCGACCAAUACUUAGGAUUCCAAGCCAAAAUACCCCAGUCUAAAACAACAACAAUGAAAACGCCAGCUUCAAUCAAGAGACAAACGAAAGAUUUUGAUCGCUUCUGUAACACUUGCGCACUUCUUUACUUCUCGAGAAGUAUUACCCCUAAAGAAUACCAGAGUCAUAAGAGAAAGAGAUUCGGCAUUAAGAGAAAAAAAGGGAAAAUCGAAAGAGCAAAAACAACCAGAGACUUACCAGUCGAUAUUCGGCGAACCACCAAAGAAGGGAGGAAGAGUUGAUAGAGGGCCGAGAAUAGAGAAGAGAAGAAGAAGAGGCAAAUAUUCAAUUUAAAACAAUAGGGAAAGCAAAUACUGGAGGCCGAUAGAAAAAAAAGAAGAAGAUCGGGGUUCGGCAAGGGUAAGAAAAUAUAGAAGGAGGUGAGGAAGAGAGAGAAAAAUCAAUUUAGCAACCUAUACAAUUGAAGAGCCGCCCAAAAAGUCUGAUACGAAAAUAAUCACAAGUCACAAGUAGCAUUUGGCUACCAAUAAACAACAAAAUUGACAGAUGGCGAAAAAGAAAAGAGAAGAAAAACUAAAAAGAGGUGGAGCUAUUGAAUUGAGAGCAUAAAACCAAAAGAAAUUUCGGCACCAAGUUGCCUAACCAUCCUAUGACCAAAUGGCUUAGGAGAGUCCUCAUUCGGCACCACUACUACCACAACUUCCCACUUCCUUGAUUAUCUCCUAAUUUCCCUCUUCACCAAACUCAAACUGAUAACUUCCUCAUCCAAUCCCAUUAUUCUCUCGUCAAAUUCUGCUAUUCACUCCCACACAACCACUCCACCCUCUGAUUUUCGGUCAACCCCAAGAACAGCAAAAUAUUACUCCUUUGCGCUUGAUAAACAGUAAUUUAUACAUAUUUUUACCUCAUGCUUAACACAUUUUAUGGAUGAUUUUUCUUUAGAAUUGGUGAAUUUAAUGCUCCUAAUGCCUUAAUUUCAUGUUUUAUAGUUAGGAGAACAUAGGAGAGCAAAAGGAACGAGAAACAGGCCAAAAACGGAGAAAAUGGUCCAAAGUACAAAAUCAACACUGCCUGGACCUCCUCACACGGGCAGACCACGGAGCUGUGUCAAUUUGGCAGAUUCGAAGCAUGACUCACAUGGGCACGUCCCUACCGAGCCCAAGUUGAGUCCAAUUCAGAAAAGGCCAAUUUUGAUGGUUUUUAGGCAUUCUAAAGCCUAUAAAUACGCCUUAAAGGAAGAGAAAGAGGGAGGCAGAGAGAGGGAGGAAGGAAUUACUCGAAGAAAGCCGAUUUUCCAUCUCAGAAGCCAAAUUCAUCAUCAAGAUUGAAGAUCUCCCCUCAAUUUCCCUAUAGGAGUUUUGAGUUUUCUUUAUUUUUUGUAUUCGUUAUUCUUCUGAGAUGUUUUCUUUUUUAGUUAUGAACUAAAUCCCCUAAAUACCUAAGGGAAAUGAAACCUAAUAUGAAUCUUGUUAUUAUUUUUUGAAUUGUAUGAUAAAUAUUUAACUUGUUCUUAAUUAUGUAUUCUUAAUUCUUGUUUUGCUAUCCUAGGAUACUAAUUCAAGAUAAGCUCUUAUUCAGAGGAGGAAUAGACCCUGUCUAAGAGUACAUUUUUCAUAAUUAAGUGGAGUUGAUUGCGCGCCUAGAGAUAGGGUGACAAGAUUUUGCCAGAUUAGGGUGAAACCUAAUAGGGGGAUCCAUAGAUCGAGUUAAUGUAACCCUAGAGUGUUAAUUAGAGAAAAGUUUCAAUUAUUCAAUCUAGGGAUUAGACGUUAUUAGUCUUGAAUAGGGAUAAUAACAUAACUUAGGGAUCUCUACGGAAUAAGUUAAAUAAAUAAAUCAUCCAAUUCGGAGCCAAAAUAAUAAGUAAAGUCUAGGUGGAUUUUCCCUUAUGUAUUGUCUUAAUUCAAUCGUUUUCCAAAAGUAAUCUCCCAAUUCUACUUUCUAUGAAUUCUUAGUUUAGGUAAUUAGUUAGUUAAAAUAAAACCCCCUAUUUUUAGGCUAGAUAAUAAAAAGACGGUCAUACUAGUACUUUUAGUUCCUUUGGGUUCGACAAUCCGGUCUUGCUAAAACUAUACUACUGUUCGAUAGGUACACUUGCCUACAUCGUGAUAAUAGUUAGUUUCAAGAAUGAUUCAUUAUAAAUAUUUAAAACCUGUCACACGAAAAUCGCGAUCAAGUUUUUGGCGAUGUUGCCGGGGAACUAAGAUAUUAGGAACACUCAAUUUUUUUUACUUUAGCCAUUUAUUUUUCUUGCAAUUUAAUUUAAAUUUUUUAUUUGUGAAUUUACUUUUUCUUUCUCUUGGCAGGUUUUUAUAGUUUAUGACUAGAAGAAACCCGUCAGGACCACUACUCUUUGACGAAGAAAUCGAUCGCACAGUUCGCAGAAACUAAAGAGAAAUAUGGCGAAGCUUAAGAUACACAGAGAACGAGCAAGAGGAUGAUACUCAACCCCCAACCGAAGAGAUUGCUAAAAACCAAGACAAUCAGCUACCUCCUGCAAUUGCAGUUAAUCAAAAUCCUGCUCCACGCACUAUGUAUGAUUAUGCUAAACCUUCUUUAACAGGAACUGAAUCAAGCAUAGUUAGACCUGCUGUAGCUGCAAAUACUAUUGAACUGAAACCUAACACAAUUCAAAUGAUACAACAGUUUUUUCAGUUUGAUGGUUUCCAGGAUGAAGAUCCCAACACUCACUUAGCAAACUUUUUGGAACUAUGCGAUACAUUUAAAAUCAAUGGUGUUUCUGAUGAUGCCAUACGUCUUCGGUUGUUUCCCUUUUCAUUGAGGAACAAAGCUAAAUAGUGGUUGAACUCGUUACCACAAGGGUCAAUCACUACUUGGGAGUAAAUGACCGAAAAAUUUCUAUUAAAAUAUUUUUUGCCUGCUAAAACAUCCAAAUUACGUAAUGAUAUCUCUUCGUUUGUGCAGAUGGACUUAGAAACACUCUAUGAUGCAUGGGAGAGAUACAAGGACCUUUUGAGAAGGUGCCCUCACCAUGGAUUACCGCUUUGGCUACUGGUUCAAACAUUCCAUAAUGGCCUGAAUCCUUCGACUCGGCAAACGGUUGACGCAGUUGCUGACGGAACCAUCAAUAAUAAAACACCUGAAGAUGCUUAUGAGUUUAUAGAGGAGGUGUCAUUGAAUAACUAUCAGUGGCAAGUCAUGAGGACAAAGCCAACAAAAACAACCAGUGUUUAUAACGUCGAUUCGGUCACUAUGCUCUCUAAUUAGGUAGAACUCUUGAAUAAGAAAAUUGAUGGUUUUCUUAGUUCUUCACAGGUUCACCCAGUAAUGCAGUGCGAAGCAAGUGGAGGUGGAUCGAGCAAGUCGGAAUACCAACCUUAUGGCCACAACAUGGAUAAUGAGCAGUUAAAUUACAUGGGUAAUGAUCCUCAAUCUCAAAACAAUCCAUAUAGUAACACUUAUAAUGCAGGUUGGAGGAACCACCCAAAUUUCUCAUAGGGAGGUCAAGGAAAUCAGAGACCACCUCCAGGCUACUAACAACCUCCGUAUCAAUAGGAAAAGAAAUCGAACCUUGAAGAGAUGCUGUCUAAAUUUAUCUAGGUGUCAAAAACAUGAUUCCAGAACACCGAGACAGCACUUAAAAAUCAAUAAGCGUCGAUCUAAGGGCUCGAAACGCAGAUAGGCCAGCUGUCCAAACAAAUCUCUAAACGACCACAAGGUAGCUUGCCAAGUAAUACUGAACCCAACCCAAGGGAAUAGCUCAACGUGAUUAAUGUUCAAGAUGAAGAAGAGUUCGUUAAGCCUGAGCCAGAACCGAAGCAAGAAAUUGUGGUGAGCAGAGAUCAAGAUGAGGUAGGUCAUAAUAAAAACAAAUCAAUGAAUGUCGAAUAUAAACCUCGUGUGCCAUACCCUAACACGACAAGGAAAGACCACUCAGAUGAACAAUUUGGUAAAUUCCUUAAACUCUUAAAAAAAUUACAUAUUAACUUACCGUUUAUUGAAGCCCUACCGCAGAUGGAAAACGUAAUAAAAUUUUUAAAGGAACUUUUAGCAAAUAAACGGAAGUUGGACGAGGCAUCGCAUGUGGAGCUAAAUGCAGUUUGUUCAGCUAUUCCUUCAGAAUAAACUACCCAACAAACUAAAAGAUCCAGGGAGUUUUACGAUUCCUUGCUUAAUUGGUAGUUUAGAUGUUGAUAAUGCACUAGCUGAUUUAGGGGCUAGUAUUAACGUCAUACCCUACAAAAUGUUUAAACAAUUAGGUCUUGAGAAACCCAAAUAGUCUAGGAUGAGCAUUCAAUUAGCAGAUAAAACUAUAAGAUUUCCUAGUGGGUAUUAUUGAAGAUGUGCUUGUUAAAAUCGAUAAAUUUAUAAUUCCCGUUGACUUCAUUAUUCUAGACAUAGAGGAGCACAGCAACACUCCUUUGAUUUUAGGACGGCCUUUUUUAGCAAACUGCUAAAACUAUUAUUGAUGUUGGCACAGGUGAACUCACACUUCGUGUGGGAGACAAAAUAAUCACCCUUCAAGCUCGCAAUUCUGGUAACACAUCAAAAAUUGAAGGUGAUCGUCCAAACCAUUCUACUAAAACUGACAAUCUAGUACAACCUACUUUGCAGGAAAUGAGUCUGAAGGAAGCACAAGAGUCAUUCUCAAGCAGUAGCAGAGGACCUAUUCAUGAAGAUCGAAGGCUACAAAUCGAGGAACUAGAUGAAUGGCAGAUUCAUAAACUGAGAACACAUGAUAAAUCGAAACUACGUCAGAACGAGCUCAACACCUUCCCCUAUCAACUUAAGGUUGGAAAUAAAGUCUUAUUAGAUGCCGUAGAUCCUCACAUUGUCACUACCACACCGAAUGAAGAAAUCCCUCUUACGGUACUUAUCAUUUUCCCAUUCGAUACAGUCGAGGUAAGCCAUCCUAAGUUCGGCACUUUUAAGGUAAACAACACCCGUCUGAAACCUUAUUUUGAUGAGAAUGAUAGCAUGAAUGAGGAGUAUAAACCCAUCGAACCAUCAUGACCAUUCAAUGGAGAGGUAAUUCGAGCUUAGACUAUAAAUAAGCACUUCUCGGGAGGCAACCCGAGCACUAACAAUAUUAAUUUCUUUAAAUUUUAGUAUUUAAGACCUAACUUACUACCAGAGAUCUUGAAUACAGGUUUUUCCACUCAAACACGGCCAAGCACAAGGGCUUGCUUAGGGCCGUGUGAAAACAGGGCAAAUAUUUCCCCAACAUGGGAUAUGAUAAAUCGCCACGGCCGUGUGCCAUGGCCGUGGGUAAACCUGCCAAAACAACACGGGCGUGAGACAUGCCCGUGUCUAGCACCCGUAGACAACACUGUCAAAAUAACACUGGCGUGUGCCGAGCUAGACGACCAUGGGAAAAUCGAACCACAUCACACACGGUCGUGUAACAUGAUCAUGUACCCAUACGGCCUAGACACAUGGGCGUGCCUUAAGGCCGUGUGAUGACAUCUCACUUAGUGACAAACACAGGCGAGACACGAUCCACACGGGCUUGUGAACUGGUCAUGCCAUUUGAAAAAUUAGAUUAUCUAUCUUAUUUUAUUAAUUUUUGAAGAUUCUUUUGUUUUUAAACACGACUUACCUUUAUGAUUACUACCAAAUUAUUCCCCCAAUUCUCCUUUUGUUCUUCAGAAUCAUGUUUGUCCUCCAACUUUAUUUCCAACAACUUGCUCUCGCUAAUCCAGGAAUUUCAUCCAUUUUUAACUCAGGAAGUUUCACUUCUCUCAUUAUCUUAUUUUUAUAUUCUAUAUCUACCUUUGUACAUUGAGGGCAAUGUACAUCUUAAGUGUGGGGGGGGUAUUCAUUUCACUAUCAGAAAAAUCCCCAAAUGACUACCUUGUUCUCUUGAAAAGCUCUCAUAUCAUAUUUAGGAUAAAUUUUGAUUGAUUUAUGAUUUUGAUUGAUAUAUCCUGAAUUAAAAUAUAGGCAUUUAUGCAUUGAUUGUUUAAACUUUAAGACAUUAGAGAAUCAAGCAUGAUAAGUUGAUCUUUAGGAAUUUAAAAUUUUAGGUUUUUUCCACAAAGUUUAGGUAUUACUUUGAGUUGGAAUUCAUAAGUUUUAAACAUCAAAAAGCUUAUUGUGAGAUUUUUGAGCCUUUUGAGCAUCUAUUAAUUCUUUCAUGCUCACUUUUAUUAUUGCUUUGAGUGCGUCAGUAUUGAACUGUUAUUCUAGAACUUGCUUGAUUAUGCAUGUCAAGACCACACCAUUUGAUUUGAUAUGUCAAAAUGAUUAAGGCACUUAUGAUUAACCCACUCAUGCCAUGAAAAGCCUACCUCCAUGAUUAACCCCUAGUAAACCCCGUUGAGCUUAACAAGCAAUUUCUUGUAUUACCCUUAAUAUUUACCCUUAACCCAUUAUUGUUGAAAUCCCCUAAAUUAAAUUUGAUCCCUAUUUUUUGUCGAGAUUUGGAUUGAAAUAGUUGCUCAGCUAUGUCUUUUUCUUAAUAGUUAGUCAAUGUUAUUUAACCUGUUCUUAAAAAAAAUGUGUAUACACUUUAGUAGUAAUCUUUUUUUUUUUAGCUUAAGUAUUUAAAUUCCAUAUUCUGAGAAGAAGCUCUGUUGUACGCAAGUGAUAUUAAAUCUUUUUCUAGUUAAGUUAUUUUUCAAUUCAAUCUAGAUUCUAAUCUAGAUUCUAACUUUUUCUUUCAGCUUGUGACCACACCCUCUAACCAAAGCCACGUUACAACCCUCUAAAGACCUUUUAAUUGAUGUAUCAUCUCAAUUUAUAGUGGUGGAGAUGUGAUUUCCAUGCAAGCCUAUGGUAAUGAAUUUUCAUUAUUGACUAUUGAGUGCUUCAUUUAUUAUUGUUAGAUAGCUCGAGUGAUUUGAGUGAAUCUUUAGUGAGGAUGUGAAACUCUAUGACAUUUUGAAUCAAAGGUAAUUAUUUAGACGAGGGGGGACACCUAUAUGUUCAUGAUAAAGUGCUCAACUUGGAAUGAUUGAAACUUUGAUGUUCUUUCAGUUGAAUUUUCAAUGUAUGAUUACCUAUGGAUUAUUGUGAGAUAUUAUCUAUAGGAAUUAUAGGUUGAGAAGGAUUUAUUUUGAUUAUGAGUUGAGAAUUUUGCUUGAGGACAAGCAAAUGCUUAAGUGUGGGGGUAUUUGAUAAACUAUAAUUUAUACGUAUUUUUACCCCAUGCUUAACACAUUUUAUGGAUGAUUUUUCCUUAGAAUUGGUGAAUUCAAUGCUCCUAAUGCCUUAAUUUCAUGUUUUAUACUUAGGAGAACAUAGGAGAGCGAAAGGAACGAGAAACGGGCUAAAAACGGAGAAAAUGGGCCAAAGUACGAAAUCAACACGCCCUGUACCUCCUCACACAGGCAGACCACACGGCCGUGUCAAUGGCAUAUUCGAAGCACAACUUACACGGGCGUGUCCCUACCGAGCCCAAGUUGAGUCCAAUUCGAAAAAGGCUAAUUUUGAGGGUUUUUAGGCAUUCUAAAGCCUAUAAAUACGCCUUAAAGGAAGAGAAAGAGGGAGGCAGAGAGAGGGAGGAAGGAAUUAUUCGAAGAAAACCGAUUAUUCCAUCUCAGAAGCCGGAUUCAUCAUCAAGACUGAAGAUCUCCCCUCAAUUUCCCUUUAGGAGUUUUAGGUUUUCUUUAUGUUUUGUAUUCGUUAUUCUUCUGAGAUGUUUUCCUUUUUAAUUAUGAACUAAAUCCCCUGAAUACAUAAAGGGAAUAAACCUAAGACGAAUAUUGUUAUUAUUUCUAAAUUGUAUGAUAAAUAUUUAACUUGUUCUUAAUUAUGUGUUCUUAAUUCUUGUUUUGAUAUCCCAGGAUACUGAUUCAAGAUAAGCUCUUAUUCAGAGGAGGAAUAGACCUUGUCUAAGAGUAAAUUUGUCGUAAUUAAGGGGAGUUGAUUGCGCGUCUAGAGAUAGGGUGACAAGAUUUUGCUAAAUUAGGGUGAAACCUAAUAGGGGGAUCCAUAGAUCGAGUUAAUGCAACCCUAGAGUGUUAGUUAGAGAAAAGUCCUCAAUUAUUCAAUCUAGGGAUUUGAUGUUAUUAGUAUUGAAUAGGGAUAAUAACAUAACUUAGGGAUCUCGACAGAACAAGUUAAAUGAAUAAAUCGUCCGAUUCGAAGCCAGAAUAACAAGUAAAGUCUAGGUGGGUUUUUCCUUAGGUAAUGUCUUAAUUCAAUCAUUUUCCAAAUGUAAUCCCCCAAUUCUACUUUCUGUGAAUUAUUAGUUUAGGUAAUUAGUUAGUUAAAACAAAACCCCUUAUUUUUAGGCUAGAUAAUAAAAAGACAGUCAUACUAGUACUUUUAGUUCCUUUGGGUUCGACAAUUCGGUCUUACUAAAACUAUACUACUAUUCGAUAGGUACACUUACCUACGUCGUGAUAAUAGUUAGUUUCAAGAACGAUUCAUUAUAAAUAUUUAAAACCUGUCACAUGAAAAUCGCGAUCAGCGCUUAGGGUAGUUCGAACUCAAGACCCCUAGGCACACACCAUAUGCCACAUGCCACCUGACUAGCAAGCCCUUCAUGCCAUGCAACAUUCAUAUUAAUUUAAAAGUUUAUUAACAGUAAACAAGGGUUUAUUCAAAAAGAAACCAAAAUUUUCUCUAAAGCCUAGGUUUGAACCCAGGUCCUCUCACAUUACUCAGGACCCUUAACUACCACAACACGUGUACCACAUUCAACAUAACACGUGUAACGCUUGAGUUUGUGCAAGUGUACACAGUCGUUAUCAUGUAAUAAGUAAGUAUCGAGUUAUUGUUUCCACAGGGAUUGUAUUUGUGCUAAGUUACUUAAUUUGUAAAAGUGUAUUAACAAUUUGAUAAAUAAAAACAAUAUAAUUAAGAAGUGAGAUCCCUAGUGCAAUUUAUCCUAAGUAUGCAAACUAUAUGAAUGAGAUAGAUUUUAGCAGAAUUAAUACAAUAAGCAAAAAUUAUAACAUAAAUAAGCUAGGACAAUUACUUUAAUUAAAUUCAAAUUAUUAUCAACAUGCUUAUCAAUAUUCAGAAAAACAUUCCAUGGCAACUCAAUCUUUUAUGAGUUUGGAAACCACGUUAGGUCCUUUCGGAAUCCUUUACUUAGUAAAUACGCAUUUUAUUGAUCCUUAUUUACUAAGAGCUUCUUAGUAUUCGUGCGAGGUAACAGGGACGUGUUAGGUUUGAAACAGUUUAAUCACACAAAUCUAAAAACUACGCAGAUAACAGAGCCUAGUUAGGGAUGUUAUGCAACCUGCAAUUUAAUCGGGUUAGGAUCUAAAUUAAGCAUGCACAUUUCAAUUAUGCAUCCAUUAGUCGUUGUCUGGUUAGGAUUGCUCAGCCAAUUCAAGUGCAUUUCAAUCACGUAUGAACGAAAUACAAACUUGAUUUUAAUUAAAAACAUGAUCGAUUAAGGCACAAAUAUUAUAAGCGUGAAUCAAAUAAUUAUUAUUAAAUCAAAGCAAUCAUCCUAGCUUAAAUAAAAUUAAGCUAUCAUUGUUGUAAACAAGAACAAAGAACACAUAGAAAAAAAUUCUUGAAUUAAAUUAAAGUAAGAAAGGUUAAACCCAAUUCAGAAUGGCUGUCACCCAAGACUCUAACUAAUAAGGGCUCAUUCGUUCCUUCGCUUUGCUCCUUUGCUGAUGGCCCUCCGAGUUGGCCGACCAAGGGUUCUUUAAGAGGCUAAUUUUCUCAAAAUCUUUAUGCAAAGAUGAUGAUAGGCGUGAGAGAUAAGAGAGUUGAGAGAGGAGAGAAUGAUGAAUGAGUGAGGGAUGAAUGAGGGAUGAGGGAUGAUUGAAAAAGUGAGAAAGGGGCUCUUAUUUAUAGGUGAGGUAUGGGAGCUAGUUUGCUAAAAAUAGGAGUGUCCAUCUUUCAAAAAUCCUUCUAAGGGUGACCGACCAUGAAUUGAGGGUAUGUGGUUGAUUUUGCUUGAUUCUUGGUCAAUUUGAGUGCCACAACAACUCAGGACUAAGACUCGGUCACCAGCAAAUCUUCGGACAAUUCUUUGAUUUCUUCAACUCUUCAAGGACCUUGUGUAAUCAAAAGAUGGUUUAUGAACCUCCAUAUUUGGCUGAAUUUUGGGUUGACUUGGCCCUCCAUUUGGAUGGUUUUUAAUCAAAUUAAAGCUCUCAGACCUGUCCAAAAAUAAAUCAAUAAGUUAGAGGGCCAAAGAAUUAAAUUUUACCAACUUAAUUAAAUUAAUUAAAACCCAAAUUAUUAAUGAAAUAUUUUAAAAUGAAAUAUUAAAUAUAAUUUUAUAUUUUAUUAUUUAAUUUAAUCAUUCAUGGCCCACUUUAUGUCAUAAAAAUAUAAUAUGCUCAAUUUAAUAUAAAAUAAGCCAUUUUAUGCAUGAAAACUAUAUAAUAAAGCAUAAAAUCACAUUUUAAUAAUUUCUAUGUCCUGUUUUCAUAUUUUCACAUAUUUCAUUAAUUUAUUAAACAAUUACUUGUUUUUAACAACAAAUUUAAGUAAAAAGGUGAUAAUUUAUAUAGGAAAAAUCUUAUAUAUUUUUCAGUUUACACACUCCCAAACUUAAAUCAUUGCUCGUCCCGAGUAAUGUUCAUGCACAGCACAAGGUCUCGCUAAAGAAAAAUUGCUAAAGGUGUAAGCAACAUCAAUCAUUGCCCCAAAAUCAUGUAUUAAUAAAUUCAUGCUCAUCGAUCUUCUUCAUUAACAAGUAAUUCAUAUGCAACCAUUUUGAAAAUUUUAUACUAAGUUUCAAGGUAUACCAACAUGAAUCAUAGUAUGUAUAUACGUCACAACCAUAUAUACUAUUCUUUCAUUCAACAUAAUUUCUCAUCAAUCAAGCAAAACAAUCAUAAGGCUUAUUUAUAAUCUUCAUAUGUUGAACUUAGGACUUCUUCUCCACUAAUGUAGGUGACAUAAUCAUCAAAUCAAUAGGUCUUUUAUAAGAUUGUAAUGGGGCUCGAUCAAAGGUAGGGAUUGUAAGAGAUGGGAUAUUUCAGUUUCAAGAUCUUAACCUUUAACUUUGUCUUGGUUUUCUCAUAAUACAACCUUUUUCUUUACGUGAACCUUUGGAACACCCCAAAACUUAUUUUGAGCUUAAGCUCAUACAUUUUUUUUCUUUCUGAAGACUAAGCAAACUUUUCUUCGUCCUUUGUUUUUUUUAAGCAUGAGCACAUACAUCUUUAUGAAAAUUUCCUUAAAUGUUGAUUACCAAGACAACUUAAGUUAAGAUAGGUGCACAAAAUUAUGAUAACUUACAAAGAUGGUAAUGUGGCUUGUAAUGUAGGUUCAUUGCAAUAAAUAGGCCUUUAAGCUCAAAAUUAUAGUUUCAAGGGUCUAAUAUCAUAAGGUGGGCUUGAAAAGGCUCAAACUAUCUAAAGAAAAUGGUGCCUGUAUCAUUUUAGAAUUUUAUGUUUCCUAGGAUUUCGUCUCAAGAAAGGUACUAAGUCAAUUCUAAAGAUAUAAACCUUCAUGCAUGUCUAAUCUCAAAAGAAACUAAGUUUUCAUGGCAAACAUUACUGAAGACUAAGAUCAUACAAUCAUUUCAUUCUUCAUGAUAACAUACAAUCACAUAGAUAAAAUCAUCAUUCAUGCUCGCAUACAAGCGAUCUCAUUAACAAAGAAUUUCUCUAAACAUUCAUUUAUUAAAACAUACUCAUGAAAGAUAUAAUUGAACAUACUUGAAAAUUUGAGCAGCAAUUAUUUUCCUUACCCCCCUUUAAAAAGAAGCAAUGUCCUCAUUGCAAGAAAAAAGUAAUGAAUGAAAACUGAACACUAGGUAGGGUUAAAAAGAAAGAGAGGUGAGUCAUUAAGACUGCUUAAAUACCAAGUCUUUCCUCAUAAUCCAAUCCUAAACAUGUUCAUUCCCAUUACCACAUCACUUAGUCUUUUUUCUUUUUAAAGGAAACAUUUAUUCAUGCUUGCUAUGUUUUAUUUUACAGAAAUUAAAUCCUAGUUACAAAAGAAACAAAUUCCUAAAGACCUAAAAUAAAUAAAUAAAAAAGACAACAAUCCCUCCUUUUAUUCUUUUGACUCAUUUCCCUUAUCUUCUUUAGCUCCUUCUCCACUUGUAUAAUCAGUAUCGUCAAUCCAUGUCUCAAAGAUAGCAUCUGGGAACUCAGGAACAAAAGUGUUAGAGAUAUUCUUAAACGUAUUUCGAAUCGAAUCAUCUUUAAUUUUUGCAUAUGUCCAGUAAGUUUGUUGUUGAUUGUGCAUGAACUUGCACAUAUCCAUCAAUAUUGACAACUCUGAUUUCCUUGAAGUACUUGCAGAAGUCAGCAAGGGAGUUGUAUAUUCAGAUUCAACACUUAGCUUGACUGGUUCUUCUUCUGGCUUAACCCUUGGUUCAGGGUCUUCAAUUGGUUCCUUAUCAGAUUCUUUUUCUUCAGUGCUUGAAACUGAUUUAGUUUCAGUUUUGUUUGUUGAUUCCUCAGUACCUGACUCAGUUGGUUCUUCUUGCUCACCUUGAUUUAGCUCAUACACCUUCUCAUUAACCUUUCUAGAUGAUGACUUGUAAUGCACCAUUGGACAUAUUGCCUCUUCAAAUUCGCUUGUGUUCUAACACGAGCCCUUAAGCAAAGUGAAGUGAUUAAUGAUGGGAAAUAAGCACUUCCUGUCUUAUUUUUAGCAUAGUCAUAAAUCUCCUUAAGAGUAAUUUUCCCAACAUUAAUGGACUUUUCUGUCAAGAUUGCAUAUAACAAGAGCAUUCGUUCCAUCGAGAUGGUGCAACUGUGUGAGAUAGGCAUAAAACUAUAGUGAACAAAAUAAAACCAUACCUUUACUACUGGUUUUAGGUAUUCCCUUUGGCAAGAAUGGCUCCCAUACUUUUUUAUAAUCCAUUGGGAUUCCGAAUUUGUUACAACAUCAAGCACUUGUUAAAGAAAAUCCCAAUUGAUGUUGUUCAUCAAAUGGUAGUACUCAUCUUCUUCAACAUCAGGGAAGUUAAACAAUUCAUUGAUGGACUUAGAGGUAAGAGGUACCUUUUUCUUCCGAACGAUUACCUCAGUGGCAUCUUGUGUGGUCAAACUUGCAUAAAACUCUUGAACUAGUUCAUCAUCGGGAAGUGAACGAGCAUCACAAAAUCGUUCCCACUUGAGAGCAUUUAUUGUCUUUCUAAGUAGCACAGGGACAACCAUCAACUCAUUACUCUUCAAGUUAAAACCUUUUUCUGGCAUCAUAGGUUGAUGCUUGAAAAUUGAAUCAAAUCUCUCUUUCACUUCUUCAUCGAUCAAAAUCGGGUUUUCAGGAGUAGUCUUUGACGAUCUACUUCUUUUGCGAGACAUGAUAUUUUCUCAAAAAUCGACAAAGUUAUACUUUCAGGGGUAGAAGGGAAAUCGACAAGUGGGUAGGACUUGCUCGACAAACCUUGCGACGACGAAGAGGUUACAGCGGUGAAGGAAAUGUGUGGCAAUAAUGGUGGUAUGCGGCGAUGAUAACGGCUACGUGCGAUAGUGGCAUUGAUGCCUCGACAAUUUCUUUACAGCGGCAAUAGGAGAUUUCGGCAAAGGGGAAAAGAACUAGGGUUUCUUUCGGGAUUUGAGGUUGACGGUACGAGAGAAAAGUUUAGGAAUUUUUUUGGGGUUUAAGCAAAUUUCUUUGAGGGAUAUGAAAAAUAGUAGAACCAAGAGGGGUUUAUAUAGGGAAAAUUUAAGGCAACAUGUAGCAAAAACUUAGCUACAUUAGGGUUACUUGGGCAACAAGCAAUGGAAGUGGCGGCAAUAGGUGUGGAAUUUUUCCUUUUUUUUUGCUGUCUUGGGCCUCAAAUUUAGAAUGUAUCUUACAAAAGAAAUUGAUUAGCACUUGGGCCAAAUUUGACCCCCUUUAUUAACAUAAAAAUUUAAAACUUAAACAAAACAAAUGUGUAACAUCCCAAAAUAGGGCCUAGUCGGAAUAGUGAUUUCGGGACCACAAAUCCAACAUCAAAAUAUUUAUUCUAUGAUUAUUAUGAGGCCUAGAAUAUGAUAAUAUGCAUGUGUUAAGAUGUCAUGAAGAAAUUCUUUGAGUAAGUUAUCCAAUUGGAAAUUAGGGACUAAAUAGAAUAAAUUGAAAAACUUGGAUUCUAGAAGAAAUUUGUAUGAAAUUGCUUUAGAUUAUAAAGUAGAAGGUCUUGGAGAGAGUUUUCCCAAUUUUUAAGUUUUUGGACAAAAAUAGGCUUGUAUGGAUGAAAUUUUAAAGAAAGGGCAUUUUAGUCAUUUAGCAUUUUAAUGAAAUAAAAUGGGAAAAAUGAACCAAAAAUCAGCCAUCUUCUCCCUUGUACCAGCCGAAAUUAUCAAGCCCUCCAUAGCUAGGGUUUUCAAGCUUUUCAAGCUCAUUAGUUAGUGCUCCUAAGCCCCGUUUUUAAUGUUCUUUGUAUUUUUGAGAUCCUGGUAGCUUACUCUCUCCAUUUCUACCCAUAUUCAUGCUAAGGUUCAUGUUUAAAAAUUUACCCAUGCAUGAUUUACUUGUAUUUUGAUGGUUUAUGGAGGAAUAUGAAAGUUGGAUGUGUGUUAAACGUCUUUUCCUAGGUGAUUUUCAUGAAAAACCCCUAAAGGGACCUUUUUGCAAAAGUUAUUCAAUGUGUGGUAGAAAUGUGAAAAUAAUGAAAAAUGUGGGCUACCAUAAGAGGGAAAAGUGUUCGACUAGGCUUGGGUAAGAUAGAAAUUGCAUGUGUUUAAUUAUACGAGCCUAGGGAUUAAAUCGUAAAAAUGUGAAAGGUUAGGGGCAAAACAAUAAUUUGGAUUGGGGGUGGAAUUUAGACUUGAAAAGCAUAAUGUAGAGUGUUAAUGAUUUAAUUUUGUUGUUAUAGACCCUGGGGAACAAAUUUCGGAGGUUGAUCAAGGAAAAUGAAAGGUUUCGGAAUAACCGAAACAUAGCACCAAAACGAAUACCAGGUAAGUUUGGAUAACUUAAAGUAAACUCUUAAUAUGCCUAAUUGUAUGAUUUAUAAAUGCAUGAUGACUGCAAUUUAAUGAUGGCAUGAAAUUACAUGAAAUAUAUCUUUGAUAAUGAUUUGUUGAAAAAUAUUUCAGUUGAGGUUAAAAAGGGAACUCGAUGGAUAAACCAUGAUUACAUGUGAUUUGAGACCCUGCAUGUGUUGCAGAAAGGAUUUUUCCCGAACGGGUAAUCUGUUGAUCUCAAUUAUAAAAAGGAUCUAGCUCGAAUAGGUGUUCCUUUGGAUGAUCGAGCCUUCCAAAGAAUACAUGUGUAUUAUGGAUUUAGCCCGGACGAGUAAUCCGAUUAGGGUCUGAAUUUAGCCUGGACUGGUAAUUUAGAUCCAAACUCAAUAAAUGAGGUUGUCGCUAUAAGGGAUUUGGCCUGGACUGGUAAUCCUAACAUCACCUUAUGAGUUUACGAUACGGGAAAUUUAGCCUGGACUGGUAGUUCCACCGUAAGAUGUGAGGUUCGCGGGAGUGCAUACCUGAAAUGAUCAUCCUUAUGAAUUGACAGAUUAUGGAUAUUCCAUUGAGAUUUCCUAGAAACUCAACGAGAUUAAUAUGAUGUAUUUGUACAAAAAUAAGAUGUUGAGUGAUAAGCUCUUCUAAGAUAAAUUACAUGGUGCUUUGUUAUAUGACUAAUUCAUUGAUUGAGUGUAUGUGAUAGGGAAGCCAUAUCAUGCUUAUUGAUUUUAUUACCCAAUUUGGUUGCGUGCUAAUUACUUGGUAAGUUUACUUUCUGAUUAUUUGAGCUUACUAAGCAUGUAAAUGCUUACCCCUCUCUUUUCCUUACUUUUCAGAGCUCAAGGACUCGUAAGGAUUGGAAGACAGUUGGAGAGUUCGCACACUAUCAACUAGACCAGCCUUGGUAUAAAGACAUUUCUAUUUUGUUCAAUGGCAUGUAUAAGACUUUUGAGUAUUUUGUUAUAUGUGUCGUUUGAUUUUCCAAAUGAAGGCAUGUAAAGAUAUAUCUAUCUUUUGUAUAUGGCCAUAGGAUUUGGCUUAUUUGGAAGUAGGCUAUGACCUACAAAUUUCCAUGCAUGUUUAUGUUCAUAUAUGAUGGUUUGAUUCCAAUUGGAAAAGAUUCAUAUGAACGAGCCAAUCUUAAAUAUAUUAAAGUGGCAUGGAAACCCACAAAUACAAGAUGGGAAAUAACCUGGCAUGUGUGAAACCAGUGAUAUGAGGUUUCUAUACAAUAAGUUUUGCCAAGAACAUUUCUAAGAAUAUAAUCAUGUUUUACUUUGCAUUUGAUAAUCAUUAAGUAUAAGUGCUGAAAGGGGUGACCAAAGGCUUGGAAAAUAGCCUAUUAGGGUCCACAUGGUUGGGCACACGAGCAUGUGUCUAGGUCGUGUGUGACACACGGGCCGCUCCCAUGGGUGUGUGGUACGGCCGUGCGUCCCCUGCACCUAAAAUUUUAAGUUAGUGUUGUACACGGGCGUGUGUCUUAGCCAGUGUACCCCUAAUUGUAUGAUAAGGCUAAAGUCAGUGUUACACACGGGCUAAGGGCAUGGGUGUGUCCCAAGCCACACGGGCGUGUGAUACUUCAAAGUAAGGGAAAAUUUUCAAGGUACCCAAAGUUUAUCGAACGUCUCUGGUUUUGUCCCGAAUUGUCCCUAGGUAUGUUUUAGGCCCCGAAGGCCUGUUUAAGGGACGAGACGUACAUGUUUGAAAAGUUUUAAAUUUGAGUGAAACUUGGUGACCUGAUUUAAUAUGUUUGUGAAUGUGAAAUCCCGGUAACGCCUUGAACCCUAUCCAGUGUCGACUACGGGUGAGAGGUGUUACAAAAUGAAACUAAAAGAAAUUUUAAAUCUUAAUUAGAGAAUUUCUUCUUAAUAAAUUACAUUAAAUUAAUUCCCAAGAAAGGUUGGAGGGGACAUAGCAGUCCCGCUUAAGUUCCAAUCUCCUUAGGUAGAAUUAAUUAAAUGUACUAAAUUAAGAAAAUAAAUCCCAAUUAUUUAUUUAUUUACAAAACAAGUUUGUGAAAAAUCAAAGGUCUGUUAAUUUGAAUGAGGAUUCAACUUGCUCAACUUCACCAUCCCAAUAAUGUUUGAGACAUUGACCAUUAACUUUAAAUGUACCUCCGUGAUUGUCGUAUAAUUCAAUAGCUCUAUAAGGGUAAACUCGAUAGAUGGUAUAAGGUCCUUUCCAUCGGGAUUUCAGCUUCCCAAGAAAUAACUUCAGCCUUGAAUUGAACAAUAAAACCUUCUGACCUUCUUUAAACCCGCGAGGUCGUAUAUGACUAUCAUGCCAUCUUUUUGAUCUUUCUUUACACAUUUUGGCAUUCUCAUAGGAAAACAACCUCAACUCUUCCAACUUAUCCAGUUGUAACAUCCUUCUCUCACCGGCUUGCUUAAGAUCAAAGUUCAAUUUCUUCAAAGCCCAGUGAGCUCUAUUCUCCAAUUCUAAUGGAAAAUGACAUUCCUUCCCAAAAACCAACCGAUAAGGAGUCAUUCCUAACGGUGUCUUAAAUGUUGUUCGAUAAGCCCAUAAUACAUCAUCAAGCCUUCGAGACCAAUCUUUUCUGCUAGGGCAUACUACCUUUUCAAGGAUACCUUUGAUCUCACGGUUCACUCUUUCAACUUGCCCAUUAGACUGAGGGUGAUAAGCAGUAGCAAUCUUGUGUUUCACAUCAUAUUUGUCAAGCAAUCACUUAAGCCAUUUGUUCACAAAGUGAGAACCUUCAUCACUAAUAAUAGCUCUUGGUGUCCCAAAUCGUGUAAACACAUGCUUAUAUAGGAAUCGCAUGACUACCUUAGCAUCAUUUCUAGGGUAUGCUUUAUCUUCAACCCACUUGGACACAUAAUCCGCAGGAACUAAGAUGUAUUUGUUCCCAUAUGAAGAAGGAAACGGUCCUAAGAAGUCAAUGCCCCAUACGCCAAAUAAUUCAACCUCUAAAAUAUUUGUUAAGGGCAUCUCAUUCCUCCGUGAUAUGUUUCCGCUUCUUUGGCAUCUAUCACAGUUCUUCACAUAAGCAUAAGCAUCUUUAAAUAGUGUAGGCCAAAAGAAACCUUCUUGCAAAAUCUUUGCUGUGGUUCGUGCAUCACCAAAAUGUCCCGCACUUGGAGAUGAAUGGAAAUGAUGUAAGAUCUCAACAAUCUCAUUUUCAGCUACACACUUUUGGAUUAUAUUAUCUGCACACUGUUUAAACAAGAACGGGUCCUCCCAGAAAUAAUACCAACUUUCAUGAAGGAAUUUCUUCCUUUUUUGGUAUGCCAAUCUCGAGGAAUUAUUCCACAUGCAAGAUAAUUAGCAAAAUCAACAAACCAAGGUGUUUCAUGAAUUUGACUCACCUCAAAUAAGUGCUCAUCUAGGAAAUUCUUGUUGAUAGGCACAUGUGAUUGAGUUACCUCAUCUUACUCCAACCUCGAUAGAUGAUUAGCUACUUGAUUUUCAACACCUUUUCUAUCUUGGAUCUCAAGGUCAAAUUCUUGGAGUAAAAGUAUCCAACGAAUUAGCCUCGAUUUUGCAUCUUUCUUCGUGAGCAAGUAUUUAAUGGCUGUAUGGUUAGUAAAUAUUGUAACUUUGGUACCUAUAAGAUAUGAGCGGAAUUUGUCAAAAGCAAAAACUAUAGAAAUAGUUCCUUUUCAGUUACCGUAUAAUUGAGUUGGGCUCCCGUCAAGGUUCUCCUUCCAUAGUAAAUGGGGUGGAACACUUUAUUCCUUCUUUGACCCAUCACAGUUCCAACGGCAUAAUCACUUACAUCGCGCAUCAACUCAAAAGGUGUGCUCCAAUCAGGUGUAAUGAUUAUGAGGGCUAAGAUUAACCAUUUUUUAAGCUCUUUAAAAACUUCUAAAAAUGUUUUGCUGAAAUCGAACACUGUAUCUUUCUCUAAGAACAAACACAGUGGUUUAGAAAUUUUCAAAAAAUCUUUGAUAAACCUUCGGUAAAAACUGGUAUGGCCUAAGAAACUUCUAACUCCUUUCACAUUCAUUGGGGCCAGUAAUCUUUCAAUUAUGUCUACCUUUGCUUUGUCGACUUCAAUUCUUUUCUUUGAAAUUCUAUGCCCUAAGGCAAUCCCUUCCUUAACCAUAAAAUGGCAUUCCUCCCAGUUAAAGACUAGAUUUGUCUCUUCGCAUUUCUUCAGUACCUUAACUAAAUUACUCAAACAAAUAUCAUAAGUGUUACCAAAAAAUCAUCCAUGAAAACCUCAACAAAAUUUUCGACCAUAUUAGUGAAUAUUGCCAUCAUGCAUCGUAUGGACAAGUAAAGGUUGUUUUAUGUUGGUCUUCUGGAGUGAUAACUAUUUGGUUUUAUCCCGAAUAACCAUAUAAAGAACAAUAGAAUUCAUUACCUACCAGUUGAUCUAAUCUGAUCCAUAAAAGGCAACGAAAAAUGGUCCUUCCGAGUGGCUUUAUUCAACUUCCUGUAGUCAACACAAAUUCUCCAACCAGUAACAGUUAUUGUUAAGAUCAAUUCGUUACACUCAUUCUCAACAAUCGUAAUUCCACUUUUCUUCGGCACACACUGUACCGGACUUACCCACGAACGAUUUAAAAUAGGAUAGAUGAUUCCAGCAUCCAGCCAUUUGAUCACUUCCUUGCUCACAACUUCCUUCACAAUAGGAUUAAGCCUCCUUUGCCCAUCAAUUUGAGCUUGUUGACCUUCCUCUAGAAUAAUUUUGUACAUGCAAAAUGAAGGGCUUAUACCUCAAAUAUCAGCUAUAGUCCAACCAAUUGCUUUCUUAAAUUUCUUUAGAAUAGAAAUUAAUUGCUCCUCUUGAUGUUUUGUCAGUUCGGUCGAAAUAAUCACAGGCAAAGUAGAACAAUUACCUAAAUAAAAGUAUUUCAAAUAGGAAAGAAGUAUCUUUAGUUCAAGUGUAGGUGGUUCUUCAAUUGACAAUUUGGGUUGCACAAAUUCUCUAGCUUCCAACUCCAACGGUUCAAACCGUGUGGAUUGAAUAAAAUUCCUCUGGUUGGCUUCUAUCACAGCCAUGUUUGCUUCACCUUCUUCAUCCUCCAAAGGGUCAAACCCUAAGGCUUUCUCUAAUUGAUCUUCUUCAAGAUGGCUUUCUAUAGAAAUCAAGGUUUCUAUUUCUUCCAUAACUGAGCACUCUUCUGUCGGAUCUAGAAAUUUCAUUGCUUUAAGAAUGUUAAAAGUUUCUUGAUCGUCUUGAACUCGUAUGGUGAGUUUGCCUUUUUGCACAUUAAUUAACGUUCUUCACGUGGCUAGGAAAGGUCUCCCAAGGAUAAUUGGCACUUCCUUAUCUGCUUCAAAAUCUAAAAUAAUGAAAUCAGCAGGAAAAAUAAAUUUAUCAAUUCUUACAAAAAUAUCCUCGAUCUUUCCUUCGGGGUAUGCUAAAGAUCAAUUUGCUAGCUGAAGCGUCACAGUUGUAGGUCUUACUUCUCCUAUCCCUAGCAUUUUGAAAAUAGACUUAGGCAUUAAGUUGAUACUUGCUCCCAAGUGACACAAAGCUUACCACAAUAAGAUUCGCCAAUGUUACAGGGUAUCGUAAAGCUUACUGGAUCCUUCAAUUUCGGUGGCAGCUUAUUCUGCAGAAACGCACUGCACUCCUUUGUCAGAGCGAUAGUCUCAUACUCACUCAGUUGUUUAUUCUUAGAUAGUACAUCCUUCAUAAACUUCACAUAAUUCGACAUUUGUUCUAAAGUCUCCACCAAUAGAAUAUUGAUGUGUAAUUACUUUAGAACAUCCAAAAACUUCUUGAAUUGCACCUUCUGUUUCUGCUUGUGUUGCUGCAAUUUUUGUGGAUAUAGAGGUGAUGGAAAUUUCGGUUGAACCGGACAACUCUUCUAAGUAGGUAAAUCUGCAUCCAAAGAAGAUGUUAAAGUAUCUGAAUUCACUAAGUUAGGAUUUACCUUGUCAGUCUUUGCAGAUUCUGACUCUUUUGGUGUAGGGACUUAAACAGCUGGUUAACUUUCCCCCUUUCCAACAGGCUCGUCCUCAACAUCAAUCAAUCGAGGUUCCAGAAUUUUACCACUUCGCAACGCCACUGCUUUGAUAUGUUCUUUACCCAAAUUUCUUGGAUUCUCAGUAUCGCUUGGCAAGGUUCCUUGUGGUCUAUUAUGAAGCUCCGUAGCUAACUGGCCCAUUUGGUUGUCCAAAUUUUUUAGUGUUGCUACUUGACUCUGGAUCAAAGAAUCAUUCUUCACCAUGUAUGCUUUCAAAAAGUUCUCCAAACUAUUUGAUGAUUCAGCUUGAGGUGGUUUUGGAGCUUGCUGAUUAAACCCCUGAAAUUGGUUAGGUCUAUGCUGCAUAAAGUUAUUGUUUGGUCGAUUUCCUUGGUUGCUCUAAGAAAAGUUAGGGUGAUUACACCAUGAAAGAUUAUAGAAGUUGGACUAGGGUCCUUGUCUACUCCUAUUUUGAUGUUGGUUCCCCACAUAGUAUACUGACUCGGGAUUCAAUGGGCAAUUCUCGAAAGAAUGACCUUCCCCACAGCACACACAGGAAACUACUUCAAACGAACUUGGUAGCUGAGGUACAAAAUUAUUAGCACCAUUACCGGUAAACUCUUUAACAUAGAGGAAAUAGACGAUACCUGAGCUAAUAACAAAGUGAGAGCAUCAACUUCAUGAACUCCAGCUAUACGUCUUCUGAAGCUGUUCGAUUUGUUGGCCAUUGAUAGUUGUUGCUCGCGAUCCUCUCGAUGAUCUCAUAAGCCUCAUUAUAAGACUUAGACAAAAUUGCACCAUUCACAGAAGCAUCUACCAUCAAUCUUGUAUCUGUAUUGAGAUCAUUAUAGAAUGUCUCCAACUGGAUACAAUAAGGAAUCCCAUAAUGAGGACCCUUAUGAAGUAACUCCUUGAAUCACUCACAAGCCUCAUACAAAGACUCGUCAUCCAAUUGUUGGGAAGUUGUGAUCUCGCCCCUCAACUUAGCAUUUUUGCUAGGCGGGAAAUACUUAACCAAAAAUCUCUCUGCUAAUUCUUGCUAUGUAGAUAUAGAACUUGGUGGCAAUGAAUUGAGCCAUGCUCGUUCUCAAUCUCGUAACGAGUACGAAAACAACUUCAGCCUCAGUGCAUCUUCAGUCACACCGACUAUCUUGAAUGAGUCACUCACCUCUAUAAACAAUCGAAGGUGGAGAUGUGGAUCUUCUGUGGGCAUACCACUAAAUUGGCCCACCGUUUGUAGCAUUUGAAACAUCACUCGUUUCAAUUCGAAUUGGGUUGCCACAAUAUCUGGCCUUCUAAUUCUUGGAUUUAAGUCAUUGAAAAGCGGCACAACAUAUUGUCUGAUGCAUCGAUCCCUAUUAUCGGUAAUGAGGAUAGGAUUUCGUACAUGUUCGGCUUCAUUACGUUGGUCUUAAUUUUCCUUUCCAAGGUCAAUCUCGUUCUGUCUCUGAGCUAUUCGUUCACGUCUUCUUUGUCUAAAAGUUCACUCAAUUUCAGGGUCUACUAAGAGUAAAUCGAUAAUCCGAUCUAUGCUCAUAAACACCUGGAAAGAAAAUUACAAAAUUAAAAAGAAUGAGUUAGUACUGUUAGAAAUAACCAAAUUGAAAAUAAAUAAUUUCACAAAAAAUGCCUAUAGCAACAGUUGACAAACCCUGGCAAUAACGCCAAAAACUUGUAACGCUCGGGCUUGUGCAAGUGUACACAGUCGCUAUCAAGUAAUAAGUAAGUAUCGAGUUAUCGUCUUCAUAGGAAUUGUAUUUGUGCUAAGUCACUUAAUUUGUAAAAGUGUAUUAACAAUUUGAUAAAUAAAAACAAUAUAAUUGAGAAGUGAUGAAAAAUUAAGUAUAUGAAACUAAAUGCAAUGAUCCCUAAUGCAAUUUAUCCUAAGUAUGCAAACUAUAUGAAUGAGAUAGAUUUUAGCAGAAUUAACGCAAUAAGCAACAAUUAUAACAUAAAGAAGCUAGGACAAUUACUUUAAUUAAACUCAAAUUAUUAUCAACAUGCUUAUCAAUAUUCAGAAAAACAUUCCAUGGUAACUCGAUCUUUCAUGAGUUUGGAAACCACGUUAGGUCCUUUUGGAAUCCUUUACUUAGUAAAUAUGCAUUUUAACGAUCUUUAUUUACUAAGAGUUUCUUAGUAUUCGAGUGAGGUAACAAGGACGUGUUAGGUUUGAAACAGUUUAAUCACACAAAUCUAAAAACUAUGCAGAUAACAGAGCCUGGUUAGGGAUGUUAUGCAACCUGCAAUUUAAUAGGGUUAGGAAACAUUUCAAUCACAAUUAUGUGUUCAUUAGCCUUCAUCUGGUUAGGAUUGCUCAGCUAAUUCAGGUGCAUUUCAAUCACGUAUGAAUGAAAUAUAGAUUUGAUUUUAAUUAAAAACAUGAUCGAUUGUGGCACAAAUAUUAUAAGCAUGAAUGAAAUAAUUAUUAUUAAAUCAAAGAAGUCAUCCUAGCUUAAAUAAAAUUAAGCUAUCAUUGUUGUAAACAAGAACAAAGAACACAUAGCAAAAAUUCUUGAAUUAAAUUAAAGUAAGAAAGAUUAAACCCAAUUUAGAGUGGCUGUCACCCAAGACUCUAACUAAUGAGGGCUCCUUCGUUCCUUCGCUUUGCUCUUUUGCUGAUGGCUCUCCGAGGUGGCUGACCAAGGGUUCUGUAAGAGGCUAAUUUGCUUAAAAUAUUUAAGCAAAGAUGAUGAUAGGAAUGAGGGCUAAGAGAGUUGAGAGUGGAGAGAAUGACGAAUGAGUGAGGGAUGAAUGAGGGAUGAGGGAUGAUUGAAAAAGUGAGAAAGCGGCUCUAAUUUAUAGGUGAGGCAUGGGAGCUAGUUUGCUAAAAAUAGGAGUGUCCAUCUUUCAAAACUCCUUCCAAGGGUGGCCGACCAUGAAUUGAGGGAAUGUGGCUGAUUUUUCUUGAUUCUUGGUCAAUUUGAGUGCCACAACAACUCAGGACUAAGACUCGGUCACCAGCAAAUCUUUGGACAAAUCUUUGAUUUCUUCAACUCUUCAAGGACCUUUUGUAAUCAAAAGAUGGUUUAUGAACCUCCAUAUUCAGCCGAAUUUUGGGUUGACUUGGCCCUCCAUUUGGAUGGUUUUGUAAUCAAAUCAAAGCUCUUAGACUUGUCCAAAAAUAAAUCAAUAAGUUAGAGGACCAAAGAAUUAAAUUUUACCAACUUAAUUAAAUUAAUUAAAACCCAAAUUAUUAAUGAAAUAAAUUAAAAUGAAUUAUUAAAUAUAAUUUUAUAUUUUAUUAUUUAAUUUAAUCAUGCAUGACCCACUUUAUGUCAUAAAAAUAUAAUAUGCUCAAUUUAAUAUAAAAUAAGCCAUUUUAUGCAUGAAAACUAUAUAAUAAAGCAUAAAAUCACAUUUUAAUAAUUUCUAUGUCCUGUUUUCAUAUUUUCAAAUAUUUCAUUAAUUUAUUAAACAAUUACUUGGUUUUAACAACAAAUUUAUGUAAAAAUGUAAUAAUUUAUAUAGGAAAAACCCUAUAUAUUUUUCAGUUUACAACACAUCAUUAAAAUAUUGAAGAUUUAGGGCAUUACAACUCUACCCCUAAAAGAAAAUUUUGGCCUUGAAAUUUACCUGAUGAAACAGAUGAGGGUAUUGUUGUCGCAUCACCUCCUCGGGUUCCCACGUGGCUUCUUCAGAACUGUGAUUACGCCCUAGCACCUUAACCAGAGGAACCAACUUCCUUCUCAGAACUUUCAUAUCGCGAUCUAAGAUUUGGACUGGCUCUUCCUCAAAGGUCAAAUCUGGUCUAACCUCAAUCUCCUUAGUCGAAACGAUGUGUGUAGGAUCAGAGUGAUAUCGUGUCAACAUAAUGAUGUGGAACACAUCAUGAAUUCGAUCCAACUCUGAAGGUAACUCAAGUUGAUAGGCAACUGGUCCCGCACGUUUCAAUAUACAAUAUGGCCCAAUGAACCUAAGGCUUAACUUGGCCUUUCAACCAAACCUCAGUAACUUCUUCCAUGGUGAGACCUUACGAAACACCAAAUCUCCCACCGAAUACUGAAUCUCCUUACGCUUCAGGUCCGCAUAAGACUUCUGUCUGUUCGAAGCCGCCUUCAGCCGAUCUCAAAUCAACUUCACCUUAUCCUUGGUAUCCGAAAUCAACUCAGGGCCCAGAGUACACCACUCACCCAACUCAGUCUAACAAGAAGGAGUACGAUGCCUACGACCAUAUAAUGCCUUGUAAGGUGCCAUCUGUAUGCUAGACUGGUAGCUAUUGUUGUAUGCAAACUCUGCCAACGGUAAGUAAUCUUCCCAACUAUGCCGGAAGUUAAUCACACAACUUUUUAACAUAUCCUCUAAUAUCUGAAUCACCCUCUCUGAUUGCCCGUCUGUCUGAGGACCUCCAGUAUGUGAAUCACCCUCUCUGACUGCCCGUCUUUUUGAGGAUGGAAUGCAGUACUAAAGUCCAACCUUGUACCCAGUGUUUCAUGUAACUUCUUCCAAAAUCGAGACAUCAAACGAGGUUCUCUAUCGGAUAUGAUGGUAACCGGUACCCCAUACAGUCUCACAAUUGCAGACACAUAUAGCUUAGCCAACUUUUGCAACGAGUAAUCUGAACGAAUGGGUAUAAAAUGGGCAAAUUUAGUCAGUCGAUCAGCGAUGACCCAUACUGAAUCCUUCUUAGUAAGUGUUAAGGGUAGCCCACUAACAAAAUCCAUAGUUACUCUCUUCAACUUCCAAAGUGGAAUUUUAACUGGCUGAAGCAACCCUGAAGGCAACUGAUGCUCCGCCUUAACCUGUUAGAAAGUUAGGCACUUAUUCAGAAAAAACUUCACGAUUAAGCCUUGGCCACCAAUACAACUCGCGAAGGUCUCAGUACAUCUUAUGCCUGCCAGGAUGCAUAACAUAAGGACUACCAUGCGCUUCUUGCAGUAUAGACUGCCUUAAAUUAGUAUCUUUAGGUACAGACUCUCUCAUAGAAACAAAGUACCCCAUUCGCUAUUCAGCCCAAAAUUUGAAGUUUCCCACCCUUAAUCUGUUCAAUCCACCUCGAUUUAACUUGAAGUUCAGCCAGUAAACUACCAUAAUCAAAUAAACUGAGAUGAGCAAACACUGUACUCAAAUUAGUAACAGCCCUACGGCUAAGUGCUUCACCUAACACAUUAGCUGUACCAGGAUGGUACUCAAUCGAACAGUCAUAGUCCUUAAGCAGCUCGAUCCACCUACGCUGCCUAAGGUUUAGCUCCUUCUGAGUGAGGAGAUACUUAAGGCUUUUGUGAUCCGUGUAAAUGAUACACAUCUCACCAUACAGGUAGUGCCUCCAAAUCUUCAGUGCGAAAACCACCACCGCCAACUCCAAAUCAUGCAUCGGGUAGUUCGCUUCAUGCGCCUUAAGUUGACGAGAUGCAUAUGUCACUACCUUACCCUCUUGCAUCAACAAACAUCCCAAGCCAACAUGUGAUGCAUUGCUGUAGACAGUGAAGUCCUUCCCAGACUCUGGUUGUAUUAAGACAAGGGCCUCAGUCAAAACUUUCUUAAAUCUCUCAAAACUUUCUUGUUGCUUAUCAGUCCAAUUAAACGGUACCACUUAUUGCAACAAAUUAGUCAGAGGUGCAGCAAUCAAUGAAAAUCCCUCAACAAACCGCCUAUAAUACCCUGCCAAUCCUAGAAAACUUUGAAUCUCAGAUACCGACUUAGGUUGCUUCCAUUCUAGAACCACAUCAAUUUUUUGAAGAUCAACCCUAAUCCCCUCAGCAGAUACCACGUGACCCAGAAAAGUUACCUCACGUGGCCAGAAUUCAGAACUUGCUGAAUUUAGCAUACAACUCCUUCUCCCUCAAAAUCUGCAGAACAACCCAAAGAUGUGCAUCGCGUUCCUCCUCAGUCCUUGAAUACACUAGAAUGUCAUCUAUAAACAUCACUACGAAUCGAUCCAGAUAGGGCUGGAACACUCGGUUCAUCAAAUCCAUAAAAGCUGCUGGUGCAUUCGUCAGGCCAAACGGCAUCACUAGGAACUCGUAAUAACCAUAAUGAGUCCUAAAUGCUGUCUUGUAGACAUCAGUCUCUUUGACCCUCAGUUGAUGAUAUCCCGAUAGGAGAUCAAUCCUAAAGAAGACCGACGGUCCUAGAAACUGGUUAAAUAAAUCAUCAAUCCUCGGUAAGGGGUACUUAUUCUUGAUAGUCAAUUUGUUCAGUUGCCGAUAGUCGAUGCACAUCUGCAUGGUUCCAUCCUUCUUCUUCACGAAUAAAACUGGUGCUCGCCAUUGGGACACGCUAGGGUGGAUGAACCCUCGAUCUCGUAAUUCUUGAAUCUGCACUUUAAGAUCCUCAAGCUCCUUCGGUGCCAUUCUAUAAGGGGCAAUAGACACUGGAGCUAAACCAGGAAAGAGCUCUAUCCCAAACUCAACUUCACGGUUAGGAGGUAACCCUAGUAACUCAUCGAGAAAAACUUCUGAAAAAUCCUGAACUAUUCUAAUAUCUUUCACAGAUGAAAUCUCAGAACUCGAAGCACUGAUGUAGGCUAAAUAAGCCUCACAACCCUUACGUACCAACUUCUCAGCCCUAAGUGCAGAAAUCACAUUUGAUAGAUAAUUUCGACACUCUCCAAUCAUAAUUACCUCAUCACCCUUUUCAGUUCUCAGUAUCAUUCGCUUUGCAGCACUGUCCAAAUUUGCCUGAUGCUUAACCAGCUAGUCUAUACCUAAUAUUAUGUCAAAUUCCCCAAAAGAAAGUUCUAUCAAGUCAGCUAAAAAGAUCAUUCCUUGAACCUCCAAAGGUACAUCCUUAAACAAUUUUCUCACUUUCACAGACUGCCCUAAUGGACUGAACAUGAUAACCUCAUUCGUAGUGUUUUCACACAUCAUACCCAACGUCUUAGACAUAGUGCAUGCUAAGAGUGCAUAGAUCCCACAUCAAGCAAUACAGUGUAAGGUACAUUAUGAAUAAAGAACAUACUUGUAAUAACAUCUGGGGCAUCUCCGUCCAUUCAGCAACGUGUAGCAUAAACUUGUGCUGGCUGCCUCGCCUCAAUAUGUCCAGCACCUCUGCCUAGUGCUCUAUGACCACGGCCUGUACCAUUUCCACCACUGGCCUGACCACAGCCUCUCGGUGGCUGUUGAUAACCUCUCUGUGGCUGAACAGUACCCAUACCAAUAGCUUGCAUCUGAUCGGGCCUUAGAGACAAUCCCUGUUACGGUGCUCCGUAGAUCUGCACCUCAAACAUUCCCCUAUCCGUACCCAGCACUCGCCCUGAUGGCGUUUCCCACAAAUAGUACAAUGUUGCGACCUGAAAGUAGCAAUAGGGGGCCUGAUUUUGACUGGCCUAUUAAACCUGGCCUUUUCCUUAGGCCUCAUAGCUGAACCUGAAGGCUCCCAAACCCUCUUGUUUCUACCCUUAUCCUUUUCACGAUUCUGGUGCUCAAUGCGCUUCACAUCCUCAGUAAUCUUCGCCUUUUUCACUAACACAACAAAAUCUCACUCCCUCUGUGGACCUAUCAAAACCCGUAGAUCAUAUCUGAGGCCGUCCUUAAAACGUACGCAACGUUCAUACUCAAUUGCCACCAUGCCUCACGCAUAGCAGCUCAAUCACAAAAAUUCUACCUCAUAUUCAGCUACGGACUUAUCCCCUUGGGUCAGAUUCAGUAACUCCUUUCUGCGGGCAUCCACAUAGCUAGUGCCCACAUAUUUCCCUUGGAAUGCAUUCUUGAAAAACCCCCAAGUCAACCGAUCGGGCUGAGUACCCUCUUUCACUGUAAGCCACCACUGAUAGGCUUCAUCUCGUAGUAAUGAUACUACUCCUUUUAGUUUCUACUCGAGAGUACAGUCGACGUCAUCCAUGAUCCUCUCUGUGGCCUCAAUCCAAUAUUCAGCCCUAUUAGACCUGAGUCGUUCCGUUACUGACUCGUGGCUCACAGUACCAGUAUUGGGCCCAGCGACCCUCUCCAAAAUUCACAGCAUAGCCUGGGACAGUGCGUUGUCCCCAGUUACUCGAUCAUGUGACCCAGUCUCAGCCAGAGGUGAAUCCGGAGCCUGUCUUGCCUCAACAUUAGGCAUAUGGCCCGAUGCUGAAGACCCAGCCUGAGCACCUCUACGGCCUCCACCGCGGCCUCUUGUACCCCUUCCACCAGUACCUCUGGUGCUCAUUAUCGAUUUGGGUAUUAUCUGUAUUAAUAGUUUUAUGCAUUAGUUUUAUAGUUUCAGUGUUUAUUAACAAAUGUUUUAUGAAAAAUAGCAUCAAUAAUUCAGAGUUGUUUGUUUUCGCAGUUCGUAGUCUUACUACAGUUUUAGGUUACCCUAAUAAAGGUUUCAUUAUAGUCUAUUAUCUAUGAUAAUCUUAGUAUUUCAGUUAAAACAUACAGUAGUUUUAAAGAACUUACAGGAUCAGCGACGGAGACUCAGUAGGCCACACAUUCAGAAGUAUAACUUCAAAAAUUCUUUACUAUUAUUUGAAAACGGUUCCUUUGAAAAUUUACGUCUUUUAGAAAAACCCAAAUCCACAGUUGAGAUUUGCAUCAUGGCUCUGAUACCACUAAAUAUAACACCCCAAACUCGGCCUAGAUGUUAUAGCCGCAUCUGCAAUGUCACAUUGAAGUGAGUUUUGAAAAACAUUAUUCUAUUAGUGAAAUCAGUUUGUUUUAAAACUCGUUUAUGAUCCUUAUACAAAGCUAUCUUAUUUUAUUUAUUUGUUAAAUAAUGGGUUCAUUAAGCAAAACAUGACUCAUACAAAAUUGUUUUUACGCUUUAAAAUAUUGUUCGUUGCAUUUUGAAACUAGUUACGUGGCAUAGCAGUGAAAACAUUUUACCUUCUUAAAACCCGAGUCCUACAGCUAGCAGAUAUAAGUCAAUUUAAAUAAAAUCCCAAAUAAAAUGAAACUUUAAAAUGACCUUAUUACAUAAAAUUUACCCAUAUAAAACUACUUUUACUAAAUUCAAUUAGAAACAUAAUCAGUGGUGUGGCCAUCUUUGAGUCCCUCGUAGCACAGACCCAUCUAAGGAUUACCCGCAUAGAUAGGUGGAAAAGGUGAGUUUUUGAAAAUUCAGUGUGUAAUCCAUAAUAAUCAAACAGUCAAACAUACAGUGUUGAACAGUUUGGGCUUAAGCCCAUAUCAGUCGCAGUAUCAGUGUGGGCCUUAGCCUAAUAUAGUAACAGUAUUAGUGUGGGCCUUAGUCCAUUUCAGUACAGUAUCGGAAAUGCAUACAGAGAUCCUACCCAUCCAUCCUCUACACUCCACUCUGUCCAGCCCUACACUCCAUGUGGGGAUAAAAUCGACCCACUCAUCCCUACACUCCAGAAUAUAGUACCGGUCUUGACACUAACUGUAACACCCCAUACCCGUAUCCGAGGCCGGGCUAAGGUACGAGGCGUUACCAGACAAACAUACAAACAUUAAACUAAAAUACGAGCCAUAAAAUUUUAUUCAUAUUUCAAAGCGUUCAUUCUCUUACACAUAGUCCCUUAUUUGAGUCUACGGAGCCCAAAACAUACUUUAGAAAGGGUUUGGGACUAAACCGAGAACUUACGAAAAUCUUGGAAAUUUCAUGCUUUAAGGCUCCACACGCCCGUGUCCCAAAGUCGUGUUCCAUACAUGGCUGAGACACAUGGUCAAGUCUCUGCCUGUGUGGAAUAUACCAAGGCUAUUUUCCAAGCUUUGGUCAACCUUGAUCUCUUACACACUUAUACAAAAUCAAAAUCAUAUAACAUGGUAUUCAUUUAAUGAUUAAACAUCCUCAAUUAAACCACAAACAUGGCAUUUUUAUGUCAUCAUACAUGUGUCUCUCAUACUCAUUUUACCUUGUUUAUUAUAGUACCACUUAUACAUUUAUACCAAGAUUAUCAUCUUACCAAAUAUCUUCAGCUUAAUCAUCAAGCAUUCAUAUUUAAAGCUAGAUCAUAUCUUUAUAAAAUACCACGAUUUAGAUGCGCAGAAUAACAUGUUUGCCUGAAACAUUUCAAUUCAAUUCCAUACCCAACAAGCAUUACAUUGAGACUAGUCAUAUAUAUAUAUACAUGUCAUGAUACAUAACAUUCUCUUUUUGUUUUCUUAUAAACACAUAUCAUUUAUUUAAUUAUAUCAAUAUUUCAUAUACCAUAGUUUCCAUGUAUUCCACAUAUAUUUAUUUUCCUCCUCCUCCUCUCCAUUCCACAUCCUUAAUGUAUAUAGCAUUCUUGUAAGUACGAUUUCACAAUUUACUAAUAAAUGUUCACAUCAAACUGUCCACACGAGUCAUAGUCACUUAAUUAUUUAUAAUUUGAGCUACAGAGCUCCAAAUUAAGAUCCAUAAAUUUCCCUUGAAACUAGACUCACAUAUCGUUCCACCAUAAAAUUUUCAUAAUUUUUGGUUUAGAAAAUUAGUACAGUUUAUUCAUUAAAAUUUCCCCUGUUUCACUUUCUAACAGUUCUGACCUCUCUUCACUAAAAAAAAAUUAUCUCACAGUACAGAACUCGGAUAAUAUUCUUGUUCAUUUAUCUUGAAAAUAGACUCAUUAUGGAUUUAAAAAAAUAAUUUUUUUCCUCUAAUUAUUUUUAUCCAAAUUUUUGUGAUUUUCCAAAGUCAGAACAGGGGAUCACGUAAUCAUUCUGAAUCAGUCUCACGAAAACAUAAAUAUAUCAAAAUAUAGAACUCCUUUGCUUUCUAUGUUUCUUUUAUAUGAAAGUAGACUCAUUAAUCUUUAAUUUUAUAUCUCAUUCAGUCUCUGAUUCAAUUUAUACUAUUUUUGGUGAUUUUUAAAAAUCACGUCACUGCUACUGUCCAAAACUGUUUUAUUGUUAAUUCACUUUUUCACACUUUCUUUGUAUUAACCUCAUUUUAACAUACAUAUCACAAAUCAUUUUCACCACAUUUCAUACAUCACAAGUAUAGGCCCAUGAUCACAAGGUCAUCAUAAAAUCAUCCUCAUGUAUAACUUACUUGUUUAUAACCUUACCACAUCCUGGUCACUUAUUGAACACAUCAUUCACAUAACAAAGUUCCUGCACAUAUUCAUCACAAAACCCACAAAGCAAUACAUAGAGAGUCUCCUGCUGAACACUUCGGAUCGAUCCUCGAUACUUGGUGGUUUCAGCACAUAGCUCCACCCAUCAAUAGUUCGGCUCUCUUGUACACAUGGUGAACACUUAGUACCACCCAUGUGACCUAGCCAGUUUAUCUCGUAGCUCUCUUGUCUACAUGGUGUCCUUCACUUGGAACCACGCAUGCGACCUAGCUACAUAUAUCCCGUAGCUCUCUUGUCUACAUGGUGUACACAUAGUAUCACCCAUGCGACCUAGCUACAUCAUAAUGUCUUGUAGCUCUCUUGUACACAUGAUGUGCACUCAGCACUAUACAUGUGACCUAGCUACAUACCAUCUGUAUCAUCCAAUCUUUCCGAAGGUUCAACAGGGAUUUCUCUCUCUUUUCCAACAAUUUCACCAAUCAAGUAAUUAUCCACAUACAUAUUUCCAAUAUUUUUAUAAAAUAUCAUAAUACAAGUAAUAGUGAUGUAUUACUUACAUAUAAACUUACAUCUCAUUUAAUAUCAACGCAAUAACAUUAAAUUACACAUUGUCUUAUUAAAAAUCAUAUGAACUUACAAUUUCCCAUAAUAUCCAUAAUCAUAGAAAUCACAUUUAUGUAUGAUAAUUCAAUGCACUUCAUGUACCAUAGACAUAUUUUUAAAUCAAUUCAUAAACUUGGCACCAUAAUCAUUUAAUUUAACAUAAUUCAAUUAAUUCACUAAAUUUAACUUUCAAAUAUAAAUUACAGCAUUAUUGUUGUAUUAUUAUCAUACCAACUUACAUACUUUCAACACCUCAGAGAUCAUAGUAAAUAUAUCAAUUUUACAUUGAAACAUGCAUAAAUUAAUGCUUAUUAUACAUAUGAACUUACCUUGAUAUUAAAACGGCCAUUUUACCAACUUUCCCAAUUUUCGAUUUUUCUUUCAUUCUAGGUUCAAAUCUCGUUUUCUGGGAUCUAAAACAUCAUAUUUUACUUAUUUAAUUAAUGUACUAUUCAAAACAGUCCUUAACUCAAACUUUGGAAAAAUUACAAUUUUGCCCCUAAACUUUUGCAUAUUUACACUUUUGCCCCUAGGCUCAGGAAUUAAACUUCAUCCCUUAUUCUUAUGUUUUAUGACAUGAUGAUCACUUUUCCCUUCUAUGGAAACAUCAAAUUCUCACUCUAACAUAUACUUAUGACUAUUAGGUAUUUUUACCGAUUAAGCCCUUUUGCUUGUUUUCACUUAAAACCGAGUAGCACAAGUUGUCUAACAUAAUUUAAAACCUCAUAUUGUAUCAUAAAACACCAGAAUACACAAAUUUUACCUAUGGGUAUUUUUCCAAAUAUGAACCCUAGGUUGAAUUAUUGCUAGCAUAAGCUAAAUCAAGUUACUGGGACUCCAAAAACGUAAAGAACUUGAAAAACGGGGUUAGAACAGACUUACAAUUGAGCUUGGGAAGCUUGAAAACCCUAUCCAUGAGUCUCCCUUGGUAUACACGUCCAUGGUGAAGAAGAUGAGCAAAAUUGGCUUUUAAUUUUGUAUUUUAAUUCAUUUUACCCCUAAAUGACCAAAAUACCCUUACUACUAAACUUUCCAAAAAUUCCAUCCAUGUCCAAUUUUUGUCCAUAACUUAGAAAUUGGUAAAUUUUAUAUUUAAGACCUUGUAAUUAAUAUUUCAAAUCAAUUUCAUACUAGAAACUUCUAGAAUUCAAGUUUUGCAACUUCUUCAAUUUAGUCUCUAACUUCAAAUUAAGCACUUUAUGCAUAGAAUUUCUUCACGAAAUUUUCACACAAUCAUGCAAUCAUAUCAUAGACCUCAAAAUAAUCAUAAAAUAAUUAUUUAUAUCUCAGAUUUUGUGGUCCUGAAACCUCUGUUCCAACUAGACCCAAUUUUGGGCUAUUACAACUCUCCCCCCUUCAGAGAUUUUCGUCCUCGAAAAUCUUACCGGAGUGAGGUUUAGUAUCUUGCUCAUAAUUUCCAGCAUUACUAACUAAUUUUUUUCAGGAUGAUACUUUCAGAAACACUCUGUCAUCAAUUUGAAUCCCAAGAUAACUCAGUAAACUCUGAUAUUUCUCUAACUCUGGUCAUAUCUAUAAUUAUUUUAUCACUGAACUCUUUGAUUCCACACUUAGGAACAUAGUCAACAUGAUUCUCAUGAAUUUCCAUUAUAUACACCUCAUCGGUAAGGGGGUGAGGUCGUACAGUCUCUAACUCGAUUCUGACAUAUAUCUAUAUGACACAUUUUUUUCAUUAUACACAUAUGUCAUUAUAAUCAUACUAUCGACUUCAAACAAUUUAUUAUUCAUACCUGUCUUACAUAAAAUUUCCAAUUAUCUCAUUUCAAACAAGUGCACUCACUCAUACAUUCUAUGAAUUUUGAAUAACUUUAAUCAUCACAUUUACUAAUUAAUUUAGUCAAGCAUGCAACAGCAUCUGAAGGCCAAACAAAUAUGAAUAAAUAUAUCACUAUAUAAACUUUCAUCUCACAUAUUAUCACAUAUACAUAUAUCACGAAUUCUUAUUCAUAUCUUUCCGAGUUUAACACAUCAUAGCUACACUUUAUUCAAAUACUUCAAUAUCGCUAUCAAAUGGUCAGAUGUAGCUCGGUUGGAGAAUAUUUCAUUUCAAACAAAAUAGUCCGUAUUAGUGUCGGGAGACAUCACACUAUCACAUAUUUGUGGCAUGUAUAACUAAACUCUUACACUUGCUAUGUUAGUCCAAGAAUCGACUAAACCUGCUCUGAUACCACUAAAUGUAACACCCCUUACACGUAUCCAAGGCCGGGCUAAGGUACGAGGCGUUACCAUACAAACAUACAAACAUUAAACUAAAAUACGAGCCAUAAAAUUUUAUUCAUAUUUCAAAGCGUUCACUCUCUUACACAUAGUCCCUUAUUUGAGUCUACGGAGCCCAAAACAUACUUUAGAAAGGGUUUGGGACUAAACCAAGAACUUACGAAAAUCUUGGAAAUUUCAUGCUUUAAGGCUCCACACACCCGUGUCCCAAAGUCGUGUUCCAUACACGACUGAGACACAUGGUCGUGUCUCUGCCUGUGUGGAAUAUACCUAGGCUAUUUUCCAAGCUUUGGUCAAUCUUGAUCUCUUACACACUUAUACAAAAUCAAAAGCAUAUAACAUGGUAUUCAUUUAAUGAUUAAACAUCCUCAAUUAAACCACAAACAUAGCAUUUUUAUGUCAUCAUACACGUGUCUCUCAUACUCAUUUUACCUUGUUUAUUAUAGUACCACUUAUACAUUUAUACCAAGAUUAUCAUCUUACAAAAUAUCUUCAGCUUAAUCAUCAAGCAUUCAUAUUUAAAGCUAGAUCAUAUCUUUAUAAAAUACCAUGAUUCAGAUGCGCAGAAUAACAUGUUUGCCUGAAACAUUUCAAUUCAAUUCCAUACCCAACAAGCAUUACAUUGAGACUAGUCAUAUAUAUAUACAUGUCAUGAUACAUAACAUUCUCUUUUUGUUUUCUUAUAAACACAUAUCAUUUAUUUCAUUAUAUCAAUAUUUCAUAUACCAUAGUUUCCAUGUAUUCCAAAUAUAUUUAUUUUCCUCCUCCUCCUCCUCCUCUCCAUUCCACAUCCUUAAUGUAUAUAGCAUUCUUGUAAGUACGAUUUCUUAAUUUACUAAUAAAUAUUCACAUCAAACUGUCCACACGAGUCAUAGUCACUUAAUUAUUUAUAAUUUGAGCUACAGAGCUCCAAAUUAAGAUCCGUAAAUUUCCCCUGAAACUAGACUCACAUAUCGUUCCACCAUAAAAUUUUCAUAAUUUUUGGUUUAGCCAAUUAGUAUAGUUUAUUCAUUAAAAUUUCCCCUGUUUCACUUUCUGACAGUUUUAACCUCUCUUCCUAAAAAAUAAUUAUCUCAUAGUACAGAACUCGGAUAAUAUUCUUGUUGAUUUAUCUUGAAAAUAGACUCAUUAUGGAUUUUAAAAAUAUAAUUUUGAGCCUCUAAUUAUGUUUCUCCAAAUUUUAGUGAUUUUCCAAAGUCAGAACAGGGGAUCACGUAAUCAUUCUGAAUCAGUCUCACGAAAACAUAAAUAUCUCAACAUAUAGAACUCCUUUGCUUUCUAUGUUUCUUUUAUAUGAAAAUAGACUCAUUAAGCUUUAAUUUGAUAUCUUAUUCCGUCUAUUAUUCAAUUUUUACUAUUUUUGGUGAUUUUUCAAAAUCACGUCACUCUUACUAUCCAAAACAAUUUUAUUGCUAAUUCACUCUUUCACAUUUUCUUUGUAUUAACCUCAUUUUAACAUACAUAUCACAAAUCAUUUUCACCACAUUUCAUACAUCACAAGUAUAGGCCCAUGAUCACAAGGUCACCAUAAAAUCAUCCUCAUGUAUAACUUACUUGUUUAUAACCUUACCACAUCCUGGUCACUUAAUGAACACAUCAUUCACGUAACCAAGUUCCUGCACAUAUUCAUCACAAAACUCACAAAGCAAUACAUAGAGAGUCUCCCGUUGAACACUUCGGAUCGAUUCUCGAUACUUGGUGGUUUCAGCACAUAGCUCCACCCAUCAAUAGUUCGGCUCUCUUGUACACAUGGUGAACACUUAGUACCACCCAUGUGACCUAGCCAGUUUAUCUCGUAGCUCUCUUGUCUACAUGGUGUCCUUCACUUGGAACCACGCAUGCGACCUAGCUACAUAUAUCCCGUAGCUCUCUUGUCUACAUGGUGUACACAUAGUAUCACCCAUGCGACCUAGCUACAUCAUAAUGUCUUGUAGCUCUCUUGUACACAUGAUGUGCACUCAGCACUAUACAUGUGACCUAGCUACAUACCAUCAGUAUCAUCCAAUCUUUCCGAAGGUUCAACCGGGAUUUCUCUCUCUUUUCCAACAAUUUCACCAAUCAAGUAAUUAUCCACAUACAUAUUUCCAAUAUUUUUAUAAAAUAUCAUAAUACAAGUAAUAGUGAUGUAUUACUUACAUAUAAACUUACAUCUCAUUUAAUAUCAACGCAAUAACAUUAAAUUACACAUUGUCUUAUUAAAAAUCAUAUGAACUUACAAUUUCCCAUAAUAACCAUAAUCAUAGAAAUCACAUUUAUGUAUGAUAAUUCAAUGCACUUCAUGUACCAUAGACAUAUUUUUAAAUCAAUUCAUAAACUUGGCACCAUAAUCAUUUAAUUUAACAUAAUUCAAUUAAUUCACUAAAUUUAACUUUCAAAUAUAAAUUACAGCAUUAUUGUUGUAUGAUUAUCAUACCAACUUACAUACUUUCAACACCUUGAAGAUCAUAGUAAAUAUAUCAAUUUUACAUUGAAACAUGCAUAAAUUAAUGCUUAUUAUACAUAUGAACUUACCUUGAUAUUAAAACAGCCAUUUUACCAACUUUCCCAUUUUUCGAUUUUUCUAUCAUUCUAGGUUCAAAUCUCAUUUUCCGGGAUCUAAAACAUCAUAUUUUAAUUAUUUAAUUAAUUUACUAUUCAAAACAGUCCUUAACUCAAACUUUGGAAAAAUUACAAUUUUGCCCCUAAACUUUUGCAUAUUUACACUUUUGCCCCUAGGCUCGAGAAUUAAACUUCAUCCAUUAUUCUUAUGUUUUAUGACAUGAUGAUCACUUUUCCCUUCUAUGGCAACAUCAAAUUCUCACUCUAACAUAUACUUAUGACUAUUAGGUAUUUUUACCGAUUAAGCCCUUUUGCUUGUUUUCACUUAAAACCGAGUAGCACAAGUUGUCUAACAUAAUUUAAAACCUCAUAUUGUAUCAUAAAACACCAGAAUACACAAAUUUUACCUAUGGGUAUUUUUCCAAAUAUGAACCCUAGGUUGAAUUAUUGCUAGCAUAAGCUAAAUCAAGUUACUGGACUCCAAAAACGUAAAGAACUUGAAAAACAGGGUUAGAACGGAUUUACAAUUGAGCUUGGGAAGCUUGAAAACCCUAGCCAUGGAGUCUCCCUUGGUAUACACAUCCAUGGUGAAGAAGAUGACCAAAAUUGGCUUUUAAUUUUGUAUUUUAAUUCAUUUUACCCCUAAAUGACCAAAAUACCCUUACUACUAAACUUUCCAAAAAUUCCAUCCAUGUCCAAUUUUUGUCCAUAACUUAUAAAUUGAUCAAAUUGCUAUUUAAGACCUCCUAAUUAAUAUUUCAAAUCAAUUUCAUACUAGAAACUUCUAGAUUUCAGGUUUUGCAACUUCUUCAAUUUAGUCCCUAACUUCGAAUUAAGCACUUUAUGCAUAGAAUUUCUUCACGAAAUUUUCACACAAUCAUGAAAUCAUAUCAUAGACCUCAAAAUAAUCAUAAAAUAAUUAUUCAUAUCUCAAAUUUUGUGGUCCUGAAACCUUUGUUCCAACUAGACCCAAUUUUAGGCUAUUAUACUAACAGUAUUUGCAGCAGAGCUGCCAGUAUAGGCUUAUAGCCUUUCAGUAUACUUCUUCCAAUAUCAUAUAUCCCACCCCAUGCAAUGCAACAUAGUAUACAUGUUCAUGCAAUAAAGAUGGCAUGCUCAACAGUCAUACAACAUACAGGGGCAUAUCCGUCAUUUAUCACAUAGGGGUAUAACAGUCAUUUCAUAGAUUAGGGUCUAGAUAUACUUAUCGACCCGUCAAUAGAUCCACAUUCAUCUCGAGCGACCUGUGCAACCUUAACAGUUUAAACAAAAAAAAUAGCCCCAAGCCCCUACUACAGCCCAUGUGGGCCCGCUUGCUCGUGUGGCCCAUUAACCUCAAUAAUGGCCUUGGCCGUGUGAACUACACAGCCUGGCCCUUUAUACUUCACACAUCCGUGUGAUUUACCCGCCCACUCGGUCCAUUUGAACCCAACAUAGCCCAAAACGACCUAUGCCUACGAGAUCGCUCGUGGUGGUCUCUAUAGUUACAUGCUUGCGCUUAUGCGUUUAGGUGACCACAUAGUCGAACGCACGCCCGCGUGGCAUCAAUGGUAACAUUUUUCUGGCUUUUUUCAUUUAAUGAUUUAAGCAAUAUGAUUACACACCUGUUACGAGAUGCGCGCUAUGACCAAGAGUUUCCCAAACCUACAUUCAGUCACGAUAAUCCAUUAGUCGAUUAAUACUAGGGUUAAUCACCCUUUCCUAUUCCCAACUUAAUUUCAUCCAAUACUUGCCUUGAACGGAGAAGUGAUUAGCCCUGUUAAAACUAUUGACGAAGGUUUGAUAAAGAACUCUUCAGUGAACACUACAUAAUAAACGGUUUUUAUUAAUCAUGUUUACUUAUACAUGAUUAGUUACAGAGAUAAGGGCAUUCAGCCAAUACUUAGGAUUCCAAGCCAAAAUACCCCAGUCUAAAACAACAGUAACGAAAAUGCUACCUUCAAUCGAGAGACAAGCGAAAGAUUCUGAUCGCUUCUGUAACACUUGCGCACUUCUCCACUCCUCAAGAAGUAUUACCCCUAAAAAAUACCAGAGUUAUUAGAGAAAAAGAUUUGGCAUGAAGAGAAAAGAAGGGAAAACCAAAAGAAUAGAAACAACUAGGGACUUACCAGUCGAUAUUCGGCCAACCACCAACGAAAGGAGGAAGAGUUGAGAGAGAGUCGAGAAUAGAGAAGAGAAGAAGAAGAAGCAAAUAUUCGAUUUAAAACAAUAUUAAAAGCGAAUACUGGAGCCCGACAAAAAGAAGAGAAGAAGAUAGGGGUUCGACAUGGGUAAGGAAAUGCAGAAGGAGUGAGAAAGAGAGAGAAAAAUCGAUCUAGCAACCUACACAAUUGAAGAGCUGCCCAAAAAGUCUGAUACAAAAAUCCUCAUAAGUCACAAGUAGCAUUCGGCUACCAAUAAAGAACAAAGCCGAUAGAUGACGAAAAAGAAAAGAGAAGAAAAACUGGAAAGAGGUGGAACUAUUGAUUCGAGAGUACAAAACCAAAAGAAAUUUCGGCACCAAGUUGCCUAACCAUCCUAUGACUGAAUGGCUUAAGAGAGUCCUCAUUCGGCACCAUUACUACCACAACUUCCCACUUCCUCGAUUCUCUUCUAAUUUCCCUUUUCACCAAACUCAAAUCAGUAACUCCCUCAUCUAAUCCCACUAUUCUCUCCUCAAAUUUGACUAUUUACUCCUACACAACCACUCCACCCUCAGAGUUUCGGUCAACCCCAACCACCUACCUUGCGAGAGCAGCAAAACAUUACUCCCUUGCGCUUAGGGUAGUUCGAACUCAAGACCCCUAGGCACACACCACACGCCACAUGCCACCUGACUAGCAAGCCCUUCAUGUCGUGCAACAUUCAUAUUAAUUUAAAAGUCUAUUAACAAUAAACAAGGGUUUAUUCAAAAAGAAACCAAAAUUUUCUCUAAAGCCUAGGUUUGAACCCAGGUCCUCUCACACUACUCAGGACCCUUAACCACCACAACAUGUAAACCACAUUCAACAUAACAUGUCAUUAAAAUACUAAAGAUUUGGGGUGUUACAUAAGGAGCUACGAGAACUAAUUGAGGAUUAGGUGGGGGUAGAGGUUGUCGUGUAGCCGAAUUUAUCCAAACAUAUUGUGUGAACCAUUUGUUCAACAUUUAGAAAAAAUCUUCUUUAGCCUUUCCUCUGUGACUACUCGAUAUGUUUAUAAACUCAGAAGGUGCUACCUCUUGAGCAGGAGCUGGCACGUUACUCUCUACAUUGUCAGCUAUAGCUCAAUCAGGAUCCAUUUACUAUACAAAAACACAUUUUAAAUUGUCAGGAGUCAUCACACUAUCACAGGUUAUAUAUGGCAUGUAUAGCUAGACUCUCACACUUGCUACGUUAGUCCAAGAAUCGACUAAACCAUAGCUCUGGUUCUAAUAAAUGUAACACCCCUCACCCGUAUUCAAUGCUAGAAUAGGGUUACGAAGCAUUACCUAACUUAACACACAUUUAAACAUACAUCUUUCAUACAAUUAAUCAAUUUGUGAGCAAGUCAAUCACAAUUAAACAUUUCGUCCCUAAUAUGAGCCUAUGAAGCCCUUAACAUGCAUUUAGAGUAGUUCGGGACUAAACCGAAACUUUUGAAACUUAUUGAACACUUAAGAAUUUUUUUAAAAAUAAGGGACACAUGCCCGUGUCUCUCACACGGCCUAAAGACACGCCCGUCUCAUAAUCCAUGCGGACAUUCGAAAUUGAAGCAGAUGGCCAUGUCCUGGCCCCCAUGCAACUCUCUGACUUGGGUCACACGGCCAACACACACACCCUGUAACUAGCCUGUAUGCCCUAAAAUGACCAUACACACCUGUGUUUCAGGCUGUGCCAAACCUGUAGGGUAUACUAACUUAUGCCAUAAGGCCAAGUCACAUGCCCGUGUGUGAGGCCGUGUAGAGCAUACUGACUUGAUUUUAAUUUCAACAUUAGGGCACACACGGUCGUGUACAUCACCGUGUGUCACACACGGCUGAGACACAUGCCUGUGUCUCUGCCCAUGUGGAUAGAAAUAGGCUAUUUACCAAGCCAUUUUGCCACCCAAACUUGUGCACACCUAUAUUAUCCCAAAUAGCACCAAAACAUAACAUUAAAAGGCAUUUUAAUCAACUAAUUCAGCCAUAUCUCAUGAACAUUCUAUUCUCUCUUUCCCCAUGGACACAAAUCAAAAAUACAUGUUAUACCAUUUAUACCAAUUCACAUUUAUAAAUCAACUAAUUAUACACUUCUAACUUGUAUCAUUUAGCAUAAAAACCACAACUAUGUAACUACUCUAAAAUCAACCACUUAACAUCCUAAUAUUUAUAAUUUCCAAGCAUUAAAUAUUCAUCCAUAAACUCACAACACAAAACAUAUAUGCACAUAUUUAUACAUAACCAAAACAACCAAUUUAAGCCAACUCUCAUGGCUAUAUUUACAAAUCAAAACAUAUACAUUUACAAACCAUUUCACAUGGCCAAAAUCAUUAACAACCUAUAAUCAAAAUGACUCAAAAUUCCUAUACAUGCCAUAUAACCAAAACGUAAGCUUAUAAGUACCAAAUUGAUAGUUUGAUAGUGUGAUGUAGUCUUUGACGAUCCCUAAAAUUGAGCUAGCUUAGAAAUUACUAUAAAACAUAGAAAAUAAACAAAGUAAGCUUUAUAGCUUAGUAAGCUCAUAUGAAAUAAACUCAAUUUAAUCAUAAAUUCCCAAUUCAACAAAUUAAAUAUACAUCAACAUAUAACUCACAUUAACUAUCAAACCUUUCAUUUACUCAAUCAUAAGAUUAAACAUAUCCUUCACAAGUUUCUUCGGUUAGAAGCUUAUACAAUUCAUGUAUGUACCUGUACCAUAUUGUAUCAAUCUCAUACUCAAUCACAUCUUUCGUUUACCCGUUGAACCAUUCAUAAUACUAUCGGAUACUCGGGAAACUCGCACCUUAAGUGCCACAUAUAUGGCCAAAGCUAUCUCAACCACAUAUCACAUAUAUGGUCACUCUUAAGCUAUCAACGGGUCUACUCACACAAGCUAUCAGUUAAUACAUAGCUACACGGUGCUACUCACACAAGCUGUCAAGUAACCGCAACACAUGUCAGUAUACUUAGCCACUAGUAGGACGUACAGGGCCAGCACUUGGAUCACAUAAUCAUAACAACCUCUAAUGACAUGUCACUAGUAUCCAAAUCUAUUCCUAAGGUUCAACCGGGAUUUCAAAUGUCGAAUCUUUGUCGAAUCAUUGUCAAACAUAUCUGUAAUCUCGUAAUCACAUUUUAUGCAAUAUCAAAGCACUUAAAAUACAUUUAUAAUGAAAUUUGUUACAUAAAAACCUACUUCGGAGUAAAAACGACGAGACGAGUCGAUUAAUCGAGAACUUUGUUUAUCCCCCGAUCUAGAUCCAAGUUUCACUUUUCUUGAUCUAUAUGUAAUCAAAAUUAACUUAUUUAAUCAUCUCUCUAUUCAAUUUAGUCUAAAAUUCACUUUAAAGCAUUUUUACACAAUUGCCCCUAAUGUUUCUCAUCUUUUACAAUUUAGUCCUUAUUUCAUUAGAACACAAAUUCAUACAAUUUAGGACUAACCCAUGCUAGCCGAAUUACUAUUAUGCCCCUAACAGCCCAUAUCUUCAUUUAUUUCACAUUUUAACAACAAAGUUUCCACAUUUCAUAAUUUAAUCCCAAAUUUGCAUUUUCACUAAAAUCAUUUAACAAAACUUGUAUAACUAUCAUCAAACAUUCAAAACCUAUCAUAAGUCAUCAAAAUACAUGCUUAUUCAUCAAUAGAAACUUUCUAAAUCUUUAACAGUUUUGCAAAAUAGUCCCUAGGCUAGCUAGACCUAGUUGCAACGAUCUCAAAAACACAAAAAUCAUUAAAAACGAGACAAAAACCAUACCUAAUUGAGCAAUAAUAGCAUGGUCGAAUGAAGGAGAUGAAAAAUGUAUUUCCUUGCCCUAGUUUCGGUUGAAACAAGAAGAAAAAAAAUAUGAUACUUUGUUUUGUUUUACUUAUUUUAACUUAAGGCUCCGUUUGUUUGCUAGUAAAAUGUUUUCUGGAAAAUGAUUUCUGAAAAAUGAUUUACUUUUCUGGAAAUGAUUUACUUUUCUGGUGUUUGGAUGAAUCUGUGUAAAAUAUUUUCUUUUGUUUGGCAGAUUUCCUGAAAAUAUUUUUCGAAAAAGUUAUUUUUACAUAUAUUAAUAAAUUUAUAUUUUAAAUUGUUUGAGCAACAAUUAGUAUUAGCUUAUCUUAAGAAACCAACAUGAAAUUAGGCUUGAAAUACAAAAAAAGAGUCUCCUUAUCCUUGCCUCUUAUAUCCAAACCAAACAAAGCCUGGAUCCAGUCAUGUACACCAAAAGACAAGAUGGGUAAACAUAAGACGCAGAUCUAAAGAUCCAAAUAUACUUAUCCAUUAUAUCAUGGUUCUUAUGGAUAGAACAACAUAGACUAGUAAUAAAUUGCAUAUAUUAUGGAAUGUCAAAUUGCAUCAGAUGAGUUAAAUAUAACCAUGGAUACUUAUAAUGGCAUGUUUCUGAGAAAUCAAAAAGUACACUUCAAAAAAUGUUUAUUUGUGUUAGUAAGGAAAUUGUUAUUACAAGCAGUAUAACUUGCCUAAGGGAUGAACCAUAAAACACAAUAAUUAUUAGAAACCUAGACACAGUGGCACCCCAAGAAUAGAAAAUGUGACUACUUGCUCCAAAGCAGCAAAAUCCUCAUUCUAUUUGGUAGAGUAAAAAUCAUGCUUUUUCUCUAAGAUAUUCUCAUUAGCAACAAUCAGCUUCGAGAGGUAGAUUGAGCAGAUUUUUUCAUUUAAGUUAACAAAAAGAUAUUCUAAUUGCUGUUUUUCAUUUAAGCUAAGAUCAGAAACAUUGGUUUGGGAGGUAGAUGCUGCCUUCUUGGCUUUCUUGGCUACUUUUUUCUUAUGGAAUUCCUCCAGCUGCAAGAAAUGAGGGAUCAAUUGUAACAGUACUUGGUAAACAUACUCUAAAUAAUUAUUUGUUCAUUUGCAAAAACCCAUUUAUGUAAUAAAAUCUAACUAAAAACUUUUAUCAUAAGCAUAAAUCCAGAGUAAAAAUUAUACAAAAUCCAAUCAAUCAAAUGGACGGUUUAGGAGGAUAUCAACUUUUCAAACUAUGUAAAAGGCACAACAUUUAAAGACAAAACAUAGAAAUCUAGAAUUGGAGUUCUUUUUGUUUACCAGCCCUAGUUAGUAGAACAUGAAUGACUACUGAAAAAAAUAAGAAGAAGAUUUCUAAACAACCAGAACUGAUUCAACACAUCACAAAAUAGAAGUAGAAAUAAGACACUUCACUCAAGCACAAACACAUAUAGGCAACCUUAGACUGCAAUGCUAUCGUUAUGCAACUUAAAUACACUCUUCAUCUGAAAUCACUGUUAUUAGAGUGUCAAAUGCAAAGAAGCUUCUUCAUCUUUUCCAACUUGAAUACAAACAAAAGCACGUAAUGACAAAAGUGAACUCUCAAAUACAAUUUAAGAAGAUAAACCAAAAAACAUUGGUAAUAUUUUUAGCUCCAAUGGCAGCACCUUAGGCAGUUGCAAUGAUUUAAGGCAUAAAAGCAUUGAAAUUCCUAAAAGGUGUAAUCUAAAAAAAUAAUUGAAUCCAUAUACUAUCAAUUCCAGACAUGAUCUACCAAAGAAUUGCAAGACAAUACAAAUAUACUACAGAUCAUAUAUGAAAAUACCAAAAUAGACUGCCAAUUCUAGUCCUAUUCCGAAAUCGAUAUCCAAAAUAGCUGAUUAUAUAGUAACCAAACCAUUUACUAGAUCGAAAAUCAUAUUUCAAAAUAGAAAUAAACCAUCAAAUCAACUGAUAAAGGGAAACAAUUAAGAACAAAAAGAUGUACCCAGUGCUUCCCAUCUUCUAGAUGCUCUUGUUUCCGUGAAGAAGGCAAGGCCUGAGCCGAUGCCAUUUUUGUUUUACCCUUUCUCUCUUUUUUUUUUAAAAUUUAACGAUGAGAAUCCAAAAUCAGUAGAUGAACAAGGAAAACUUUGGAAUAUUCAAGUGCCUAAGAUACCUAAAUUCACAAAACUAUGGAUUUCAAAGCUAAAACGAGGCAUCAACUUUGAACAAUUGGUAAAACACAGGAAAAAAGAAAGGAUACUUAUGAAGUAGAUUCAAACCAUUCUAUGCCAAUGGAUUAAUUGUAAAUCUAAAACCAUUUUUAAAAGUAACGAGGCUCACUAGCAUUCAAAGAACCCUCUCAAUGGCUAUGCUUUCAAAGGGUUUCUUCCAUUAUGUUUUUUUUUCUUUUCUUACCAUUUUCAGGAUUGACCUUCAGUGAACUCUCUCAAUGGCUACAAAGAUGAUGGAUUUUAUUGUCAAAAUCAUUUGAUUUGCAUUAAUGCCUUAAUUUUUUUCGAUCUAGUUGAUACUAUAUCAAUGUUGCAACACACAAUUUCACAAGGAAGAAAACUAAUUUACUGAGCAUCGAUAUACUUGAGAAUUGAUCAUAAUUCGUAAAUUAGGUAAAUAAUUUCCUAUAAUUUUCAGAAUUUUCAUAUUUCUGAUUGAUCAAUCUACGAUUUCUCUCAACGAUUUCCUAAAUCUUUAUAUGUUUCUCCAAAUUCAUAAUCUUUCUUACUAGAUUAUUGAUUUUUCCUUAGGUGUUAGGAAAUCAUGAACUAUAAUGCCUAAUUGAUAGGAUGAAAUAAACAAUAAUUAAAAACAAAAAGGAAAAAGGAAAAGAAAAAGAGUAAGCCUACCUUGAGAAAAAGAUGAGUAUUGAACCAAACCUCAUCAACAAAAGGAAGGAGAGAAUCUAGGAACGAAGGCUUGAAAUAAAUCAGAGUGUUGGCGGCAAAAAGACCGGUGGUGGCCGGCGGCUUCUACGGCAGCCGGUAAUAUUAGUUGACGGCGUGAAGAGCCAACAACAACAACAUUCUAUCAGACACUGCCCCUUUCCUCAAUCUUCCGCUGUCCAUCGACUAUGGUUUUUUUCUACAAUUUUCACUUUGUGAAUCAAAAAAAAAAAAAUUCAAUGAAAGAUUAAAAGAAAAAGAAUCUUUCUUGCUACAUAUGCUUAGCAUUGCCUUUUCUAGACUCUUCCUUUAGUUUCUAUCAGAAAAUUUUUCUCUUUUGCAACCCAAGGGGAAGGGGAAAGGGAAGGGGAAGAGGAAGUGGGAGAAAAAUUUUCCCCCUUUUUUGGAAAAUGUCUUACACACAAAAAAAAGUGUAAGACAUUUCCCCAAAAGAAGGCUUAUUUUCCCGUGUUUUGGAAAAGAUUUUACAAUGGGAGUUUAUUUUCCACCAAAUAAACGGUGGAAAAUGAUGAAAAUAUUUUCAAGAAAACCAAAUACAAGCAAACAAACGGAGCCUAAAAUUUUAAAUCACUUAAUUAACCUUUAUUAUAAACUAUUAAAAACACUUAAUGCAUGUCUACCUUUUUCCAGUCAUGUUUCAAAUGGUAUAAUUACAAAAUAAGGACCUCUAAUUUAAGAUUCCAUAGCUAUUUUAUAAACUAUUAGGACAUCACUUUUGUACUUUAUGCGAUUUAGUCCUUUUUAUCAAAUUGACCAAUCAAACGAUAAAAUUUCUUAACAAAAUUUUCACACAAACAUAUUAUCAUGCUGUAGACAUUAAAAUAAUAAUAAAAUAAAUAUUUUGACCUCAGAUUUGUGGUCCCAAAAUCACUGUUCCGAUUUGACUAAAAACGGGCUAUUACAAACACUUUCUAUGGUGUUAUAGUUAAUUUCAUUAUAUUUUAUUAUUUCUAUUAGAAUAUGUUAAGAUUAUGAAUUUUAUGUUAAAUGCACAUUAUUUUGUUUUUUUUUGGGAUUAAUUGGGCUAAUGGAAAGGUUGUUAGAUCUUUUGUUGUAUUUUGGUCUUAGAUAGCUGCAAAUUGAAAUAUUAAAUAGUUCAGUCACAUGGAUUUCAAAGUGACAGUGAUCCAGUAAGAAUUCCAAGGAGGCUCAGUAUCGCUCAAAUUGGAGCCUAAAACCAUUUCUUACCUACCUAUUUUACCAAGAGAAUAGGCUGCAAUUAUCCACUGCUAAAAUUAGUAGUCCUUAACCAACCUUUCAAACUCCUAAGUAUAGCAGAUAUGACCCAAAAGUGCACAAAAUAAAAUUAGCACAAUAUAUUUCUUAAAUCAAGCCUUCAACCAUCCAAUUACUACUAAAAAUAGAAGUAAAAAACCACCACAAUUGGACCACAUGUGUAACAGCCCGAUUUUGGGCCUAGUCGAAACAGUGGUUUCGAGACCAAAAAUUCGACAAGGAAAAAUUUAUUUUUAUUAUAUUUUUAUGGUCUACAAUUUCACGGAAUGAUUUUUUGAAAAUUUCGUUUGAAAAUUUUGACGUUAGGGCACUCAAUUUAGUAAAAAAGACUAAAUUGUAAAAAUUGCAAAAGUUGAGUUCUAUGUGUUAGAGGUGUCCAAUUGUUAUGAAAUUUUAAAUUGGAUGUCCUUAAAUGGUAACUAGACCAUUGGUUAAUUUUUUGGACAAAAAAUGACAUGAAAUAGGUGAAAUAGAAUAUUUUUAAGUUAGGGGCAUUUAGGUCAUUUAGUAAUUAAAAUGAAUUAAAAAAAAUAAAAGCCAAAAUUUCUUGUCCAUCUUCUUCCUUGGCCGAAUUUUACAUGAAUAAACCAUGGCUAGGGUUUUCCAAGCUUCCAAGCUAGAUUGCAAGUUCGUUAGUGCCCUGUUUUUAAUGAUUUUUACGUUUUUGAAAUCCUCGUAAUAAGAUCUUCCUAUGUCUACAAUUUAUUUGAGUUAUGAUGAAGGUAUAGGGUUUGACCCAUGUUAUAAAUUUGUGAAUUUUGAUGUUUAAUGGUAGAUUAUGCAUAUUUAUGGUUGGAGAAAUAACUUUUGCUAAGUGAUUUUCGGUGAAAAUACUUAAAAGGACUAAAUUGUAGAAGUUAUAAAAUAUGUAGUAAAAGUGUGUUCUAGUGGAAAUUGUGGGCUUUUAUAGUUAUGAAAAUGGUUUGGAUAGGCUUAAGGUACAAAAAAAUUGAAUAAAUUUCAUUUUACAAGUAUAGGGGAAUAAAUGUAAAUAUGACAGUUUAAAGGCAAAAAUGUAAUUUUUCCAUAAUAUGAUUUUUGGGCCACAAUGAAUAAUGUGACUAAUAAAUAAGAUAAAUGUGAUAUCUUAGAUCAAGGAAAAUGAGGUUUGGACCUAGAACGAGGGAAAAAUGCAUAUUUGACGGUUAGGUCUUUUUCACCAUUUUUCGUAUCGAGGUAAGUCGUAUGCUUAAUAAGCAUUUAAUUGUAUAUGUAUAAAUGUUUAAUUGAUAUAAUUGUGAUAAAUUCCUUAUUAUUAAAAUGAACUGCGAAUGCUAUGGAGUACGGUAUUACGGAAAUGACCAUGAGAUUUUAUGAUACACUAUGCAAUGAUAUGAUCUAAAAUAUGUCUAUGAUACUUGAUGACAUUGUGAUGAGCUGUAAUUUCAUGUUUAAAUGUGAUUAUAUUUAUUAUUAUCAUAAUGAAGAAUUAUGUGAUUAAUCAUUAUCAUGAGUUAUAUGAUUGGUCAUCUGGACAAGUUCAACGAAGACGUGUAAUUAAGGAAAUCCCAUUUGAACCUUAGGAAUAGUUUAGGAUACAAGUGACAUGUCACUAGGAACUAUGUGAUCUAAGCUCAUGAGUUGUGAUCUGAGUUCAUGAUAUAUGUGACACAUGUUAUGGCAGUCUGGCUGCUGGUCUUGUAUGUUCUACAGGUGCUGGGUAGUCCGACAUGUGUUGUGGAUACCUGAUAGCUUGUGUGAGCAGCUUGCGUAUGUGUGAGAAGACCCAUGAGUAGCUCGAAAGUGAGCAACAUGUGAUAUGUGAUAUUAGGUAGCAUUGGUUACAUAUGGGGCACUUUGGUGCUAGAUUUUGAUGUAUCCAAUGGUAUUCCAAGUGUUCAACAGGUAACUUAUCAAGUAACUUGAUGGAAAACCUGAGGGGUAAGUCAAUGAGAAGCAUAAGUAUAUGGUUAUGUUAUGAGAUAGUACAGGUACGUACUCAAAACUCAUGAGCAUUAAGCUUGAUAUGUGGUAAGAAUGCAAAUGAAUGAAUUAUGUCUAUGAGAAUGAUUUUCUAUGAUGACCUUGUGAUUAUAGGUUUAUAUUUAUGAUGUAAAAAUAUAUGGUGAAUUCGAUUGAGAAUCUUGUGUAAGGCUUUUAGGCCAAAUUGAAUUGAGACACGAUGUGCUUAUUAUUUUAAUGUUGUGUUUUAAUAAAUAAUGAAAGGAGAGAAAGACCGGCAUAAAAGCAUAAUAAAAAUGAAUAUGAAAGUAUGGAUAGCUAAGAGUUUUGGACCAUUGAAGGAUGUUAAGCUAUAUGAAUUGGGAAAUAUGAAUAUACAUAAUUAAUACGCACUUUUAUUAUGAAUGCUGAAAUGAUUUGUUAAAUGUUGAAGUGUUUUAUUAUGAGAGUUUAUGUUUGCUUGAUUAAUGUCAAGACAGGAUAAAUUUAUGUUAUAGAUUAAAAGAUGGGUAUUGCAAUUGAUUAAUGUGUAACCACGAGAACAUAUCGAUGAAAUUGGUAAAUGCAUGUAAAUGAUUCGCUUAUUAUUUUCAUAUGGACUUACUAAGCUAUAUAGCUUACCCCCUUUUCUUUCCCACCUCUCAUAAGUUUAUUCAGCUAGCUCGGGUUAUAGAUUGUCGGAGAUUCUAUCACACUAUCAAGCUAUCAUGUUGGGUAAAUGCACGCAAACCUUUGAGUCUAUGGCAUGUAUAGGGACUUAGUCAUUUUGUGUAUGUGUUAUUAUGAUAUGGCCAAAUGUAUUGGCUUGUAAUGAAUAAGGAUUUGAUUUGGUAUGUAGCCAUAUAAAUUGGCUUAUAUUGGCUAAUGGGUUGCAAGUAUAUUAAUUACUCAUAUGCCUAUGCCGAUGUCAUUGUGUGAUGUGGUUUAUAAUGGUAUGUUAAUGAAAGUUAGUACAAGGGAAUCACGAAAGAGUAAAAUUAGCAUUAAAACAAUUUUGGAGCAGCAGUAGUACAAAUUUCAAAAAUCAUCAAAAAGUAUGGAAACCGAAUUAAAGGUUGAAUAAAAUAUUAAAUUAAAUCUUAUUGAGUCUAGUUUUACAUAGAAGAAAUCGUGUAAGCAAAAGAAUUUCAUUUUAUGAGUUAUUUGAAUUUUUGUAAGACAAGGUCAGAACAAUUUCGGGUUCCCCUAUUCUGACUUUGGAAAAUAAUUAAAAAUUGUAUAAAAAUACUUGGGGGUUUAAAUUUAUAUGUUUAAUUUCUUAAUGAGUCUAGUUUCAAUAGAAACAAAUGGGAACAUCAUUCGAAUCCCGUACUAAGAGAUAAUUAAUCUUUAGUGAAGAAAGGUCAAAACUGUCAAAUAACAGAAUAGGGACGAAUUUGAAGAAUUAACUGUACUUAUUGGCUAAACCAUAAAUUUUGAAAAUUUUAUGGUAGGAAUAUAUUUGAGUAUAGUUUUGGAAAAAUCAAGCGGAUUUUAAUUUAGAGUUUUUUAGCUUAAGAUAUAAAUAAUUUAGUGAUUAUGACUCAAGUGGACAGUUUUGUUAUGAACAGUAAAUAAUUGUUUUGAUAUGUUUAAGCCUUGAUUAUGGUUGUGUUGGUAGCUUAAUUGUGCCAUGUUAAGUUCCAUUGAAAGUGUGUACUUGAGUGUGCAAAUGAAGGUGGCAAAUAGCUUGGUAAAUAGCCACGUCCUUGGCCACACAGCCAGAGACACAGUCGUGUGUCUUAGUCGUGUGAAGGACACGGCCCCGAGACACAGGCGUGUGACUUGGCCAUGUGACUCCAAAUUGUGCAUGAUGUCAUAAACAGAGAGUUACAUGGGCUGAGAACAAGGCCGUGUCCCAAGCCACACAGGCGUGUGACUCUCCAAAGUAAGAAAAUUUUCUAGGUGUAGUAAUAGUUCCAAAAGUUUUCGGUUUAUUCCCGAACCACUCUUAACAUAUGUUUUGGGCCUCGUGGGCCUGUAUAAGGGACGAUAUGCAUGUGAUUGGAUGAAUUUGAUUUGGACAAAAUUUUAUGGCCCGGUUUGUAUGAAUGUUUAUGUUUAAGUUUGGUAACGCCUCAAACCCUAUCUCGAUGUCAGAUACAGGUAAGGGGUGUUACAAAAUGUGCCCGGUUAUGCAAGGAGAGACUAAAGCUAACUUCCUUGCUAAAAAUAGUAAGGAGACCCAUUCUCCUCACACCAAGGGACGACACCACAAGGGGAGAAAAUUAAGGCAACAACUGUGCUAAAUCUAGCAAGGAAGACUCAUUCCACCACCAUAGAAGGGACGACACAAGCAUGAAAGAUUACUCAUUUCAACAUAACAGCUUGAGACACAUAAUUGAAACAAAUAGAAUAAAUUCACUCUCACAUCUUUCUUAAGUGUGUCUUGCCUUUCUCAUGGCUUGCUGGACACUCAGUCCCCAAAAUAAGGCAAUCAGUUACCAAAAUAAGAGUAGAUAGGAGAUCAAAUUGAAGGUGUUUAGGUUAUUUUUAACCUAAAGAUGAGGAGGAAAGCCACUAUGGGAACCCUAAAGAGCAGCUGCAGUUAGCCUGCUACAUUCAACUUUUUACUGUUCACAUUGUGAAAUGGUCAUGGGAUAGCCCCCUCGACUACUCUUUCUUAUCUUUCUCUUUUUGUUAAAUUAUUGUGACACCCCAAACCUGACUUGGAUGGAUCAGCCCGAAUUCAAAUCGUUACAUUAGCUACCUAAGUGACUCUCCAACUAACGACUAGCCAAGACAGACUCCGACCUCAUACCACUUCAAUCUUAUCUAAUUAUUGAUCAUUUAUUAAUACAUAAGUAGAUUAUAAGCCAAUUUUAAAAUUUUCCUUGGUAAUUUAACCUAAGGGGAUUUUUGUCAUUUUACCACCUAUGGUAAAACUAACUUGAUUUUAAAUCUAAAUGUUUACCAACUUUCUUUUAGUCAAAACUAUGCAAGCCUAAAAAUUUUAGCUUGAAUUAAGUUCAUUAGCUAUGUCUAAUUCAAGUUUUACUAUUACGGAAUAAAUUGUAACAAAUACAAACUAUCACGACCUAUUCCGAUUUAUGAAUUAAGUGUGCUUCUAUCAAAAUUUACCCAUUAUGAGACUAAUCCCAAAAUUUUUCCAAGUUUCCUUAUCAUUUAAGGCUCCAAUUAGACUAAUCAAUUUUGAGAACUAAAAUACAAUUUAAACUAAUUAGAAUACCAAUUUAAAAAGACAAAAAUUAAAACCCCCAAAAAUCCACACGGCCAUGUCCCCCAGACCGUGUGUCACUAAAUGCCCGUGUGUGUGUUAUGAAAAAAUUUUAGGCAGAUUGCACAUGCCUGUGUGGAAAUUCCUACACGCCUGUGUAUGAUUGCUUUAGUUUCCACACGCCCGUAAGUAACCCUUCACACGCCCGUGUGAAAACCACUGCACCUAUUUUUGCGAAAAACUCAUUUGAAACCCGAUUUUGCAUAUUUUAAUGGUGAAUUAAACCCAAUUUAACUACGAUUAAUUAACAUAAAUAUACAUACACCUUUAAUUGAAUUUAUUGACAUCAAUUAAACCAUAAAUAAAUAUAAUUAAGCAAUCAAUUUCAUGCACAUCAAACACUGAAUAAAAUCAAACAAGUGGCGUACCUUAGUCACUAGUAAACCACUCCAUGGAAGCUUCAAUUAAACAAUCAUUAGAAUAAAUUUAAUGCCUCACACACCGUGUUAUCAAUCAUCAUUUUAUCAAGCAAUAAUACAUUGUAAAUCACUCAAGAAAUAAAUUCAAACAUGCCUCAAAAUUAUUAUAAACCAUUCAAAAUAAAAUGUCCAACGUCCAAAGUCCAUUUACAACAAAAAUCAAACUAAUUCCCAGGAGUACCACAAUGCCCGAUUACAGUCUCUAAAAUGUGUAUUAAAGUCUCUACCAAGCCUAAAUCUCUUUGAUCUCCCUUGCUUGGGUCCUCAGCUCCUCAAUCUCGACUAUUAUCUGCAUGAACUUGAGGGUGUGAGCUUUAAAAAUCUCUGUGAAUGUUAAUAAAAAACGACAAGCAAAUUAACAUCUAAUUCAUGCUUAAUUCACAAUCAAUAAUUCACCAAUUGUCAGCUAAUUGACAUGUCAAUUUAAUUUCCAAAAGCAUUUUCCAUAUCAAAAUUCAAUUAUUCAUGGCUUUCGAUUAUCAAUUGACAUAACAACAAUCACACAUAAAUAUAUUGGCAUACACUUACCAUGGCUUAAUUGGGUGAUCAUACAUCAGAUAAACGGAUCUCUGAACUCCCACAAAUAAAAAAUAAAGUCCACCAAGUUGAGCAGUUUGAUGCACGUGCUCUCUUAUAGUGCCUAAAAUAACCCAUUGAGUGGAGACUCAUGCUCAACACUCCUUUAUCUACUCCAACAAAUCAGUCCACCUAGAGCCUCAUUGCUCACAAAUAACAUAUCAGUAUGGUGAGUAUUCACAAAUCCUAUCACAUGCCAACUAUAUCCAAUGGAUCCACCAUGCAUGUUGCCAAUAUAUUCAAUCAAACAUAGCAAAUAAAUCAAUCAUUAUAAUGCUUAAUUUAAUGUGACAAAAUGAUUAUGUAUAGCUUGUAACAUAGCCAUUUAGCAUCCAAUUAAAUCAAGCAAUUCAUACACCAAUUUCCCAUAUUCAAUUAUUGUAACACCCUGAAUUCGGGCCUAGUUGGAACCAUUAAUUUAAGGUUAGAGAAAUUAUUUUUUAAAUAAUUUUAUGUGUUAUAGCAUGAUUAAAUGAGUGUAUGAAAAAUUUGGUGAAUUAAUUUUAGCGAUUUCGUGCUUAAUUGCGAAAAAGGACUAAAUCGCAUAAAGUGCAAAAGAUUUAUUCUACAAGAUAAUGUUGUUAAAUAGCUAUGGAACACUAAAUUAGAGGUCCUUAGUGAGCAAAUAGACCAAUAAAAAAUUAGCAGCUAAACAUGGAGACAAAGAAAUUGAAAAGUCAAAGUUUGGUGGGCAUUAAGUGACUUAUUUGGUAAUAAAAUAAAACAAAAAGAAAAAAAGGUUGUCAUCUUUUCAUCUUUCUUUUUCAUACACCGAAAAUGGCAGAAAACAUGGGGGUUUUGAAAUCCCAAACUUUCAGCGACUUAGUUCUCUUGCAAGUAAGUGUUUUUAAAGGUCUUUCUUGAUAAUUUUUGUAUCUUUCUAACCCUUGUAGCUUAAGCUAACUAAUGGAAGGACUAGUGUACAAAAUGGUUGAAAGUCUAGGGUUUUUUUGAUGUGAAUACUCAUGUUGUUUGUUGAAUUUUUAUGAAAGAAAAUGAAUCUUGGUUGUUUAAUUAACAACUUUUGUGAAAGGAUUUUUCAUGAAACCACCUAAAAUGUACCUUUUUGUAAAUGUUAUAAAAUAGGUGAUAAAUGUGUGGAAUAAUUGAAAUUGAAAGUUGCUAUAAGCUUAAAUCAUGUUCGGCUAGGCUUGGUUAAUAAGGAAAUUCGAUGAAAAUCAUUUUACGGGCCUAGGGGCAAAACCAUAAUUUUGUGAAAGCUUAGGGGCAAAAUUAUAAAUUUUCCAAAGUAUAUUUUAUGGGCAGCUAGUAAUAAUUAUAAAAAUUCGUCUAAGCUUGGGUUGUGUUUAAUUUCAUGAAUUUGCACUUUUAUGUGAUAGGGACUAAAUUGCAAGAAUGUGAAACAUUAGGGGCAAAAGUGUAAACUUGCCGUAAUGUGAAUUUUUAGACUAAAUUAUAUAAAUUGAUGACUAAAUAUGUAAAAUUUGUUAUUAUGUAGAUUGGGGAGAGAUGAGAUUUGGAUAGAGAACGAGGGAAAACAAAGUAUUGGGUUAGUCGACUCAAUUCGUUGUUUCAGCGAACGAGAUAACUUCAUAUGGUUAGUUAAUAGUUACCAAUUAUUAAAUUUGAUAUAAUGUAUUAUUACUACGUGCAAUUGUUAUCGAAUCAUGAUAAUAUGAGAUUGAAUUGAAAGAUCAAUCUAAGAAAAAUGCAGGGUCGAGUACAAUCAGACUAGGACUCGUGAUGAAUUGACGAAAAAGACCAUGGUUGGACCAUGGUGAUAUGAGAGCCAGUGUAAGACCAUGUCUGGGACAUGGCAUCGGCCUCGAUAUGUGUCAGUGCAAGACUAUUUCAUGGCAUCGACACUGGUUUAUGAGAGCCAGUGUAAGACCAUGUCUGGGACAUGGCAUCGGCCUCGACAUGAGUCAAUGUAAGACCAUGUCAGGACAUGGCAUCGGCACCGAUUUAUGAGAGCCAGUGUAUUGUUAUAUGAGCCAGUGUAAUACCAUGUCUGGGACAUAGCAUUGACCUCAAUAUGCGAGCCAGUGUAAGACCAUGUUUGGAACAUGGCAUCGGCAUUGUCAUGUAUCAGUGUAAGACCACGUCAAGGACAUGACAUCUACACUGAUGUAUGAUAGCUAGUGUAAGACCAUGUCUGGGACAUGGCAUCAACAUUUUACCCUUUUGUAUGAGGCUUAUCGGGUAUCCUUUAAUAUUCCAACUGGUUCAACAGGUAAUUUAAUGAUUGUUUCAUGAUUGAGAAAAGUUAUGAUGAUGUUACAAGUGGUACAGGUAUGUGUGCAAAACUCAUGAGAAAUGAUUUCAGUUUAUGAUACACCUUGGGUAAGGAUACAAAUAAGUAAGUCAUGCCCAUGAGAAUGAUUUUUUGAUGACCUUGUGAUUAUGGGUCUAUGCUUAUGAUGUAUAAAUAUGUAUUUUUACCAUGAUGGUUGAAAUGAUUUGUAAAGGUGUUAUAAACUUAGUUAUCAUUAUUUUACACUAAAACAGUUUUGGAAAGCAGCUGUAGUUCGACUUUGAAAUUCCACCAAAAAUUGUGAAAAUUGAUUUAGAAGUUGAAUAAAAUAUGAAAUUAAAAAUUGUCGAGUCUAGUUUCAUAUAAAAGAAACGGUGUAAGCAAAAUAAUUUCACGUUAUGAGAUAUUUGGAUUUCUGUAAGACAGGGCUAGAGUGAUUUCAGGUUCACUUGUCUUAAUUUUGGAAAAUCAUUAAAAAUUUUAUGAAAAUAAUUAUGGGUUAGAAUUCAUAUGAAUAAAUACUUAAUGAGUCUAUCUUCAAGAGAAAUAUGCGGGAACAUUAUCCAAGUUCUGUACCGUGAGAUAAUUAAUUUUUAGUGAAGAAGGAUUGAGACUGUCAAACAGCAGAAUAGGGGAUACUUUAAAGAAUAAACUGUACUUAUUGGAUGGACUAAAAAUUCUGAAAAUUUUAUAGUAAGAAGAUAUGUGAGUCUAGUUUCAGGGAAAAUUAGCAGAUCUUAAUUUGAAGUUCCGUAGCUCAAGAUAGUGACUGUGACUCGAGUUGAUAGAUUGAGAUGAACAAGAGUAAAUAGUAGAAUUUUGUGCAAUUAUGAUUGUAUUAACUUGAGAAUAUGUUGUGAGAAUAUGGAAAAAACAUGUCAAUAAAUAUCUUAUUAUUUUCAUAUGGACUUACUAAGCUAUAUACUUUACCCUUUCCUUUUUCCUCAUUUUAUAGGGUCACUAAGCUAGCUCGAGUUAGAGAUCAUCGGAGAUUCCAUCAGACUAUCUAGUUAUUGAAGGGUAUAAAUGAUUUCAAGCACUUUAAGUCUAUGGCAUGUAUAAGGACUUAGUCAAUUGGGUAUGUGUCAUUUGAUUUGACCAAAUGUAUUGGCUCAUAAUGGGAAUAUGAUUCGUUUUGUAUAUGGGCAUGUGAUGUGGGUCAUAUUCGUUAUUGGGUUGUAAACCUAUCCAUAUAUGCAUGCAUAUGCUAAAUGUUUCAUAUGGUGUGGUCCUGUGUGUUUGGCAUAGAUGAAUUGUGAAUGUGCCCUAGAUUACUUGAUGGUUUUAAAGUGACUAAAUUGGCCUAUGGAUAUACCUUAGCAUAAGUAUGAAGUGUAAGAAUGUCUUAACGGUAAUUAUGGCAUGAAGUUGAUAAGUUUAAACUAGGCAAAGUAUGGUGACUUAUGCAUGAAUAAAUCGAUAUGAAAUUGCCUCGAAAAGUGCCAUUGAAGUUAUGUUUAGGUAAGCACUAACGAGGGUGCCAAGUGUCUUGGUAAAUAGCCAUUUUCUGGGCCACACGGGUAGAGACAUGACCAUGUGUCUCAUCCGUGUGGAGGACACGGUCUAGCACACGGGCGUGUGACUUGGCCAUGUGACCCUAUAUCGCUGCUGACGUCAUAAACAAAGAGUUGCAUGGGCUGAGGACACGGACGUGUCCCAAGCCACACGGGCGUGUGUGACCACAUGGCCUAACCUAUAUGGGCGUGUGACUCUCCAAAACUAGAAAUUUUCUAAGUGUUGUAAAACGUUUGUAAGUUCUCGGUUUAGUCCCAAACCACCCCUGAUGUAUGUUUUGGGUCUCGUAAGCCCAAAUAAGGGACAUUAUGAAUAUGAAUGAAUGUUUUUAAUUUGAAAGAAAUUUUUCUUGCCCGAUUUCACAUAGUUGUGUAUGUUUAAGUCCAGAAAUGCCUCAUACCCUGUCCCGACCUCAGACUCGAGAAAGGGGUGUUACAAUUAUCCAAUGUAACACCAACAUAUCAUAAUAAAAAAAUUUCAAUACACAUGAUUUAUAUUAUUCUUAAAAUUAAACCAAUUAAUUAACACAACACCACCCAAAGUAAAGACUCACUUACGAUUUUAUUUUCAUACAAAUUUAAUAUAUUGCACAAUUACUACUAAUCUUGCAAAACAAACCAUUCAACCAUAAUUAAUUACUUGUAAUAAAUAAUUAAGCUUCUAAUUAAACAUAAUUGAGGGUCAAUUUACCAAAUCUUCAUUAGAAACACUCACCACACAAUUUUUUUUCUACCACAACAAGUGAUCAACUAGGCAAUUUCUAGCUUCAAUUCCGGUUGUCUCGGUCUUCAUCAAGAUUCAGAGCUUUAACAAAGACAAUGUAAGCAUUACCACCUUUCCAAAUAUGAAACACAAAUUUUAAUUAACUAUACUAAUCAAAAUCAUUUCACAAAGAUACCUUACCAGAUUUGUAACAUUAAGUCGAAAACUCGAUUCCUCACAAAAUUGACCUCUCCAGCCCUCUUAAUCACUUCCAAACAUCAAUACUAAACCAAUUACACAUAAACUAAACAUCAAUUUCAGAUUUAAAUCAAUUUCACAAAAAUUCAGAAAAUCGGUUCAUGAAGAUUAUGAAAUUCAGAUUUCUUCAAAUUACCUUACAAAUCAUGUUUAAUCUUGAUAAAUAAGAUCAAAAACCUUCUAAUAGAUCCAUUUUGAGUUGGAACAUCCAUUUAUUUGUGGAUUACGUCUCAAAAUUAAAGAUCCACCAUUAAAGAACCUUAAGCUCUUGAAGAAGAUGACAUUUAUGAAGAAUCAUAUAAUUAUCACUCAAAUCAUGCAAAACUGUUUCUAAUUAUCAUAAAAAUAAGUUUAGAAAUAAUAAUUAACUUUGAUUCACUCUAAAUCCUUUGAUUGAAAAUCUUGAUUCAAGAAUCUUGAGAAAUUUCAAAAUAUUUUUGGCUACUUUUGAGAAUAAUUUCGGGUGAAAAGAGAGUAAUUUGAUAUGGAAAUCGUUUGGAUCUAUUCUCUGAUGAUAGAUCUUUAAAACCGUGCAAAGAAAACGAAUUUUAUAACUCUCUAAUCUGAUGUAAAUGGUGUGGAAAUUAAGGUAAAUGUAUUGUGUUUAAAAUUGAAACAAUCCACCAGAAAUUUAAAAAUUGGGGAAUUUGCCUAAUGGCCACUCAGAACCCCUAAUUACUAAAAAUUAUUGUUUAAUCGAUUUCAGAUGAAAUUAAUCUCCUAAAUUAAAUUAAAAAAAUACUAAAAAGCCUAAAAAUUCCUAGUUUCCCACUCAGAACCCAAAAAAAAUAUACCGGAAAUUGUUAGACCCAAUUUAGGGAUAUUACAACUCUCAAAGAGAAAUUUCAUCCUUGAAAUUUACUUGAUUCAAAUAGAUACGGAUAUUGACAUUUCAUCACAUCUUCUGACUCCUAGGUGGCUUCCUCAGUCUUGUGGUUGCACCACAAAACUUUUACGCUUGGAAUCGUCUCAUUGUGUAGCGCAUUGAUCUCUCGAUCUAGGAUCGCAACCAAUUCCUCUUCAUACAAAAGAUCAGAUCAAACCUUGAUCUCUUCAACAGGAUUAACGUGAGAAGGAUCAAAUCUGUACUUCCAUAACAUGGAGACAUGGAAAACAUCAUGAAUACGCUCUAGCUCAGGCAGUAACUAUAAACGAUAAGCGACUGGUCUAAUCCACUCGGCAACCUCAUAAGGGCCAAUGAACCUCAGACUGAGCUUACCGUUCUGCCCGAAGCUCUAAACUUUCUUUCAUGGAGAAACCUUCAAAAAUACCUUAUCACUAACCUGAUAUGUAACACCCCGUACCCGAUACCGUUGCCGGAGUCGAACACGAGGUAUUUACGGACUUAUUUCAUUGUAAAACACAGUUCAUUUAAAAUUUCCAGACAAGCUGGCUAACUGCGUCACUGUCACCUUAAAAAUCAUAUCAUGAGUUCCAAAACUCGAAAACCAGUUCCGUAAAUUUUUCCUGAAACUAGACUCAUAUGUCCAUCUAAAAUUUUAUUUCUAGAAUUUUUUGUUGGGCCAAUUAGUACAGUUUAUUAGUUAAAUUCUCCCCUGUUACAGGGUUCGACUACUCUGACCUUCAUGUAAUACGACUUAGAUAUCUUCCUGUACAGGGCUUCAAUACUUAUGCCGUUUGUUUCUAACGAAACUAGACUCAAAAAGGAAUCUAUAAAUAUAUGACAUGGCUUAUAAUUAUCUCUGGUUAAUUUAUAGUGAAUUUUCAAAGUCAGAUCAGGGGAUCCAGAAAUCGCUCUGGCCAUGUUCUAUGAAAACUUAAAUAUCUCUUAAAAUACGACUCAUAUGAUCAUUUUGUUUCUUCCAUAUGAAAGUAGAUUCAUCAAGGUUCGAUUAAAUAAUUUAUUCACUAUUUAAUUCCAUUCCUACUAUUUUUAGUGAUUUUUCAAAUUCACACCACUGCUGCUGUCAGCAUCUGUUUUUAAGGUAAACUUUACCUAUUUCAUGGUUUUCCAUGAAUCAACUAGAACUUGUCAUACAAAGCACCAAAAUGAUCAUGAUUAACCAUUCCAAUGGCUAAUCGUUACCAAACAUUUCCAUACCUCUCAAUGAACAACAUACAAAACGAUUAUAAUGCUAUGCUCAAAGUAUAUAUAUAAGCCAUUUUCGCAAGGCUAUCCAAAUUUAUACAAAACCAAAGGGUACAUGACCAACAACAAAAAGGGUAGUCCUAUACAUGCCAUUUUCAGAGUUCAACCAAAAGAGUACCACAAGGACUUUGAUAGUGUGGACGACUUCGACUUUGACAAUCCCGAGUCCGAUAGCUGACGAACCAAAAUCUAUAAAACAGAGAAUCAAAGAAACGGAGUAAGCAUUUAAUGCUUAGUAAAUUUUGUGCAAUGAAAUUAGGCACAAUUGAAGUAUAGCAUUCAUAUGACUAAACGGAUAAUUUCAUAUGCACGUAUUCUCACAAUCAUACAUACUUCACAUUUCCAACCCUUAUAUUCAUACAUAAGGAAUCAACUUGACUAAAAGCCAGAAGCUUGUUAAUCGAUUGAGCGAAUACUAUUUAGAAGGAAUCAAUUAUUUCAAUGCAUAUACGAAACAUACCUCAUCGUUGGGAUUUUACAAGCGUAUUAAUUGAAAUUAUUACAGCAAGAUCGCUCAUUCCCAAACCAAGUACCUUCGGGAUUUAACCGGAUAUAGCUACUCGCUCGAAUGCCUUCGGGACUUAGCCCGGAUAUAGUAGUUCGCACAAAUGCCUUCGGGACUUAUCCCGGAAUUAGUCACUAGCACAAAUGCCUUCGGGACUUAGCCCGGUUAUCAUCCGAAUAUUCAUGCACAUAUCAGUAAAUCAUGACACAUCUUUAUUUCAUUUUCAUAACUAGAAUUCAAACACAAGUCAAUUACUAAGCAUUCCCAUUUUCGGCUCAAUAGCCACAUACAAACAGCAUGAUUUGGUUUGCUUUGUGACAUGAUCUCUAUGCACAUACGGCUACCCAUCAUACAUGUAGACUAAUCAACUCAACAUAUAAUUCAAGUAGAAUCAUUAUAUCACCGUAUAUUAGUUAUGAUUAUACGUCAUGACUUGAUCAAAUCGUAAACUAAGUUUCAUUACUCGAAAACUUACCUCGGAUGUUGUCGAAUGAUUUCGACGGCUAUUCGAUCACUUUUUCCUUCCCUUUAUCGGAUUUAGUUCCCCUUUGCUCUUGAGCUUAAUUUAACAAAUAAAUUGAUUUAAUCAUUUGAACAUCGAAAAGAGAAACUCAAGGUACUUAACCCAUAUAUACAUUAGACAUUAGAGUCACAUAUAUAUGAAAUCAUGAAUCAACUCAACAUAUUAGCCCACACUCUCUUUUAGCCGAUUAUCUAAGCCAAGAUAAAAGCAUCAAUAUGCUUGCCUCUAACCGAAUACAUGCAACACCAAUCUACCUCAUGUGGCCGAAUAUGCAUGUCUAUGUUGAGGCCGAUUAUAUGCUUAAUACUUCCUACAAAUAUGGUUACUUGUAUUGAUUACAUACCAUUUCGUUUCAAGUUCAAAACUCGGCUAAUACACAUAUAUACACUAAUAAUCAAAUACUAAUAUUUGCACUUCACCUUACUAUCAAUUCUCAUCUACUUCCUACCAUGGCCGAAUUCAUCAAGACACCAUACCAUUUCAAUUUUGGUCAUGGGUUAAACAAGGAACUUAAUGUCUAACUCAAAAAUACUAAAAAGAAAAUCCAAUAGUCAUCAAUCACCAUCACAUGUAUCAUUACAAAGCUUCACACUUAGCAUGCAAAUGACAUCAACACAAGUCCACCUUAGCCGAAACUUAGCUCAUCUUCAUGUCUCAUCACCACAACAUCAACCACCAACCAAGAAGGCAACACCCAUGGCCGAAUAUCAUCUCUAUCUCAUAGCAAAGAUUUAGACCAUGGGAUAGGUAGAACUCAAGCUAACAACUAAAAAUAUGCAUGAAUCUCAUGGAACAACAUCAACAUACCUUAGCCUAGUGAACCACCAUAGCCGAUUUUCUCCAAGCUCUUUUCCCUCUCUUUCUUUCUUCUAUUCGGCCAAGUUCACAACAUGAGAACUUUUUUUUUCUUUUUUUUUCUUCAUCAUUUUCCUUUUCAUUAUUUUAUUACCAUGCUCCUUAGUUUAUCAUUUCUAACAUAAACCAUUAACACAACAUGUUUAUGACAUGUUUUACCCAUCACACUUUGUCCACCCUUAUUGUCAUGGCCGGCCACUACUAAUUAAAUGGGGGAAAUUGACAUGCAAGUCCACCCCUUUGAUUACAUGCACUAAUAGAUCCUUAUAGAUUAACCUAUCACAUUUCAAAAGUGUCACACAUAAGUCCUAUUAACUAAAUUCACAUGCAAUUAACUAAAUCAAAGCUUAAAACUUUCACACAUUCAUAUUCACAUAUUUUAGACAAUAAUUAUCGUAUUCAAAUAAUUUGGUGACUCGGUUUAGCGGUCCCGAAACUGCUUUCCGACUAGGGUCACUUUAGGGCUGUCACAUGAUACUCGAUGUCUCGACAUUUCAUGUCAGAAUAAGACUUCUUUCAAUCAGAAGCUGCCUUCAACUGCUCACAAAUAAGUGUCACGUUAUCCUCAACCUCUCAAACCAACUUCAGACUCAAAUUCCUCUUCUCCUCCAUAUCAGACCAAUACAAAGGAGUCAUACACCUCUGACAGUACAAAGUCUCGAAUAGUGCCAUCUGAAUACUCUUCUGAUAGCUAUUGUUUUACACAAACUCAGCUAAUGGAAAAUGACGAUCACAGUUACCUCCGAAGAGAAUCUGGAUCACCCUUUUUGACUAACUAUUGGAUUAUAAGUUGAACUGAAAUAAAACUUCGAACCCAAAGCCUCAUGCAACACCUUAUAGAAUCUCGAAGUAAACUAUGAAUCUUGGUCUGAUAUGAUUGAAACAUUAACUCCAUGAAGAUGAACAAUCUCUUGGAUGUAGAGCUCAGCUAACUGAUGCAGACUAAAAUCCGUACGAACUAACAGAAAAUGUGCAGGCUUCGUAAAUCUAUCCAUAAUCACCCAGAUAAAAUCCUUAUAUAUCAGAGCCAAAGGCAAACCCAAAACAAAGUCUAUUGUAAUCCGUUCCCAUUUCCACUCUAGAAUCUGAAUAGGCUAAAGCAAACCCGAUGAAUGCUAAUGUUUGGCUUUCACCUUCUAACAAACCAAACAUCUCUCAACAAAGUUGGAAACAUCCUUCUUCAACCCAGGCCACCAAAAUAGAACCCGAAAAUCCUAAUACUUCUGAACCCCACUGGGAUGCAGAGCAAAAGGACUGUUAUAAGCCUCGGUAAGAAUCAAGCGCCUCAGAUCCUCGUCCACUGGAACACAUAAAUGACCUCAAAAACAUAGAAAACCAUCGGAAUUGAGAUCAAAGUCCCCUUGAACACCUAACUCAACCUAACAAAUUCGACGAGACAAACUCUCAUCAAAAGGUUGAUGCUUACGAAUCUGCUAUGAAAAAAUCGGCCUCACCUAAAAUUCAGCCAACAGACCCCCAUCAUCAGAGACAACAACCUCGGAAACAUAACCCUCAAAUCAACCAGAGACUUGCGACUCAAAACAUUUGCAACUACGUUUACCUUCCCUAGAUGAUACUCGAUCACACAAUUAUAAUCUUUCAGUAACUCGAUCCAGCACCUUUGCCACAAGUUCAACUCCUUUCGAGUUAAGAGAUACUUAAGAUUCUUGUGAUCGGUGUAAAUUACACACCUCUCACCGUACAGGUAGUGACGCCAAAUCUUGAGCGUAAAGGCUACAACAGCUAACUCCAAAUCAUGAGUCAGAUAGUUACACUCAUGUGGCCUCAAUUGACUCGACGCAUAAGCAAUUGCCCUACCCUCCUGCAUCAAUACACGACCUAGUCUCGUAUAAGAAACAUCACUGUAGACCACAUACUCCUUACCAGACUCUGGCUGUGUCAACACAGGUUGUAACAACCCAUUUUCAGUCAAAUCAGAAUAGUGGUUUUGGGACCACAAAUUUGAGGUUGUAAAUUUAUUUUAAUAUUAUUUUAAGUGUUUACAGCAUGAUGGUAUGUAUGUGUGAAAUAUUUGUGAAGAAAUUUUAUCGUUUGAAUAGUUAAUUUGAUAAAAAGGACUAAAUCGCGUAAAAUUUAAAAGUGGAGUGCUAUUAGCUAAAGGUGUCAAAUAGCUAUAGAACCUUAAAGUUAAGGUCCUUAUGUUGCAAUUAGACCAUUAGUCAUUUUAGUGGACAUUUAUGGACAUAUUAACAUGUAUAUUAAUGGUUUAUUAUAAAGGUUAAAUUGGUAAGUAGUAAUUAUAAACUAAUUAAAUAAAACAAACAAAUUUUAAUUGGUUCCAUCUUCUUAAAUUGCUGAAAUUUGAAGUGUGGAGAAACCAUUUUAGGGUUUGAAGCAUUCGUCACUUGUAAGCCCAUUUUUGCUCGGUUUUUAAUGAUUUUUAUGUUUUUGUGAUCGUUGUAACUAGUACUAGCUAGCCUAGGGACUAAUUUGCAAAACCGUUAAAGAUUUAGAAAGUUUCCAUUGAUGAAUAUGUAUUAUUUUUGAUGUUUGAUGUUAGAUUAUGAAUAUUUGAUGUUAGUUAAACAAGUUUUGUUAAGUGAUUUUUAGUGAAAAUGAAAAAUAGGGAUUAAAUUGAGAAAUGUGUAACGUUAGUGGUUAAAAUGUGAAAUAAAUGAAAAAUAUGGGCUGGUAGGGACAUAAUAGUAAUUCAGCUAGCAUGGGUAUAUUUGGAAUUUCUUUAAUUUGGGAUUUUAUGAAAUAAGGACUAAAUUGCGAAAAAUGUGAAAGUUUAAGGGAAAAUGUGUAAAAUAGCCCUAAUGUAUAUUUUGGAUUGAAUUGAAUAAAUAGUUGAUUAAAUGAAUUAAUUUUGAAUAUAUAUAUAGAUCAAGAAAAAUAGAAUUCGGAUUAAGAUUGGGGAAAAACGAAAGUUAUUGAUUAAAUGACUUAUUUUGUCGUUUACACAUCCGGGGUAAGUUCGUAUGUAAUAAGCAUUAUUAAAAUUAUACUUGAAAUGCUUUGAUAUUGCAUAAAUUGUGUAUACGAGACUAUAGUCAUAAUUGACGUCAAUUUGGCUAUGUAUGGCACUUAGUGUGCGAGUCAAGAUAGCUUCAGCUAUGUAUGGCACUUAGUGUGCGAGAUUAAAAUAGCUUCGGCUAUAUAUUGGCACUUAGUGUGCAAGGUGUGCAAGAAUUCGAGUAUUCAACAUUUUUCUAUUUGAGUGAUUUCAAAGCUAGCUCAGAUUCGGAGACUGUUGGAGACUGCGUCACACUAUCCAACCAUCACUUUGGUACUUUUGAGCUUAUGGUUUGGUCACAUGGCAUGUAUAGGAUUAUGGUCAUUUUGAUAUGUAUCUUGGUAGUGAGUUUUUCCAUUUGAGAUGGCUUAUGAAUGGUUAUGUUAUGGUUUGCACAUAUAGCCAUGAGACUUGGUUUAAUUUGGCUAGUUUGGUUAUGUAUAUAUAUAAGUGUGCAUAUGGUUUAUAUUGAGUGAUUGAGUUUGGCUUGUAAUGUUAUUGAUAGUUGAUACCAUAAAUGUCAAAUGGUUGAUAAUUGAGAAGCUAUGUGCUUGUAGAUUGAUGUAUGAUGAUGCAUAUUUGGAAAAUGUUUAAUUAGAUGAUUUGAAUAUGUAAAGUUGGUAUGAUUUGAAUGAGUAAAACAUGAGAUUGUAAGUAAGCUAGUUGUUCGAAUUGAAAUGGUAUGUUUUAGUCUUGAUUUUGGUUGAAAUAGAUGACUAUUUAUGCUAUGAGUGAGUACCAUUUGAUUUGUGUAGGUAUGCACAAAAAUUGGGUGGCAAAUUGGCUUGGCAAAUAGCCUAUUUUUGUCCACACGAGCAGAGACACAGGUGUGUCUCUCAACUGUGUGAGACACAUGAUCUUGAUACACGGCUGUAUGUCCCCUAAUGUUGAAAUAUAAAUCAAGUCAGUAUGCUCCACAUGGCCUCACACACGGGCGUAUGACUUGGCUGUGUGGCAUAAGUCAGUAUACCAUAUAGGUUUGGCACGGCCUAGCACACGACAUGGUACAAGGGCAUGUGUGGCUAUUUUUAGGGCACACGGGCUAGCCACUCGGGGGUGUGUGUUGGCCAUGUGACCGAAGUUAGAGAAUUACAUAAGGUAGGACAUGGGUUGGGACACGACCAUAUGCUCCCAUUUUAAAUGUCCACACGGCCUGCGAUAUUGGCGUGUCUAGUGGCCGUGUGAGACCGAGGCAUUACCGGAACAGGGUUUCGAAACAUACUGGAACAUUCAGUACAUUUUUCAAACAAUUUACUUAAAUUACUAUUUUUUACCGAAAUCAUUCAAACGUCCCUUAAUUGGACCCUCGAGCUCCAAUACGAGCAUUAGAAUCAAGUCAGGACUUAAUUAAAAACUCAUAAAAUUUUUUAUGACAUUUCAAACAUUUUUCAAAGUAGCAAGUUUCACACGCCCAUGUGGUCUAGGGUAACUCUUUGACUUUUAAGGCAUGAAGGAAUUGAAAUCACACGGCCAAGUAACACGCUCGUGUAGUAGGCCGGGUGGCAAAUUGAAUUUUUGAAAUUUAGGUGUAAUUUUCACUCAGUCGUGUAACAUGCCCGUGUCCAAGGCCGUAUCAACGACACUACUGAGACACACCCCCAUGUCUCUACCCGUGUGCCCAAUUCUGAGCAUUUUGUUUCUCAUUUUUAACAUGCAAUAUAUACACAGCCUAUAACAGCCCGGUUUAGACCCUAGUCGAAAUAGUGGUUUUGGGACCACAAAUCUGAGUCAGAAAAAUAUUUUGAAUAUUAUUUUUUGGUGUUUAUAGUAUGUGGGUUGAUAUGUGUGAAAGUUUCGUGUGAAAAUUUUAUCGUUUGUGUGCUCGAUUUGAUAAAAGAAUUUAAUUGGGCAAAAUGCAAAAGUAACUUGCUAUUUGUUAAAGGUGUCUAUUUGUUAUGAGGCAUUAAAUGAGAGGUCCUUAUGUUGAUAUUAGACCAUUGAAUAUGAUAAUGGACAUUUAUGGACAUCCAUUAUAAGUUUUUAAAGGUUAUUCAUUAAGGGUAAAAUUGAAAAUUGAUUAAUAUGUUAUUAUUAAUUAAAAGAAAUGAAAUGAAAGCCAUUAUUCGUCAUCUUCUCACCGAAAAUUAGAAAAGAAAUAGGGUUCUUGAGCUUUGAAUAUUCAACCAUGGUCCAAGCUUGAUUCAAGGUUCGUUUUUGUUCAGUUUUUGAUAAUUUUUACGUUUUUGAGAUCGUUGCUUUGUGUUUUAUCAAGCCCAUGCUUAAAUUUUAGAAUUUGAUGAUGAUUUUGAAUUACGCCAUUGAUGCUUUUGUGAGCUUUGUGAUGACAAUUGAUGAAAAAUGAAAGAUAUGUGUUGGGUUAAUAUGAUUUGUGUUGGGAUUUUUGAUGAUGUUGAGUAUUUUGGGCUAAUUUGUGAAAAUGAGAAAUUUAGGGGCUAAAAUGUGAAAUAAAUGGAAUAUGUGGGAUUAUAUGAACUCCAUAAAUAUUCAGCCUAGCAAGUGUAAUGUGAAAUUAUGCAUAUUUUGUGAUUUUAUGAAAUAGGGACUAAAGUGUCAAAAUGUGAAAAUAUGAGGGCUAAUUUGUAAAAUGCCCUAAUUAUAUGUUUUUGGAUUGAAUUGAAUAAUUUGGUGAAUAAAGGAGUUAAAUUUGAAUGUGUAUAGAUAAAGAACUAAAGAAAACGUAAUUAGAUUGGGGAAAGUCGAAAGUAGUUGAAUAGUCGUUCAUUUUCGUUCAGUUCUGUACGAGGUAAGUCUAUAUGUGAAUAAAUGUGUUUGAAUUGAUUAUUCAUGCUUAUAUGAUAUUGAAUUGUAAUGAAUGGUUAUAGAAGCUGAAUAUGUGAAAUUGAGAAAGUUUCAAUAAUGUGACGACGUCCGAAAGCCUCGUACGAACCAUAGGAAUAGUUAGGAUACAUAUGUCAUGACAUAGGAUUCUGAUAUGUGAUUUUGUGUAAGACCACAUCUGGGACGUUGGCAUUGAUUCGAGAUUUACCUGUAAGACCAUGUUUGGGACAUCGGCAUCGUAUUUGAUUUCAUGUAAGACCUUGUUUGGGAUAGAGCCAUCGAUAUUUGAUUACAUGUAAGACCACGUCUUGGAAGUUGGCAUUGUACGAGCUUUUCGAGCUAUCCACAUAUCCUAUUUGAUUUCGUAUGGUUCAACGAGAAUUUUGAGAAAUGAAUAACUUUGUGAAUGUAUAUCUGAUUCAGGUAUGUAUGAACUAUAUACGGAAUUUGGCAAUGAAAUGUGAGCAUGAAUAUGAUCUUUUGUUAUGUGAGUUACAUGGAAAUUUGAUGUACUUAUAAGUAAGUGAUUAUGAAUGAUUGAGCUAAAUGAGAAAUAUGAACUUACUAUUAUGUUAUGCUAUGAUUUACAUAAAUGAAUUGGUUUAUAAUUGUGAUAUGAGAUAAGUUUAUUUGUAUAUGGCUUACUAAGCUUUUGAAAGCGUACUUUGUGUGUUUUCCAAUUGUUUUAUAGAUUAUUGAAGCUACUGAAAGCUCGGUGAUCGUCAAGGAUCAUCACCACACUAUCAAAUAUUGUUUUGGUACCUUUUGAAAAUGAAUAUAUCAAAGUAUGGCAUGUAUAGGCUAGGAUUAAUUUGGUAUGUAUUGAGAUGGGUAUAUCAUGCCAUGAGAUAUGGCUUGAUUAUGGUUGAACUUAUGGUUUGAUUUUGGUAUAUGAUGUGUUAUGCAAAAAAGGUAAAUUUGGUGUAUAUAUAUGGCCUAGUGAAAUGUUCUUUUUGGUAAGUUAGUUUUGUGGUUGAAAUGGUUAUAAAUGUGAUAUGAAUAAUGUAUUCAUGGUAUGAAUUAGUUACAUGGAAUUAGUAUGUUUGAGUUGGAAUUAUGUAUGGAAAUGAUUAAUGAUAUUGAAGUAUGAGUGAUACUUGUUUUGGAAAUGUUUUGGUUGCAUAUUGGGUUAUGAAAUGUGGUCUUAAAAGCUUAUGUAUAUAGGAUGGAAAAAUAGCUUUUCAAGUAGCCUAUUUUGUCCACACGAGUUGAGACACGGGCGUGUGUCUCAGCCAUGUGCGACAUACGGUCAUGUAACAUGACCAUGUGUCCCCUAGGGUAGUCCUACGUUUUAAAGUCAGUCUCGAGCACGGUCUAGACACAUGGGCAUGUCUGGUGGCUGUGUGAGGCACACAGCCUUGGCACAUGGGUAUGUGUAGCCAUUUCAAAAGGUACACAGGCUAUACACACGGGUGUGUGGUUAGCCAUGUGACCCAAGUCAGUUUCGACCACGGCCAAGGCACACGGGCAUGUCUCUGGUCGUGUGCAUAAGUCAGCAUGUAUAACCUUUUUUGACAUGGCUUAGACACACGGGCGUGUUUAAUACCGUGUGAGGCACGGGCGUGUGACCUUUGUAACUCAAAAAAAUGGUAUAGUUUUGAGUGAUUUUGUAUGUGCUUAGAUUAAUUCUAAUUCCUUUCUAAAGCAUGUUUAAGGUCUCAUUGACCUAAGAAAGAUACUUUGUGUAUGACUUGCUAUGAAAUGAUGAUAUAUGAUUGAUGUUUGUGAAUUGAUCAUAAAAUGUUCUGAAAUUUCUGGUAAUGCCUCUUAACCCUAGUCUGUCGACGGAUACGGGUUAGGGAUGUUACAUUUUAUUGGUAUUAGAGCUGCGGUUUAGUCGAUUCUAGGACUAAGGUAGCAUAUGUGAGUCUAGCUAUACGUGACAUAUAUUCGAACUGUGAUAGUGUGAUGAAUCCUGACAAACAAAAUGUGCUUUUAUAUAGUAAAUGGAUCCCGAAAGAGCCGUAGCUGAUGAUGUAGAGAGUAACGCGCCUGUUCCUGCUCAAAGGACAGCGCAAUCUGACUCUAGACCUGUGAUGAGUAGUCAUGAGGGAGAGGCUAAGCAAGCCUUUUAUCAAAUGAUGAAUGAGUGUUUCACUCAAUAUAUUAGAACUAAUCCGGCUGCCGCACAACCUCCACCCCACCUAUUAAUCAACAAGUCCUAGUUGUUUCAUAAGCUGUAGAUCCAAUUCGUUUGAAUAAGUCUCCAAUUGAUAAGAUUAGAAAAUAUGGGGCUGAAGAAUUUCGUGCUACUAUAGAUGAUGAUGUUGAAAGAGCUGAGUUCUGGCUCGAGAAUACAAUCCAGGUAUUCGAUGAAUUGUCCUGUACUCUAGAAGAAUGUGUUAAAUGUGUUGUUUCACUUCUGAGGGAUACUACGUAUCAUUGGUGGAAAACUUUGAUAUCAGUGGUUCCGAGAGAAAGAAUCACCUGAGAUUUCUUCCAAAUCGAAUUCCAAAAGAAAUACAUAAGUGAAAGAUUCAUAGAUCAGAAAUGCAAAGAGUUUCUUGAGUUGAAAUAGGGUCGUAUGUCUGUUACAGAAUAUGAGCGAGAAUUCAUGAGAUUGAGUUAGUAUGCACGAGAAUGUGUCUCAACUGAAGCAGUUAUGUGCAAGAAAUUCGAAGAUGACUUGAAUAAAGACAUCAAGUUGUUAGUUGAGAUUUUGGACAUAAAAGAAUUUGCAAUACUUGUUGAAUGAGUGUGUAAAGCUGAAGAGCUUGGAAAAGAGAAAAGAAAAGACAACUCAGAAGCUAGAGAUACGAGAAAGAGAUCUGCAAGUAAAUCAUUUCAGUUUGAGUCAAAGAAAUUCUGAGAUGAUUAUAACUAUUCAAAGGUUAAUGUGGGACAUUCGAGUAGAGAUUGUGCUAGAUCAUAUUUGAACUUCAGAGCUCCAGCUACUUCAGUUGCAAGUGUUGGAAAUGUCCGAUAUGAUCGACCUGAGUGCAAACACUAUGGUAAAAGACGUCCGGGAAGUUGUAGAUUGAAUGAUCGGGCUUGUUUCAAAUGUGGUGUAACACCCCAAAUUUUGGGCCUAGAAUUUUUAAGUCUUGAGUGGGUGCAGUUAGGAGACUACACAUAAAUUUUUAGUUGUGCAAGAAAGUGACACAAAAUGCAUGUUUGUUUUAGUGGUUAAGUGUUCUGGGAAGUGUCUGAGAAGUCUUGAGUUCAAGCCUCGGCUUUUGCAAAAUUUUGUUUUUACUUGAUUAAACCCUGUCUCUAGUCAGUAGGCUUCUUAAAUAAAUAAGGGAAAAACAUGUCAGAAAAGAGCCUGCUGGUCAGGGGAUAAGUGGCGUGUUGCUAGUGUCUGAGGUCUGAGGUUCAAAUCCCUGCUUGUGCAAAUGGAGAUUAUUUUUGCUGGUGGCCAUGGGAGGAAGUUGUGUUUGACCGAAACACCAAGAGUUUGAAUAAGUUUGAACAUAUUUGUUGAUAGCUAAAUUUGAGGAGAGGUUUAUGGGGGAUUUUGAUUGUUUGAAUUGGUGGACAGAAGGAAAUUAAGAAGGAAAUCGAGCAAGUUUGAAUUUGAAGGAGAGUUGUGCCGUAUCUGAACUUCUGUUUCCCAAGAAUUUGGCUAGGCAACUAUUCCUCUUCAUUGUCAGUUUUGUGAUCGCUUUUGGUUCUUUUCUACACUUCUUGAUUGUCGAAUUCUACUGGGGGAUGUUUCGGGUACUUUGCAUUUUGCCCAUUUCUGUUUUGUCCUUCAUUUUCAAUACCCUACUGACUGAUUUCGCUCUUCUACCUCUACUCCUUUAGCAACCAUUUUCCCUUGUUGCUAUUAAGCCGAAUUUUGUCUUUGAUUUUACUGCUUCUCCACCUUUUGUUUUUCUCUCUUUUUCGGAUAGAUAUUUGCUUAGAGACCAUUUGGGUAUUUCUCAUUUUUUUUGUUUCGACUUUAUUUUCCAUACAGCUUUACUCUGCUUUGAUUUUCUUUCUUCAUCUACUCCUCUGCCUGACAUUCAUUCCCUUUUCUCUUUGGCCGAAUAUCCUAUUCUCCUUCUCUCUUAAUACUUUUAGUUUAACAUAUCCCACUCUUUUCAUCUUAGUAUGAUAGUUGAAUACUCCUUUCUCCCUCUUUCUGUUUUUGCUUUCAGUUUGGAAAUUAUUCUCUGACAAUCGGUAAGUGCACUUGAAUAUCCCUUUUUUGUUUUUCUUUACCAUUAUGAUCUGUCUUUUAAUAUCUUCUCUUCCCUACCGAUUGCUGCUAGGGGUACGAUUGUACCAUUUUGUCCCUAUCACUCCGUGUACCUUCAGCUUUAGUAUGGGUGUAGGUCGAUUAUUCUUCCCUCCUAAUCUAGGCAUGGCGUUUCUGGUAAGUGAUUGUUCAUCUAGUUUAGACUGUUCAUUUGUUUGAUGGUUGAUAAGGGUUAGUUGGAGUGCAGGAAACCCCUAAAGCCUAUUGUUUAGGAUCUUGCAAACAUAUUUAGUGAGCAAGCCAUAAUCAACUGAUCUAAUCAAGUAAGAGGUAAAUUUUUGGACAAGUAGUUUGGUGGAGGUUUUGAUAAGUCGAGUGGGAUGUGAUUAACCAAAACUUGUGAUUGAAUGUAGGUUGGGGUGCUCGUGGUCUAGUAUCGCAUUUUCACAAUUAGGUGUGUAACCACACUGUUCUAAUCGUAAAUCGAAAAAAGCUAAAAAAUAUGACUAUUGACACUACAUGAGCAUGCGCUCGCUUGUGUGGUAAUCCGAAUGUGUAAAACGUAGGCAUUUGAUUGUAGAGGCCACCAUGAGCGUGUUCAUGGGCUUAGGCCAUUUUAGGACAUGUUGGGCCGAAAUGGGCUGUGUGGGCCCCAUGGGCUUAUGGAGAGUAUUGAGCCAGGCUGUGUAGCUUACACGACUAGGGCCAUUUUUGGGCUUUGUGGGCGUCAAGAGCGUGUGGGCCCACAUGGGCCGCAUUAUGGGCUUUGGGCCCAUUUUCACUGUUUGAUUGUAAGGUUGUGCGGGUUGCCUGAGACGACUGUGGACCUACUGUUGGGUCGGUAAGUAUACCUAGACCCUAAUUUGAUAAAAUGACCGUUAUACCCUUAUGCGGUAAAUGACUAAUAUACCCCUAUUUGAUGUAGGACUAUUUGAGCAUGCCAUCUUUACUGUAUAUACAUUUAUAAUAUGUUGCAUUGCAUGGGGUGGGAUAUAUGAUAUUGGAGGAAGUGUACUAAAAGGCUAUAAGCCUAUUACUAGCAGCUCUGCUGCAAAUACUAUUUUAGUGCAGCAACUGGUGCUACUUGGUGUGUAAGGAUGGGCUGGUCGAUUUUAUCCCCACAUGGUGUGUAGGGUUGGUACGGAGAUGGUGUGUAAAGGAUGGAUUGGGUAGGAUUUUCUGAUUGCAUACUGUACUGAUUUUGUUAUGGGCUUAGGCCCCACUGCUACUGUUACUAUAAUGGGCUUAGGCCUAACUGAUAUUGGACUGUUUCUGAUAUGGGCUUAGGCCCAGAUUGUAUUUGCCUAUUGUAUGUCUGACUGUUUGUUUAAGAAGGGAUUACACACUGAUUUUUCAUAAACUCACCCUUCUGCUUAUCUAUGCAGAUAAUCCUUAGGUGGGUCGGUGCUGCGAGAGACUCGAAGGUGGCCACAUAAUAGUUUAUGCUUCUGUAUUUAUCUUUUAUAUUAUAAGUAGUUUAAUUUGGGUAUUUUUAUGUAAUAAGGCCUCUUUGGAUUUUAUUUUUAAUUUUGGGAUUUAUAUUUAUUUUACUUUAAUACUGCUAGCAGUAGGAAAAACACGCGGGUUUUCAAAAAGACAAAUGUUUUCAAAAAUACCACGAAUACGUUACGGUUUUAAGAGUUACCACAAGAAAACAACGUUUUAUAGGCAAAUGCUAGUACGCUGUUAUUUUAAAAAGCUUCUGCUAUAAACGAGAUUUUGAAAUUAAUUAUGCUAUAAAGUAAAUACUUUUAAUAGUGACACAAAUUUUUAAUAUAAUCUUUUAGAUCACGCAAAGAGGCUUAAUAGAGACUACACUUUGCAAAUGAUAUCAUGCUUUACGAAAAACACUUCAAUGUGAAAAUGCCAGAUUCGGACAUAACGUUCAGGCCGGGCUUGGGGUGUUACAUGUAGAUCAUUAGAUCAUUUCAUUCGUUAAUGCCCUGAGUUGACUGAGCAAGAUACAAUGCAGAAUAUGAGGCUGAGUAACACUGCAGCUAGAGGCAGGCCUCCCAGAAUUACGGGAAAUGUAAAUGGUAGUUAAAGAGCUACUAAAGAUACAUUUGUUAAAUCUGAGGCUAGAGCACCUGCCAGAGCCUACGCCAUCCGAGCUCCUAAGGAAUCUUUGUAUCCAAAUAAAAUUACGGGUGCAUUUACUCUUUAGGAUACUUCUAUGAUUGCAUUGAUAGAUUCAGGAUAAAUGCAUUCGUAUAUAUGCAUGAAUUUAGUAUCCAGUAAGACUUUACCUCUAGAGUAUCGAACCUUUUAGGCAAAAGUGUCCUGGUUGAUAAAGUGUGGAAGAACUGUCCGUUGAUGAUUGGAGAUAUUUGUUUUCUGGCUGAUCUAAUGCUAUUACCUUUUGAAAAAUUUGAUAUAAUUUUGGGUAUGGAUUGGCUAACUUUGUAUGAUGCUAUUGUGAACUGCAAACGAAAAACUAUUGAUUUGAGAUGCAAUAAUGAUGAGAUAAUACGAAUUGAGUCUAGUGAUUUGUAUGGGCUACCAGCUGUGAUAUCUACAAUGAAAGCUCUGAAAUAUGUGAAAAAGGAUUGUGAAGCCUACUUUGCCUAUGUGAUUGAUAUGAAAAUGAUAGAAAGGAAAAUAAAAUUAGUGCUUGUUGUUUGUGAGUUUCCUAACAUGAUUUCUGAAGGAUCACCGGGAUUACCUCUGAUACGAGAAGUUGAGUUUGGUAUUGAGUUAGUACUGGUGACUACUCCGAUUUCGAUAGCUCUGUACAGAAUGGCUUUGAUAGAAUUGAAAGAAUUGAAAUCUUAGUUGCAAUAGUUGACCGAUAGAGGAUUUGCACGACCGAGCUUUUCUCCCUGGGGUGCACUUGUUCUUUUUGUGAAAAAGAAAGACGGAACGAUGAGAAUGUAUGUUGAUUAUCGUUAGUUGAAUAAAGUGACUAUCAAGAACAAAUAUCCUCUACCCUGAAUUGACGAUUUAUUUGAUCAGUUGAAAGGAGCUAAUGUGUUUUCAAAGAUAGAUUUUAGAUCGGGAUACUAUUAGUUGUGAGUAAAAGAUUUAGACAUUUCAAAAACUGCUUUCGGAACGAGGUACGGGCAUUAUGAGUUUUUAGUUAUGCCUUCCAAAUUAACGAAUGCUCCUGCUAUUUUUAUGGACUUAAUGAACAGAAUUUUUAGACCGUAUUUAGAUUGAUUUGUUAUUGUAUUCAUUGAUGGCAUAUCACUGUAUUUGCAUGAUGAAAAUGAGCAUGCCGAGUAUUUGAUAGUCGUGCUACAGAAUCUGAUGAUAAGAAACUAUUCACAAAGUUCAGUAAAUGUGAGUUCUGGUUACGUGAAGUUGGUUUUCUGGGCCAUAUUGUGUCAGCAUCUGGUAUACGAGUUGAUCAAAGGAAAAUUUCAGCAAUUUUAGAUUGGAAGCCUCCAAGAAAUAUUUCUGAAGUCUGUAGUUUUUUGGGACUUGCUGGUUAUUACCGAUGGUUCGUAAAAGGCUUUUUGAUGAUUGCAACUCCGUUGACAAAAUUGCCUUCGAAAGAUGUUAAUUUCAAAUGAUCAGAUAAAUGUCAGGAAAGUUUUGAUCAGUUGAAAGCCCUUUUGAAUAAAGUUCCAGUGUUAUUACAACCAAAAUCUGGUAAAGAAUUUGUGAUAUAUAGUUAUGCUUUUUCGAAUGGUCUGGUAUGUGUUUUGAUGCAGGAAGGCAAAGCUAUAGCCUUUUCCUUGAGACAAUUAAAGCCGCAUGAAAAGAAUUAUCCGACCCACGACCUUGAGCUAGCUGAUAUUUUGUUUGCGUUGAAAAUUUGGCGCCAUUAUCUGUUUGGUGAAAGUGUCAUGUGUUUUCAGAUCAUAAAAUUUUGAAAUAUCUGAUGACUCAGAAAGAUUUGAAUCUGCGACCGAGAAGAUGGCUGGAGUUGCUAAAAGACUACGAGCUUGUUAUUGACUAUCAUCCCAGAAAAGCAAAUGUUGUUGCUGAUGCUUUGAGUUGGAAAUCAUUAUUUGUAUUACGUGCUAUGAAUGCUCAGUUGUGUAUAUCUGAUGAUGGUUUGGUUUUAGCCGAUUUGAAAGCGAGAACUUUGUUCUUAUAGUAGAUUUAUGAUGCAUAGAAAGUUGAUAAUGAGAUAAUAACGAAACAAGCUCAGUGUAAUUUGAAUUUUGAUUCAGAAUUUUGAUUUGAUAAUGAUGAUUGUUUGAAAUUCUGAGAUUGGAUUUGUGUUCCGAAAAAUUCAGAGUUAAUUCAAAUGAUUUUGAAUGAAACUCACAACAGUCUUUUAUCUAUUCAUCUGGGAAGUACGAAAAUGUAUAAUGACUUGAAACAAUUAUACUAGUGGCCUGGAAUGAAAAGAGAUAUUUCUAACUUUGUUUCGAAAUGUUUGAUCUAUCAGCAAGUUAAAGCUGAACAUCAGUCCCAUCCGAUUUGUUACAACUGAUUAUGAUUCCCGAGUGGAAAUGGGAUAGAGUAACGAUGGAUUUUGUUUCGGGUUUGCCCCUAUCUCUGAGAAAGAAAGAUGUGAGUUGGGUUGUGGUUGAUCGAUUGAUGAAAUCAACUCAUUUUAUUCCAGUACGAUCUGACUACUCGCUUGAUAAAUUAGCUGAGUUAUACAUUUCCAAUAUUGUGAGAUUGCACGGGGUGCCAUUAUCUAUUGUGUCAGAUAGAGAUCCAAGAUUCACUUCGCGGUUUUGGAAUAAACUGCAAGAGGCUUUAGGUACGAAAUUGCACUUCAGUAUUGCUUUUCACCUGUAGACAGAUGGUCAAUCCGAGCGGAUUAUUUAGAUACUCGAGGAUAUGUUGAGAUGUUGCAUUCUUGAGUUUGAAGGUUUGUAGGAACAAUAUUUGCCAUUGAUUGAAUUUGCGUAUAAUAAUAAUUUUCAAUCGAGCAUUAAAAUGGCACCGUAUGAAGCUUUAUACAGUCGUAAAUGCCGAACAUCGUUAUACUGGUCUGAGCUUAGUGAGAAUAAGAUUCAAGGGGUUGAUUUGAUCAAAGAGACCGAACAGAAAGUAAAAGUGAUUCGAAAUAGUUUGAAAGCAGCAUAAGAUCAAGAGAAAUCAUACGCAGACUUGAAACAAAAACAUAUUGAGUUUGAAAUCAAGGAUAAAAUGUUUUUGAAAGUAUCUCCAUGGAAGAAAAUAUUUCAAUUUGGCAAAAAGGGCAAUUUGAGUUCGAGGUUCAUUGGACCGUUUGAGAUUAUUGAGCGUAUCGGGCCAGUUGCAUAUAGAUUAUUAUUGCCAUCUGAGUUAGAAAAGAUCCAUAAUGUGUUUCACGUAUCGAUGCUUCGACGAUACAGAUCUGAUCCGUGGCAUGUGAUUUCUCCGUCAGAAAUAGAAAUUCGGUCUGAUAUGACAUAUGAAGGUGAACCGAUCUGGAUUUUAGCUUACGAGGUAAAAGAACUAAAAAAUAAGAAAAUUUCUUUGGUGAAAGUGUUAUGGCAUAAACAUGGGGUUGAAGAAGCUACGUAGGAACCCAAAGAUGCUAUGAGGUAGCAAUAUCUGAAUCUGUUUAAUGAUAAGAUUUUCGGGGACGAAAAUCCCUAAGGGAGAGAGUUAUAACAACCCGAUUUAGACACUAGUCGGAAUAGUGGCUUUGGGACCACAAAUUGAAGUCAGAAAAAUAUUUUUAAUAUUAAUUUUUAGUGUUAUAGUAUGUGAAUUAAUAUGUAUGAAAGUUUCGUGUGAAAAUUUUAUCGUUUGUGUGCUCGAUUUGAUAAAAAGAUUUAAUCCUGUAAAAUGCAAAAGUGACUUGCUAUUUGUUAAAGGUUUUUAUUUGUUAUGAGGCAUUAAAUGAGAGGUCCAUGUUGAUAUUAGACCAUUUAAUAUGAUAAUGGACAUUUAUGGACAUCCGUUAUAAGUUUUUAAAAGGUUAUUCAUUAAGGGUAAAAUUGGAAAUUGAUUAAUAUGUUAUUAAUUAAAACAAAAGAAAUGAAAGCCAUUAUUCAUUAUCUUCUCACCGAAAAUUAGAAAAGAAAUAGGGUUCUUGAGCUUUGAAUAUUCGCCAUCAAUUUAUCAUAUUUCAUAUUCAACUCAUUUCCGUAUUGCAAUAAUUCAAGAAGGCCAUCGGAUGGAUCAUAAUCGAUAUCCGUGAAAUUAGCUCAUCCAUUUGCAAGCUCAAAAUCAUUAUAGAAGAUGGCGAGAAAGGAACGAUUGAUGGGCAAUGAAGACUGAACCCCAUUAUGAAGGAUGCGGUAAAGAAAGAAAUCAUAAAAUGGUUAGAUACGGGUAUAAUUUAUCCCAUCUCAGAUAGUUCAUGAGUAAGUUCGGUCUAGCGCGUUGCAAAGAAAAGAGUUAUUAUGGUCAUUGAAUGAGACUAACAAAUUAAUACCGAUCAGAAUGGUUAUCGGAUGGAGAAUUUGCAUAAAUUACCAAAAGUUGAACAAUGCGACAAGGAAAGAUCAUUUUCCUUUCUCAUUCUUGGACCAGAUGCUGGAUAUACUCAUGGGGCGAGAAUAUUACUGUUUUCUACGAUGGAUACUCAGGAUAAAAUCAAAUCAUAGUAGCACUAGAGGAUCAACACAAAACAACAUUCACAUGCCCGUACGAUACAUUUGCAUUUAGGUGCAUGCCAUUUGGUUUAUGUAAUGCACCUCCUGCAUUGCAAAGAUGUAUAAUGGCUAUUUUUACUGACAUGGUUGAUAAGUAUUUGGAAGUUUUAUGGAUGAUUUUUCAGUGUUUGGAGACACUUAUGAUGAUUUCUUAGCCGAUCUAGCCAAGGUACUAAGACAGUGCGAAGAAACAAACCUCGUACUCAACUAGGAAAAGUGUCAUUUCAUGGUACGAUAAGGUUUUAUUCUAGGGCACCAAAUAAUUAAGCAUAAAUUGAGGUAGAUAAAGAAAAUGUAGAUGUUAUUGAGAAACUCCCACCUCGAACAUCUAUAAAGGGUGUUAGGAGCUUUUUAGGACAUGUUGGAUUCUAUUGAAGAUUUAUCAAGGACUUUUCCAAAACCGCUAAACCUUUUUGCAAAUUAUUGGAGAAGGACACGACAUUCAACUUUGAUGAAGAAUGUUUGAAAGUGUUUAAUGAUUUGAAGAAUCAAUUAGUUUCGACACCCAUUGUUGUCACUCCAGAUUGGGAUUUACUAUUUGAAUUGAUGUGUGACACAAGUGACUUCGCAAUAGGAACUAUGAUGGGCUAGCAAAGGAACAAAGUUUUUCAUCCCAUCUACUAUGGAAGUCAGACUCUAACGAAAGCUCAAUUGAAUUAUACAGUAACAGAGAAAUAAUUACUUGCUAUUGUAUUUUCUUUUGAUAAGUUUUGAUCUUAUCUUGUAGGUACCAAAGUGACAGUCCAUACUGAUCAUUCGAAAAUUAAGUAUUUACUUGCCAAGAAAAAUGCCAAGCCGAGAUAAAUUUGAUGGGUAUUUCUACUCCAAGAGUUCGAUCUAGAAAUUCAAGAUCGAAAAGGGGUAGAAAAUCAAGUAAUAGAUACUUACCCAAAUUGGAACCGCAAAAAGGAAAUUCUCCACUUAUACCCAUUCAAGAGACACUUCCAGACGAGCACAUACUUAAGGUAAAUCAUGUCUAUAAUACCCUUUAGUUUGCUGAAUUUGCUAACUAUUUAGCUUUUGUUUUGAUGCCGAUUGAUAAGACGUAUCAACAAAACAAAAAUUUUCUUCACGAUAUGAAGUACUUUUUCUAGGAAGACUCAUAUUUGUUCAAAAAGUGUGUAGAUCAAAUGAUUAAGAGAUGCGUUGCAAAAAAAAAGUACAUAACAUUUUAUAUCAUUGUCACACAGCUCUUAGUAGAGGACACUUCAGAGAUACACGUACGUACUGCAGCCAAAGUAUUGCAAGUCGGAUUCUUUUGGCCAAUGUUAUUAAAAAAUGUGUAUGCAUAUGUAAAGAGUUGUUAUCGAUGCUAGAGGGUUGGAAACAUUACCAACAGAAAUGAGAUUCCUCGAACAAACAUCGUUAAGGUAAAAUUAUUCGAUGUUUGGGGUAUUGACUUUCUUGGUCCUUUCCCUCCGUUUUCUGGUCACAAGUAUAUAUUGGUAGCAAUGGACUACAUAUCUAAGUGGGUUGAGGCCGAGUCAUAUUCGACGAACAAUGCCAUGGUUGUGAUGAAGUUUUUGCAGAAACAUGUGUUCACAAGGUUUAGUACUCCUAGGGUCAUCAUUAGUGAUGAGGGGUCCCAUUUUGUGAACAAAUGGUUGAAAUCGUUACUUGAAAAACACAGAGUGAAGCAUAAGGUUGUCACGGCUUACCAUCCAUAGACGAAUAGGUAAGAUGAACUGGCAAGUAAAGAGAUAAAAGGCAUACUCGAUAAGGUAGUUUGUCCAAACCGACGAGACUGGUCCAAAAUAUUGUAUGACGCUUUAUGGGCUUAAAAGAUAGCAUACAAGAUACCUUUAGGGAUGUCUCUUUAUUUGUUGGUCUUUUGGAAAGCCUGUCAUUUGCCCUUGGAGUUAGAACAUAAAGCUUAUUGGGAUUUCCAACAGCUCAAUUUGGAUCCCAAGAUUGCCAAAGACAAACAGAUGCUUCAACUUAACGAGUUAAAAGAAUUUCGAACUUUCUCAUAUGAAAUUGACAAGUUAUUCAAGGAGAGAUUAACGAGAUGCAAUGAUAAGCACAACCAAGUUUGAUAAUUGGAAGCAGGUCAGCAAGCUUUGCUAUUCAAUUCCAUAUUAAGGUUUUUUCCAAGUAAGUUGAAAUCAUGCUAGUCCGGUCUAUUUACUAUUCACCAAUUUUUUCCAUACGGAGUUGUCGAACUUCAAGAUAAGGGAGGUAAUUUUCGAGUUAAUGCUCAGCGCUUAAAACAUUACUUGAGAAUAAAAUUGAAAGUCUCAUUCUUUUUAUCAGAUACUUAAUUUUUCUCAUUUUCUUUUAAAUAAAUUAUUUAGGGCAUAUUUUUGGGAUUAGUAUGUUAAAAUAAAUUUUAUCUAGGAGAUUGGAACUUAAGUGAGACCGCUUGUGACCCCCUAUUCUUUCCUGGGAAUUGAUUUUAAGAUAAUAUUUUGGAACUUAAUUGAAAUGUUUGCAAAAUUUGGUUAUUCAUUUUGUAAAUAUUGAAAUUAGUUCUCUUUUUUGUAAAUAUCUUUAAAAGUGAGUAAACUAAAUUUUUUAAUUUAAUUUUUAAUAAAUAAAUGAUAAUAACUAAUAUAUAAUUAUAUUUAUUAUAAUGUAUAUUAAUUAUUAUCAACUUUGUAUAUGAUUAGAAUUGGUUUAAAUGUUAUCAUAUUUUAAUUAAGAGAUUUUAUUUUAUUAAAUAAAGUAACAACAAAUAAUAUUUUAAUAUACAUUAUAUUAUUUAUUAAUUUUUAUUAACUUUAUAUGACAUUAGGACUUAGAAUAUUUUUAUUAUUAAUUUGUUCUAAGAAUUCUAAUUGAACUUUUUCCUUCUACCACUUUAAAUACCACCACCUUCAUCCAUCAUUCACAUCACUCACCAUCCAUCAAACCAACCUCUUACACAACCUUCCCACCGUUAACCUCAGCAGCUCCACCCUCCAAGCUAACUUGUGCCACAACUCCCAUUCGGCAACUAUUGAAGGCAUCACCAACAGCUGGACAUGCCUAUCGCGCGUACCUCGCACACCUACUACUCAUGUACAACCCUACACCCGCACCAGCCCUAUAACCUUCCUCUCACGACGCAGCUGCUAAACCAGCAAAUCAUUGAUGCUUACACCCACCUGCCUAGGCCCGGCCUUGUUUGCGCACCAGCCUCACAUCCUGUUUGUGCACUACUACCACCGCUUCUCUUACGAGCACCUCAAGCCCUUGCAUGCUGUUGUGGCUUAUUGCCUCAAGUCAUGCACAACCCUGCAUUGGUCAUACGCCUCUUAUCAUCCUUACACCCCAUCUUUGUCACAAUUUUCCAUAAUCCCAAUCCAUAAUCUGAUCACCCUUUUUCCAUACACAUUGCACCUAAUAGAUUCACCAACCGAUCACCCUUCCAACCAACCCUCAAUCAAAAUCUUUUUCUUUAAAUUUUAUUUAUUUUAUUGAGAAUUUAGUUUUUAUAUAAAAGAGGUAAGGAAAUUUUCUCCUAAAUUUCAAUUUUUUAAUUUAUUGAAUUAUUAAUAUUUUAUACUAAUUGAAAUUUUGAGAAAAUAUUUGUUUCCAUCUUAUGUUCAGGUUAAUCAUGCCUCGCUAAAGAACUCGUUCUUCUAUCCAAGUUGAAGAAUCACAAAAAAAAAAUUCACUGUGAAGAAGCCAAAGGGAGAUACGAUAGCAUCUUCAAAAAUCAGCAAAUGCUCCCAAAAAAAGGCUUUACAUUGAAAGAAAGCAACUAUAUCGAUUUCAUGGCGUGCAUUCGACAAAUUGCUGAAGCCAUCAAUUAGGAGUUGUUUUGUGAGAAAAGACCUAGUGUAGAUAAAGAGUUAGUUCGUGAAUUUUAUGUAAAUUUGAUCUCAAGCGAAGUAAUAGAAGUUCCUGUCUAAGGAAUCAAAGUACUAAUAUGCUCAAAUGCUAUUAAUGAAUUCUUUGAAUUCCCUGAUUUUGAAGACGACGAAUAUUCUUCUUUGAUGAGAAAAUUGAGGUUGAAAAAUUGCAAGAAAUUCCCAAGGAACUUACAGUUCUGAGUUCUAAGUGGACUGUGUCAAAGCAUGGAACUCACACUUGUUAUAGAGAAUAUUUGACACCACUAGCGAAGGUAUGGUUUUAUUUUGUUUGGUUCAGCUUUAUGCCUAUUUCACAUGGGACCAUGACUUCAAUAGAGCGAAUGGUCUUGUUAUACUCGAUUUUAACGGAAAAGACCAUUGAUGUGGAAAAAAAAUCAUUUGGAGAGAAAUUCAAAUUUGUGCCGCUAAAUGUUCUGGCCAAACCUACUUUCCUUUUACGAUAACAAUUUUGUGCUUGAAAGCUAAAAUUCUUGCAAACGUAAAGAAGAUAGGUUCUAGCUAGGGCACAAUCACAUAUUAGGACUUAUACCAAGUAGCAGGAGAUUUUAUUUUGUAGCAACAAGUUGAACUAAGCGAGGAUCCUGAAGAAGAAGAAAAAGAUCCCACAGAGGUCGAACCAAUGCAAUCUGUUGAAAUUCUUGAUAAGGCAGAACCAAUUGAGCCAAUGACCAAACGUGACAUGGGGACCCCAACAGUUAGAACUCAUUCACCUCGACCAGAUCUUCAUGAUGAGCUGUCAAAGUUAAUGGACCUAAUGCAACAUAUGUAAUAGCAGCAACAAGCUUACUGGAGAUAUUCAAAAAUACGUGAUGACUCAAUGAAAAGCGCUUUUAUGAAAAUAUUCCAUGUCCCAUUUAUUUUUGUGCCUGAGUUUUUAGAUUUUAUAUUUGAACCAUGGAGUCAAAUAUCGAAGAGGGAACGAAGCGAUUCAGGAAAAAACAAAGACGAUAGAGCAAAAGAUGAGUUGGGUUCUAAAGGAUCUGUAAAUAAAUAAAAAGAAGGAUCUUUACUUUAUUUUAUUUUCUUUCUUAGGAUAUUUAAAAUUUUUUGGAUUAGGAUUUUUAUUUUUCACAUAAUAAAAUAAGAGGAGAAAUCAUAAAUAAAAAUGAACAAGUUGCAAUAGAAAAAGUAUGGCAAUAGAUAUGUACAUGUUCAUGAUUAGAUCUAGAGAGAGCUUGGUACUUAAGUAGUCAAAUUGACUCACCUCUCCUUUUCUAGAAUCCUACCUGGUGUAUAGUAUCUAUUCACUUCUAAUAAUGAGGACAUUGCUCAUCUGAAGUAGGGAAGACCGAAAAAUUGCAAUUAUUUCCUCUCAGAAUAAUUUUUUCUUUUAAUUAUGGUUAGGUUAUAUUUUGCUCAAAAUUUGAAAUUUUGUUAAGUUUGCUAAACUUUAGUAUGAAUAAAGUUCUAUUAUUUCAAUAAUUGUUAUGUUAGCUAAACUAUGACAUAAAUGUACUCUUAAUAAAGUAUAUAAAUCAUACCAUAAAGUUUUUAGAUCCUUAAGAAAGCUAGGCAAGCAUGAAAUUUUAAGUCUCUAGAAAUGACUCAGGAAUUUCUUGAGGCAUAAUCCUAGGAAGCACAAAAUGUUGAAAAUGAUUUAGGAAAAAUUUUGUUUGGACCAUUUGAGCCUUUCAAGCCAUCACUUUUCUCAUAAUGAUCUUUAAAUUGUCUCAAACACUAGACUCAGUCUAUUCAGAAUAUUCUUUGAAAAUAAUUUUGGGGAAAUUGAAAAGAAGUAACAAAUGCUCAAAAAAAUUGUAGUACAUAUAGUAAAAUACUCGUGUUAUAAAAAAGAAGAAGAAGAAGAAGAAGAAGAAGAAGAAGAACAAAGAGCAUAUGUACUUGAAAGAAAUAGAUGUACAAAAGAGCCUGUGAAAGCAAAAUAAGUUGGUAUAUUGAAGGUACUUAUUCUGAAGGUCUGAUACAAGUUGAAUCUAGGGUUUUUAGCUUAAAUUUAUCUAUCUUUUAUCUACCCCUAGCCUAGCUACGUUACAACCUAUUUAAAAGACACUGAUUCAAGUUUUUGUGCUACCUAUAUUAGUGGAGAGAAAUUGCUAUGUUCAACAUAUGAAGGCACAAAUUAAACUUAAUAAUUGCAGCUUAACUUUAAAUAACAGAAUAAAAUCAAAUUGGUAGGAAUUUAACUUGCCUUUCUUGAGAAAGAAUUUUGUCUAUUUUUUUAUUAUAAUAAUAAUUGAGAUUAGUUUGAAUGAUAUGUAUACUUAAGUGACAUAAAUCUCAAAAUUUUUGUUCUUAAGCACAAGUAUACUAAAUUCAUAAUUAUGGGAAGAAUGUUUCCUGAAGGAAUUUUUCAAAGGUGCUUCCUAGAAAUUCUUUUCAAGUUGUGCAUUACUCGGGACAAGCAAUGAAUUAAGUUUUGGGGUGUGAAAACACAAAAAUAUAUAGACUUUUUCAACACCUUUUAAGCCCUAAUUCAUGCAGUUUCAUAGUAUAUUUUGUCAAAAUUCACACUUUAAUUAUAAAAUAAUUAAUUUACACUUAAACUAUUAACAUAUCGAAUUUUAAUUAUUUUAUAGUAAAUUUUCACAAAUUUGGUUUAUUUUCGACAAUUUUGCACAAAAGGUGAAAAUUGCCUCGGCAGACACCUUGAAAGGCCUGAGCUGUUGGGGAAUUUUUUUCACCGAGUGAACCAAGGGCAAGAUUAAAUAUUUUUCCAUCCAAGGUAGUUCCAAAUGAUGAUCAUUUUAUAUGCUUUAUAUUUAAUUUUUCUCCAAGUUAAAUUGGGUUAAAAAUUAAUAUAAAGCCUGAAGGAAAAAUGGUCAAGUAGGCUAAGCAUCGAAGACUGAUCUAACAAGAAAAUUUGCAGCCCAAAACUCACCCAAUCAACUUAGUUAGCUGAUUAAAUUACUUUCAAAAUAGCCCUCAAGUUUCCUUAAAAUCCUAUUCAAACCCCUCUAUUUUUUGUGCCUUUAAAGAUUUGCCCCAAGCUAAAUUUAGCAAAGUUCGAAACAUUCAGACUUUACUCCUUGUGUGGUCAACCAAGGGGAGUGUGUGGCUGCUAAUUAUUUGAUAUUUUUAGCAGCCACCCCCUAUAAAUACCCUAUUCACCUAUUCAUUCAACAGACCUUCUUUCCCACACAUUUCUCUCUAUUUCACUCACUUUCUCUUCCCUUAUUUUCCCCUUUUCUUGUCCAUUUCCCUUUUCAAUUUCCCUCUUGAAAAAGAGUAUACCUCCACUUUGGAAUAGCAUCAUUCAAUUUUUCUUAGAGGCCUCGAUUCAACAGAACGAAUAGAGAAGAAAAAGAAGAGCACACUAGUCUAGCUUCGGAGAAAACCUAGAUUUGCUUCCUAGUUCCGUUCUCUUUAAUUUUCUUGUUUAUGUUGUGAUCAUAAGUAUGAAUAAUUUUUUUUUGUUCUUGUUCUAAUUAAAAUAGCUUAAAUUAAUUCGUGUUAGAUUGAUUGCAUUCUAUUCACUUGAAUUAUUAAAAUCAUGUUUGCGUUGUUAUAGACAUUGGUAAGUUGUUCAAUUAAAUAAAACCAUGCCUAUGUUAUACUUGCACUAUAAAAUGUAAGGUAAGGAAUGAAUUAAUUAUUAAACGUAUUGAAAUUAUAAUUAAUUGACUCGAUAUUUAAUUGGUUCAUGUUAUUGUGAUUAUAAUUAAUUCUAAAGCAGCUGAAGGUUAAAAUAGCGACGGUAUUAAACUGUACAUUAGUCUUGCAUAACUUGGAAGAUUAUUGUGAUUAAACUGUUUCAAUAUAAAAAUAUAUUGUUACCUCACUUGAUAUUUUAUGUGCUAUUCAAGAUUGAUUAAUUGUUUGAACUGGCAUUGAAAAAUGUUCAAGAGAUUAUUUAAUUUAGCAAAUUACCAAGUUGCCAUGAAAAUAUUGGUAACAACAUGAACAUGGGUUUAGUAAUUCUAAGUUAAGGAAUGUAAUACAUCUAACACAAUUAUAUCAUCUUAAUUCAAACUAUCUUUUAAAAUCGUGCAUUGAAAUUUUUAUUCUUAUUUUAUUUUACUUAGUUAAAUUUUAGUUUUUAAUCACGUCCUCAAAAUCAAAAUAUUUUUAAUCACCAAAGUGUUUGAUUUGCAUUUCAUAAAUAUUUUUCUUCCAUAGUUCUCGUGGGUACGAUAACUCGACAUUUACUUGUCACUUUAUUACUUGUUGUGAUUGUGUACACUUGCACAUUUUCAUCGUUCUAUUAGUUCAUAUUGAAGUGAACAUAAUUUAUUUAUGGCAUGUGUAUGGAUAUUGUAAAAGUGCCUCUGAUUUAAAAUUUUAAGAAUUUUGUUAAGUGUUCCUUUGAACGUAGUAAACGACUAGGAUACAACUGGCAUGCUAAUCAAGUUAGAAUGGGCACUUGUACAGAAUUUCACUUCAUUGCCUCUAUUUUCACUUUGGUCCUCUAAUUGCACAUUUGUCCCUCUGUUUGCACUCCAAUGACUCUGUUACACAUCUUUGAUGCCUUGGUGUGGUGUAGUUAUUCGAGUAUCUGAGUUAUGUUGUUAUAAUUCAUGAGGCUAUGAAAAUAUGUGUUUAAUGUUGAAAUAUUGAUGUAUACCAUUUGAAUAUUGUAUCAAGAAUGAUUAUGUGAAUAAUGGUAAAUACUUUUAUACAUAUAUGAAUUAGUUUGGAUUGGAUUAUUAUAGAACAGGAAGCAUAUGAUGAACCAUUUUCAGUACUAAUCCCAUACAUGUCUUGUAAAUGAUUGAUAGGUAUGAUUAAUCUAAUUUAUUUAGUUUUCACAUUAUUUAAUUAAAGUAAGUGAUUCGGGAAUGAUAUGUUUAUAUGAACUAUUGAACGAAAUGUGACAUGCAGAAUGAUUAUGAGUUAAAUGUGCAAAUGAAAUGGUAAGAUGAAAUGUUUAGAUGAAAUAGUUAUACGAAAUGCGUAUAUGAAAAAAUAUAUAUGAAAUGGUUUUAUGAAAUGUUAUACAAAAUAUUUAUGAAUAUAAGUAUGGUAAAAGGGACAUUUGAAAUGAGUACUAGAAAUAAAGAUGUUAAAUAUUAAAUGAAUAUUUGAUGGUUGGUUUGUGUACCAAAUGUGCUUUUCAUGUAUAUGUUUGAUAAUAUGAUAAAGUUAUAAGUUUCAUAUAUGAACUCAAUAACUUUGUGAGACUUGUCUUGUGUAUAGGUAAUUAAGGAACUCAUGACCAUGAUGUUGAAUUAUCUUGUAAAAUGUUUAAUCCAUAUCAUUUACAGUAAGUUAAAGUUAAAGUUUAUUUCGAACUUACUAAGCUUUACACAAGCUUACUUCGUAUUGGUUUUUCUUCCUCGUAGAUCGUCAGAUGCAAGUUGUCGAUUGGAUUGGCUUUGGAGAUCACACUAUCCGUCAACUUGAUCAGUAACUAUCUAUUCACUUGGGUCCAGUUAUAAGUGGCAUGUAAAUAGGAUUUUGGUAUAUAUAUGUUAUAAACAUUAUGGUUAUGUUUUGUGUCAAUUGAAGUAUGAGAUGAGUUUUUUUUUAUGUAAAGUAUUUUGGUUGAAUAUGGUGUGGGAUGGCAAUGGUAUCUCUAUAUAAGUGCUUUUGACCAUUAGCUAUAAGCAUUAUGAAAGUGGUUUGAUGAUUGGUUCAGUGGAUGUAAAAGACAUAUAUGAAUAAAUAUGUUUAUUGGUUUAUAAAAUAAGAACAUGUGUACAUUGAAUGUGAAUUUGGAAUACUAUUUAAAUUGUGGUGCCAAUGUAGGCAUAUUGGUUAGGCACAUACGUUUCAUGUCUUUGGUAUGUUUAGAUGUAUUUUUAAUAGGUUAAAAGAGUUGGAAAUGGUUUGAUUUGGUUCUUAAGAAAUGGUUCAUGAAAUUGCUUGUUUUGGAAGUUAUUUUGGGUGCACACGGCCGAGACAUGAGCUGUCACAUGGCCAUGUGCCACACACGAAAAAUUCACAUGGUUGUAUGUCUUGUUAAGUUUCGGUGCAAUAUUGACACGGUCCAACACACGGGCUGAGACAUGACCGUGUGACCAUAUUUCGAACACUCACAUAGGUGGGCACAUGGGCUGAGAGAUGACCGUAUGACCUAUAUUUCGAAUUGUACACAGUUUGCCCACACAACCAUGUCCCUAAGCCGCACAGCCUGGGCUUUAUCACAUAACCUGACCACAAGGCCGUGUGACCCCUAUUUUCAAAAUUUUCCAUGUUUUCUAUUUUAAUUCAUAAUGGUCCCUAGAUGUUUUCAAAGUCAUUUUUAAGUCCUAUAUGCAUGUUUUAAAGCUCGUAAUUGUGAUUAUUCUAUGAAUGAAAUGUAAAUUCAAAUGUUGUAAUUUAAUUUAAUAAAUGAAUGGUUUAAUGAUGUAAAUUGUUUUGCUAUGUGUUGUAAUACUCUUUAACCCAAAUCUGGCGAUGGAGACGGGUUACGGGUGUUACAAUGGAAGCAUGGAUUGCUUUGGUUUGAGCCAUUGUGUAUAUUGAAUUAUAUGAGAUAAAUGUUUUGAUUAAUAUAGUUUGAUAAUUAAUAUUAAUGACUUGUUGUACUUAUAUGUUUCAUAUGUCUAUAAAUAUGUUAUCUAGUUACGUUUGUAGAGUGUUUAGAGAAUUAAAUGGUUAUAUGAGUAUUUUUCGAAUAUUCAAGGUUGUUUUAUUUGGUUCAACGGGUAAAUAAAGCUUUAAAGGGUAUGUGAUUACAUGAAAUGAACUAUGAUUUUUAUUAAUGAUAUGGAUUAUGAUCAAAUGUGUAAUUGAAAGGAAAGGAUGGUUUAGUGUAUAUAUAUAUGAGUGGUGAAUUUUGAAAGUGAAAUGUUAGAUAUGUUUUAUACCAUGGUUUGGUUGGAGUUAUAUAUCCAAUGUUAUACCAACUAACCUUGUGAGGUGCUGUAUAUAGGAACGAAAAGUUGGUUUAUGACAUAAUGAAUUUAUGCUUGGUUGUUUAACUUAAAAUGUUUGGUAAGUUAAGUUUCAUUUAUACAAAUUUGCUAAGCAUUAGUUGCUUACAUAGCUGUUUUUUCUCUGUUUUGUAGACCAUCAAAAGCUCAAUCAGUUGGAAUCAUGUUGGAGCACAAUCACAUUAUCUAUUCAUCAUAUUGGUAGUUUUGGUUGUUAUGGAUAACGGUUAUAAAUGGCAUGUACUAGGAGUUUUUAUGUUAUUUAUCAAUGUGAUGUGGUUUAAGUUUAUUUGUCUAUAUGCCUUGAUGUUGGCUUAUAAAUGUAAAUAUGUAAGUAUAUGUUUUGGUCACUUGUGAAUGCCUUGAGAUUUAGAUAGAUUUUAGUUCAUUGACGUGGGAAUAAAGUGGUUAAUGGUAGAUAUGUGACGUAAGUUUAAGUUAUGAAAUUAUGGUAUUGGAUUUGAAUUGAUUUGGAUGUUAAAUUGUGGUACCAAUGAGGUUAUAUUGGAUAGACAUUUAGACUAAAUGAUAUGAAUGUGUCCUGGCUUGUAAUAAGGCUUGAAUGUUGAUUUGAUAACUUAGUUUGUUUUGAUUUUUUGCCAAGCUCAUAUGUGUCUUAAUGUUCUUAGUUGAUAGAUCGUAAAUAAAAGUGUAAAAAUAUGGUAGGUGACAUUUAUGUAUGCUCAUACGAAAGUAGGUAAAAUAUGGUUGAACGGUAUGCUUUGAAAUGGUUAUUUGAUAGAUUUAUAUAUGAAUUAUGCUUAAUAAAUGUACUUGAAAUAUUGAAUUGAGUAAAGCUAAUGUGUUGAAUUGUGGUAUCAAUUGAUGGUAUAUUGCUAGGCACCUAACUUGGUUUUGGUAUGUUUUUGGUAUGUCUUAAAUUUUUUUAGUCAUGUGAAAAUGAUUGGUGUGGUAUGGUUUGUUAUACAACAAAAGGUCAAUGCUUUGGCUUGUUUUAGGGUCAUUUUGAGAAGCACGCGGCUUGGGACACAAGCAGCCACAUGACUGUGUGCCACACACUACCACCCUAUGUGACAGCCCUAAAUUGACCCUAGUCGAAAAGUGGUUUCGGGACCACGAAACCGAGUCCUAUAAGAAAUUAAAAGAUAUAUUCCGUGUUUAUAAUGUGAGUAAAUGCAUGUGUGAAAGUUUCAUGCAUUAAUUUGAUUAUUUUUAUGUGAAUUUAGUUAAAAAGGACUUAUGUGAAAAAUAUUAAAAUUGUGGUAGGUUGAAGUGUAGUGGUCAAAUAUUGCAUGGCUUAAAAUAUGGGGAUUUGCAUGUCAAAUUCCCCAUUUUUAUGUAAGUGGCCGGCCAUGAUGAUGGUUGAAUAGCCAUAUAUGCAUUAUAUAUUAUAUUAUAAUAGUUAAUGGUUUAAAUUUUAAAAUAAAAAAAGGGGAAGCCAUACAUCCUUGCCUUGUGCUUGCCAAAUGUUGAGAAAGAAAGAAGAAACCGUGUAAGCAAAGGAAUUUCCGAUAAUGAGAUACUUAAAGUUGUGUGAGACAGCGCAGAAUGACACUGUAAUCUUCUGUUCUGUAUUUAGAAAAUCAUUAUAAAUUGUACAAAAAUGGUUAUAAGAUAAAAUUUAUAUGCUUAGACUCCUUAAUGAGUCUAGUUUCAAAUGAAAUCAAAUACAACACAUUUUGAAUUCUGUAAAAAUGAGAAAUUUGAUUCGUAGUAAAGAGUGGUCAGAUUAGUCAAACAGUGAAACAAGGGAAACUUUAAGAAAAAUCUGGUAUUGAUUGGCCAAACCUAAAAUUCUGGAAAUUUUAUGGAUGGAAGAUAUACGAGUCUAUAUUCAGGAAAAAUUAACGGCAAGUGAUUUGGAGUUUUGUAGCUCCGGUUAUAAAUAAUUUAGUGACCAUUGCUCAGGAAAACAGCUCGUAGUGAAUAUGUGAUUUUGUUGUAAACAUGGAUAAAACUUGUUUUAGUUGCUCAUAAGCUAUUGAUUAAACCCAUACUUGAAUUCUAAAUCGUGAUAUUGUAAGUUUAUGAGUAUUCGAAUAUGAAAUGAUAGUAUGGCGUAAAAUUGAAUUAUUCAUUGGAAAGUGAUGGAUGUAGAUUCGGCCAAGACCAAGUCUGUACAUGAUAGUAUAUGUGGUAUGUGAAGUAUAUUUGAAUAAAUGUGAAAGUGUAUAUAUGUGAUAAGGCCUAAUGGCCGAUGUGAUGAAUGUGAAAGUGUAUAUAUGUGAUAAGGCCGAAUGGCCAAUGUGAUGAAUGUGAAAGUGUAUAUAUAUGUGAUAAGGCCUAAUAGCCGAUGUGAUGAAUGUGAAAGUGUAUAUAUGUGAUAAGGCCUAAUGGCCGAUGUGAUGAAUGUGAAAGUGUAUAUAUGUGAUAAGACCGAAUGGCCAAUGUGAUGAAUGUGAAAGUGUAUAUAUAUGUGAUAAGGCCUAAUGGCCGAUGUGAUGAAUGUGAAAGUGUAUAUAUGUGAUAAGGCCUAAUGGCCGAUGUGAUGAAUGUGAAAGUGUAUAUAUGUGAUAAGGCCUAAUGGCCGAUGUGAUGAAUGUGAAAGUGUAUAUAUGUGAUAAGGCCUAAUGGCCGAUGUGAUGAAUGUGAAUGUGUAUAUAUGUGAUAGGGCCGAGUGGCCAACGUGAUGGAUGUGAAAGUGUAUAAAUGUGAUAAGUCCCGAAGGGCAUUUGUGUCAGUACUAUAUCCGGGUUAAAACCCCGCAGGCUUUAUGCGAGAAUAUUAUCACUGAUUAAUGUCCGUAGGCUUCGUGCUCGUACUAUACCCGAGCUCUAAAGACCCGAUGACUACGUGUGGAGAUUUUGUCCAGGUAAGCCCCGAACUAAAGGUUUUGCUGAAGAUUCAAGUAAAGCGUAAGAUUAUACAACUUCACAGUAACAAUUGGUAAUAAAUACGUUCAAUGCGUUAAGUUGGUUAGGUAUGUAUUUUGAGAUUAUAUUUAAGUUUGAUUUAGACUAAAUCACAAGGUCGUUAUGUGAUGCACAUGUGAGUAAAGCAAUAAGACUGUUCUAUGAUUAUUGUGCAUUUGGUCAAUGUGGAAAGUCAGGAAAAAAAAAUAUGUAAUGUACCCAUGAUCAUAAGAGGUCACCAUCAAGUGAGAAUUUAUCUGCCUAUUAUAUAUGAUGAGAUGUGCAUAUUCGGUAAAGGGAUGGUAUGCCCGAAGGAAGAGUGAAAUAAAAAUACGAACAACUAUGUUAUAAUUUGAUUGUUAUCUAUUGACACUGCUUAAAACUUACUAAGCAUUGUAAUGCUUACUCCGUGUACUUUGUUUCCUCUGUUUUAUAGAUCUCAUUUGGAAGCUACAGGCUCGGGGAUCAUCAGCAACUAGUCACACUAUCACUAUCCAUUGUUUGGUACUGCUACGUUUUGGAUUAUCUUAUGGCAUGUAUAGAAUAGACUAGUUGUGAGAGGAUAUUUUGGUUAAUGUAUAUAAGCCAUGCGAAAAUGGCAUCUUUUGAAUGUGUACUUAUAGAAGUUUAAAUUGUAUCCCUGACUGUCUCUAGUACUUAUCUAAAGGAAUGUUCAAAAAAAAAAAAAUUUACUGUUCUGAUAUGAGUUUCAAGACUGGUAAUGCCCCUUUAUCUAUUCCGGCGAUGGAUACGGGAUUGGGGUGUUACACCCUAAAUGGUCGUGUGUCAUUAUUGUUUUAGGUACAAGGUUCACACGGCCUGAGACACGGCCAGUGACAUGGUCGUGUGUCACAAGUCAGUAUGUAACAUGAUUUGGCACACGACCGACGACACGGUUGUGUGGCCAUAUUUUGAAUGCUCAUACGGGUGGACACAUGGACUGGAACAUGGUAGUGUGUCUAGACUUCGAAUGUUCACAUGUUCUGGGCUAUGUCACACAGCCGUGUGACUCUUGUUUUCAUGUUUUUCCAAAGCUUUCUAUUUUGUUUCAAAUUGAACCAAGAAUGUUCCCAAACUAUUUUUAAGGCCUCAUAGACUCGAUUUAAGGCCCAUAAGUGUAUUUUUGCUAUGAUUAGAUUUAAUGAUUAUAUGUUAGCAUUUAAUUUGUAUAAUCUCUAUUUUACUCAGUAAUACUCCGUAACCUUAAUCCGACAAUGGACAUGGGUUAGAGAUGUUAUAGAGAGGAAGAGGUGUCGAUUACCCCUAGAGAAAUAUGUGAAUUUUAUGAUGUACCUUUCUAUAACAAAGACUUCAUUAAUAACACUAAUUUAGACAAAUUUGAGGAUAUAGAUAUGGAGAAUGUCAUUAAGUACCUAACUCAAGAUACAGGUACAUGGAACCGUAGGCCAGAUACAAGUUUGCCAACUAACUUCAAUCAAGCGAUAAUGUUCCUUGUAGUAAAAAUAUGGAUGCAGUUCAUAGGCACUAAAAUUGCACUCGCAUUAAAUUUUUCUAAAGUAAUACUUUCCGAGCUAUUCUGUUAUAUGGCAUUUUGUAGUGCAAUCAGAUAUGUGCGGGUAGAUGCAUUUAUCAUGAAAUGAUCCGCUAUGCAGACAGCCUAAAAGCCGAAAUCUUAUUUCCUCACUUGGUGAUAGAACUCUGUCAAAGGGCAAAAGUUACAAUGGGCGAGAAUUAACAGUUCAUGAUACCCAAAAAAAGCAUCAUUGGAGAUUCAUUGUAUACACAAUACCGUAACCUUCAAAGAAAAUAAAUCAUGAACUGGAAUCAGAGGUGGAAAGAAAAGAUGGAUGUUUCGGUUUCACUUAAACGAAAAAAGAAGUCGAAAGCUCGAAGAGGGACAAGUAGAAGACCGAAGGAAAAGCUUGAUUGGAUGAUUAGGUGGAUGAAAGAGACAAGCCCAGUACUACAAGAAUUUUCCUAAAUAAACAGGUUAAGAGCUACAAAUUACGUACCAGACAUGGUUGGCCAAAUGUAGAUACAUCAUGGAGAUAUAGAGGAGGAGGCAACAUCAGAGAAUGAAAGUGAAUAAAACCUCCCAAGAAAAGAGGACGAUUAUGGGGUGGCUUUUUAGCCACAAUAUUCUAUACCGAAAGGGCCCGUCAUACGAAGCUCAACCCACCUCGCACCUUCGACAAGUGAAAGCUCACAUCAAGGAUCGGAACAGGAAAAGGAAAAGGCCCAAUUGAAAGGGGGCAUUUGUCUCGGUUUUAUGGUUCGGAUUAAAAUUGAACUUUUCUACUUUGGAUUUGUAUUAAUAUUUAGGAUGAUUUCUUUUAUUUAAAUCAUUAGAUGUAGAAGUAGUAAUAUAUUAUUAUGUAUUAUAUGCUUUGUUUAAAAUUUUUUUGUAGGAAACCCAAAUGGAAAAGGCACAGCGAUUUUGAGCUUUCCAUUCUCAAAGUAGGAAGCACCCACUAAUAACCUAUGGAACUAUCACGAUCAAUCAUGUAACUUUUGUCCUUAUCUUUUUAGGGGAUACACAUUAAGGGCAAUGUGUUAACUAAAGUGUGGGAGUGAUAGAAAAUUUGUUUUAAAUUUUUAUGUUUUUCUCUGAUUCUUCUUGUCAUUUUUGUGCUUAAGCUUGUAGAAAUACAAGUGAUUGGUUAGGAGCAUGUACAGAGGUAGAUUGUAUUUGCAAUAAAUUUGGCAUGAGGAUAGGUUAUUUUAAAUAUUUUAUUAUUAGACUAUUAAGUUUUAUAUAUUACACUGUAAACAAGCAUCAAAGUAAUUGAAUGUACCAAAUGAAAUAAAGAAUGCAAGGAAACAAGCAUGCUAGUAUGAAUGAUAAAUUGUCAAAUUUGUGGUUGUUUGGUUGAUUAGAGUUGUGAAUAUUGUGAUACCUAGGGAUGACCUAAGGCAUUGUUUGGAAUACACCAAUAGCCAAAAAUCUAACCCUAUUAUUUAUCUUUAGUGCCUAUUUUUUUUUAGCCAGAAAGCACUUCUUGAUGAACCUUCAUACAAAACCCGAGCCAAAAUAUAAAUUUGUAGUAUCAAUUUCCAUUGGUCCUGAAUUGUAUGACUAUAGACAUCUGGCCAUACAUAUUGAAGGUUAAACAGAUACAUUAUGGCAGAUUAUGUAAAAAUAGAGUGAAAUAGGAGGGAUCAAUGUGAUAUAGUAAUUAUAUCUUAGCCAAUAUGUGUAAUAAAAUAAAUAUUCAAGAAGAAAAUCAAAAUGACUAGAAAAAGUACUUGAAAAGUAAAAAACAUUUCUAAGUGAGAUGUAUUGAAAAAAAAUUGUGACAAACUGACAAAAGCAAGAAAAGUCCGUUCAUUAGUACACAAAAACAUGUGAGCUAACCAUGAUUGUUAUAUUACGCUGUGACUGAUCCGCCGUAAGUUAGUGUUGCAGAUUAAAAUAAUUCUUACAUUUUAUGAGCUUGAAAGCAAGAAUUUUUAGUAGGUUUUAAUUAUGUUUUUGUAAAUUCUCGUUAAGUUAAUAAAAUAUGCAAAUUGAGUCUUUUAUUGACCUGAGGGGUCAAAUGAGGCCCAAGGGUGAGCUAACUGAGAAACCGUAAUUUAUACAUAUUUUUAUCUCAUGCUUAACACAUUUUACGGAUAAAUUUUCCUUAGAAUUGGUGAAUUCGAUGGUCCUAAUGCCUUAAUUUCAUGUUUUAUACUUAGGCGAGCAUAGGAGAGCGAAAGGAACGAGAAACAGGUCAAAAACGGAGAAAAUGGGCCACCGUAUGAAAUCAACACGGUCUGGACUUCCUCACACGGGCAGACACAUGGCCGUGUAAAUUUGGUAGAAUUGAAGCACAACUCAAAGGGGUAGAACACACGCCCGUGCCAUUCUAACAGGCUCGAGCACGGCCUGAAGUAAUCGCAUGCGGGCGUGUCACACGGACGUGUCCCUACCGAGCCCAAGUUGAGUCCAAUUCAGAAAAGGCUAAUUUUGAGGGUUCUUAGACAUUCCAAAGCCUAUAAAUACACCCUAGAGGAGGAAGAAAAGGGGAGGCAUAGAGAGGAAGGAAGGAAUUACUCGAAGAAAGCCAAUUGAUCCAUCUCAGAAGUAUGAUUCAUCAUCAAGACUGAAGAUCCCCCCUCAAUUUCCCUUUAGGAGUUUUGGGUUUUCUUUAUGUUUUGUAUUCAUUAUUCUUCUGAGAUGUUUUCCUUUUUAGUUGUGAACUAAAUUCCCUAAAUACCUAAGGGGAAUGAAACCUAAGACAAAUCUUGUUAUUAUUUUCUGAAUUGUAUGAUAAAUAUUUGACUUGUUCUUAAUUAUGUAUUCUUAAUUCUUGUUUUGAUAUUCCAGGAUAUUAAUUCAAAUUAAGCUCUUAUUCAGAGGAGGAAUAGACCCUGUCUAAGAGUACAAUUGUCAUAAUUAAGCGGAGUUGAUAGCGCGCCUAGAGAUAGGGUGACAAGAUUUUACCGGAUUAGGGUGAAACCUAAUAAGGAGAUCCAUAGAUCGAGUUAAUGCAACCCUAGGGUGUUAAUUAGAGAAAAUUCUCAAUUAUUAAAUCUAAGGAUUAGACGUUAUUAUUCUUGAAUAGGGAGAAUAACAUAACUUAAGGAUCUCUAUGGAGUAAGUUAAAUAAAUAAAUCGUCCGAUUCAGAGUCAAAAUAACAUAUAAAGUCUAGGUGGAUUUUUCCUUAGGUAUUGUCUUAGUUCAAUCGUUUUCCAAAAGUAAUCCCCCAAUUCUAUUUUCUGUGCAUUCUUAGUUUAGUUAAUUGGUUAGUUAAAACAAACCCCCUUAUUCUUAGGCUAGAUAAUAAAAAGACAGUCAUUACUAGUACUUUUAGUUCCUUUGGGUUCGACAAUCCAGUUUUGCUAAAACUAUACUACUAUUUGAUAGGUACACUUGUCUACAUCGUGAUGAUUGUUAGUUUCAAGAACGAUUAAUUAUAAAUUUAUAAAACUUAUCACACAAAAUCGCGAUCACUAACACAUUUUGUGCAUUUGUAGGAAACUAUUAGUAGGUGUACUAAACAGAUACUAGUCGCUAUGUCUCAACACAGAUGACUCAAUGUCGCAACAGAGGGAGUAGAAUGGAGAAAGCCUAAGACUACCUUUGAUGUCGCAACACAGGCUAAUGGUAUCACGACACAGGUCCUGGUGUGUUGCAACAUCAACUAUGUGACGAAAAUUAAAACAUGAAGGAAUGGCGUUUUGGUCUGAAUAAUCAAACUUAAAGCUAAAGAACGUCAGCUAACCUAGGGUGAAGGACGACGGCCACCUGAAGGAUAUAAAUAGGCUUAUUUGUCACUUUUUAUGGACACCAUUCCUUUAACCAAAAUUCUCUUUGUCAAAUUUAGUUUAGUUUUCUUUUGUUCUUAGUUUUAGAUUUCUUUCAUUUGUUAUUGUUGAUUUCAAGAAAUCUGAAGUGUAGAAGCAUUUAAACUUUGUGGAUUUGUAAUUAAUCUCAAUACAAUCAGACUCUUUCAUUUACUUUAUCUUGUUGAUUUAAUCAGCAUGCUUUCUCUUUAUAUUGAUUUCAUAAUGUCUAUGAAAGCCAUGAGGAUCUAAUCCCUCUAUAGGGGAAUAGCGAGUGGAGGUAUGAUCUAUUAACCAUUUUAUAGGGUUAGUCAACAGAUCAGUUGUUUGGGAAAGAAAGAACGUGAAGCAAACCCUAACCUUGACAACCUUGGAAAAUCAUCAAGGUGGAAAUUAUCCCAAAAUUGGUAUUGCCCAUUCAUGAACACCUUCACCCCCAAUCUAGUCUAGACUAUGAUUUUGGAAGAUAAGUAGUUCUUGCUGACUCAUUAUGUUAGUGGAAGAUCAGAAAAUCCUGAGAGGGUAGUGACUAGUUGAUUGACGAGGAACCCGAAAUGACAGCUGAUGGAGAUUACCUAAGAAGCUAAUCACCCAUAAUCAAGAUUUGAUUUAUCCUCCCUUUCUAUCUCUUGAAGUCUAUUUCUUUUAUGUUUGUCUUUAUUAUUAUAAAAACCCUAAAAAUCCUUUAUUUCUGUUCAUUCAUAAUAUAGUUUAUUAAAGUACUAAUUAGAUAUAUUGGUGUUUAGGUUAGAAUUAAUUUAGCACUAGCCUCCCUUGGGUACGAUUCUCGGAAUAUUUACUACGUGUUUCAUUAUAAACAAACUAUAUUACAACUUGACUCGUAAACUUGCGGACACUGCCUCAAUUUCUAUAUAUUUUGUAGCAAUAUUCACACUCUAUACUAUAUUAUUAUUUAUUUCCUUAAAAAUUAUUAUUAUAUUGCAUGGUGCUUAGAUUAUAUUAAUAAUGUGAAUAGCGGUUGAAGAUAAUAAAGCAUAUAAUGGUUCUUGUCAAGCAUGAUUUUUUUUAUUGAUAUAAGAUAAUAGAUUAGAAGUACCUAAGUAAGAAUGUUUGAUGAUACCAUAUGAGAUAUAAGUCUUAUAGAUAGUCGUAGAGACAUGAAAGCUUGAAUUGAUUAUUAUUCAUUCAGUUUAAUUCGAAGCAUAAAAGAAAUUGUGUAUGAUGGGAUGCUUAAGGCAUUGGUUGAAUAACUAGUUCUCAAAUGACUAUACUUAAUGCUAUGAAUCCCUAGUCUCUUUAUUUGAAGCCUAAUCACUCAUUUUUUAUGAACUUACAAAAAUUGAAACCUAAAGACCACAUAGAAAUUGAAAACUUGAACUCUUCCCUAUCAUUGGUCCUUCAAUGCAUUAUGAAAUAGACUUCAAGCCAUAGAUAUUGAGGUUUAGGUAGAUACAUUACGAUAUUUUAAAAAAAGAGGAAGAAAUAAUAUGGUACAGUGAUUAUAGGUCGGGCAAAAUGUGCAACAAAGAAGAAUCAAGAAAAAGACAAAAGUAAAAACAAGGAGAAAAAUUACAGAACAGAAACAAAAGAACUAUGAUUGAGAAACGAGUAAAAAGUCAAAGUGACAAAACAAGGAGUCAGAAAAGUAAGAAAACUCAGUCAUCAUUGCACUAAAACUCGUCAAGCCAACCAUAGUUGCUAGUUUUAUAUUGUAUCCUCCUACAUGGAGAGAUAAGGUAGGUGGGAGAGGCAGACAAAAGGUGGAGAGCUUGGAUGGGACAUUAAAAGGGAAGAUAAGGAACAAUGUCAUGUACCUAACUGUUUCUAGUGUUUUAACGAUUUUGAGCCAUAUCUUUCUUUGAACUCAUACCAUCUUAAGCCUUAGAACAUUACAAGCCUAGAAGACCAAUGUGACUUAAGUGUUCUCUGUGCAUAAUCUUCCGAAAUUGCUAACAAUUUUAUUUAAUGAAUGUUUUUAUUCACAUGAUUGUGUCUUCUAUAUAUCUAUUUGAUUUAUGUUAAUGCUGAUAUUGCUAAACAUUUGGUCAUGCGAAUUGUUUCUAAUUUGUUUGUAAUGUAACUUUUUAAACUAAUACUAAUUUAUUUUAAAAUUUUUGAAGGCAUCAAACUAUCAAGAUUAAGUUACAUGUGUGAUACGAAUUGUUAUACCUUUAAUAUUUGACAAUCAUGUUCUUAGUAGAAAUAAAAUCCAAAUGACGUCUUCUUAUUGCAUCUUGUGUGUCUAGACUUGGUUUUCUUAAAGACAAGAGCAUCUUCUUAUACGAUUAUACGAGGGCUUUUCCCCAUGAUUCACUGAACUAUUAGGCUUUUGAUCUAAGAUAUCACAAUCUUCUGAAGGAUUCUGCGAUGAUGCGCGUAAUCGAUCUCUUAUUAGCUUAUUCAAAAGUCAUUUCUAGAGGAAUGGGUCAUGAAAGACUAAGUGAGGUUCAUUUUACAUCCAUCUUCACUAACUCUAGUUUGUUUAAAGAAAGAAUCCAAGUCAAUUUUUUUUAUGAUUUGCCUUUUUGCUUAUUUAUUUAUUUUAUGUUUUUUGAUUUGGUUUACUCUUAUUUACAACUAAAUGUUUUUCUUUUUGUUUUCAUAUCUUUUUUUCAUUUAUUUUAAUUAUAUGUACAUUGCUUGAGGACAAGCAAUGACUUAACCGUGGGCAAGUUUGAUCUAUCAUAAUUUGGUGUUGUAGGUUAAACUAAUUCUUACACUUUAAGAGCAUGAAAGCAAGCAUUUCUAAUAGGUUUUAAUUAUGUUUUUGUAAAUUCUUGUUAAGUUAAUAAAAUGUGUAAAUUAAGUCUCUUAUUGCCCUUAGGGGCUGAAUGAGGCUUAAGAGAGAGUUAACGCAUUUUGUAAGUGUAUAAGAGACCUUUAGAAGGCAUAUUAAACUGAUACUAGCCACAACACGGGAUGACCGAUGUCGCAAUAUAGGGAGCAGAAUGGAAAAACCUCAAGACUACCUUCAAUGUCGCGACACAGCCUGAGGGUGUCGUGACAUACCCUUGAAGGUAUCCCAAAAUGAGUAUAUUGACUGCUAUGUCGGGACACAGGUCUUAUGUGUAAAGACAUCGACUCUAGGAUAGAAAUUAAAUACGAAACAAGGGUGUUUUGGUCUACACAUUCAAACUUAAAGCUCAGGAACAUCAACUAACCUAGAGUUGAGGACAACGGCCACCUAACCUCUAUAAAUAGGCUCCUUUAGCACAUGUUAUAGACAUCAUUCACUUAGCCUAUAUUUUCUUUAGUAAAUUUAGUUUAGUUUUUCUUUCGUUUUUAGGUUUUAGAAUUUAUUUCAGUUAUUUUUCAUUGUUCUUAAGAGAUCUGAAUUUUGGAAAGCAUUCAAACUUUGUGGAUUCAUGAUUAUUAUCAAUACAAUCAGGCUUUUUCAUAUACUCUAUACUAUUGAUUUAAUUAGCAUGCUUUCUCCUUAUAUUGAUUCUAUACUAUCUAUGAAAACCAUGAGGAACUAAUCCCUCUAUAGGCGAUUAGCGAGUAGAGGUAUGAUCUAUUGACUAUUCUGUAGGGUUACUCUAAGGAUCAACUAUUUGGGAAAGGAAAAACGUGAAACAAGCCCUACGCCUAACAACCCCGUGAAGUCAUCAAAGUGGGAAUUAACUAAAAAUUGGUAUGGCCCAUCAGUGAACACCUUUACCCCAAGCCAGUCAGGAUCGUUAGGUCAAGAUAAGUAGUCAUUGCUGACUCAUUAUGUUAGUGAAAGAUGGGAAGAUCCUGCUAGGGUAGAGACUAGCUGAGAACUCGAAACGAAAAUUGAUAGGGAUUACCGAAGAGAGCUAAUCACCCAUAAUCAAGAUUUGAUUCAUUCUCCUUCUCUAUAUCUUGAAGUUUAUUUCUUUUAUGAUAUUGUGUUUUAUUAUUAUAAAAACCUUAAAAAUAUUUUUUAUUUUAUGUUUUCCUACUAUAAUUAAUUUAAACUACUAAUUAGAUCUUUUAGUGUUUAGGUUAGAAUUGAUCUAGCACUCGCCUCCCUUCGGUAUGAUCCUCGGAGUACUCACAUAAACUUGCAUAAAACUCAUAAAUAAUUUAAUUUUCAAAUUUUUUUAAUUUUUUUCACCUGGUAGUUAAAAUUUGAAGGUUUGACAUACAUAUGAAAUCAUUUCCUUCAUGUUGAUUUUGCAAGAUUUUCCAUGCCUCUUUAGCAAAUUCAAAUACAAAAAUGAAUUUACUUGGUCCACGUCAACUCCACUAAAAAUGGCAUUUAGGGCUUGUGAAUUUCCAUGUGAAGUCUUUCUUUUUACAUCAAUGUAUUUACUUCUUUCUUUAGGGUGUGUAGUUUCAUGAGCAACAGUUAUAAUAAUGGAGUCCAUCCAUUUUUAAUAGCUUUCUAGUUUUUUUUUUACAGACAUAAUGAAAACUCUUAUACAAGCGUUUCAUUAAGCAUAGUUUGUUUAACCAAGUAGCAAUGGGGAUCGAGUAAUUGAACCACCUUACUUCAUGGAUUCCAUUGUCAUAAAUAAAACAAAGGAUCACCUUUUACAGAACUUUUGAAGCUUUCUCUAAUACCAAUUGAAAAAGCCUUGGUUUGUAUCUAGAAAAAAAGUCUUGUUCUAAUAGGCUUUUGAACAAAAUCAAACAAAAUAGACCAAAAGAAAAGUAGAGCAAAAGCCUAGUAAGGAGAGAUGACACGUAAUGUAUGUUAAUGAAAAUCAAAUUCCCCAAUCUUAUUUUGUAGACCCUCAAUCAAUGAAUGAUUUUAUUCAAUAAUUGUUCGAAUCACCUAUUGGCUUAAGCCUAAUCUACCAUUGCAAAAAGAAGUAGUUGUAACCCUAACAUCAAGCCCAAUUGUUACAAAUCACUCACCCAAAUUCCUCAAAAUACAAUCAGUAAACCUGUUGUAGGGAUACACCCGAUUAAGCAUCAAACAAAGUGAAUAAAAUAAGAAUCAAAAAGAUCGAACACGUAAAUUUUACGUGGAAAAAGUCCUCAAGGGAAGGAUAAAAAAAACCACAGGCAGAAAGGGAUUUCACUAUAAUAAUGGAAAGUACAAAAUAUGAAGAGAAUUAAAAGAAAACUUAAAGCCAUACAAGAAAAAUCCUUUGAAACAAAGAACAAAAUUCUGUCAAUCUAAAUAAUUUUUUGUUGUGUAAAACUUAGAGUAACUAAGGCUUAUUUAUAGGCUAAUUUGUAGCAUAUAUGACUACAAAAACUCUAGGUUAAUUAGAGUUUAACUGGAAAACUAAAAAUAGAUUAUAACUAGGAGAAGAAAAUAAAUUUUGGACAAAAUAAGAGGCAUUCUUCGACAAAUCUCCAGCUUGAGUCAUAUUUGGACCAACUCACUUGCCGAGCCCUAUUACGGGCUUAACUAAUUCUUCAUCAGAUAUUUACCAAGUCCAAGCAAUGCUCGAACUUUGAAAUUGGAAGGCUCUUUGUCAACAUGUCGGUCGGAUUAUGUUCUGUGCCAAUUUUAAGAAUCUGAAUAUCCCAUUGAAUUAUCAUCUCUCAAAAAUUAUGAUAAAAAAUGUCUAUAUGCUUCAUUAUUUCUUGAUAUAUUUGGUCUUUGGUUAGAUGUAUGGCAUUUUGAUUAUCAUAAUAUACGACAGUUGCCUCUUUUUCACUUACCAGUUCACUAAACAGGCCCCUUAAUCAAAUUAGUUCUUUUACUUCUUCUGUAAUUCCAUGCAUUCUGCUUUAGUAGUUGGUAAAGCCACUAUAGCUUGAAGUGUCACUUUCCAACUAAUGGCGUAAUUCCCAAAAGCAAAUAGGUAACCUGUGAGAGACCUUCUUCUAUCUAAGUCUCAUGCAUAAUUAGAAACAACAUAUUCGACUAAACCCUUUUGAGUUCUUUCAAACUCUAAGCACAUGUUAGAAGUACCCCAUAAAUAUCUGAAAAUCCACUUAACUGUAUGUUGGUGUAACUUACCAAAUUUGGUCAUGUAUCAACUAAAAACACUAACAACAUGUGAAAUAUCAGGACGAGUGCAUACCAGUGCAUACAUCAAACUUCCAAUUGCACUUGAAUAAGCUGCUUUUGACAAGCACCUUUCAUCUUCUUCAUUUUGUAAGGAAUCUGAAGUUGAAAGUUUAAAGUGUGCAGCUAAAGAAGUACUUACGAAUUUUUCAUCUUGCAUCUCAAAUCACUCAAAGAUCUUCUUAAUGUACCUUUUUUAUGAUAAAAAAUUUUUUCUGGAACAUCUAUCUCUCUAUGAAACACCCCAAAAUAGGGCUUAGAAGUUUUAGGGGUAUUUUAGGAAUUUUAGCCUUAAAGUGUUUAAAAUUUUGUGACAUGGUUUUAUCAGUAAUGUUUUUGACUAUGGUUUUUAGGAAAAUCAAAUCAAUUUUUGAAAAUGAGUUUUAAAGACAUUUAAUUUUAGAAAAAGGAUUUAUUUGUAACAGGAACAAAAUUGUGAGCUUUUCAAUGGCAAUUAGACCAGAUUUUAAAUUAAAUCUACAAUAAACCCUCCACCUUCAACAUAUCAUGUUAUUUCCUCCCAAAACCAUUUCUUUUUCGUUUCUUGUUCUCCCAAGCCAAUCCCGGUCUAUUUUUUUUCUUUAAAUCUUGAUUCCUUGAUUUCCAUCAAUCCCCAAGUAUUAAAGCUUCAUAAAUCUCCAAGAAAACACUCUAAAAUUCCAUAGAUUUCACCAUCUUCUUCACGUGUGAGUUUUUCAGGUUUUCGAUAAAAGUCUAUUUUUCUUCCACCAAAGGUAACCAAUCAUCUACCCAUUAUUUUUUAAUGUUAUUAGGUCUUUGAAACUAAAUUUUUAAUCAUUAAAAUGCAAGUUUUGAUUAAAAGCUGAAAAUAGAAUCGUUAAUGGUGAAUUUUAGAUUUUCGAGUAAAAUGUGAUUUCAAAGUGUUAAUCAAUAGGUUUUGAUAUGAUUAAAACAUUUCUAAACUUGUUUUUUUAAGUUUCAUUAAGGAUUUCUUAGGUUUUAAUGAAUUUUCGAAAAAAUAGCUAUAAACAUGUCGAAAAAGUCGAUACUAUGAACUGAGUGUUUUAGUGUAGUUUAAAGGUUGGGAAUUAGUCAUAGAUAAAUUAUAAGAUGAACGAAAUUUGUUUUAGGCAAAAAGAUUGAGUUUAGACCAAGAUAUUUGAAUGUAAAGAUUGUUAUGUUAAAGAUUUCGGUUACAUGAGAGCAUAGUUUUAGGCUUAUGCUUUUUAUUGCUUGUGGUAAGUUCUUACGUAACACCCCUUACCCGUAUCCGAAGUCAGGAUAGGGUUUGAGGUGUUACCAGACUUAAACAUAACAUUCAUUCAAAAUCGGGCCAUAAAAUUUCAUCCAACUUAACACCAUUCAUUAACAUGCAUAUCGUCCCUAUUACGGACCUACAAGGCCCUGAACAUACAUUGGAAAUGGUUCGGGACUAAACUGAGAACUUUCAGAGCUUUUACAACAUUUAGAAAAAUUUCUUGUUUUGGAGGGUCACAUGCUCGUGUGGGUAGGCCAUGUGGUCAUGCACGCUCAUGUGGAUUGGGACAAGCCCGUGUAACUCUCUGUUUAUGACAUCAUCAACACAAUUAGGAUCACACAGCCAAGUCACACGCCCGUGUGAUUAGGCCGUGUGGCGAAUUAAAUUCCAAAAAUUAAGUGUGGACUUCACAUGGCCUGGGCACAUGCCCAGGUCCUGAGGCCGUGUCUAUCACACAGCUGAGACACAUGGCCGUGUCUCUGCCAGUGUGUUUACUACUGGGCAUACUGUUUUGCCUAAUUAGGGUACAGGGGACACACGGUCAGAUCAUAAGCCCAUGGGGCAGACCGUGUGUCACACACGGCCUAAACAGAUGCCCAUGUGUCUACCCAUGUGGUCAAAUUCUAGGCUAAUUUCCAAGCUAUUUGCCACCUUUAAAUGCUCACUCACUUAUACAUUUUUGAUGCUAUGCAACAUAGCAUAGUUAGUCACUCAAAUACUCACAAUCAUGAUUAUUCCAUGACUUUGUAAUGUCAACAUAGCACAUGCUCAAACCAUCAUGCUUUCAUAUGGCAUUCCACACCAAUUUCAUAUUUACUCAUCCUUAUAAACCCACCUUCAACCUACUCAAUUAUACCAUCAACAUGGUCAUACCUUUUAGUCCCAAUUCAUUCAUUAAGCAUGUGUGCAAUUUAUCACAUCCACUUCCAACAAGCAACCACAUCACAAUAUAACAUCCCGAUUUUGGGCUUAGUCGGAAUAGUGGUUUUAGGACUACAAAUUCGACAGGAGAAAUUUUAUUUUUAUUAUAUUUUUAUGGUCUACAAUUUCACAGAAUGAUUUCGUGAAAAUUUUGUUCAAAAAAUUUAACGUUUGGGCACUCAAUUUAGUCAAAAGGACUAAAUCGUAAAAAGUGCAAAAGUUGAGUUCUACAUGCUAGAGGUGUCCAAUUGUUAUGAAAUUUUAAAUUGGAGGUCCUUAUAUGGUAAUUAGACCAUUGGUUAAGUUGGUGGACAAAAAUGGACAUGGUUAAGCAUGUUUCCACAGUUUUUAUUAAGGGCAUUUUGGUCAUUUAGUUAUUAAAAUGAAUUAAAAACAAAAUUAAAAGACAAUUUUUGUCCAUCUUCAACCUCUUGGCUGAAAAUUGCAUGGAGAAACCAUGGCUAGGGUUUUUCAAGCUUUCAAGCUCAAUUGUAAGUUCGUUCUAGCCCCAUUUUUAAUGAUUUUUAUAUUUUUGCAAUCCCCGUAACAAGAUCUAUCUAUUUCUACCAUUAAUUUGAGCUAGGGUUCAUGUUUCAAAAUUGACCCAUGUGUGACAUGCAUUCAUUUUGAUGUCUAAUGGUAGAAAAUGAGUGUUGGAUGUUAAAUAAAUGAGUUUUACUAAGCGAUUUUCGAUGAAAACGACCGAAAGGACCAUUUUGUAAAAGUCAUAAAAAUGGUAUAAAAGGGUGUUUUGAUGAGAAUUUUAGUUUUCUAUAGUCAUGAAAAUGAUUUGACUCAGCCUAUAGAGUGAGAAAAUUAAAUAAAAAUCACUUUACGAGCCCAGGGGCAAAAAAAUUACCUAAAUGUGAUUUUUGGAUCACAUUAAAUAAUGUGACUAAUAAUUGGACUAAAUUUGAUAUUAUAGAUCAAGGAAAAUGAGGAUUGGACUUAGAUUGGGUGAAAAAUGGAAAAUCGACAGUUAGAUUCCUUUUUGCUAUUUUGGUGUUAAGGUAAGUUCUUGUGUCAAUAAUAUUGCAAUGCUAUAUUUGAAUUGAAAAUUCUAUAUUAUUAUUGCACAAAUGUCAUGAUUUAAUAUAUUGAAAAGUGAUGAAAGAAUGGUAUAUAAAAUUUGUGAGAACAAUGAUAUAUAACUAGUAGCACAUGAAAUGUUUGAUGAUUCAAUCAUUGAUGGCUUGCUAUAUAAUAGCUGAAUAUAUUGAGAAUUUGAUAUAACAUGAUGUUUUAUUAAGUUGGAUAACUUGUGAAAGAGUGAAAAGAAAGGUAAGUUUGUAUGUAAAUAAUAUACCAUUUUUACUUAUGUUAUAAUAUUUUGUUAUUAUAUGAGAGGUGGUUGCAUAUUGAAUUAUCACUUGAUUUAAAUUAUGAAUUGAAAUUGAUUAUGGAUGAAUUGGUAAAAUGUUGAAAAGUGAGGAAUUUCCUAGUUGGACUUUCAGAAUAGAAAAGAUACAAAUAAUCUGCUGUGAGAACACAUGUGUAGUACUAUGUGCAGGCUACUAUGUGUUUAAAAUGGUUUUAGGUCACGUGUGUAGUACAAAGUGCAGGCUACUACAUGUACCAGAUGGUUAGGUCGCAUGUGUAGUGCAGGCUACUAUGCGUACCCAAUAGCGUCGAUCACAUGUGUGGUACUAAGUGCAGGCCAGUAUGUGUAAAAGAUAGCUUUGGUCACAAGUGUGGUACUAUGUGAAGACAACUUUGUGAAGAAGGUAGCUUUGACUACAAUGGUGGUACUAUGUGCAGGCCACCGGGCAUCCGUUAUUAUUUCGAUGUGUUCAACGGGAAAUGACUAGAUAUAAUUGAAUAUGACUAUGUGAUGAAUAAGUGAAGGUUCAUGUGUGUAAACUUAUGAGCAACGUGCUCGAUAUGUGAUCAAACUUUGGUAAAUUUGAUAUGGAGUAAGUGUUACAAUGAAAGUUACUACAAAGAAAACAUGAAAGAGUGAAAUUUAGUAAUAAAACAGUUUUGGACAGCAGCAAUUGUAUGACUUUGAAAAAUUACCAAAAAUGGUGGAAACUAAAUUAGAAGUUGAACAAGAUAUGAAAUAAAAUCUUAUUGAUUAUAUUUUCAUAUAAAGGAAACGGUGUAAGCAAAAUAAUUUCAUAUUAUGAGAUAUUUGAAUUUUUGUGAGAAAGAGUCAGAAUUAUUUUGAAAUCCCCUAUUCUGAAUUGGUAAAAUCAUUAAAAAUUUUAAAAAAUAAAUAAUGGGUUAUAAUUUAUAUGUUUAAAAUCCUUAAUGAGUCUAUUUUUUAAAAAAACAAACGGAAACAUUAUCCAAAUCUUGUACGAAGAGAUAAUUAAUUUUUAGUAUAGAGGGGUCAGAACUGUCAGAUAGAAAAACGUGGGUGAUUUUAAAGAAUAAAAUGUACUUAUUGGCUAGAGAAAAAAUUAUAAAAAUUUUAUGGUAAGAAGAUAUGUGAGUCUAGUUUCUUAUAAAAUUAGCGGUUCUCAAUUUGAAGUCCCGUAGCUCCAGAUAUAAAUAAUUUAGUGACCGUAACUCGAGGAAACAGCUUAACUGGACGUUGAAUUCAAAAAUAGCAUGUUAAUACAUUGCUUAUUAUUAUUUUUCAUGCGAACUUACUAAGCGUAAAGCUUACUCCCUCUUUUCCAUUUCUUUUAGUGUUUUUAGGUUGGCUUGAGGUUGGAGAUCGUCAGAGGUAGCAUUACACUAUCAAGCCAAUACAUAUGUUAGAAAUAUCAAGUGAAUGGCAUGUAUAGGGACCUAGUUCUAUCACAUGUGUUAUUAUGAUUUGGCUAAAUGAAUUGGCCUAUAUAAAGCUAUUGUAUAUGGCCAUGAGAGGUGGCUCAUAUUGAUUAUGGUUUGUAAGUCUAACUAAUCAUGUUACGUUUUAAUGCAUAUGAUGUGAUGAUAUGAAUAUGUUUGUUUGCCAUGCAUGGUUAGUAAUAUGUCAUGUGUGGUGAAUGCAUGUUUUAUGACCAAUCGAGGUGGUCAUGACCAUGAAUUAAAUGUGUAAUAUGGUAAUAAGAUGAUAAUGCCUUGAACAUGGAUGUUUGAUGUAUAAGUUAGUAACCAUAGAUUAAUGAUAUAAGUGAUUAAUAAGAUGACAAGGUCCGAUGAAUGUGUAAUAAUGUGGCUAGACUAGUUUAUCAUGAGUAGGUGGAACAUAUGUAUAAUGACGAGCUAAUGUUGAAUGUGUCUUAAUAAAGGGUUUUUAAUCACUAAAAUGAUUCCAUGAGUUGUGAGUUUGAUGUGUAUAAGGUUGUAAGGGUUUAUGGGAAACAUGAAGGCUUGGAAAAUAGCCUAAGUGUUAGCCACAUAGGCAGAGACACGGCCAUGUAUCUCAGCCAUGUGGAGGACACGGCCUAGCACACAGGUGUGUGGCCUGGCUAUGUGGUUCAAAUUGUUUUGCUGAUGUCACAAACAGAGAGUUACAUGGGCUAAGGAUACGGGUGUGUCCCAAGCCACACAGGCGUGUGUGACCACACGGUUAAACACAUAUGGGCAUGUGGCUCUCCAAAGCAAGAAAUUUGCUAAGUUGUCCAAAGUUUAUUGAAAGUUCUCAGUUUAGUCUCGAACCACCCCGAUGUAUGUUUUAGGCCUCGAAGGCCCGUAUAAGGGAUGAUAUACAUGUGUUUGAAAAGUUUUAAUUUGGACAAAAAUUUUAUGGCCCAGUUUUUGCAUGAAUGAUUGUGUAUGUGUUCGGUAAUGCCUUGUAUCCUAUCCCGGUCUCGGGUACGGGUAAGGGGUGUGACACACAAAGCAUAAACACAUUGUAUGCAUGCAUAAAUAAUUAGGGUUACAACCCGAGAAGCAAAUAUAAGCCACAUCUCAUGGCCAUAUACCAAAUGAAUCAUAAUACCAUCAUGAGCCAAUUCAUUUAGCUAAUCAAUAUGACAUAUAACAAAAUGACCAAGUCCCAUACACAUGCCAUACUCAAAAUGUCGAGACUAACUAUACCCAAAAAAAUGUUGAGACUAACUAUACCCAAAUGUCAAAUUGAUAGUCUGAUCAAAUCUCCAACGUCCUUCGAUCCCUGAGCUAGCUUGGCGACACUAUAAAAGAUGGAAAGGAAGUGGUAAGCAUUAAAGCUUAGUAAGUCCAUAUGUAAAUAACUUGCUAUAUAAACAAGUAUUUAAUAUACAUUUAACAUAAUGAGCAUAACUUAUAUUUCAUCAAAUCACUUACACUUGCUCAUCACAUAAACAACUUUGUCAUAAGUUCAUCACAUACCAAGGCAUUACUCAUGAGUUCGGUAUACAUACAUGUAACAACUCAUAACAUAAUCUCUAACUCAUUCUUCUCAUUGACUUAACCCUUGGGUCUUUUGUCAAGUUACUCAGUAAUUUACCCGUUGGACACUCGAAAAACUAUUGGAUACUCAGAAGGCUCGCACAUAAGUACCACAUACGUAGCUAAAGCUACUUCAUAUCACAUAACACAUGGAGGCUCAUUCUCAAGCUAUUCACGAGUCUGCUCACACAAGCUAUCGGCCAGGACGUAGCUACACGAGCUGCUCACAUAAGUUCUCAGGUAUCCAUAACACAUGCUGGACUACCCAGCCACUGAUAGGACGUACAAGACCAGCACUAGGAACCACAUAAACAUAUCUCAUGAGCUCAUAAAUCACAUGAUUCCUAGUGACAUGUCACUUGUAUCCCAAAUUAUUCCUAAGGUUCUGUAACACCCUAAACCCAACCCGAAUGCUAUGACCGGAUCCAGCGUGUCACAUUGAAGUGUUUUAUCAAAAACCUUGUUUUCAUUGAAAACCCUUCCUUAGAAUGAAAAACCUUAAUUAUUUUGUAAUGUCUCUUUUCAGUUGUAAAAGCUUUAUUUAAAACAUAUGAUUCAUGGAAACUUGUUAUUUAAAAAUUUAGUUAUGGAAUCGUAGUAUUUCAAAAACCCUAAUUUGAACAAUAACCAGAGGGAGGGCCUUAUUACAAUCCAGUCUGAAACAACUUAAUAAACUAGAAACUAUAUGUUUUUUUCAAAACAAAAAUCAAGUUCAAGUCAUCUUGCUAGCUGGCCACCACGGAGUCCCUCCAACCGUCAAUCCUCCUAUUGAGCAUCACUUAAGAAAAAUAAAAGAGGGGGUGAAUUUUCGAAAACUCAGUGUGUACAACCCUCAAACAGUCCUAAGCAAACAUCAAUCACCACAACGUCAUACAUGCAAUGCUGUGCAACCCACCCUAAUAAUCCAACCGCUACACAUCAUCUCCGUCCCCCUGUACACAUCAUGUGGGGAUAUAAAUAUUGACCCACUCAUCCGAUACACAUCAAUGGUAGCCCGAUUAUGGUACUACCUUCAUUGCAGCAAGCUGCUAAUCAAAUAUUGGGCUUAAUAGCCAUCGGUGGAUCCACGGUUGUCAAGCAACCAUGCGAUCCUCAUAUAUUUCCUCCGUUCUAUAAUUCCCAACCCAUAUGUAACCUAAACAGAAUAUCAUAUGAAUGCAGCAAAUAUACAUGUAACAUUCGUAAAUCUUACCUUCAACACAUAGGGGUAUUUUGGUCACUUUUCACCCUUAGGGGCUUUUCGGUGAUUUCUCUUUAUCAUGAGUUUAUUACUUACCUUGGCCCAUUAACAAGUCAUCGUUGAUUAAAGUGAAUAGACACUAUGCACCAGGUAGGAUUCCAGAGAAGAGGAGGUGAGUCAUUAAGACCGCUUAAGUACCAAGCUCUCCCUAGAUCCAAUCCUAGACAUGCAUAUACCCAUUGCUUAAACCGUAAUUUAUACAUAUUUUUACCCCAUGCUUAACGCAUUUUAUGGAUGAUUUCCUAUUAGAAUUGGUGAAUUCGGUGCUCCUAAUGCUUUAAUUUCAUGUUUUAUACUCAGGAGAGCAUAAGAGAGCAAAAGGAAUGAGAAAUGGGCCAAAAACGGAGAAAAUGGGCCAAAGUACGAAAUCAACAAGGCCUGGGCCUCCUUACACGGGCAGAUCACACGGCCGUGUCAAUUUGGCAGGCUCGAGCACGGCCUAAAGUAAUCUUACAUGGGCGUGUUACACGGAUUUGUCCCUACCGAGCCCAAGUUGAGUCCAAUUUAGAAAAGGCUAAUUUUGAGGGCUCUUAGGCAUUCUAAAGCCUAUAAAUACACCCUAGUGGAGGAAGAAAAGGGAGACGAAGAAGAGGGAGUAAGGAAUUACUCCAAGGAAGCCGAUUGAUCCAUCUUAGAAGCUGGAUUCAUCAUCAAGACUGAAGAUCUCUCCUCAAUUCUCUCUUCAAGAGUUUUGGGUUUUCUUUAUGUUCUGUAUUCUUUAUCAUUCUGAGAUGUUUUCUUAUUUAGUUAUGAACUAAAACUACGAAAUACCUAAGGGAAAUGAAACCUAAGGUGAAUCUUGUUAUUAUUUUCUGAAUUGUAUGAUAAAUAUUUAACUUGUUCUUAAUUAUGUGUUCUUAAUUCUUGUUUUGAUAUUCCAGGAUACUGAUUCAGGAUAAGCUCUUAUUCAGAGGAGGAAUAGACCCUGUCUAAGAGUAUAUUUAUCAUAAUUAAGCGGAGUUGAUUGCGCACCUAGACAUAGGGUGACAAGAUUUUGUCGGAUUAGGGUGAAACCUAAUAAGGGGAUCCAUAGAUCGAGUUAAUGUAACCCUAGAGUGUUAAUUAGAGAAAAGUCUCAAUUAUUCAAUCUAUGGAUUAGAUGUUAUUAGUCUUGAAUAGGGAUAAUAACAUAACUUAGGUAUUGUCUUAAUUCAAUCGAUUUUCCCAAAAGCAAUUCCCUAAUUACAUUCUUUGUGAAUUCUUAGUUUAGAUAAUUAGUUAAUUAAAACAAAAGCUCUAUAUUCUUAGGCUAGAUAAUAAAAAGACAGUCAUUACGAGUACUUUUAGUUCCUUUGGGUUCGACAAUCCAGUUUUGCUAAAACUAUACUACUGUUCGAUAGGUACACUUGCCUACAUCGCGAAAAUAGUUAGUUGAAGAACGAGUAAUUAUAAAUAUUUAAAACCUAUCACAAAAUAAUGCGAUCAAGUUUUUGGCGCCGUUGCCGAGGAACUAAGAUAUUAGGAACGCUCAAUUUUUAUUACUUUAGCCAUUUAUUUUCCUUGCAAUUUAAUUUUAUUAUUGUUAUUACUUAUUAAUUUACUUUCUCUUUCUCUUGGCAGGUUUCUAUAGUUUAUGAGUAGAAGAAACUCGUCAGGACCAUUACUUUUUGUCGAAGAAAUUGAUCAUACAGUUCACAGAAAUCAAAGAGAAAUAAGGCGAAGCUUACGAUACAUAGAAAACGAGCAAGAAGACGAUACUCAACUCGCAACCAAAAAGAUGGCUGAAAACCAAGGCAAUCAGCUACCUCUUGCAAUUGCGAUUAAUCAAAAUCCUGCUCCACGUAUUAUGUAUGAUUAUGCUAAACCUUCUUUAACAGGAACUGAAUCAAGCAUAGUUAGACCUGCUAUAGCUGCAAAUACUUUUAAAUUAAAACCUAACACUAUUCAAAUGAUACAAUAAAUUUUUCAGUUUGAUGAUUUGCAGGAUUAAGAUCCUAACGCUUAUUUAGCCAACUACUUGGAACUAUGCGAUGCAUUUAAAAUUAAUGGUGUUUCUGAUGAUGCCAUUCGUCUUCAGCUAUUCCCUUUUUCAUUGAGGAACAAAGCUAAAUAGUGGUUGAACUCGUUACCACGAGGGUCAAUUACUACUUGGGAACAAAUGAUCGAAAAAUUUUUACUAAAAUAUUUUCCGCCGGCUAAAACGGCUAAAUUACGUAAUGAUAUAUGUUUUUUUUGUGUAGAUGGAUUUAGAAACACUCUACGAUGCAUGAGAGAGAUAUAAGGAUCUUUUGAGAAGGUGCCCUCACCAUGGUUUACCGCUUUGGCUCCAAGUUCAAACAUUCCAUAAUGGUCUGAAUCCUUCAACUCGACAAAUGGUUGACACAGCUGCUUGCUGAACCAUCAAUAAUAAAACACCUGAAGUAGCUUAUGAGUUUCUAGAGGAGAUGUCACUGAAUAAAUAUCAGUGGCAAGUCAUGAGGACAAAGCUAACAAAAACAGCUGGCAUUUAUAACGUCGAUUCGGUCACCAUGCUCUCUAAUCAGGUAGAACUCUUGAAUAAGAAAAUUGAUGGUUUUCUUAGUUCUUUGCAGGUUCAUCCAGUAAUGCAGUGCGAAGCAAGUGGAGGUGGAACAAGCCAUUCAGAAUACCAACCUUAUGCCCACAACAUGGAUAACGAGCAAUUAAAUUACAUGGGUAAUAAUCCUCGACCUCAAAACAAUCCAUAUAGUAACACUUACAAUGCAGGUUGGAGGAACCACCCCAAUUUCUUGUGGGGUGGUCAAGGAAAUCAAAGACCACAACCACCUCCAGGUUACCAACAACCCUACCAACAGGAAAAGAAGCAAAACCUUGAAGAGAUACUUUCAAAGUUUAUAUCAGUGUUAGAAACUCAUUUCCAGAGCACCGAGACAACACUUAAGAAUCAACAAGUAUCGAUCCAAAGGCUCAAAACUCAGAUAAGCCAACUGUCCAAAUUAAUUUCAGAAAGACCACUAGGAAGUUUACCUAGUAAUACCCAAUCAAAAGAGCAUGUGAAAGCAGUUACACUAAGGAGUGGGAAAGUGUUAGCGGAAACUUAAAAGAAGCUAACACAAGAGGCCGUGGUAAGCGAAAGAGGGGAAGAAAAAACCGAAAAUAGUGACAAACUAGUGCCGAAAGAAUAUAAACCUCCAGUUCCGUACCCAGCAAACUUGAAAAAAGAUCGCAUUGAUGCGCAAUUCGGUAAGUUUCUUGAACUUUUUAAGCAAUUACAUAUCAACUUACCUUUUGUUGAAGCCAUCUCGCAGAUGCCUACAUGCGCAAAAUUUUUGAAAGGGCUUCUAACAAAUAAAAGGAAAUUCGAGGACUUGUCUACAGUAGAACUCAACGAGGAGUGCUCAGCCAUACUCCAAAACAAGUUUCCAACCAAACUGAAAGAUGCAGGGAGUUGUACUAUCCCUUGCUUAAUUGGUAGUCUGAAUGUUGAGAAAGCACUAGCUGAUUCAGGCGCUAGCAUUAAUUUGAUGCCAUAUAAAAUGUUCAAACAACUUGGCCUUGGGGAACCUAAACCUACUAGGAUGAGUAUUCAAUUAGCCAAUAGAUCUGUUAAAUAUCCUGGGGGCAUUAUAGAAGACGUACUCGUGAAAGGAGAUAAAUUCAUAUUUCCUAUUGACUUUGCUGUGCUUGACAUGGAUGAAGAUGUGGAAGUGCCCUUAAUUUUAGGGCACCCAUUUUUAGCCACUGCUAGGGCUGUAAUCGAUGUGGGUGAUGCUAAAUUGGUACUUAGAGUAGGUGACGAGGAGAUUAUCUUUAAAAUUUAUGAUGCUAUUAGGUUUUCUAGGGAACAGGAUGAUUCAUGUUAUUUUAUUGACUUUAUUGAUCAUACUACUCAAGACUCUUUUCAAGAAAUUAUACAGAAAGACACGAUGGAACUGUAUCUAGCUCAAGAAGAGGAGACAGAUGAUGAACCUAAUGAGUAUUCUUCAAGACAAGUAGAAUAUGAGGGCAUUAAGCUAAACAAUGAACUUAAGCAAAAACCCUCUAUUGAAGAGCCUCCCAAACUGGAACUUAAACAAUUACCAAACCACUUGGAGUACGCAUUCCUUGGAAAUAACUCUACAUUACCAGUUAUUAUUGCUUCCAACUUGUAACCCAAGGAGAAAGAGAAAUUGAUCCAAGUAUUAAAGGAACAUAAAAAGGCCAUAGCUUGGAAAAUUUCUGACAUUAAAGGAAUCAACCCCCAUUUUUGCACCCACAAAAUUUUGAUGGAAGAUGAAUAUAAACCGUGUGUGCAAGCUCAAAGACAACUGAACCCCAACAUGAAGGAAGUUGUAAAAGCCGAGGUAAUUAAACUUCUAGAUGCUGGAAUUAUUUAUCCUAUUUCUGACAGUUCUUGGGUAAGUCCAGUGCAGGUUGUCCCCAAGAAAGGAGGCAUGACGGUUGUGACCAACGAGAAGAAUGAAUUAAUCCCAACAAGAAUAGUCACAGGAUGGAGAGUUUGCAUAGACUAUAGGAAACUAAAUGAUUCCACAAGAAAAGAUCACUUCCCCUUGCCAUUCAUUCACCAAAUGUUGGAAAGAUUAUCCGGACACAUGUAUUACUGCUUUCUAGACGGACUCUCUGGUUACUUCCAAAUCCCAAUAGCUCCUGAAGAUUAAGAAAAGACGACAUUCACAUGCCCAUAUGGUACGUUCACUUAUCGUAGAAUGCCUUUUGGAUUAUGUAAUACUCCUGUCACUUUUCAGCGCUAUAUGAUGGCCAUCUUCGACGAACUCAUGGAAGAUAUCAUGGAAGUAUUUAUGGAUGAUUUUUUGGUAUUCGCUAACUCUUUCCAUCUCUGCCUUAAAAAUUUAAAACGAGUUUUAAUAAUAUGUGAGGAAACAAACCUUGUGCUUAACUGGGAGAAAUGUCACUUCAUGGUUCAAAAAGGUAUUGUAUUAGGGCAUAAAAUUUCUAGUAAAGGAAUUGAGGUGGACAAAUCUAAAAUAGAAACAAUCGAAAAAUUACCAUCUCCUAGUUUGGUUAAGGCUAUUAGAAGCUUUUUAGGACAUGCUGGUUUUUAUAGAAGAUUUACUAAGGAUUUUUCUAAAAUAGCUAAGCCUUUGACUAAAUUGCUAGAAAAAGAUAUACCUUUUAAUUUCGAUGAGGAAUGUUUAGAAGCAUUUAAUACUUUAAAGGAUAAAUUAAUUAAUGCUCCAAUCAUAAUUGCACCUGAUUGGAACAUACCAUUUGAACUAAUGUGUGAUGCGAAUGAUUUUGCAGUUGGUGCAGUAUUGGGAUAGCGAAGAGACAUUUUCAACCUAUCUAUUAUGCCAGUAAAACUUUAACAGCUGCACAAGAAAAUUAUACUACUACGGAAAAAGAGUUGCCAGCUGUGGUUUUUGCAUUUGAUAAAUUUCGAUCAUAUCUCAUAUUGUCUAAAGUUGUUGUUUACACUGACCAUUCUGCCCUUCGCUACCUUUUAACUAAAACUGAUGCAAAACCUCGACUCAUUCAAUGGAUUCUCCUAUUGCAGGAAUUCGACUUGGAGAUUCAGGAUAGGAAAGGAGCUGAAAAUCUCGUGGCUGAUCAUUUGUCCAGGCUCGAGAAAUCCAAUACCAGAGAACUAGAUGAUGUUGAAAUAAAUGAUUUGUUCCCUGAAGAACAAUUUUUCGCUAUAUCUAACUUCGAGGUACCUUGGUUUGCAAACAUCGCGAAUUUUUUAACUGCUAACAUUAUCCCAAAAGGGUUAACACACCAGCAAAAGAAGCGAUUCUUUAAUGAUGUGAAAAACUACUUUUGGGACAACCCCUUUCUGUUUCGCAGAUGUGCAGAUCAAGUCAUUAGAAGAUGCGUUACAAGAUCAGAAACUUCAAAAAUAUUAGAACAUUGCCACUCAGGGCCAACCGGAGGACACUAUAGUGGAACUAAGACUGCACACAAAAUACUUGAAUCAGGUUUUUAUUGACCUUCGUUAUUCAAAGACGCUAACAGGUAUGUUACUUCAUGUGAAAAAUGCCAACGGACAGGUAACAUAUCUAAACAUGAUGAAAUGCCUCAAAACUAUAUGCUUUCAUGUGAAAUAUUUGACGUUUGGGGUAUCAAUUUCAUGGGCCCAUUCCCCAGUUCAUUUGGGAAUAAAUACAUCUUAGUAGUAGUUGAUUACAUGUCCAAAUGGGUGGAAGCCCAAGCUCUACCUACUAAUGAUGCUAGAGUGGUAGUACGUUUCCUUAAAACACUCUUCUCGAGAUUCGAAACACCUAGAGCAAUUAUCAGGGACAGGGGCACUCAUUUUUGUAAUACCCAAUUUGAAAAAACUCUUAAGAAAUACGGAGUUCAUCAUAGAACAGCCACCCCAUACCAUCCUCAAACUAAUGGACAAGUUUAAGUAGCAAAUCGAGAAAUCAAAUGGAUCCUUGAAAAAAUAGUAGAAUCAAACAAAAAAGAUUGGGCAACGAAGUAGACGAUGCCUUAUGGGCUUACAGAACUGCUUUUAAGACCCCCAUAGGGACAUCACCUUACAGACUUGUUUAUGGAAAAAGUUGUCAUCUACCAUUUGAACUAGAGCAUAAAGCUUUUUGGGCUAUCAAAUUUCUAAACCUUGAUCCGGAACUUGUAGGAAAAAACAAGUUGAUGUAGCUGAACGAGCUUGAUGAGUGGCAAGCCAAUGCAUACAAAAAUUCACGCCUAUACAAGGAAGCAAGAAAGCGGCGCCAUGACACUCGCUUAAAGAAACGAAAACAAUUUGAAGUUGGAGAUCUUGUCUUACUAUAUAACUCAAGACUCAGAUUGUUUCCUGGGAAACUUAAAUCACGAUGGUCAGGACCUUCGUAAUUCAAUCUGUUCUUCCAUAUGGCACAAUAGAGGUGAGUCACCCAUCAUAUGGUACUUUCAAAGUAAAUGGCCAUCGUCUCAAACUUUAUAAUGGUGAGAAUUUCAAAGAUGAUGGAGAGGAGCUACGACUCCACAAAUUGCCCUGAAUAAACCAACAAGGUAAUAGUCGAGCUUAGACUAUAAACAAGCGCUUCUCGGGAGGCAACCCAAGUACUAACGGUUUUAAAUUAUUUAAAUUUCAAGUUUUAAACAUUUAGGUCACUAACAGAGUAUUUGAAGCACAAGUUCCCAACUCCACGGAAACACAACCGUGCUUAAGGCCGUGUGACCAACACAGACGGAAACACGACCGUACGAUACGGCCAUGUGAAAACAGGGUAAAAGUUAUCUUUCCCAACACAGGAUGUGAUAAGUGGCCACAGGCGUGCGACCUAGCCAUGGUCAAAUCUGCCAAACGAACAUGGGCGUGCGACACGCCCGUGUCUAGUACCCGUAGAUGACACUGCCAAAAUGACACGGGCGUGCGAAGACCUACACGAACGUGGGAGAAGUGAACCACAUCACACACGGUCGUGUAAUAUGAUCAUGAAGACACAUGCCCUAUACACACGGGCGUUUCCAAAGGCCAUGUGACGACAUCUCAUUUCGCGACAAACACGGGCGAGACACGAUCCACACGGGCGUAUGAACCGGCCACGACACUUAAAAAAAUUAGGUUAUCUAUCCUAUUUUAUUUUAUUUUUUUAUUUUAUUAAUUUUUGAAGAUUCUUUUGUUUUUAAACACGGCUUAUCUUUAUAAUUGCUACCAAAUUAUUUCCCCAAUCCUCCUAUUGUUCUUCAGAAUCAUAUUUGUCCUCUAGCUUUAUUUCCAACAACUCGCUCUUGCUAAUCCAGGAUUCCAUGCAUUUUUAACUCAGGAAGUUUCACUUCUCUCCCUCUCUUAUUCUUAUACUCUAAUAUUAGUCUUUGUACAUUGAGGGCAAUGUACGUCUUAACUGUGGGGGAAUAUUUAUUUCAUUAUCAUAAAAAUCCCUGAAUGACUGCCUUGUUCUCUUGAAAAGCUCUCAUAUCAUAUUUAGGAUAAAUUUUGAUUGAUUUAUGAUUUUUGUUGAUAUAUCUUGAAUUAAAACAUAGGCAAUUAUGCAUUGAUUGUUUAAACUUUAAGACAUUAGAGAAUCAAGCAUGAUAAGUUGAUUUUUAAGAAUUUAAAAUCUUAGGUUGUUUCCCUAAAGUUUAGGUAUUACUUUGAGUUGGAAUUCACAAGUUUUAAACAUCAAAAAGCCAUAAUUUUUGUGAGAUUUUUUAGCCUUUUGAGCAUCUAUUAAUUCUUUCAUGCUCACAUUUAUUAUUGCUUUGAGUGCGUCAGUAUUGAACUGUUAUUCUAGAACUUGCUUGAUUAUGCAUGUCGAGACCACACCAUUUGAUUUGAUAUGUCAAAAUGAUUAAGGCACUUAGGAUUAACCCACUCAUGCCAUGAAAAUCCUACCUCCAUGACUAACCCCUAGUAAACAUCCUUGAGCCCAACAAAGCCAUUCCUUGUAUUAAUCUUAAUAUUAACCCUUAACCCAUUAUUGUUGAAAUCCCCUAAAUUAAUCCCUAUUUUUUGUCGAGAUUUGAGUUGAAUAAAUUGCUUAGCUAUGUCUUGUUAUUAAUAGUUAGUCUAUGUUAUUUACCUUGUUCUAAAAAAAACUAUGUAUACACAUUAGUAAUUCCACUUUUUUUUAGAAGAAGCUCGAUUGUACACAAGUGAUGAUUAACUUCUUUUCUAGUUAGGCAAUUUUUCAAUUCAAUCUCGAUUCUAACCCUUUCUUUCAGCUUGUGACCACACCACCUAACCAAGCCUCAUUACAACCCUCUAAAGACCUUUUGAUUGAAGUAUCAUCUUAAAUUGUAGUGGUGAAGAUUUGAUUUUCAUGCAAGCCUAUGGUAAUGACUUUUCAUUAUUGGCUAUUGAGUGCUUCAUUUAUUGUCCUUAAACACCUCGAGUGAUUUGAGUGAAUCUUUAGUGAGGAUAUUCAACUCUAUGAUAUUCUUAAUCAAAGGUAAUUACUUAGACGAGGGGAGACACCUAUGUUGCAUGACUACAUGCUCAACUUGGAAUGUUUGAAACUUUUAUGUUCUUUUAGUUGAAUUCUCAAUGUGUGAUUACUUAUGGGUUAUUUUGAGAUAUUAUCGAUAGAAAUUAUAAGUUGAGAAGAAUUUAUUUUGAUUAUGAGUUGAGAAUUUUGCUUGAGGACAAGCAAAUGCUUAAGUGUGGGGGUAUUUCAUAAACCAUAAUUUAUACAUAUUUUUACCCCAUGCUUAACGCAUUUUAUGGAUGAUUUCCUAUUAGAAUUGGUGAAUUCGAUGCUCCUAAUACUUUAAUUUCAUGUUUUAUACUCAGGAGAGCAUAGGAGAGCAAAAGGAACGAGAAACGAACCAAAAAUGGAGAAAAUGGUCCAAAGUACGAAAUCAACAAGGCCUGGGCCUCCUUACACGGGCAGAUCACAUGGCCGUGUCAAUUUGGCAGGCUCGAGCACGGCUUGAAGUAAUCGCACACGGGCGUGUCCCUGCCGAGACCAAGUUGAGUCCAAUUCAGAAAAGACUAAUUUUGAGGGCUCUUAGGCAUUCCAAAGCCUAUAAAUACACCCUAGUGGAGGAAGAAAAGGGAGACGGAGAAGAGGGAGUAAGGAAUUACUCCAAGGAAGCCGAUUGAUCCAUCUUAGAAGCCAGAUUCAUCAUCAAGACUGAAGAUCUCUCCUCAAUUCCCUCUUCAGGAGUUUUGGGUUUUCUUUAUGUUUUGAAUACUUUAUCAUUCUGAGAUGUUUUCUUAUUUAGUUAUGAACUAAAACACCUAAAUACCUAAGGGGAAUGAAACCUAAGACGAAUCUUGUUAUUAUUUUCUGAAGUGUAUGAUAAAUAUUUAACUUGUUCUUAAUUAUGUGUUCUUAAUUCUUGUUUUGAUAUCCCAGGAUACUGAUUCAGGAUAAGCUCUUAUUCAGAGGAGGAAUAGACCCUAUCUAAGAGUACAUUUUUCAUAAUUAAGCGGAGUUGAUUGCGCACCUAGACAUAGGGUGACAAGAUUUUGCUGGAUGAGGGUGAAACCUAAUAAGGGGAUCCAUAGAUCGAGUUAAUGCAACCCUAGAAUGUUAAUUAGAGAAAAGUCUUAAUUAUUCAAUCUAGGGAUUAGACGUUAUUAGUCUUGAAUAGGGAUAAUAACAUAACUUAGGGAUCUCUACGAAACAAGUUAAAUGAAUAAAUCGUCCGAUUUGGAGCCAGAAUAACAAGUACAGUCUAGGUGGAUUUUUCGUUAUGUAUUGUCUUAAUUCAGUCGAUUUUCCCAAAAGCAAUUCCCCAAUUCCAUUCUUUGUGAAUUCUUAGUUUAGAUAAUUAGUUAAUUAAAACAAAACCUCUCUAUUCUUAGGCUAGUUAAUAAAAAGACAGUCAUUACUAGUACUUUUAGUUCCUUUGGGUUCGACAAUCCAGUCUUGCUAAAACUAUACUACUAUUCGAUAGGUACACUUGCCUACAUCACGAUAAUAGUUAGUUCAAGAACGAGUAAUUAUAAAUAUUUAAAACCUAUCACGAAAUAACGCGAUCAAUUGCCACACCUUAACUUUAUGACUCGUCUGCGGUCGCAAUCAAUUAAUUAAGUUUUAUGUCAAUUCAAGCAGUUUCAGAUACUAAACCCAAAACCCCUUACAAAGCCCAAACAAGACUACAUACAUGCAUAUGGCCCACUAGGCCCAAUCUCAUUCUCAUGGCCCAUUAGGUCCAAAUCACAUUCGUAUGGCCCAUUAGGCCUAAAUCACAAUCGUAUGGCCCAUUAGGCCCAAAUCACAUUCUUAUGGCCCAUUAGGCCCAAAUCACAUUCGUAUGGCCCAUUAGGCUCAAAUCACAUUCAUAGUCAUGCUUUCAUACAACUUCUCAUCACUUACUAUCAAGUUGCCCAUUUUGCCUAUUUUGGGCCUACAGCCCAUCGGCCCAUUUAGCCCAUUCUGGCCCCGUUGGCCAAUACACGGUCCAAGUCCAUGGUAUCGCCCAUGGGGCCCCUGAUAACCUAUCGGUUUCCCCUUACGAGUGUUCGUGCACUCGCAGGUCUAUUAUAGCCACAAUUUUGGCAUUUCAGCAUUUUGGCUUUUCGGCAUUUCGGGAUUUGUCGAUCUACUGUGUGUGUGCAGUGUAUGUGCACACCUGGUAAUAUAGCAUCCUGUGAUCCCCCCUAGCCAUGAACCUACAAUCGAUAUCACUCAAUGAUUAACCACACAUACUUAUCGAAUACCUUGCCAAAAGCUGAGGUCUUACCUUAACCUUACCUGGAACGCCAAGCCUUAAUGGCUUUUUCUUGCUCACUAAUCACGAGCACUUCCUAGAUCUGCAUUAACCUUAUUGUUAAAAACAUAAUGGGUGACUUAUAUCCAACAUAUGUCACCCUUUCCCAUUAAAGCCUAUUCGGCCAACCUUUACCAAAAUGAAGAACACUUACCAAAGUUUCAACACUUAGGGAGCAAACCGGCAGAGAUCCAAAAGACUGAGGUUCGAUACUAAUCCUACCAAAACCGAUUCAGAAGGAGUGAGGGACAGGAGUAAUCGAUACUUAGCAAAACCAACUGAAAGAACAAAACACUUACACUAGAAUUGGCUGAGGUAGAAGGAGUAGUGGCAGCACAGAGGAUAUUCGGCUUCUAAGGUUUGUAUGAUGGAAAAGGUUAUUCGGCACAAAGUAAAACAGUAGUAGCAACCGUUUACAACCAGUGGUGAAUCAAAAAAGAAGUAUUGAGUAGGGGAAAGAAUGGAAAAUCGGCACAAAGUAAAGAAAGAAGAACAAGGGAUUUCGACUUUUUGAUCCUUGGAGAGAAAAAUGUUUUCUGGUAACAAGGAAAGGGAGAAUUUGGCAUUAGCCUGGAAUCCUCACAUUCGACACCUAUAUAUAGUCUAUAGUCGAAUUUCCUAUGCCAAAAUUCCUAAUUCGACUCCACCUCUUCUUCACUCCUCAUCUCCUAAUUUUUCUCCCUGAUAAAUCCCUAAUCCCCACCUCAAAUUUCUCCUCUUAUCACUCCCUACAGUGUUCAUAUCCAACGCCAACACUGACCAUCUCUUAAACAAAAAUAAAUCCUUCUUUUGAGCAAUGAGGGAUUCAAACCCCAAACCCCAUUGCCCUGUAUGUGACACCACUUGCCAUUCCACCACAAGGCUUUCUUGUGUCCAAUUCCUCCUUCAUUUAUUCAAAAGCUCAGCUACUUGCCAUCGGGGUUCUUUUAAGUAUUAACCUAUAAUUUCCUUCACCCUUAAGUUCGAACUCAAACCUUAACUAAGACCUAUUAUCACAUAAAUAAAACUUAACUAGGAAUAUUAAGCACACUUCUUAUCAAAAUCGAAAUAAGAAAAAGAAAAUUUGGGAUUUCGAGACUUUUGGGGCGUUACAAGUUCAAACGAGAUUUUUUUAUAUCACAUCUCUGUUAAGCUUGCUCGUAAUGUCAAUCUCAAUGUCCAUAACACUCAUCACUUACUCGUGGAGUAAUCAAAGCAUAACUCGUAAUAACAUUGAAGAAUUUUAAUUCACGUAAUACUCAACAUCAAAAAUAUAACAUAACAUCACAUUAUUUUAUAUGAACUUACCUCGGUACAAAAUGAUGAAAACGAGCCUAUUCUUCGUAAACCUUGUUUUUCCCCCGAUCAAAACCCGAAUCAUGUUUUUCUUGAUCUAUAAUGCCAAAUUUAACUUAUUUAAUACAUACAUUGUUUGAAUCGACCCAUAACACAUACUUUGAUAAAAUUACCUUUUUACCCCUAACUUUUUACUUAUUUACAAAUUGGUCCUUAGGCUCGUAAAAUGAAAUACAUGCAUUUUCUUUACUACCCAAGCCUAGCCGAUUCAUAUUCCUACUCUUAGCAGCCUACGUUUUUCUUUAUUUCACAUAUUUACUACCCAUUUUACAACUUUUACAAAUAGGUCCUUUACAUGCAUUUCCAUCAAAAAUCACUUAGUAAAAGAUGUUAAACACACAUCAAAAUUUUAUAUUCCUCCAUUAAAUAUCGAAAAUACAUGCAUGUCACACAUGGGUAAGUUUUUGAACAUGAACCCUAGCUUAAAAUAAGGGUAGAAAUAACUAGAUCAUGUUUCAAAGAUCUCAAAAACAUGAAGAACAUAAAAAACAGAGCUAAGAUGUACUUACUAUUGAGCUUGAAAAGUUGAAAAACCCUAUAUAUGGAACCCUUAGGAAUUUCAGCUAUGGCAUGGAGAAGAUGAGCAAAUUUUGCUUGAUUUUUCCCUUUUUUAUUCUUUUAUUAACUAAAUGACUAAAUUGCCCUUUAAUGCCUUUCUUUUAAAUUUUCCUUAGCAUGCCUACUUUUUUCUAGAAUUUUAAAACUUGGCCAAAUUACUAUUUAAGGACCUCUAGUUAAAAAUCCAUAGCAAUUUCAUGCUUAAAGCUUCUAGAACUCAAGUUUUACAACUUAUUCAAUUUAGUCCCUAACUUCAAAUUAGACACUUUAGGCAUAAAAUUUCUUCAUGAAAAUUUUACACAAACAUGCAUUCAUAUCAUGGAUCAUCAAAUAAUCAUAAAAUAAUUAUUUCUACUUCAUAUUUUUGGUCUCGAAACCACUGUUUUAACUAGACCCUAAUUUUGGGAUGUUACAUCUUAGUUGAUUUUUGAAUGUAUUGUUGUGUGAAUUGUUGUGUUGAAGUUUCGGAUUCACAAGGACCAUCUACAAGCUAGAAAAGGCUAGUUUUAGCUUUCAGCAUUUCGGCAAAAGCGUAGUGGUAAAUCUUUAGAUUAAUUGCUUGUGGACAUGAUUUAAUGCGUUAUUUGGGAAUUUAGUGGUACUAAACCCUUACUCUAAAUUUUGAGUGUAAGCUUUCUUGUACCCAGGUUUAUCUUGUGCGAUAUGUGCUUGUGUUAUUGUGAAAUUGUGAACUAAAAUGAGAUGCUAAAUAUGUGCUAUAUAUUUAUGAUUACUAUUGUGAAAGAGUAUAUGUGUAAGCAUGUCAUACAUGCUAAGUGACAGUGAUAAUAUUGUGCAAAUGAUACAAAUGUGCAGUGAAAGUAAUAAAAAAUCGAUAAGUAAUAUGUAUGUUUAAAUACAAAUAUUUUGACCUUGUGAUACUUGAGACCAUUGGAUAUAAUUGGCAUGCCAUAAGAUUGUGAGUACUCAUCAAUAUGUUUGAUAAAUCGUAAUUCAUACAUAUUUCUAUCUCAUGCUUAGCACAUUUUAUGGAUGAUUUAUCCUUAAAUUUGGUGAAUUCGAUGCUCCUAAUGCCUUAAUUUCAUGUUUUAUACUUAGGUGAUCAUAGGAGAGUGAAAGGAACGAGAUAUGGGCCAAAAACGAAGAAAAUGGGCCAACGUACGAAAUCAACACAGCUGGUCUUCCUUACACUGGCAUACCGCACGGUCGUGUCAAUUUGGCAGAAUCGAAGCACGACUCACAGGGGUAGACCACAUGCCCGUGCCUAUUUAACAGGCUUGACCACGGCCUGAAGUAAUCGCACAUGGGCGUGUCCUUGUCGAGCACAAGCAGAGUCCUAUUCGGAAAAUGUAACACCCCUUACCCGUAUCCGUCGCCGGAACAGGGUACGAGGUAUUAACAAAUUAUAGUAUAUUCUAUUAAAUAAAACCCAACAAAAAUAUGGCGUGCAAUUUGAUCAUGAAUCAUUAUAACAUAUGCCAUUAACAAUACAAACCAAUUUCAAAGGCUUCGUACAAAAUGAUUAGUUUGAUACUAUAAGUAGUAUUUUAUACCUAGACAAUUAUGACACAUAACAAAAUAACUAAGUCUGCUAUACAUGCCAUAUUUCAAAAUGUUGAGUUCAGAUACCAAGAGUAUUGAUAGUGCGGGCGGAUCUUCAACGAUCUCUAACUCCUGUGCUAGCUGGAUGACACUAUAAGACAAAGGAGAGAAAAGAAAGUAAGCUUAUAGCUUACUAAGUAAGUAUAUAAAUAACUGAUAAGGAAUCUAAUAUGUUUACAACAUAACUCAAUUAUAUCAUAUUUUUAAUUUUUUUACUAUUUACUCCGGUUUGAUCAAAGUGUCCCUCCUGCGUCAUAAUCACUAAAUAAAUCAUAACUCGAGUUAAAAAACUCCAAAUUCAAAUCCGUAAAAUUUCCCUAAAUCUAGACUCAUAAAUAUUCUUACUAAUAUUUUCUCUAGAAUUUUUGGUUCAGCCAAUUAGUACAGUUUAUUAGUUAAAAUUUCCCCCGUUACACAGCUCAACUGAUCUGACCUCUGUUAACUACGAAUUGAAUUUCUCUUAGUACACAAUUCAAAUAACCAUGAAACCUAUUUCAUUUAAAACUAGACUCAAUAAGGAAUUUAGGAAUAUAAACUAUAUUUCUUAAUUUGUUUUGUAGAAUUUUUAAUGAUUUUUCAAAGUUGGAACAGGGGAUCAUAUAGUCAUUCUGCACAAGUCACACACAAUUGUAAAUAUCUCAAAAUAUAGAAUUCCUUUGCUUGCUCUGUUUCUUUUAUAUGAAAAUAGACUCAUUAAGAUUUAAUUUCACAUCUCAUUCAACCUCGAAUUAAAUUUCUUCUAUUUUUGAUGAUUUUUAAAAAUCACAUCACUGAUACUGUCCAAAACAGUUUUAAUGCUAAUUUCACUCUUUCACACAUUCUUUGUACUAACCUCAUUUUAACUUAUAUAUAUAUCACAAAUCAUUUUCACUACAUUUCACACAUCACAAGUAUAGGCCCAUAACUACAAUGUCACCACAAAGCCAUCCCGUUGAACAAUUUGGAUUAAUCCUCGAUACUUGACGGUUUCAGCACACAGCCCCACAAUCAUAUUUCAUUUAAUUCGGCUCUCUUGUACACAUGGUGAACACUUAGUACCACUCAUGCAACCUAGACGAUUUGUCUCGUAGCUCUCUUGUCUACAUGGUGUCCUUCACUUGGAAUCACGCAUGCGACCUAGCUACAUUUAUCUCUCACGUAGCUCUCUUGUCUACAUGGGAUACAUCCCGUAUCACACAUGUGACCUAGCUACUACAUAGUAUCUCGUAGCUUUCUUAUACACAUGAUGUGCACUCGGCACCAUACAUGUGACCUAGCUACGCCCCCUCUAUUUUAUUCGAUCUUUCCGAAUGUUCAACCGGGAUCUCUCUCUAUUACUUAUUUCCAUUCUUCCAAUAGUCGAUUUAUACUUCAACAUCAUCUAAUAUAUAUAAUAGGCUGAAAUAUAAGAAUGUAAAUGAAAUUAAUGUAUUAUUUACGUACAAACUUACCUCGGUGCAAAAUAUGGGAAUUUUGCAAUUUAGUCCAAAACUUUCUCCUUCCCCCGUUCGAGGUCGAUUCCACGCUUUUCUUGAUCUAUAACAACAUAUUUAGUUCAUUUAACAAUCGAACUAUUUAUUUUAAUUCAAAAAUCACAUUAUACAAAAAUUACAUUUUUGCCCCCUAACUUUUACAAAAUUAUGAUUUUUCCCCAAGGCUCAGAAAUUUAAUUUCAGCCCUUAUUCUUAUGUUUAAUGACCUACUGAUCAUUUUUCUCUUCUAUGGAAACAUCAAAUUCUCACUCUAACACAUAGUUAUGAAUAAUAGGUAUUUUUAUCGAUUAUGCUGUUUUGCUCGUUUUCGUUAAAAAUCGCUUAGAAAAGAUCGUUCUCCUAACUUCAAACAUUCAUAUUCUACCAUCAAACAACACAAUACAUGCCUAUCAUUCAUGGGUAAAUUUUUAAGCAUACACCCUAACUCGAAAUAAUGGUAGAAAUAAGUAAAUCGAGCUACGAAGAUUUCAAAAAUGUGAAGAACAUUAAAAACGGGGCUUGAAAUCACUUACUAUGAAGCUUGAAAAUUGAAGAAACCCUAGCUAUGGAGGAGAGAAAAUUUCGGCAGCAACUAGUGAAGAUGAUGACCAAUUUUGUGUUAUUUUUCCCAUUUUAUUUCAUUUAAUAUACAAAUUACCAAAAUGCCCUUACUACUAAACUUUCCACAAAUUCCCUCCAUGUCCAACUUUUGUCCAUAACUUAGGAAUGGGUCAAAUUGCUAUUUAAGACCUCCUAGUUAAUAUCCCAAAACAAUUUCAUACUAAAAACUUCUAAAACACAAGUUUUACAAUUUAUUCGAUUUAGUCCCUAAUCUCAACUUAAGCGCUCAAUGCAUAGAAUUUCAUCACGAAAUUUUCACGAAAUCAUGAAAUCAUAUCAUAAACCCCAAAAUAAUUAUAAAACAAUUAUUUCUAUCUCAGAUUUGUGGUCACGAAACCACUAUUCUGAUUAGGCCCUAAUUCGGGUUGUCACAAUUCUCCCCCCUUUAGAGAUUUUCGUCCCCAAAAAUCUUACCGGUAAAGAGGUUUGGGUACUGUUUCCUCAUAGCUUCCUCAGGUUCCCACGUAGCCUCUUCUAUCCCAUGUCUGUGCCACAAUACUUUCACUAAGGCUAUACUUUUAUUUCUUAACUGUUUAAUUUCUCGAGCCAAAAUCUUUAUUGGUUCCUCCUCAUAGGUCAUAUCCGGUCGAAUCUCAAUUUCUGUUGGAGAAAUCACAUGUGAAGGAUCAUAACGAUAACGUCGCAACAUUGAUACAUGAAACACGUUAUGAAUUCUUUCUAACUCUGUCGGUAAGGCCAACCGAUAUGCCACUGGCCCAAUCUUCUCACUACUUUAGCCAUUUACUUUUACUGCAAUUUAAAUUUUAUUCUAAUUUUUAUUACUAAUUCUUCUUUUUCCCUUUUUCUGACAGGUUCUUAUAGUUUAUGACUAGAAGAAACCCUUCAGGACCAUUACUUUUUGACAGUGAGAUCGAUCGCACAAUUCGCAGAAACCAAAGAGAAAUAAGGCAAAGCUUAAGAUACACAGAGAACGAGAAAGAGGACGAUAUUCAAACCACAACUAACGAGAUGGCUGAAAAUCAAGAAAACCUGAUACCUCCUGCGAUUGCUGUUAAUCUAAUAAAUCAGAAUCCUGCUUCGCGCACUAUGUAUGAUUAUGCUUAACCGUCUUUAACAGGAACUGAAUCGAGCAUAGUUAGGCCUGCUGUAGCUGCAAAUACUUUUGAACUGAAACUUAACACAAUUCAAAUGAUAUAGCAAUUUGUUUAGUUUGAUGGUUUACAGGACGAGGAUCCCAACGCUCACUUAGCAAACUUUUUAGAACUAUGUGAUACAUUUAAAAUUAAUGGCAUUUCUGAUGAUGCCAUUCGCCUUCGGUUAUUCCCUUUUUCAUUAAAAACAAAGCUAAACAGUGGUUGAAUUCUUUACUGCGGGGGUCAAUCACUACUUGGGAACAAAUGACUGAAAAGUUCUUAUUAAAAUAUUUUUCGCUGGCUAAAAUGGCUAAAUUACGUAAUUAUAUCUCUUCUUUUGUACAAAUGGAUUUAGAAACACUCUACGAUGCAUGGGAGAGAUAUAAGGACCUUUUGCUAAGAUGCCCUCACCAUGGGUUACCACUCUGGCUAUAGGUUCAAACUUUUCAUAAUGGCCUAAAUCCUUCGACUCGACAAAUGGUUGACGCAGCUGCUGGUGGAACCAUCAAUAAUAAAACAGCUGAUGAUGCCUAUGAAUUUAAUCCAAGGUAGCCUGCCAAGCAACACUGAAUCUAAUCCAAGGAAGCAACUCAACGCAAUUUCCAUUCAAGAUGAGGAAGGGCUAGUGGCAAAACCAAGGCCAGAACUAGUGGUAAGCGAAGGUAAGAAUGAGGUAGGCCAAAACGAACAAAAAUCGGUAAGUCCAGAAUAUAAACUCGUGUGCUAUACCCCAAUGCGACAAGGAAAGACCGCUCAGGUGAAAAUUUUGGUAAAUUCCUUAAACUUUUAAAGAAACUACAUAAUAACUUACCGUUUAUUGAAGCACUUUCACAGAUGCCAAACACAAUCAAAUUGUUAAAGGAGCUUCUGGCAAAUAAACGAAAGUUAGAUGAAAGGUCGCAUGUGGAGCUGAACGCUGUUUGCUCAUCCAUUCUUCAGAAUAAGCUACCCAACAAACUAAAAGAUCCAAGGAGUUUUACGAUUCCUUAUUUAGUUGGUAGUUUAGAUGUUAAUAAUGCGUUGGCUGAUCUAAGGGCUAGUAUCAAUGUUAUGCCUUACAAAUUGUUUAAGCAACUAGGUCUAGGGAAACCCAAACAAACUAGGAUGAGCAUUCAAUUAGCAGAUAAAACUGUCAGAUUUCCUAGGGGUAUUAUUGAAGACGUACUCGUUAAAAUUGACAAAUUUAUAUUCCCAUUUGAUUUUUUUUGUUUUAGACAUAGAAGAGGAUAGUAACGUUCCUUUAAUUUUGGGAAAGCCCUUUUUAGCAACUGUUAGAACAAUUAUUGACGUUGGCAUAGGUGAACUCACACUUCGUGUAGGAGACGAAACAAUCACCCUUCAAGCUCGCAACCCGAACAACACAUCAAAAAUUGAAGGUAAUUGUACAAAUUGUUCCAGUAAGACUGAUCAUAAGUUCGAAGGACACACAUGAGCCAUGUUCAAUCCACAACAAAGAAUCUACCCAUGAAGAACGAAGGUUACGAAUCAAGGAGUUAGAUGAAUGGCUAACAUUUAAACUGAGAAAACACGAUAAACUAAAACUACGUCAGAAUGAGUGCCUCACCAAAUUAACUUAAGGUUGGAGAUAAAGUUUCAUUAGAUGCCGCAGAUCCUCAUUGACACUGCCAAACCGAAUGAAGAAAUUCCUCUUACGGUACUUAGCAUUUUCCCAUUUGGUACAGUCGAGGUAAGUCAUCCCAAAUUCGGCACCUUCGGCACCUUUAAGGUAAACAAUACCCGCCUAAAACCUUAUUUUGAUGGGAUUCAUAGCAGGAAUGAGGAAUAUAAACUCCUCGAACCACCAUGACCAUUCACCAGAAAGGUAAGUCGAGCUUAGACUAUAAAUAAAUGCUUCUCGGGAGGUAACCUGAGCACUAAAAAUAUUAAUUUCUUUAAAUUUUAGUUUUAACAUCUAACAUACUAACCGACUCAUGGAACGUAGGCUUUCUAAAGCACACACGGCCAGGCACACGGGCGUGCCUUAGGCCGUGUGAAAAUAGGGUGAAAUUUUCCCCAACACGGGAUGUGAUAAGUCACCACGACGUGCAUUAGGACCGUGGGCGAAUCUGCCAAAACAAUGCGGGUGUGUGACACGCCAGUGUCAUAGAAACGUGGUUAAACCUGAGAAAAUAGCACGGGCAUUCGCCAUGCCCGUGUCUAAAACCCGUGGCCGAACUUUUCAAAUUAACAUCGGCGUGGGCCUACAUACACAGGCUUGGGAGAAGCGAUCGAAGACAGACACGGCCGUGUGCACCCACAUGCCCAAGGAACACGGGCAUGGGCCAAAUGUCAGACGCGCCCAAACUCAAAAUUCACGAAUCACACGGGCAAAAAUUGGGGAACACGGGCGUGUCCUCUGGCUGUGUGUCUCAAAAUCUAUAAAUACCCUUCACUAUUCAUCAUCUUCUUCACCCAAAAUCCCUAACCCUAGCCGCUGCAAGUCCACAUGGCCUCUCUGCCAUGGCCAUGCGCCGCAUCCAACUCCAUUUUCGACACCCAUUCUCAUCCUUUUAGCAUUAGUUUACUCUUUUCUCUCUAUUUCCUUCAUCCCUUUUAAUAAUUCUAUGAUUCUUAUGGUUUUAUUUGGCAUAUUUUUUAUUUUUUUUCAUAGUUCUCACUAUAGUCAUGCUUAUCGUUUAUUCUUUGCCAUUUUAGUCAAUGCUUUCUGAUACAUUCAUUCUUUUCGUGUGUUCCCAUAAGAGUCUAGUUCAGUCAUUUUAUUUUGAAAAUAAUCAUGCUUUUAUUAUGUCAAUUGCUAUAUAAACUUCUAUCAUUUAGAUUAAACUACUGAGUAUUAUUGGUUGGACUGGUUAGUUUAACUAUAUUCAUGAUUACUUCUUAAGUUAAUUAUUUAUGUUAUAUUCUUUGUUCUUCUUGCAGGUAUACCAUCACAAGCUCACGUGGUAAGAAAACUGUCAUUCCCGCUUCGAAAAAGUAGAAAGAGGCGUCUUCCUCAGGCCCUACCGCGGAAAUUCACCACCCAUACCUCCAAUUUCCACCCGACAAUUAGGAGGAACUAUUCCAAAUUCUACGGGCCCAACCUUUAGGUGUGGGCCACUGCAUUGACUGGACAGUGCUUGAACAAGUCCAGUUGGCUGACAAUGUACGAGCACUCCUGACAACCGACCCAUGAGACCUCUUCUUUGCGAUCAUCGAGCCGACGUACCUUAAGCUCACACUUGAACUUUGCUCGACAUUCCAUGUUCAAGACGUCAUGACCAACUUUGAUGAUCCUGGAAUAGUCUAGUUCCGUCUCUGCGGUUUAGUCCGCUAGUUGAAUGUGCCCGAGUUGGGUAUAGCUUUGGGCUUGUACACAGAAGAGUUUAUGGAUUAGAACGACCUUGACACUCUCUGUCGCCAUAUUCACUACUUUUCCUCGAAGUGCUGGUAUGCUUUGGUCCCCAGUUCAGCCACUUACUACCCAAGCCACUCCAAGGCAUCGGCUCUCUCUCCCUCCUUGCGGUACCUACAUGCCAUCUUGGCACACACUUUAACAGGACGUCAAGAGAGCACCGGUAUCGUCAACACUCACAAUGCUUACUUUCUAUGGAGCAUGGCGAAUGGGCAUGUACUCGACCUCGCCUAUUUUAUUACCCUCGCCAUUCGCCACCAGACGGAGCGACAUCGAAGGGGGGUCAUCUCGACUGGCCCCUACGUGACUCGACUGGCACGGCACUUCGGGCUCCUCAACACAGCAGGCCAAUCAUCCUCCCUUACUCUUAUUGGCCAGAUGUCCCCACAAGGCAUCUCGAGCAUGUUCAGUAUGAGGAUGAUCAAGAAGCCCCGAAUAACCCACCCUCCUUAGUAUCGCCUCUCCCAAUCAGUCGAGGAGGGAGACCUUGAGAAUAUUACUGAUGAUGUCCCUCCACGUCAUGAGGACCUACCGUCUCAGCCACCACCACCCUCUCAUCCAGUUCAUACGGCGACUUCGUACGCUGACAUCUCUGAGCGCCUUACCCGAUUGAAGCAACAGUGUUUUCAGUGGUUCGAUAAUAUUGACGCUACUUUACAGCAAAUUUUUCAACACUUCCAGAUCUCAUCGCCACCCCCACCUCGAUAAAUAUUUAUAAUGAAGAUCAAACCUAGACUAACUAUUAUCACGAUGAAAAAGCAAGUACACCUAUCGAACAAUAGUAUAGUAAUGGCAAGACCGGAUAUCGUACCUAAGGGAACCAAAAGUACUAGUAAUAACUAUCUUUUUAUUAUCUAACCUAGAAAUAAAGAGGGGUUGUUUAUUAAACUAAUUAACUAAACUAAUUAACUAAUUAAACUAAAGUAAAGAGAAGAGUUGGAAAAAGACUUGAAGAAAAUUAAUUUGAUAAAAACGACACCCAAGGAGGAAUCCACCUAGAUUUCACUUGUUAUCUGACUCUAAACCAGAAGAUUUAUUCACUUGACUUGAUCCGUGAGACUCCCUAACCUAUGUUAUUAUCUCUUUCGAGACUAAUAAUAUCUAACCCUCGGUUUAAUUAAUCAAAAUUUCAUUCUUAAUUAAAACCCUUAGGGAAGCAGUAAAUCGAUCUAUGGACUCCCAUAUUAGGUUUCACCCUAAUCUGGCAAAAUCUCGUAACCCUAUUUCUAGGCGUUCGAUCAACUCCGCUUAAUUAUGCCAAAUCUACUCUUAGACAGGGACUUUUGCUCCUCUGCAUAAGCACAUCAAAUCAUGAAUUAAUACCUGGAAUAUUAACUCAAGCAUUAAGACACAUAAUUAAGAACAAGUCAAGUAUUUAUCAUAUAGUUCAGAUAAUAAUAACAAGAUCCAUCAUAGGUUUCAACCCCCUUAGGUAUCUAAGGGGUUUAGUUCAUAAUAAGAUAAGAGUACAUCUCAAAAGUAUGAAAAUAACAAAACAUAAAGAAAGCUCUAAAACCCCUGAAGGAAUUUUGAGAGAGAUCUUCAGUCUUGAAGUAGCUCCGGCUUUUGGGGUGGAUCGUCUGGCUUCCUUCAAGUAAUUCCUAGCGUGUGGUUCUGUAUUCCAGAGAAGUUCUGGAAGAGGGCCCCUUUCUAAGUCAUACUUAGGGUGUUUAUAUAGGCUUUGGAUUGGCUUUCUUCCUCCCUAAGUAUCAUUUUUCGUGUAAAAUACAACUCUUUGAGAAAAGGGACACGCCCGUGUGCCACGGCCGUGUGACGUGAUUACCACGUCGUGUUUGAUCCAUUAAUUUUCACAUGACCGUGUGGGUCAAUGGCCAGGCCAUGCGAAUCGUGAAAGCCCUUGGCCGACACCCUCGAAAGACACGAGUAUGUGAGCAGUUCGUGUGGAAAGGCUUAGGCCGUGUCAUCUUCUCGAUUUGGUCUGUUUUGUCCCUUUUUUAGCUCAUUUUUGGCUCCUUUUGACUCUUGGUGCUCUCGUAAGUACAAAACAUGAAAUAACCGAACUAAGAGUUCCAAAAUCCAAAAAUCUAGUGAUAAACAUCCAUAAAUAUGCUAAGUAUUUGGGGUAAAAAUAUGUAUAAUUUGGCAUUUAUCAAAUACACCCACACUUAAGCAUUUGCUUGUCCUCAAGCAAAACUUUCAUUUAUUGCUAUAAUUCCUUCCUUUCAAUCACACAAUCAUUACUGAUAAUGUUACAAACUAUUCCAUGGAAAAUCAUACAGUGAGAAUUCAACCAUAGGGGCAUUAAAAGCCUCAAACAAUCUAAAUCGAAUAUUUUGAUAAUAAAAUUAUAGGUAAUCUCCUUCCUCUAAGUAAUUGGCUUUAGUCCUAAAUAUACAAAAGAUGACAUCCUCACUAGCGAUCCACUCAAAUCACUCAAAGUGUUUAAAGUUUAAGAUUAAGCACUCGGUUGUCUAACAUGAGAAGUUAUUACCAUAGGCUUGCAUGAAAAUCAAAUCUCCACCACUUGUAAAUGAUAUGAUACACAAAUCAAAAGGUCUUUGUAUAGUUGUAACAGGGUUUAAGGGACGGGUAUAGAUACAAACUGAAGAGACAAAGGUUAAAAUCGAGAUAAUUUCAAUAUAUUACCCCACUAUCAAAAACUUAAUUAUUGAAUCACAAACAAAUAUCUAGAACUAUAUUACAUGAGCUCAUGACAACUUUAGCUUGCUGAGGAUUACAAUAACAAUACUGAGAGUUUUUUUUUGGUUUCAAGAACAAAACAAGUCAAUACAAUAUAAAAAUCAUACUUCAUGAUUCAGUAACAAAAAAUGGUGAACAUAGUGAGGUAACAAUAUUAAAUUUAAUCUCGAUAAAAAAAGUAAAUUAAUUAAGAGGAUUUCAACAAUAAUGGGUUAAUGGGUUAAUGAUAAGGGUUAAUCAAUAAAAAAGUUUAGUAGGCUCAAAAGAGGUUCACUAAGGGUUUAAUUAUGUGGGAAGGCUUUUUAUGGAAUAAGUGGGUUAAAUCCUAAGUGCCUUUAUCAUCUCAGUAUAUCAAAUCAUACGUGUGAUCUCGACAUGUAUAAUUGAAGAAAGUUCUAGAAUAACAGUUCAAUGUUGACACACUCAAACCACAAAAUAAGUGAGCAAGAAAGAAAGCUUAUAUGCUCAAAAAGCUCAAAAAUCUCACGAAAAAUUUGGGUUUGUGAUGUCAUUCCUGUAUACUUAAGAUUUCAAGAUAAUACCUCAAUUUAGGAAAGUAGUCUAAAAAUUUUAGUUAUCAAAAUAUCAACUUAUCAUGCUCAAUUCUCUAAUGUCCUAUAAUCAAAUGAUCAUGCAUAAUUCCCAUGAUCUAAUUCAUGACAUAUCAACAAUAAUUAUAGAUCAAUCAGAAUUCAUUCGAUUAAGAUUAUGAGAAAAUCACUUAAGCACAAAACCAAAUUCAGGGAUUUGAGAAUAAUGCAAAAAGUUAGGUUUCAUGUUCAUGUUCACCCCCCACACUUAAGAUGUACAUUGCCCUCAAUGUACAAAGAUAGAUUAAUCAAAAUAAAGAAAGUCAUAAGAGGGAAAGAGGUGAAACUCCCUGUUAUAUGGAUGCAGAGGUUGAUUCUGAGGCUGGAGUGUUUGGGGAAAGUGGUAGCUGCCACUGUUCUUGGCUAGAUGAAGAAAUUGGGUCAUUGAACAUGGCACUCGUUGGGUAUUGUCCCUAUUUGUUUCCUCAGUUCGUAAAAUAUUCCUAGCAACUUUGCUUGGAAUUCUGUAGAAUCAUGAAGAGCUUAUUAAGAGUUGGUGUGGAAGAGAGCGUAGUAGGAUUACUUGUUAGAAAUACCAGAAAAAAAUGAAGAAAGUAAAAUUUACUAAUAUAGAUAUGUCUUUCAAAAGAAAAUAAUAAGAUUGAAAUGAAAAUAAAAAAAGAAAAAGAAAAAUAGAGAUAAAAAUAAAAAGAUAGAAGGAUUCAAUGAUCCUCAUCAGUGGGGCCCUCAGUUGGUGGCGCUGGAGUGGCAAUGUGAAAGUGCUGGCACAGCUACUGCAUCAUGGCUUGCAUGUCGUCCAUCUGUCUAUCACAUCGCCGAUCUCGCUCGUGAAUCAUCUCGAACUGUUACUGCUCAAAGUGAGCGAGUCGGUCAGAAAGGUGUGCCAAUGAAAAAGCCGCAUGAACUGGUCGUUCCCCAGAUAGCGUGAUAGGAGGCUCCUCGUGCUGUGGUGGGACAUCAUCAGGAAUGUCCUCAAGAUCCUCCUCAUCAAUGGCAUGAGUGAGACGGUACUGAAGAGGAUCGGUCCCACGUCGGCGCUCAAUCAUCCUUAUGUGUAACAUAGUAGUGAUGCCCUGUGGGGACAUCUGACCUAUCAGUGUAAACGCUGAUGACUGGACCACAGUGUUGAGGAGGCCGAAGUGUCUGGCAAGGUGCGUCACGUAGGGGCCGAUAGAGAUUACUCCCUUCCAAUGCCGCUCGGUCAGAUGGCGAAUGGCGAAAGUAAUGAAAUAUGCCAAGUCAGUCACAUGUGCAUUCGCCAUGCACAAUAAAUAGUAGGCGUCGUGGGUGGUGACAACGCCGAUGCUCUCUCUCCUUCUGGUCAAAGUGUGUACCAAUAUGGCAUGGAGAUAUCGUAGGGAAGGGGGAGAGCUGAGGCCUUCGAGCGGCUGCGGUCAUAAGUGGAAGAGAGUGGUGCCAAAACCUUCCAGCACAAGAAGGGAGAAAUAUGGAUAUUGCGUGGUAGUGCAUUCAUGUCCUCCUCCUCCAUAAACUCAUCAACGUAAAUUCCCAAAGCAACUCCAAACUCUGGGACACUCAUCGCGUGAACUAGACCGCCUAAUCGGAAGUGAAUGGUGCCGGGGUUAUCAUUGUUCGUCAUCACCACCUGUAAAUGAAAAGUAGAGCAUAAUUCUAAAGUUAGCUCUAAAUAAGUGGGCUUGAUAAUAGCGAAGAACCGUUCCUAUAGGUCUAUGGACAGGAGGGCGUGGAUGGCAACAGCUAGCUGGACUUACUCUACGGCAGCCCAGUGAUGCAGAGACCUGUAGAGAAGGGUCGUGCGCGUAGUAUCUGAAAUAGCUCCUCCUGCGAAGCUUGUGGAAAUUUAAGGAAUGGGUGCCGAAAUUCAACUGUAGCACGUACCGAGGAAUAACCCGAUCCCCUAUGUCUCUUUGAGGAUGGGACCGCGACCUUCUUACCUCUCGAUGAUGACAUAAGGUACCAGAAAAUGUAGGAGCAUUGAUAUAGUAGUUUCAAGAUGUGGUAACAUUUAUCGAUAUCAAGCGAGAGGUGAAAAUUUUAUAUGAUUAUUCAAAAACAUAUACUGAGAUAAAAAAUGCAUGAUCGGUUAAGCAAGAAUCCUAGAACUAGUAUAUGCUAUUUAGUAGCUUAAAAAAUUUAAAUAUAGAAAAUACUAAAGCAAAUUCUUAACUUAUUCAGAACAAAUUGGUAACAGAAACAAUAUCUUUGUAAGGCAUAUAGAACACUAAUGUAGUAACACAAAUUGGAAAAACAAGGUUGACAAAGUGAACCAAAAUUGCUGUAAGGCGGCGCACGAGUGUGUUGAUGGCGAGCACGGGCGUGGGGCGUGAGUGUACAGUCGUGUGGAGGAAAAAUAGAGGGAAAAGUGAGGAUUGAUGCAGGGGGAGUGGAUUUGAGGGUGGUUUGGGGGUUGGGGAAGUGAGAAUCUAGGGAAUGGUGGUCGGAAUAAGGAUUAGGGAGUGGAGAAGGAUAGAUUUCAACUGGGGUUUUGAAAGAAGGAAGAAGAUGAACAGUGGUUUGCUUAUAUAAGGGAGAGUCACAAGGCCUAGGGCCACACCCGUGUACUCUGAGGGUGAGCCCGUGUUUUUCAAAUUUUACGAUUUAGGUCGUGCCCAGCUACUAUCCCACGCAUGUGUGUCUUGGGCGUGUGUGGCACAUGGCCAUGUCGCACGCCCGUGCCUAGCUUUGUUACCAUACCCGUGUAUUGUUGUCCACAGCUUAAAGGCAUAGGCGUGCCUCACACCCGUGUCAAAGAAACAGAAUCGAGCCUUGCCCUUGGCACGUCCGUGUUGUUUCAUUCCCACGCCCGAGUUCACCUAUGAAGUUCAUCCACGGCCAUUUCGCACAGCUGUGGGGAGUUUUUGCAUCCCGUGUUUGGGGAAAUCAUGUCCUGCUUUCACACGGCCGUAUAGCACGGCCGUGUCUCUUCCCCUGUUUUCCACGGCUUUAGACACUCCCGUGUUCCUGGCCGUGUGUGCUGAAAAACUUUGCUAUUCAAAGAUAAAGUUAAUGAUUUAACUUGUUAGAAUUUAAAAAUAAAGAAAUCAAAAUAUGUUAGUGCUCGGGUUGCCUCCUAAGAAGUGCUUAUUUAUAGUCUAAGCUCGACUUACCUCUCUAGUGAAUGGUCAGGGUGGUUCGAGGAGUUUAUACUCCUCAUUCCUGCUAUCAACCUCAUCAAAAUAGGGUUUUAAUCGGGUGUUGUUUACCUGAAAAGUGCCAAACUUUCGGUGAUUCACCUCCACCGUAUGGAAUGGAAAUAUACUGAGUACCGUAAGAGGGAUUUCCUCAUGCGGUGUGGUAGUGACAAUGUGGGGAUCUGCGGCAUCUAGUAAGACUUUAUCGCCAACCUUAAGUUGAUUAGGAGAGGUAUUGGGCUUGUUUUGGCGUAGUUUCGAUUUAUCAUGUGUUCUCGAUUUGUGUGCUCACCAUUCAUCUAUCUCCUCUAUCCGUAGGCUUCGUUCUUCAUGAACGUAUCCUUUAUCAUUUCCAGAACAUGGCUCAUGAAUGUCUUUGAAGCUCAAUUUCUACAAAGUCAUAUUGUCAAUUUUAGUAUAUUGGUGUGGACUAUUACCUUCAAUGUUCGAUGUAAUGUCAGAAUUAUGAGCUUUAAAGGUGAUCGUUUCAUCUCCCACACAAAGUGUAAGUUCACCUGUGCCAACAUCAAUAAUUGUUUUAGCAAUUGCUAAAAAGGGCCUCCCUAAAAUCAAAGGGGUGUUAUUAUCCUCCUCUAUGUCUAGAACAAUGAAAUCAAUGAGGAAUAUGAACUUAUAUCCUUUCACGAGUACAUCUUUAAUAAUACCCCUAGGAAAUCUUAUAGUUUUAUUUGCCAAUUGAAUGCUCAUCCUAGUUUGUUUAGGUUUCCCAAGAGCAAGUUGUUUAAACAUUUUGUAAGGCGUGACGUUAAUACUAGUCCCUAAAUCAGCUAAUGCAUGACUUAUAUCUAAACUACCAAUUAAACAAGGAAUUGUAAAACUCCCUGGAUCUUUCAAUUUGUGGGGUAGCUUAUUCUGUAGAAUAGCUGAGCAGACUGCGUUUAGCUCCACAUGUGAUGCUUCGUCCAACUUUCGCUUAUUUACUAAAAGCUCUUUCAAAAAUUUCAUUGCAUUUGGCAUUUGCGAAAAAGCUUCAAUAAACGGUAAGUUAAUAUGUAAUUUUUUCAAAAGUUUGAGGAAUUUACCGAAUUGUUCGUCCUUGUCACGUUAGUGUAUGGCACACGAGGUUCAUAUUUGACAGUCACUGGUUUGUUUGUAUUUUGAUCUACCUCAUCUCUCCUUUUUCUUACCACUGUUUCUUGCCUUGGUUCUAUUUUAGGCUCCACGACUCCUUCGUUAUUCUGGAUAUUAAUUGCGUUGAGCUAUUCCUGUGGGUUGGGUUCAGUGUUACUUGGUAAGCUACCUUGUGGUCGUUCGGAGAUUAGUUUGGAUAGUUAGCCUAUCUAAGUUUUGAGCCCUUGGAUCGAUGCUUGUUGAUUCUUAAGUGUUGUCUCGGUAUUUUGGAAACGGGCGUCUGACACUGAUAUGAAUUUUGAGAGCAUCUCUUCAAGGUUCAGUUUCUUCUCUUGUUGAUAAGGUGGCUGUUGAAAACCCUGAGGAUUUUGUGGCUUUUGAUUUCCUUGACCACCCUAGGAGAAAUUUGGGUGGUUCCUCCAACCUACAUUAUAAGUAUUACAGUAUGGGUUAUUUUGCGAUCUGAAGUUAUUGUUACCCAUAUAGUUGACUUGUUCCUCUUCGGUUAUGAGAUUGAAGGAUUGAUAUUCUGUAUGCACACCUCCUCCACUUGAGUCACACCUCAUUACUGGAUGUACCUACGUAGAACUAAGAAAACCAUCAAUCUUUUUAUUGAGAAGUUCUACCUGAUUUGACAGCAUAACAAUUGAGUCGACGUUAAAAACACCGACUAUUUUCGUUGGCUUAGUCCUCAUGACUUGCCACUGAUAAUUAUUCAGUGACAUCUCCUCUAUAAACUCAUAGGCAUCUUCCAGUGUUUUAUUGUUGAUGGUUCCGCCAGCAGCUGCGUCAACCAUUUGCCAAGUCGAAGGAUUCAGACCAUUGUGAAAUGUUUGUACUUGCAGCCAAAGUGGUAACCUAUGAUGAGGGCACCUUCUCAGUAAGUCCUUGUAUCUCUCCCAUGCAUCGUAAAGUGUUUCUAAAUCCAUCUGCACAAAAGAAGAGAUAUCAUUACUAAUUUAGCCAUUUUAGCCGGCGGAAAAUAUUUUAGUAAAAAUUUCUCGGUCAUUUGUUCCCAAGUAGUAAUUGACCCUCGUGGUAACGAGUUCAACCACUGUUUAGCUUUGUUCCUCAAUGAAAAAGGUAAUAACCAAAGACGAAUGGCAUCAUCAGAGACGCCAUUGAUUUUGAAUGUAUCGCAAAAUUCCAGGAAAUUUGCUAAGUGAGCGUUGGGAUCUUCAUCCUACAGACCAUCAAACUGAAAAAACUGCUGUAUCAUCUGAAUAGUGUUAGAUUUUAAUUCAAAAUUAUUUGCAGCUACAGCAGGUCUAACUAUGCUAGAUUCAGUUCCUGUUAGAAAAGGUUUAGCAUAAUCAUACAUAGUACGUGGAGCAGGAUUUUGAUUAGCUGUAAUUGCAGGAGGUAGCUGAUUGUCUUGGCUUUCAGCCAUCUCUUCAGUUGGGGGUUGAGUAUUGUCUUUUUGCUCGUUCUCCGUGUAUCUUAAGCUGCGCCUUAUUUCUCUUUGAUUUCUACGAACUGUACGAUCGAUUUCUUCGUCAAAAAGUAAUGGUCCCGACAGGUUUCUUCUAGUCAUAAACUAUAAAAACCUGCCAAGAGAAAGAAAAACUAACUUAAUAAAUAAUAAUAAUAAAAUUAAAUUGCAAGAAAAAUAAAUGGCUAAAGUAAUAAAAAUUUAGCAUUCCUAAUAUUUUAGUUCCCUAGCAACGGCGCCAAAAACUUGACCGCGUGAUUCGUAACAAUUAAUAAAUAUUUAUAAUGAAGAUCAAACCUAGACUAAAUAUUAUCACGACGAAAAGGCAAGCGCACCCAUCGAACAAUAGUAUAGUAAUUGCAAGAUCGGGAUAUUGUACCCAAGGGAACCAAAAGUACUAGUAAUAACUAUCUUUUUAUUAUCUAACCUAGAAAUAAAGAGGGGUUGUUUAUUAAACUAAUUAACUAAACUAAUUAACUAAUUAAACUAAAGUAAAGAGAAGAGUUGGAAAAAGACUUGAAGAAAAUUAAUUUUAUAAAGACGACACCUAAGGAGGAAUCCACCUAGAUUUCACUUGUUAUCUGACUCUGAACCAGAUGAUUUAUUCACUUGACUAGAUCCGUGAGACUCCCUAACCUAUGUUAUUAUCCCUUUCGAGACUAAUAGCGUCUAACCCUCAGUUGAAUUAAUCGAAAUUUCUUUCUUAAUUAAAACCCUUAGGGAAGCAGUAAAUCGAUCUAUGAACUCUCAUAUUAGGUUUCAACCUAAUCCGGCAAAAUCUCGUACCCCUAUUUCUAGGCGUUCGAUCAACUCUGCUUAAUUAUGCCAAAUCUACUCUUAGACAGGGACUUUUGCUCCUCUACAUAAGCACAUCAAAUCAUGAAUUAAUACCCGAAAUAUUAACUCAAGCAUUAAGACACAUAAUUAAGAACAAAUCAAGUAUUUAUCAUACAGUUUAGAUAAUAAUACAAGAUCCAUCAUAGGUUUCGACACCCUUAGGUAUCUAAGGGGUUUAGUUCAUAAUAAGAUAAGAGUACAUCUUAAAAGUAUGAAAAUAACAAAACAUAAAGAAAACUCUAAAACCCUUGAAGGAAUUUUGACAGAGAUCUUCAGUCUUGGAGUAGCUCCGGCUUUUAGGAUGGAUCGUCUGGCUUCCUUCAAGUAAUUCCUGGCAUGUGGUUCUAUAUUCCAGAGAAGUUCUGGAAGAGGGCCCCUUUCUAAGUCAUCUUAGGGUGUUUAUAUAGGCUUUGGAUUGGCUUUCUUCCUCCCUAAGUAUCCUUUUCCGUGUAAAAUACAACUCUUUGAGAAAAGGGACACGCCCAUGUGCCACGGCCGUGUGACGUGAUUACCAAGCCGUGUGAAUCGUGAAAGCCCUUGGUCAACACCCUCGAAAGACACGGGCGUGUGAGCAACCCGUGUGGAAAGGCUUAGGCCUUGUCAUCUUCUCGAUUUGGUCCGUUUUGUCUGUAAUAUCCCGAAUUAGGGCCUAAUCAGAAUAGUGGUUUCGUGACCAUAAGUCCGAGAUAGAAAUAAUUAUUUUAUAAUUAUUUUGAGGUUUAUGAUAUGAUUGCAUGAUUGUGUGAAAGUUUCGUGAUGAAAUUCUAUGCCUAAAGUGCUUAAAUUAAAAGUAGGGACUAAAUCGAAUAAGUUGCAAAACUUGCAUUCUAGAAGUUUUUAGUAUGAAAUUGUUUUGGAAUAUUAAUGAGGAGGUCUUAAAUAGCAAUUUGACCAAUUUUAAGUUCAUGGACAAAAUUAGGACAUGGAAGGAAUUUUUGAAAAGUUUAGUAGUAAGGGUAUUUUGGUCAUUUAGUUAUUAAAAUGAAUUAAAAAAAAAUUAAAAGCCAAUUUUUGUCCAUCUUCUUCAUUAGGCCGAAAUUUCAAGGGUUCUCCAUAGCUAGGGUUUGUUUCAAGCUUCCAAGCUCCAUAGUAAGUGAUUCCAAGCCCCAUCUUUAAUGAUUUUUACGUUUUUGAGAUCCCGGUAACUCGAUAAAGCUUAUGUUAGCAAUAAUUUAACCUAGGGUUUAUAUUUGGAAAAAUAUCCAUAGGUGAAAUUUGUGUAUUUUGAUGUUUUAUGAUAGAAUAUGAAGUUUUAAAUUAUGUUAGACAACUUGUACUACUCGAUUUUAAGCAAAAACGAGUAAAAGGGCUUAAUCGGUAAAAAUACCUAAUAGUCACAAGUACAUGUUAGAGUGAGAAUUUGAUGUUUCCAUAGAAGAGAAAAGUGAUCAGCAUGUUGUAAAACAUAAGAAUAAGGAAUAAAGUUUAAUCCCGAGCCUAGGGGCAAAAAUGUAAAUAUGCAAAAGUUUUUGUAAUUUUGCCAAAAUUUGAGUUAAGGAUUAAUUUGAUAAUGUGAGUAUUAAAUAAGCUAAAUGUGUUAUUUUAGAUCAAGAAAGACGUGGAAUCGACCUCAAUCGAGGAAAAGAAAAGAUUGUGGACUAAAUUGCAAAAUCUUUGUAUUUUGGUACCAAGGUAAGUUCAUGUGUAAAUAAUGUAGCAUAAUGGUUAUUUUUAAGUUAUUGAUGUUAAUUAUAUGUUAUGCUGAAUUUUAUUAUGAAAUGUAUGCUUUGUGGUUAAUUUCAAAUAAUAUGUAAAUUAUGUGAACUACUUGUUAAAUAUAAUUGUUACCGAGUAUUGAUUUCGGCAUUCUACGGAAGACGGAAAGGAUAAGUGUUCGAGGAAAAAAGCCAGUUUGAACCUUAGGAAUAGAUUAGGACACAAGUGACAUGUCACUAGGAUGGUUGAGCAUCCGAACUCGUUGAGUUGAGUCCGAGUUCACUUAUGGAUGCGAAUGUCCGAACUCGUUGAGUUGAGUCCGAGUUCGUGAGAUGUAACUAGGCAUCCGAACUCGUUGAGUUGAGUCCGAGUUCACUUAUGGAUGUGAACGCCCGAGCUCGUUGAGUUGAGUCCGUGUUCGCUUAUGGGCGGGUUACAUGAUUGCUUGAUUGCAUAUAUGGCACUUAUGUGCAAGUUAUCCAUGUAUCCGAAUUAUAUUCCGAUGUGUUCAACGGGUAAAGUUCUACUGAAAUGGAGGAAUAUUCGAGAUGUAAGGAGACGUAUUGGUAAGUGAUGUGAAAUGGAUAUUUUGGACAGGUAUGUAUUUAACCCUCGGGUUGAGUAUUGAUACAACCACGAUAAGGUAAUAAGAUGAUGAAAAAUGAUUAAAAAUGUGAUAUGUGUUUUAGUGAUACAUGCUAAUGUUGAUUGGUAUGACUGUUUGUUAUGUUACUUAUUAUUUGCAUAUGAACUUACUAAGCAUUUAUGCUUACUCUCUCCUUCUUACUCAUUGUAGUUUUGGACAAGCCAGCUCAAGAGUCGGGAUAGGUCGAAGGCUCAGUCACACUAUCCGGAAGACUUUUGGUAAUGGCUUGUAAAUUUAAGUAUGGCAUGUAUAGCAAUAUACCUUUUUUGUGUAAAUGAUCUUAUGGUAUGGUGAUGGAAUGGUUGAGGAAAUGCUUGAUAAUGAUAAAUUAUGAAAAUAGUUAGUUUAGAUUAUAUUUGAUGUUAAGGAAAAUUAUUAAGAUACUUAGUGCAUAAAAACUCAUAUAAGGGAUGAAAUUUGCCAUAAACAGAAUACUGCAGCAACACUGAUGCGAGUUUAAAAAUAUACUAAAAAUCAGAGAAAUUGAACUUGGUGAUGUACUACAUAUCAAAUUGAAGCUUAUUAUGUCUAGUUUCACAUGAAACAAAUGAAACAGGUAAAGGAAUUAUAUGUUACAAGAUAUUUGAAUUUUAGUGAAACAGGGUCAUAGCAGUUUCUGAUUCCCCUAUUCCAACUUUAGAAAUUCACCAUAAAUUUUAAAGAUAUAAUUAGGUAGUGUAUUUUAUAUUCUCAGAAUCCUUAUUGAGUCUAGUUUCAGUAGAAACAAACCUCAUAGUCAUAUCGAUUUUUUACAGAGAUAAAUAUGGUUUGUAGUAAACAGAGGUCAGACCAGUCAAGUCCUGAAACAGGGGUAAUUUUAACUAAUAAAAUGUACUAAUUUACCCAACCAAAAAUUCUAUAAAAAAACUAGUAGAUAGGUAUAUGAGUCUAGAUUUAGGGAAAAUUUACGGAUCUUAAUUUCGAGUUUCAUAACUCGAGAUAUGAUUUUUCUUGUGACUGUGAUGCAAGUAGCUUAAAAGCUGUGAAUGUAGAAAUAAAUAAUCCAAAGUUCUAAAUAUGUUAAAUUAAGCUUAGUAACACCUCAUACUCGACUCCGGCGACAGUCUCGGGCGUGGGGGCGUUACAUUGUCCCUUUAUUUUAUGUUUUUAUUUUUAUUCUAUUUUAAGACUACUUUUUCUUUUUACUUUAAGCUUAUUUCUAUUAGAUUUUAUAAUUUUUAUUUUACAAUUAUCAAUUUCGGCUAUUCCAUUACAAGUAAUUAUGCUUCCUUAUAUUUCCUAAAAUAGUUCUUGAUUCUGUCACAGUUAUAAAGUGCACCUCAGCUCAUCAUCACAUAGGAACUAAAAACUCCACCAGGAAAGGUUCUCCAUGACUGCCAUGUCCUGCUUGACCACGACCAUAGCUACCACCAUAUAAAAUUCUUUUGGUGCAGGACUUAUGGACUAAUAAAACUCUACCACCACCGGAGAUUCCCCUCCACUCUCACGCCGAUUAUUCUCCAAAACUCCAGUUCAAGGAAUUCAUUCAUCAUUCAAGAAGUUUCACUUCCCUCCCUAUCUUAUGAUUAUAAAUCUAUCUUUUUCACUAUAUCUACCUUUGUACAUUGAGGGUAAUGUACAUCUUAAGUGUAGGGGGUCUUUUAUAUCAGAAAAAAUCCCUGAAUUUUGUUUUAUUCUCAUGCGAUCUUCUCAUAUCAUUAUUAGACUGAAUUCCAAUUAGUCUAUAAUUUUUAUUAAUAUAUAUUGAAUUAAAACAUAGGCAUUUAUGCAUUGAUUGUUUAAACUUUAAGACAUUAGGGAAUCAAACAUGAUAAGUUGUUUUGGAAGAAUUAAAAACUUUUAGGUUGUCUCCCCAAGUUUAGGUAUUAUUUUGAGUAGGAAUUUACAAGUUUAAACAUCAAAAAGUCAUAAUUUUUUGUGAGAUCUUGAGCCUUUAGAGCAUUUAUUAUUUCUUUCAUGCUCACUUUCAAUAUGAGUGCGCUAUUAUUGAAUUGUUAUUCUAGAACUUGCUUGAUUAUGCAUGUUAAGACCACACCAUUUGAUUUGAUAUGUCAAAAUGAUAAAGGCACUUAGGUUUAAACCACUCACUCCAUAAAAGCCUACCUUCACAAUUAACCCUUAGUGAACCUCCUUGAGCCUAACAACCCAUUCAUUGAUUUACCCUCAAUAUUAACUCAUAACUCAUUAUUGUUGAAAUCCCCUAAAUUAAUUUGAUCCCUAUUUUUGUCGAGAUUUGAGUUGGAAUAGUUGCUUAGCUAUGUUUUAUUCUAUUUUGUAAUUUGACUUGUUCUUAAAAUAUAUAUAAUACAUGUAUACAUAUUAGUAGUAGUGAUAUUCUAAGCUAAAGAAGUUAGAUUCCAUAUUCUGAGAAAAAGCUCUGUUGUACGUAAUUGAUGACUAGUCAUUUUUCUAGUUAGGAAAUUUUUCAAUUCAAUCUCGAUUCUAACCCUUUCUUUCAGUUUGUGACCACACCUUCUAACCAAAGCCACGUUACAACCCUCUAAAGACCUUUUGAUUGAUGUUUCAUCUCAAUUUAUAGUGGUGGAGAUUUGAUUUUCAUGCAAGCCUAUGGUAAUGACUUUUCAUUAUUGACUAUUGAGUGCUUCAUUUAUUGUCCUUAAACACCUCGAGUGAUUUGAGUGAAUCUUUAGUGAGGAUGUGAAACUCUGUGAUAUUUUGAAUCAAAGGUAAUUACUUAGAUAAGGGAAGACACCUAUGUUUUCAUGAUAAAAUGCUCAACUUGGAAGGUUUGAAACUUUGAUGUUCUGUCAGUUGAAUUUUCAAUGUAUGAUUACCUACAGAUUAGUUUGAGAUAUUAUUGAUGAGAAUUAUAAGUUGAGAAGAAUUUAUUUUGAUUAUAAGUUGAGGAUUUUUCUUGAGGACAAGCAAAUGCUUAAGUGUGGGGGUAUUUGAUAAACCGUAAUUCAUACAUAUUUCUAUCCCAUGCUUAGCACAUUUUAUGGAUGAUUUAUCCUUAAAUUUGGAGAAUUCGAUGCUCCUAAUGCCUUAAUUUCAUGUUUUAUACUUAGGUGAGGAUAAGAGAGUGAAAGGAACGAGAAACGGGCCAAAAACGGAGAAAAUAGGCCAACGUACGAAAUCAACACGGCCUGGACUUCCUAACACGGGCAGACCGCAUGGUCGUGUCAAUUUGGCAGAAUCGAAGCACGACUUACACAGGUAGACCACAUGCUCGUGCCUAUUUAACAGGCUUGACCAUAGCCUGAAGUAAUCGCACACGGGCGUGUCCCUGUCGAGCCCAAGCAGAGUCCUAUUCAGAAAAGGCCACUUUUGAGGGCUCUUAGGCAUUCCAAAGCCUAUAAAUACUCCCUAGAAGAGGAGAAGAGGGGGGACACAGAUUAGGAAGCAAGGAAUUACUCAAGAGAAGCCGAUUGAUCCAUCCCAAAAGCCAGAUUCAUCAUCAAGACUGGAGAUCUCCCUUCAAGUUCCUUCUGGAGUUUUGGGUUUUCUAAUGUUUUGUUAUCUUUAUAUUUUUAAGAUGUUUUCCUUCAUAAGUAUGAACUAAACCCCUAAAUACCUAAGGGGAAUGAAACCUAUGACAUAUCUUGUUAUUAUUAUCUGAGUUGGAUGAUAAAUAUUUGACUUGUUCUUAAUUAUGUGUUCUUAAUUCUUGUUUUGAUAUUCCAGGAUAUUGAUUCAAGUUAAGCUCUUAUUCAGAGGAGGAAUAGACCCUGUCUAAGAGUAAAUUUGUCAUAAUUAAGCGGAGUUGAUUACGCACCUAGAGAUAAGGUGACAAGAUUUUGUCGGAUUAGGGUAAAACCUAAUAAGGGAAUCCAUAGAUCGAGUUAAUGCAAUUCUGGGGUGUUAAUUAGAAAGAGAUUUCAAUUAUUCAACCUAGGGUUAGACGUUAUUAGUCUUAAGAGAGAUAAUGAUAUAACUUAGGGAUUUCUCCAGAUCAAGUCAAAUGAAUAAAUCGUUUGAUUUAGAGUCAAAUAACAAGUGAAGUCUAGGUGGAUUUGUCCUUAGGUAUUGUCUCAAUCAAUCGAAUUUUCCCAAAAAGUAUUUUCCCAAGUUUUUCUUUCUGUGCAUUCUUAGUUAGUAAUUAGUUUAGACAACCAAACCUCUUAAAUUUUAGGCUAGAUAAUAAAAAGAAAGUAAAUACUAGUACUCAUAGUUCCUUUGGGUUCAACAAUCCGGUCUUGCUGAACCAUAUUACUGUUCGAUAGGUACACUUGCCUUAAUCGUGAUACUAAGUUAGUCUCAAGAAAAUUUCAUUUAUAAAUCUUUAAAACCUGUUACAAAUAUCACGCAUCAAUGUUUAUGUGAUUUGGGCAUUGAGGCCCUGGGACAUGUUUGGAGAGAUAAGGAAAUGUGAUCUAAGCUCCAUUCAACGGGACAUGUUUGGUGUGUUGGAGAGUGUUAGUUUAAUUCUUCACUUACGAGACAUGCUUGACUCUAUGAGUCUACGUGGUGUGUUGGAGAUCCGUGUAUCCGAUGAGUGGUGGUAAUGCCCACUUUUACGUUUCAUAACUCAAAUGCCAAAUUAUCUCAAAUUAUCUAUUAAUGUGAUUGUGAAUUGUGACGUUUACAUGAAUAUGCAUGUACUGAUUCUGUAAAUAAACUAUCGAAUAUGCAUGUGAAGUAAAAUAUGUCAACUAAGUUAAGGUUGCUAUAAUUAUGAUAUGUUUCACUAAUGCUUGAUGAAAUGUUUGCAUGGUAGUUGUUUUAGGCAUUCACUGAGCUUGUUAAGCUCACCCACUCCUUUUAAAACCAUUGCAAAUUACUGUGUCCUAGUGUGAGCGGUGUGAUUUUGAGGGGUGAUUCCAAGCAAUUCCUUUUCUAUUAUUUCAUAGGUCUUAUUGUUAUUUGUUUUCAUUUCGAGAAUAAGGCAAUGUGGUAGACUUUUACUGAUAUUUGCCAUGAUGUUUUGGAUGUCUUCAUAGACUAUUUGUUCCUAGGUUUAUGAGAUUCAUUUCGUAUGAUGUUGAUUAUUUGUCAGACUUAUUUUGGAUGUUUGAGACUAUUAUAAUAGUCAUUUUGAUAUUUAUGUAAUGAUGAUAUGAUGGCAUGAAGGAUUGGUGCAUGUUGGAAUGAUUUAUAUGCUCAAGUAUGUUGUAUUUUUCUGGUUUGGAGCAGAGGUAUCGAUAUUCAUGUUGUAAAAAUAAUACCUCUGUGAUUUUGGAACAUGUAGGGAGGCAACAAUGUAAUUUGGUAUCGAUACCCAAUAAAAAGUAUCGAUGCUCAAGGUAGAAAUAUCAUUACUUUGGCCGAGGUACUGAUAAUUUUCGAGGUUUGGGUUUUUAAACGAGAAACAAUAAGCAGUUUUGGUUUUAAUUUUCCCAACAAUAUCAAUACCACUUGAGAGAAUUAUCGAUACCUCACCUUCAGUUUCGAUACCUACGUAGUUAGUUUUUGGAUUUUGCUAAAUGGACUUUAUGCAUAUUUAAUUAUUAUUAUUAUUAUUAUUAUUAUUAUAAGACUAUUUGAUGUAUGUUUAGCAUGUAACAAUGAUGUUAACAGUAUGACUGACUUAAAACCUAUACCAAUACUAAAAUGGAAGUCAUUUCAUUUAGAAUGAGCUUUUACUUAUUGUGUAUAACAUGAGACGGUGGUGUAGCAUCCUGAUAUUCAGGCUUGGAGACCAAGUUGGGUAUAGGGUGUUACACUUAAAAUUUCCAUCCCCCAAAUUUUCUUUGCUGCACCUAAAUCUUUCAUCUCGAACUUAGAGUUAAGCAUAGUUUUAAGACAACAAAUAUCAAAUGGAUUCUUAGCUGCAAUUAACAUAUCAUCAACAUAAAGUAAUAAAUAUAUAAAAGAAUCAUCAUCAAGACGUUGUAGAUAAACACAACUAUCAUACUUACUUCGGGAAAAACCAGUACUCAACAUGAAGGAGUCAAACUCUUUAUACCACUGUCGAGGAGAUUGCUUCAAACCAUACAAAGACUUUUGUAAAAGACAAACAUAAUAUUUUUUACCUUCAAAUUUGAAGCUUUCUGACUAUUGCAUGUAGAUGUCCUCCUCAAGGUCACUGUGAAGGAAAGUAGUCUUUACAUCUAACUGCUCUAACUCAAGAUUAUUUGAUGCAACAAAUUCCAAAAGCGCUCAAAUUGAUGUAUGUUUCACAAAAGGAGAGAAAACAUCAUGAAAAUCAAUUCCUUUCACUUGAUUGUAGCCCUUUUGCAACUAGUCUUACCUUGUACCUAGUGUUAUUAGGACCUGAACCUUCCUUCUUUUUAAACACCCAUUUGCAACCAAUGAUUCCUUUACUGAUGGGUGGUUUAACUAGCCUCUAAUUCUCAUUCUUUUGAAGUGAUUUCAUCUCUUCUUCCUUUGCAACGAACCAUUGGUUGGAGUCGAAGGCUUGAACUGCCUCAUAAUAACACGAAGGUUUGGUUGAAACAAUGCUCUCGGCAACACUUAGAGCAUAAGCCACUAGGUUUCCUUCACAAUAUUUUUGUGGUGGUCGGAUUUCUUGCCUUUUCCUUUCACGAGCCAACUUAUAAUUAGUUAACUGAUAUGGUGAGGGUACCUAAGGGUCGGAUGAAAACCAAAACAAAUCCAAAACAGCUUCAAACAAGCAAAAAUUAGAAUUUUUUUGUGUCGACGUGACAUUGUGAGACACUUUAUCGGGACAAGUGAUAAACUGUAAUUUAUACAUAUUUUUAUCCCAUGCUUAGCACAUUUAUGGAUGAUUUCUCCUUGGAUUUGGUGAAUUCGAUGCUCCUAAUUCUUUAAUUUCAUGUUUUAUACUUAGGUGAGUAUAGGAGAGUAAAAAGAGCGAGAAACGGGCUGAAAACAGAGAAAAUGAACCCACAUGGGAAAUCAACAUGGCUUGGACUUCCUCACACAGGCAUGUCACACGGCCGUGUCCAAUUGGCAAGAUCAAAGCAUGACUUACACGGGUAGACUACACGCCCAUGCCUACUCAACUGCCUUGACCACGGGUAGGAGCAAUCGCACACGAGCAUGUCCCUGCCAAGCCCGAGUAUAGUCCUAUUCGGAACAGGCCACUUUUGAGGGCUCUUAGGCAUUCUAAAGCCUAUUUAAACACCUGAGGAGGCACUUAGAAGAGACAUACGGAGUAGGAGACAAGGAAUUACUUAAGUGAAGCCGAUUGGUCCAUCUCAGAAGCCGAAUUUAUCAUCAAGAGUGAAGAUCUCCCUUUAAUUUCCAUUCAAGGGUUUGGGGUUUUCUUUAUGUUUUGUAUUCAUUAUUCUUCUGAGAUUUUUUCUUUUAUAAUUAUGAACUAAACCCUAAGAGGAAUGAAACCUAAGACAGAUCUUGUUAUUAUUAUCUGAAUUGUAUGAUAAAUAUUUGACUUGUUCUUAAUUAUGUGUUCUUAAUUCUUGUUUUAAUAUUCAAGGAUAUUGAUUCAAGUUAAUGCCCUUAUUCAGAAGAGCAAAAGUCUCUGUCUAAGAGUAAAUUUAUCAUAGUUAAGCGGAGUUGAUUGCAGCCUAGAGAUAGGGUGACAAGAUUUUGUCGGAUUAGGGUGAAACCUAAUAAAGGGGUCCAUAGAUCAAGUUAAUGCAACACUAGGGCGUUAAUUAGAAAGAGAUUUCAAUUAAUCAACGUAGAGUUAGACGUUAUUAGUCUCAAGAGAGAUAAUAAUAAAACUUAGGGAUUUCUACGGAUCAAGUCAAAUGAAUAAAUCGUCUGAUUCAGAGUCAAAUAACAAGUGAAGUCUAGGUGGAUUUUUCCUUGGGUAUUGUCUUAAUCAAUUGAGUUUUUCCAAAAGCUUUUUCCCAAUUUUCUCUCUGUGCACCCUUAGUUUAGUUAAGUAGUUUAGAUAAACAAAUCCUUUAAUUUUUAGGCUAGAAAAUAAAAAGAAAGUAAUUACUAGUACUCUUGGUUCCUUUGGGUUCAACAAUCUGGUCUUGCUAAAGCUAUACUACUGUUCGAUAGGUACACUUGCCUUCAUUGUGAUAAUAGUUAGUUUCAAGAACGAUUAAUUAUAAAUUUCUAAAACCUAUUACGAAUAUCACGUAUCAACAAGACCUCUAUUCGUCACGUCAUUGCGAUGUUAGGCAUUUGCUCGUUAUGUCGUCACCUUUUUAUUUCGGCUUUUGACUCCACCUUGCUCGAGACACUCUGAUUUGUUAUGUCUUUAAAAUUAAAAGUCUUAUUUUGUUAUCAAAGCAUAGUAGAUUUAUCAAACGUAACAUCUCUGCUAACAAUGAUCUUUUCAGAUUCUAAACAUCACAACUUAAAAACUUUUGUACUAGCAGCAUAUCCCAAAAAGAUGCUUUUAACGACCCUUGGUUCAAGCUUUCCCUAGCUACUUUAGCAUAAGUAGGACAACCAAAAAUUCUAAGAUUUGAUUAAUUUGGAGGAUUACCUAACCAUAUCUCCUUUGGAACUUUACCAUUCAAUGCUCAAUAAGGAGAUCGAUUUACCAAAUAACUUGUUAAGUUUACAGCUUCAGCCCAAAAUUCCUUCCCUAAGCAUGCGUUAGAAAGCAUGCAUCAAGCCUUUUCUAGCAAGGUUCUGUUCAUUCUUUUUGCAACUUCAUUCUAUUGUGGAAUUCUAACAAUGAUUCGAUGUCUUUCAAUUCCUUCCCGUUUGCAAAAUCACUAAACUCUGACAAAAAAAACUCAACACCAUUAUCUGUUCUCAACUUCUUCAUGGAUUUUCUGAUUUGUUUUUCUAAUAGUGUCUUCCACUGUUUGAAAAUUUCGAAGACUUGUUCUUUUCUAUUUCAAGAAAUAAACCCAAACUUUUCUGGAGUAAUCAUCAAUAAAAGUUAGGAAAUAUUUAUUAUCUCCUUUUGGGAUGUUAAAAGAUGGACCCCAAAAAUCAGAAUGAAUGUAAUAUAAAGUCCCUUUUGUUCUAUGCACUGCUAAAUCGAAACUAACUCGGGUUUGCGUAACACCCCGCACCUGUAUUCAUUGUCAGAAUAAGGUUGCAGAGCAUUGCCAAACUUCUUUCACAAAUAAACACACAUUUCUCAUACAUUUUUCCAUUAUAAAUAUAAAACAUUUACAAUCAUUUAUAACGCCCCUAAUAUGAGCCUACGAGGCCCAAAACAUGCUUUAGAAAUGGUUUGGGAAUAAACCGAUAACUUAGGAAACUUUUAGAAAACUUAGAAAGUUUUUCAAAAUACAGGGAACAUAGGCCUGUGUGGCCUGACCGUGUGUCUCACAAGGCCAAAUACACGCCCAUGUCACAAGCUCAGUGGACAUUCGAAAUGGGAUCACAUGGCCAUGUCUCAGCACAUGUCCGUCCCCGUGUAACUCCCUGACUUCGGUCACACGACCAACCACAUGCCCGUGUCACCAACCCGUGUGCCCUUCGGAAUGGCCUAACACACCCAUGUGCUAGGCCGUGUGCUAGGCCAUGCCAAACCUGUAGGGUAUUCUAACUAAUACUACACGGCCAAGUCACACGCCCGUGUGUUGGGCCGUGUGGAGCAUACUAACUUGGUUUCUAAUUAAACACCAGGGGACACACAGCCGUGUCACCUGACCAUGUGUCACACACAGCUGAGACACACACCCGUGUCUCUUCCCGUGUGGACAAAAAUAGGCUAUUUACCGAGCCAUUUUUUUCACCCAAUUUGUAAUCACCUACACUAAACCAAAGGCAUAUAAUAUGGUAUAAAUAAGCAUUCCAACCAAUCUCAACCAAGCCUAAUUCAUGCUAAAUCCAUACUAUCAACCAUAUGACUUACAAGUAUAACAAAUAGUCAUUCAAUUUCAUACCAAAUUCACACCAAAUUCACAUUCUCAAAUUGCCUAAAUGGUCACUUUCAUUUAUACAUCACUUUACCUAAAAUCACAAGCAUACUAAUUCUCAAUUAUCAACUAUUUGAUACUCAAAUUACCAAUUCAUAAAGAACCUUUCACCAUAAGCAUUUACAUGAUAAUUACCAAAUGCAUAACAAAGGCCAUUUGCACAUAUAUAUAUACACAACCAAAUCAACUAAAAUAAGCCAAAUCACAUGGCUAUACACAUAACAAACCAUUCAUCAUUUAUAAGCCAACUCAAAUGGCUAAACCUAUUACCAAACUAUAUACCAAAAUGACCAUAACUCCUAUACAUGCCAUAUAACCAAAUUACAUAAGUUCAAAAGUACCAAAGUAAUAGCUUGAUAGUGUGAUGAGAUCUCCGAUGACUCUUGAAUCCGAGCAAGCUUUGAUAAUCACUAUAAAACACGAAAAAGUAAAUAGAGUAAGCUACAAAGCUUAGUGAACUCGUAUGCUAAGUAAGUAAAACUUACCAACCAACAAUUCAAUAACAUAAACAUCAUAUAAUGCAAUUCAACUUUGAAGCAUAACUUAAUACAUAUAUUCAACCCAAGGAUUAAACACAAUUUCCAUCAACUUCUUCGAUUUUAUGAUUGUAUAGUUCACGUACAUACAUGUACAAGCUCUUAUUAAUCUCAUACUCGUCCAUAUCCUUGAUAUACCUAUUGAACCAUUUGGAAUACUAUCAGGUACCCGGGAAUCUCACACACUAAGUGCCAAUACAUAGCCGAAGCUAUCUCAAUCUCAUAUCACAUAUAAUGUUCACUCUCGAGCUAUCAACGGGUCUGCUCACACAAGUUGACGAUCAUGACAUAGCUACACGGUGCUGCUCACACAAGCUGACUAGAAUCCGCAACACAAGCCGAGUAACUCAGCCACCAGUAGGACGUACGGACUAGCACCCAAAUCACAUAACCCUUAAUGACAUGUCAUUUGUAUCCUAAUUUAUUCCUAAGGUUCAACUGGGAAUUCUCAUUACCGAAUCUUAGUCGAACAUUUUUGUACAAUCAUAUUCAUCAACAAUUCAAAUAUAAAAAAUUUAGAAACACAAUUAAAGUAAUGCUUCUUAACAUACAAACUUACCUCGAUUCACAAAAAUGACGGAAUGAAUCGAUUAAUCCAACACUUUGUUUUCCCUCAAAUCUAGAUCUGAACUUUAUUUUUCUUGAUUUAUAUAAUAUCAAAUUCAAUCUAUUCAUUAUUCAUUCUAUUCAAUUUAGCCCAAAAUGCAUAUUAUGGAAAAAUUACACUUUUGUCCCUAACAUUUCAAUAUAUUUACAAUUUAGUCCUUAGCUCAUAAAAAUAAAAAUUCAUGCAAUUAGGUCCCUACCCAUGCUAGCUGAAUUUCAUAUAGACCCAUAACAGCCCAUAUUUUUCAUUUAUUUCACAAUAUAAUCACAAAAUUUACACAUUUCACAAUCUAAUCCCUAAUUGGCAAUUUUACAAAAAAUCACUUUACAAAUGUUAUUUAUCUAACAACAACCAUUUAUUUUCUAUCAUCAAACAUCACAAGUCACACAUAUUCAUCAAUGGUAAAACCUUAAACCUUUCACAAUUUUGUAAAUUAGUCCCUAAGCUACCUAAAUUAAGCUGCAAUGAUCUCAAAACAUAGAAAUCAUUAAAAACGGGACAAAAAUCACUCACCAAUUUAACAAUAAAGUAGUCGAACCCUAGAAAGCUUCCAUGGAGGUCUCUCUCUUUUAUUUUUCGGUAGAAGAAGAUGACUAAAAGAUGGUAUCUUUGGUUUUCUUUAUUUUACUAAUUACUAAAUUACACUUUUAACCUUGGCUAUAAAACAUUAAAAUUACCUAAUACAUGUCCAAGUGUAACAUCUCGAAAUAGGGCCUAGUCGGAACAGUGGUUUCGAGACCAUAAAUCUGACAUUGAAAUAUUUUUUUAUGAUUAUUAUGAGGCCUGGAAUAUGAAAAUAUGCAUGUGUUGAAGUUUCAUGAAGAAAUUCUAUGAGUAAGGUGUCCAAUUGGAAAAUAAGGACCAAAUCGAAUAAUUUGUAAAACUUGGGUUCUAGAAACAAUUUGCAUGAAAUUGCUUUUAAUUAUAAAUUAAAAGGUCUUAAAUAGAAAUUUUCCCAAUUUCUAAGUUUUUGGACAAAAAUGGGCAUACAUGGAAAAUUUUGGAAGUUCAGUAAGGAAGGGCAUUUUGGUCAUUUGGUAAUAAAAUCAAUAAAAAGGGAAAAUGAAGGCAAAAAUCAGCCAUCUUCUCCCUUGUACCAGCCAAAAUUCUCAAGCCUUCCAUAGCUAGGGUUUUCAACAUUUUCAAGCUCAAUAGUAAGUGACUCCUAACCCCGUUUUUAAUGUUCUUUGUAUUGUUGAGAUCCUUGUAACAUGUUCUCUCCAUUUCCACCUAUAUUUUAAGCUAGGGUUCAUGUAUAAAAAGUGACCCAUGUGUGACAUGUUUGUUCUUUAAUGUUUUAUGGAGGAAUAUGAAAGUUAGAUGUGUGUUAAACAUCUUCUCCUAAGUGAUUUUCAUGAAAAGCCCCUAAAAGGAUGUUUUUGCAAAAGGUACAAAAUAUGUGGUAGAAAUGUGAAAUAGAGAAAAAUUUGGGCUAGUAUGAGUUUAUAAUGCAUUCGACUAGGCUUGGGUAACCAAAGAAUUGCAUGUAUAUCAUUUUACGAGCCUAGGGAUUAAAUCAUAAAUAAUGUGAAAGGUUAAGGGCAAAACAGUCAUUUUGUCUAGGGGUGAAAUUUAGGCUCAAAAAGAAUAAUGUGAGAUAUUGAUAAUUCAUUUUUAUUGUUAUAGACCCCAAGAAACAAAUUUUGGAGGUCGAUCAAGGAAAAUGAAAUGUUUCAGAAUAACCAAAAUGCGAAAUCGACACAAAUACCAGGUAAGUUCAAAUAACUUAAAGUAAACUCAUAAUAUGCCUAAAUGCAUGUUUUAUGAAUAUUAGAUAGUUUUAUAUAAUGAUGGCAUGAAAAUCCAUGAAAUGUGUUAAUAAUAAUGACAAGAUGAUAAAUGUCUCAGUUGAAGUUAAAAGGGAAAUUCGAUGGAAAAACCAUGGCUUACGUGACUUGAGAUCCUGCAUGUGUUGCAGAAAAGGGUUUAGCCCAGACGGGUAAUCCGUUGAUCUCAAAUAUAGAAAGGAUCUAGCCCGAACGGGUUUUCCUUGAAUGAUCAAGUCUCUUGAAGAAUAUGUGUGCAUUAAGGAUUUAGCUCAGACGGGUAAUCCGAUUAGGGUCUGAAUUUAGCCUGGACUGGUAAUUCAGACCUGAGCUCAUUAAGGUUGUUUGUCACUAUAAGGGAUUUAGCCUGGACUGGUAAUCCUGAAAACACUCCAUGAGUUUAUAUUACGGGGGAUUUAGCCUGGACUGGUAAUCCCGCUGUAAGAUAUGAGGUUCGUAGGAGUGCGUACUUAAGAAGAUCACUCUUAUGACUUGACGGUAAAUGGAUAAUCCAUCAAGAUUUUCGAGGUACUCAAUGGGAUUAACAUGAGAUAUCGAAAUGAAAAUAUUGGAUGAUGAGCUCAUCUAAGACAAAUUACAUUAUGAAUUAUUAUGGGACUAACUUGAUGCUUGAGUGUAUGUAAUAGGAGGCUAUCCUAUAUUUAUUGGAUUGGUUGCCUAACAUGGUUGUAUGCUAAUUAAUCGGUAAGUUUACUUUCCAAUUAUUCGGGCUUACUAAGCAUGUAAAUGCUUACCCCUCUCUUUUCCCUGUCUUAUAGAGCUCGAGGACUCGUAGAGAUUGGAAGACGGUUGGAGUAUUGUUGACACUAUCCACUUCUCCUGUUUUGGUAUAUAGAUACUUUUAUUUUGUUACAAUGGCAUGUAUAGAUUUUUGGUUAUUUGGUGUUAUAUGUCAUUGGUUGGCCAAUGUAAAGGCUUAAAUGUUAAACUUAUUCUUUUUGUAUAUGGCCAUAAGACAUGGCUCAUUUCAUUGUAGAUUAUGACCUACCAACCAUGCAUGUUUAUGUUAGAAAUGUUUUUGUGAUGAUUAAAUGUUGUAUAUCAUAAAUAAGCAUUCGUAAGGUGGCCAAAACAUUUGGAAAUGGUUAGGCCAUAAUUGGAAAUGAAUUGUAAUAAUGAUCCAAGCCUAAAAUAUGUUUCAAUAGGAUGGAAAUCCUUAUUAUGAAAAGGGGAUAAUUGAGUAUGUAUUUAACUGAUGAGAUGAGGUUGACAUGCAAUGGAUUCAUUGAUGAUAGUCCUUGAGUAUAUUUAAGUCAUGUUAAAUGCAAUUGGGGUUUUUAUAUGUGAGGAAAUGAUGAGGGUGACCAUUGGCUUGAAAUUAUAGCCUAAAAAGGGUCCACACGGGUAGACACACAAGUGUGUGUCUAGGCCGUGCGUGACACACGGUCAGCCCCAUGGGUGUGUGGUACGGUCGUGUGUCCCCUGCACCUAAAGUUUUUUCAGUCAAAAUGCAUGGUAGUAAACACACAGAAAGAGACAUAGUCGUGUGUCUCAGCCGUGUAGAGGGCACGGCCUAGCACACGGGCAUGUGUCUUGGCCGUGUGCCCCUAAAUACAUGCUGACAUCAUAAACAGAAUGUCCAGGUUUUUGGACAUGAGCUAUCACACAGGCGUGGCUAGGCCAUGUGAAAAACACGGGCCAGGGACACGGGCGUGUGCUUGGCCAUGUGAAAACCCUAUAGGUUCAAAAUAAAAAAUAAAUUUAAUUAAUUCCACACGAGUUAGGGACAUAGGUGUGUCCCCAAAGCACACGGGCGUGUGCAUUGUCUCCACACUGGUGUGUGAGGCUUAACCUAGAAAAUUUUCCUAAAAUUUUCUUAGGUUCUCGGUUUAGUCCCGGACCAUUCUCAAUGUAUGUUUUGGAUCUCGUAGGCCCAUAAUAGUGAUACUAAGAUGUUGUUUAAUUGGUUUUAAUUUGGAACAAAAUUUUUUAACCCGUAUUUUUCGAAAAUGUCUAAGUAUGUAUCUCGUAACGCCUUGUACUUGGUCUCGGUCUCAGGUACGGGUAAGGGAUGUUACACCGAGAAUGUCCACUAACUUUAUAAAUGGGCUAAUUACCACAUAAGGACCUCCACUUUCAGGUUCCAUAGCUAUAGAUACCUUUAGCUAAUAGAAUUCAAGUUUUACACUUUAUGCGAUUUAGUCCUUUUUAUCAAAUUGAACAUUCAAACUAUAAAAUUUCUUAAAGAAAUUUUCACACAAUCAUACUAUCGUACUGUAGACAUUAAAAUACUAAUAAAAUAAUUAUUUUGACCUCAGAUUUUUGGUCCCGAAACCACUGUUCCAAUUUGACUAAAAAUGGGUUGUUAUAGUUUGUUUCCCAAAAAUGUAAUGCUCGUAAAAACCUAAUUUGUAACGCCCCUCACCCAUAUCGACGCCAAAAUAGGUUCAAGCCGUUACCUGAGAUUCUCAUUCGUAAACAUAUUAAAUCAAGUCACUAAGUUGCGCUGUAAUUUAGAACUUUUCAAAUAUGUAUAUCCUUUCCCUUAAACAGGCCUUCGAGACCUAAAACAUGCCUAGAGGCGGUGCGGGACAAAACCAAGAACGUUUGAUAAACAUGGAGCACAUUGGAAAUUUUCUUUUAACUUGAAGUGUCACACGCCCGUGUGACUUGGGACAUGCCCGUGCAAUCACCCUGUGUCCAAGACUUGAACAUUCUAUUAAAUUCACACGGCCAAGACACACGCCCGUGUGUCUAGCCCGUGUUCAUUUAACAGACCUACCAUUUUAGAUGAAAUGGACACACGAUCAUGCCAUACACCCACGAGUGUGUCCCGUGUGUCACACAUAGCCUAGGCACAUGCCCGUGUACCCAACCGUGUCAACCCUAUUAGGCUAUUUUCGAAGCCUAUGGUCACCCCCUUUUAACACUUAUACUUAAUGAAUAUUAAAAACGAAGUAAAACAAGAUUAUGUUCUCAUAAAUGAUCUUUGCAAAAAACUUAUUGCAUGGAAACCUCAUAUCAUUGGUUUCGUACAUGCUAGGUUAUUUCCCAUCUUGUAUUUAUGUGUUGUCAUACCACUUUAACACAUUCAAGAUUGGCUCGUUCUUAUGACUCAUUGCUAAUUGGAAUUCAACCCUCGCACAUGAUUCUAAACUUGAAUGGAAAUUUUGUAGGUCAUAGCCUAUUUCAAAAUAAGCCAAUCUCCAUGGCGACAUACAAAAAGAUAGAAUUCUCUUUCAUGCCUUCAUUUGGUAAAUUAAAUGGCACAUAUAACAAAUUACUCAAAAGACCUAUACAUGCCAUUGAACAAAUCAAAAAUGUCUUUAUACCAAAGCUGAGCUAUUUGAUAGUAUGCUAACUCUCUAACCCUCUUCCAAUCUUUACAAGUCCUCGAGCUCUGGGAGAAACAGGGAAAAGAGAGGGGUAAGCAUUUUCAUGCUUAGUAAGCUCGAAUAACCAGACAGUAAACUUACCAAGUAAUUAGCAUGCAAUCAAGUUGGUUAAUAAAUUCAAUGAGCAUAGGAUGGCUUCCCUAUCACAUACACUCAAUCAUUGAGUUAGUCACAUAACAAUGCACUAUGAAAGAUAUCUUAGAUGAGCUCAUCAUUCAACAUCUCAUUUAGUAAAUAUAAGUCAUGUUAAUCUUGUUGAGUUUCUAGGAAGUUUCAAUGAUAUACCCAUUAACUGUCAAUUCGUAUGAAUGAUCAUUUCCAGUAUGCACUCCCGCGAACCUCACAUCUCAUGGCGGGAUUACCAGUCCAAGCUAAAUACCCCAUUUUAUGAACUCAUAAGUUGAUGUCGGGAUUACUAGUCCAAGCUAAAUCCCUUAUAACGAAAAACACUUUUAUUGAGCUCGGAUCUAAAUUACCAGUCCAGGCUAAAUUCAGAUCCUAAUCGGAUUACCCGUCUGGGCUAAAUCAAUAAUGCACACAUAUUCUUCGGGAGGCUCGACUAUUCAAAAGAACACCCGUCUGAGCUAGAUCGUUUUAUAAAUGAGAUCAACGGAUUACCCGUCUGGGCUAAAUCCUUUCUGCAACACAUGCAGGACCUCAUUACACAUGUCAAUCAUGGUUUAUCUUUCGAAUUCCCUUUUUAACCUCAACUGAGACAUUUAUCACAAUUCAUACUUAAACAUGCAUUUCAUAAAAUUUCAUGUUAUUAAUAAAUGCAAUCACCAUGUAUUCAUAAAUCAUAUAAUUAGGCACAUUGAGUGUUUACUUUAAGUUAUCCGAACUUACCUGGUAUUUGUUUCGGUGUCAUGUUUCGUUUAUUCUGAAACCUUUUGUUUUUCUCGAUUGACCUCCGAAAUUUGUUCCUCGAGGUCUAUAACAAUAAAAAUAGAUCAUUAACACUCCACAUUAUACAUUUCAAGUCUAAAUUCCACCCUCGGUCCAAAUGACCAUUUUGCCCCUAACCUUUCACAUUUUUACGAUUUAGUCCCUAGGCUCGUAUGAUGAAACACACGCAAUUUAUACUUUACUCAAGCCUAGCCAAACACUUUUCCCUCUUAUGGUAGCCUACAUUUUCCAUUAUUUUCACAUUCCUACCACACAUUUUACAACUUUUGCAAAAAGGUCCCUUUAGGGGUUUUUCAUGAAAAUCACCUAGGAAAAGUUGUUUAACACACAUCAAACUUUCAUAUUCCUCCAUAAAACAUCAAAAUACAAUUAACUCAUGCAUGGGUAAAUUUUUAAACAUGAACCCUAGCAUGAAAUAUUGGUAGAAAUGGAGAUAGUAAGCUACCGGGAUCUCAAAAUUACGAAGAACAUUAAAAACGGGGCUUGGGAGCACUUACUAAUGAGCUUGAAAAUCUUGGAAACCUUAGCUAUGGUGGCUUAUGAAUUUCAGCUGGACAAGGGAGAAGAAUGGCUGAUUUUUGCCUUCUUUUUCCCAUUUUAUUUCAUUAAUAUGCCACAUGACCAAAAUGCCCUUACGCCAUUUCUUUGAAAUUUCAUCCAUCCAAGCCCAUUUUUUUCCAAAAACAUAGAAAUUGGGAAAGUUGCUCCCCAAGACCUUCUAUUUUAUAAUCUAAAUCAAUUUCAUACAAAUUGCUUCUAGAAUCCAAGUUUUGUAAUUUAUUCAAUUUAGUCCCUAAUUUUCCAAUUGGGCACUUACUCAAAGAAUUCCUUCAUGAAACUUUAACACAUGCGUAUUCUCAUAUUGUAAGCCUUGUAAUAAUCAUAAAAUAAAUAUUUUGAUGUCUGAUUUGUGGUCCCGAAACCACUAUUCCAACUAGGCCCUAUUUUGGGAUGUUACAUUUCUCCCCCCAAGGACUUUCGUCCUCGAAAGUCUUACCAGUGAACUGAUUCGGAUAUUGGCUUCUCAUGGAUUCUUCUGGUUCCCAUGUAGCCUCUUCUACACCAUGUCGAUGCCAUAAAACUUUUACUAAGGCCACAUAUUUAUUCCUCGGCUGUUUAACCUCACGAGCCAAUAUCUUAACUGGUUCCUCUUCAUAGGUCAUGUCUAGUCGAAUUUCAAUCUCAGUCAGUGAAAUCACGUGAGAGGGGUCUGAUCAGUAUCGCCUUAACAUAAAUACAUAGAACACAUCGUGAAUCUUUUCCAAUUCAGGUGGAAAUGCCAAGUGAUAGGCUACCGGUCCAACUCUUUCAAUGAUCUCAUACGGUCCGACAAAUCGCGGAUCCAGUUUGCCUUUUGGGGCAAAUCUCAACACCUUUUUUCCAUGGAGAUACUUCCAAGAAUACUCUAUCUCCAACUUGAAACUCAAUUUCCUUUCUUUUCAAAUCAACAUAUGAUUUUGCCUAUCCGAUGCCGCUUUCAAACAGUCUCGUAUCACUUUAAAUUUCUCUUCAGUUUCUUUAAUCAAAUCAACUCUGUGAAUCUGAUUUUCCUUAAGUUAUGUCCAGUACAAUGGAGUUCAGCACUUCCUGCCAUACAAGGCCUCAUAAGGUGCCAUCUUCAAACUCGUCUGAAAACUAUUGUUGUAGGCGAAUUAUACUAGUGGCAAAUAUUUUUCCCAACUACCCUGAAAUUCAAGGACGCAACAUCGCAACAUAUCCUCAAGAAUCUGAAUCAUCUGCUCAGACUAACCAUCUGUCUAAAGGUGAAAAGCUGCACUAAAGCUUAACUUCAUACCCAAGGCUUCUUGUAAUUUCUUCAAGAAUCUCGAAGUGAACCUCGGGUCUCAGUCGGAAAUAAUUAAUAGUUGUACCCCAUGAAAUCUUACAAUCUCAGAAAUGUAUAAGUCGGCAAAUCUAUCGAGGGAAUAAUAUGUCCUCAACAGAAUAAAAUAAGCCAACUUCGUCAACUUAUCUACUAUGACCCAUACGGCAUUUUUCUUCUUCGAAGUCAAUGGUAAUCCUGUCAUGAAAUCCAUAGUAACUCUAUCCCACUUCCAUUCGGGGACAAUCACAGGCUGUAGAAAACCUGAAGGCACUUGAUGUUCAACUUUAACUUGCUGACAUACCAGGCAUUUCGACACAAAUUUAGAAAUCUCUCUUUUCAUGCCGUUCCACUAGUAUGUUUUCUUCAAAUCAUUGUACAUCUUGGUACUUUUCGGGUGAAUUGACAAACGGCUGUUAUGUGCUUCUUGCAAAAUUUUCCGAAUAAGUUAAUUGUUUUUGGGUACACAAAUCGUAUCUCUGAACAUCAAACAUCCAUCAGAAACAAUCCAAAAAUUUGAUUCAAUACCUCACUCACAUUGAGUUUGUUUAGCUUGAAAGCUAUCAUCAUUAGUUUGAGCAUCAUAGAUUUCAUGAAGGAAUGUCGGCCUAGCCUUUAGCUCAGCCAAGACUGAACCAUCAUCAAGCAAUGCCAAACGAGCAUCCAUAGCCCUUAAUGCAAACAAGGAUUUUCUGUUCGACACGUCAGCGAUCACAUUCGCCUUUCCCAGGUGAUAAUCAAUAAUUAGUUCGUAAUCCUUGAUUAACUCUAGCCACCUCUGCUGCCUCAAAUUUAAUUCUUUUUGAGUUAUCAAAUACUUCAAACUCUUGUGGUUAGUGAAUAUGUGGCAAGUCUCACAAUAUAAAUAAUGUCUACAAAUUUUCAAAGCAAAAACGAUGGCGGCAAGUUUUAGGUCGUGUGUAAGAUAGUUCUUCUCAUGCGGCUUCAACUAUCGUGAAGCAUAGGCUAUUACUUUGCCAUCUUGCAUAAGUACACAACCCAGUCUAUUUGAGGAUGCGUCACUGUAGACUACAAAUUAUUUUCCCGACUCAGGUAAUACUAAAACAGGAGCUUCAGUUGACAGUGUUUUUAACUUCUAAAAACUUUGUUGACACUUUUCCGUCCAUUCAAACUUAAUGUUUUUCUGUAACAAUCUCAUCAUUGGAGUUGCUAUCAUGGAGAAUCCUUUCACAAAUCUUCGAUAGCAACCAGCUAAGCCCAAAAAGCUUCUAACCUCAGUUACAUUUUUAGGUGGUUUCCAUUCAAUAAUAGCAGAGAUCUUACUUGGAUCGACUAGGAUGCCUUCACCAAAAACAAUAUGACCUAAAAAUCCAACUUCCUAAAGCCAAAACUCACUCUUGCUAAACUUAGCAUACAGCUGCUUUUCCCGCAAAGUCUGCAACACAAUUCUCAAGUGCUUCGCGUGCUCUGUCUUAUCUUUGGAAUAAAUCAAUAUGUCGUCAAUGAACACAACGACAAACUUGAUCAAAUAUGGCUGUAAGAUCCUAUUCAUUAGGUCUAUAAAUACAGCUGGUGCAUUCAUCAGCCCAAAUGGCAUGACAAGAAAUUCAUAAUCGCCAUACCUUAUCCUAAAGGCUGUCUUAGGUACAUCCAAUUCUUUAACUCGCAACUGGUAAUAGCCAGACCCUAAGUCUAUCUUAGAGAACACGGUGGCUCCUUUCAACUGGUCAAACAAAUCAUCAAUCCUUGGUAAAGGAUACUUAUUCUUGAUAGUUACCUUGUUCAGUUGGCUGUAAUUUAUACAUAACCUCAUCGAACUAUCCUUCUUCCUUACAAAUAGAACGGGAGCACCCUAAGGUGAAAAGCUCGGCCUUACAAAACCUUUAUCCGUCAGCUCUUGCAACUGUGCUUUCAACUCUCUCAGCUAGGUUGGUGCCAUCCUAUACGGAGCAAUUAAAAUAGGAUCUGUCCUUGGCACCAGCUCAAUACCAAAUUCUAUUUCCCUUUCAGGAGGUAAUCCGGGUAAUUCUUCUAGAAAUACAUCUGGGUACUCACAUACUAUAGGCACAGAUUCAAUCUUCAACUCUGUUUCCUUAGUGUUCAAUACAAUUGCAAGGUAGGCUUCAUACCCUUUUCUCAUAUAUCUCUGAGCAACCAUUGCCGUGAUCACAACCGAAAGCGUACCCAACUCUCUUGAAUCAACCCAUAGAAAUUCACCAUCCGGACAUUUCAAUUUAAUAUACUUACCACCAUAAUUUACAAUUACAUCAUGCAGUGCUAACCAAUCCAUACCAAAUAUUAUAUCAAAUUCAUCAAAUGGUAACAACAUAAGAUUAGCCAGAAAACAAUGACCCUGAAUUGUCAAAGGACAAUUCUUACAGACUUUAUCAACUAUGACUGAUCUGCCUAGUGAGUUCGACACUUUAAUAAUAAAUUCCGUAGGCUCAAUGAGUAUGUUCAUUCUAGAUACCAAGCUCAUACAAAUGUAUGAAUGCGUCGACCCCGGGUCAAUUAAGGCAAUAACACAUGUAUCGAAAAGAGAAAAAGUAUCCGUGAUAACAUUAGGAGCAGAGGCUUCCUCUCGGGCGCGUACCGCAUACGUUCUUGCCGGAGGUUGAGCCUCUAAUUUUGCAGCAUCUUUAACCACAACUCAACUGUCACUGGCACUUCCAAGAUAUCUCGGAGGUCUACCUCAUGAAAUGGGAGUACUCGACUUCAGGGCUACUUUCACUUCUUUCUCGACUCACUCUAGGCAGUCCCUGAGAAAGUGGUCAAGAGAUCCACAUCUGAAACAUGCACGUCUCUUCACUCGGCACUCUCCGAAGUGAAAUUUGUUGCAACUCCUACACUUCAGCUUUUGAUCAUCUACACUCCCCACACUAGUUACCAUCAGGGAGGAAGACUUUUGGCUUCUUCGUUUAGAGCUUCUCGCUCUACCCAAAUAUCCUACUGAUGAAAUGGAGCGUUCAUGCUGGCUCUUUGAUUUCUUGUGGGAAACAAGAGUGUUCUACCACUAGACCUCUUGCUCGCGGCUUAGGCCUCUCUCUUUGUUUGCUUUCUUUCGUUGUUAAGCUCCCCGACCUUCUUGGCCCGAUCAGCCAAUGCAACAACCUCUCAUAUUUCAAGGAUCCCAAUCAACAACUUAAUUUGCUCCUUCAGACCUUCCUCGAAGCGUUUACACAUUUUUGACUCGGUUUGGAGCCAUUCAGUUGCGUGCUGACUUAGCCUCACGAACUCUCGUUCAUAUUCUGCUUCAGUCUUGUUCCCUUGUUUGAGUUUUAGGAACUCAUUUCGUUUCAAGUCUAGAAACCGUUGGCUAAUGUAUUUCUUCCUAAACUCUAUUUAGAAGAAAUCUCAAGUGAUAUUUUCCUUUGGCACUACCGAGGAUACAGUCUUCCACCAAUGAUACGCAAUAUCUUUUAGGAGGGACACGGCACACUUCAAACGCUCCUCAGGUGUGCACGACAAAUCAUCUAACACUGGUGUAGUAUUCUCAAGCCAAAACUCGGCUCUUUCAGCAUCAUCAUCAACUUUAGCUCUGAAUUCCUCAGCCCCAUACUUUCUAAGCUUAUCAACAGGGGCUUUACCAAUUCUUACCGGUGCCCUACCUCGUGGCACAUCCUCAUUAGGUUGGUUAGGGGGCGGGGGAGGUCUUGGUAUGUUGGGGCGAUUCCUCAGGUAAUCCCCAAACCAUUCGUCCUUCAUAAGCCUUCUACUACUACUAGUAGAUACAGCUCGUUGUAUGAAAGCUGGAGCAUGGCUCUCAGCUCCCUCGGACUCAUCUUGUGUUUGAUUGGAAGACAUUUACUAUAUUCAAAACAAUUUAAACAGUUAGGAGACGUCAUACUAUCAAUAUUCGAAUGAUGGUAUGUAUAGCAAACCUCAAUACUCUCUACGAUAGUCCUAGAACUGACUAAAUCGUAGCUCUGAUACCAUUAAAUAUAACACCCUUUACCCGUUACUUGAGAUUCUCGUUCAUAAACAUAUUAAAUCUAAUCACUAAGUUGCACUCUAAUUUAAAACUAUUCAAAUAUGUAUAUCAUUUCCCUUAAACAAGCCUUCGAGACCUGAAACAUGCCUAGAUGCAGUACGGGACAAAACCGAAAACGUUUGAUAAACUUGGGGCACCUUGGAAAAUUUCUUUUAACUUGAAGUGUCACACGCCCGUAUGACUUGGGACACUCCCGUUCAAUCACCCCGUGUCCAAGACUUGAGCAUUCUAUUAAAUUCACACGGCCAAGACACACGCCCGUGUGUCUAGCCCGUGUUCAUUUAACAGACUUACCAUUUUAGAUGCAGGGGACACACAACCAUGCCACACACCUACGGGUGUGGCCCGUGUGUCAUACACGGCCUAGGCACACGCCCGUGUACCCAACUGUGUAAACCCUAUUAGGCUAUUUUCCAAGCCUAUGGUCACCCCCUUUUUAACACUUAUACUUAAUGAAUAUUAAAAACGAAGUAAAACAUGAUUAUGCUCUUAUAAAUGAUCUUUGCAAAAACUUAUUACGUGGAAACCUCAUAUCAUUAGUUUCGUACAUGCUAGGUUAUUUCCCAUCUUGUAUUUAUGUGUUGCCAUACCACUUUAACACAUUCAAGAUUGGCUCGUUCUUAUGACUCAUUGCCAAUUGGAAUUCAACCAUCGCACAUGAUUAUAAACUUGCAUGGAAAUUUUGUAGGUCAUAGCCUACUUCAAAAUAAGCCAAUCUCCAUGGCAAUAUACAAAAAGAUAGAAUUAUCUUUACAUGCUUUCAUUUGGAAAAUUAAAUGACACAUAUAACAAAAUACUCAAAAGACCUAUACAUGCCAUUGAACAAAUCAAAAAUGUCUUUAUACCAAAGCUGAGCUAUUUGAUAAUAUGCUGACUCUCUAACCGUCUUCAAUCUUUACGAGUCCUCGAGCUCUAGGAGAGACAGGGAAAAGAGAGGGGUAAGCAUUUUCAUGCUUAGUAAGCUCGAAUAACUGGAAAGUAAACUUACCAAGUAAUUAGCAUGCAAUCAAAUUGGGUAAUAAAUUCAAUGAGCAUAGGAUGGCUUCCCUGUAGCACCCCAAACCCGGCCUAGACGUUAUGGUCGGAUCCGACAUGCCACAUCGAAGCAUUCAAAACAUUUUAUAUUAUUGGUCCAGAAAAUCUUAUUUAGUGUUUUAAAAGAUAAUUUUAUUAUAGGUUAAAGUGAAUGGAAGCUAUGCACCAGGUAGGAAACCGAAAAAGAGGUGGUGAGUCCAUCGGACUGCGUAAGUACCAAGAUCCCUUCGGAUCCAAUCCUAGACAUGCAUACUGCCAUUGUCACACCUUAACGUCAUGGAUAUUUCUAGGAAACCGAUUUGAUUAAGUCAUUUUUAGGAAAAGUGAUUAAUUUUGGAAAACACUUUCAUUGCGGAAGCUUUAUUUGUUGUCGUGUUAUUUUGAAAUCAAUUGUUGUUUUUGAAAACGCACCCUAAAGCUAUCCAAUUUCAACAGUUAAAAUAAGUAAUACCUAUCUUAGUAAUACAUAUUAAAACCAUCAAAAAUAAUUAAGUGGCCUUAUUACAUUUAAAAACCCAAAACUUCAAACGUAAAUAACAGGAUAUCCAUUUCACCGGAAGAAAAUCAAACUUUCAGAAUGGGUGGCCACUCCAAAUUCCCUCACAACUCUAAGCCCACUAUGGUUGGGGAUUUCCUGCGUGGAUGAAAAUAAAAAGGGUGAGUUUGGGGAAACUCAGUGUAUAAGGAAAACCCAUUCAAAGCCCAAGUCAGCUCAAGCCAUUGGGCCUAAGCCCAUUCAGGUAACAGUGGUACUGGGCCAGAGCCCUUUUCAGAUUACAAUAAACUGGGCCUUAGCCCCUUAUUCAGAUAACAGUAUGGCCCAUAGGCCCAUUUCAAAAUACAUGCAACAUCAAUAACAUAUGCAAGCCCAUUUGGGGAGACUACUCAACCCACCAACCACUACACUCCACCCGUACCAGUCAUACACUCCAUGUGGGGAAUAGCUCAACCCACCCAGCCCAACACUCCACAGUUGCAGCCUUGCUGCUCAGUUAACAGUAAAUUGAGGCAAAGCCUCCAGUACGUGGACAAGCCACUUUCAGUACUUCCUCCGUCAAUAUCCCAGUCCCAUGCAUCAGAUAAUAACAACAUGGCAUGCAGUAAAUAACAACAGUCAAACAUGCAUUUAGGUCAAUUUAACCCUAGCGGUAUUUCGAUAAUUUAUCUCCUAGGGAUAAAACUGUAAAUUUUCCACUUUUAAAGGUAUUUCAGUAAUUUAUCUAUUUUAGGGUUUUUCAUGCAUAUUCCUACCUUUCACGUACUAACAGAAUCACGUACCGAGGGUUCUUACCGAAUUGGGCCCGUUGGUCAAUCAUUCCAAUUUUGGCCCAUUAAGCCCAAAAAUAUCGAGGGCACAAAAAUCAUGCACUUUGCAGUCCAAACACUGCAGCUUACCAAAAACAUUAAUCGAUUUACCUCACGAGCAUUCGCACACUCGCAAAUCUACAAAAUAUCGAUUUUUGACAUUUCGGCUUUUUGGCUUUUGCCGAUCUAGACUAAGAAAGAGGGUGUUAGUUACACACCUGUUUGCGACGAUAUGCUGACGAGAUCCACACACGAACUGCCUACAAUUGGAUUACUAACACGUUAAUCUAACUAUUCAAAUACAAACUACGUAUUAACCCCUUACAAUAUUCGGCCAACCACACCUACAAAUCAUAGUAAGCUUAUAAGAAAUCAAUAAGCAACUCAUUAACAAAUUUUUAUCAAUGUUUACCACAUAAUCAUAAUUUCACUGCAAGCUAUCUUCCUGAGCAAUAGUCACUAAAUUAUUUAUAACUGGAGCUACGAAACUCCAAAUCAAGUGCCAUUAAUUUUCCAUGAAAAUAGACUCAUAUAUCUUCUAUCCAUAAAAUUUCAGAAUUUUUUGGUCUAGCCAAUCAAUACCAGAUUUUUCUCAAAGUUUCCCAUGUUUCACUAUUUGACUAAUCUGACCACUCUUCAUUACGAAUCAAAUUUCUCAUUGUACAGAAUUUAAAAUAUGUUCUUGUUUAUUUCAUUAGAACCUAGACUCAAUAAGCUUUAAUUACAUAAUUUAUUCAGCUUCAAAUUCAUCUCCCACAAUUUAUGGUGAGUUUCCAAAGUCACAUUACUGCUGCUGUCCCAAGCAGAUUUAUUACCAAAUCACUCUUUCACACAUACCUUGCAUGCAUGUUAUUUAAACAUGUAUAUCACCAAUCAAUCAUCACAUAUCUAUGAUUUUACUUAAGAAUAAUCUCCAUUUCAUCAUUUUAAAGCACAACAUGUUAGCUGAUUUUUCCCUUUAACAUCUAAGGCACAUGCAUGCUCAUUUGUUUGGCUCAACUUCACCUAUCUUCCAUUUUUUUCAUCAAAAGAACAUGAAAAAACAACCAUUUCCUUAAUUUUAAUUCAUGACUAAAUGCUCACAACACAACUAAAAACCAAAAUAUGCUUCAAGAGUUAAGGUAGAAUCAAGAAGAACUCAUGAACAUCAAGAUAGAAGCCAACUACCAUGAACUUACCUUCAAUUUUCUUCCCCAAGUGACCGAACACUCAAGAGCUUUCUCCUCUCCUUUCUCUUCUCUAACUUUCAGCUAUGAUGAACAAAGAUGGACAAGACUUUGUUCUUUUCACCCCUUUUUCUUUUAAUAAAACUUCAUAUUUCAUCCAUUUAAUUCUUUAAUACAAAAGACAUGAAAUUCUUAUCAUGAAACAUUUACCUAACCCAUUAUCAUGAAACAUUUACCUAACCCAUUAUCAUGGAACAUUUACCUAACCUAUUAUCAAUUUAUAUCAAUUUGUACCAUAAAUUAUGGAUAUCAAGUGUACAUUUUGUCUACAACAACAUGAUGGCUGGCCACUUCAUGUAAAAUGGGAGGUUUGUCAUGCAAAUCCUCCUAUUUUGCACUCCUAUUUAUUUGGUCACUUCAAUUUAGCCUAUAGCAUUUUCAAACAUUUUCACAUAGGUCCUAUUUCAUAAUUUCACUCACAAAUGACAAAAAUUAAGCAUGAAAUUUUGCCAACAUUCACAGAAUUCCCGAAAAUUGGGGCGUUACAUUCCCUAUCACAUACACUCAAUCAAUGAGUUAGUCACAUAACAAUGUAUAAUGAAAGUUAUCUUAGAUGAGCUCAUCAUUCAACAUCUCAUUUUGUACAUAUAAGUCAUGUUAAUCUUGUUGAGUUUCUAGAAAGUCUCGAUAGAAUACUUAUUAACCGUCAAUUCGUAUGAAUUAUCAUUUCCAGUAUGCACUUCCGCGAACAUCACAUCUCAUGGCAGGAUUACCAGUCCAGGCUAAAUCCCCCAUUUUAUGAACUCAUAAGGUGAUGUCAAGAUUACAAGUCCAGGCUAAAUCCCUUAUAACAACAAACACCUUUAUUGAGCUUGGAUCUGAAUUACCAGUUCAGGCUAAAUUCAGAUCCUAAUCGGAUUACCCGUCUGGACUAAAUCCAUAAUGCACACAUAUUCUUCGGGAGGCUUGACCAUUUAAAGGAACACCCGUCCGGGCUAGAUCCUUUUAUAAAUGACAUCAACGGAUUACUCGUCUGGGCUAAAUCCUUACUGCAACACAUGCAGGACUUCAUUACACAUGUCAAUCAUGGUUUAUCCAUCGAAUUCCCUUUUUAACCUCAACCGAGACAUUUAUCACAAUUCAUACUUAAACAUACAUUUCAUAAAAUUUCAUGUUAUUAAUAAAUGCAAUCAUCAUGCAUUCAUAAAUCAUAUAAUUAGGCACAUUGAGUGUUUACUUUAAGUUAUCCGAACUUACCUGGUAUUCAUUUUGGUGUCGUGUUUUGGUUAUUUCGAAACCUUUCGUUUUCCUCGAUCGACCUCCAGAAUUUGUUCCUCUAGGUCUAUAACAAUAAAAAUAGAUCAUAAACACUCUAAAUUAUAUAUUUCAAGUCUAAAUUCCACCCCCGAUCCAAAUGACCGUUUUGCGCCUAACCUUUCACAUUUUUACAAUUUAGUCCCUAGGCUCGUAUAAUGAAAGGCAUGCAAUUUCUACCUUACUCAAGCCUAGCCGAACACUUUUCCCUCUUAUGGUAGCCCACAUUUUUCAUUAUUUCCACAUUCCUGCCACACAUUUUACAACUUUUGCAAAAAGGUCCCUUUAGGGGUUUUUCAUGAAAAUCACCUAGAAAAAGUUGUUUAACACACAUCAAACUUUCAUAUUCCUCCAUAAAACAUCAAAAUACUAGUAACUUAUGCAUGGGUAAAUUUUUAAACAUGAACCCUAGCAUGAAAUAUUGGUAGAAAUGGAGAGAGUAAGCUACCGAAAUCUCAAAAUUAAGAAGAACAUUAAAAACGGGGCUUGAGAACACUUACUAAUGAGCUUGAAAAGCUUGGAAACCCUAGUUAUGGUGGCUUGGAGAUUACGGCUGGACAAGGGAGAAAAAUGGUUAAUUUUUUCCUUCUUUUCCCAUUUUAUUUCAUUAAUAUGCCACAUGACCAAAAUGCCCUUAAGCCCUUUCUUUGAAAUUUCAUCAAUGCAAGCCCAUUUUUGUCCAAAAACUUAGAAAUUAGAAAAAUUUCUCCCCAAGACCUUCUAUUUUAUAAUCUAAAGCAAUUUCAUACAAAUUGCUUCUAGAAUCCAAGUUUUGCAAUUUAUUCAAUUUAGUCCCUAAUUUUCCAAUUGGGCACUUACUCAAAGAAUUCCUUCAUGAAACUUUAACACAUGUAUAUUCUCAUAUUCUAAGCCUCGUAAUAAUUAUAAAAUAAAUAUUUUGAUGUCGUAUUUGUAGUCUCGAAACCACUAUUCCGAUUAGGCCCUAUUUUGGGGUGUUACAUAAUUUACCAACUCCAAUGUCUUUGGGAAAAAUUUUAUUGCACAAGACUAUUAUAUCUUCCUCACUCAUAUGACCUAGUUGCAUGUGCCAAAGUUUUGUUGAGUCGGAAUCGAUGAAGAAAGAGUCACGUCGUGUCGCCGUGACGUGGUGGGAAUUUCGACUUUUCUUCAGUAAUCGCAGCCACACCAGUAAUUGUUGACCCUUGCAAAACGUAUAGGCUGCCCUUUUCCUCUCCCCUCAUCAUAAAAGAGCCUCAGAGAAACUUUUAAGUCAUUUGACUCAAUGACUAUCCUGCAACCAUUAGAAUCCAAAAUUCCCAAUGAGAUAAGAUUUUUCUUUAAAUCAGGAACAUACCUGACAUAUGAAAGUGUUUGAAUAAUCCUGUCAUGCAUCUUAAUUUGUAUCGUUCCAAUUCCGAAUAUUUUACAUGGGAGAGUUAUUCCCGAUCAGCACAACUCCACCUUCAACUUAACUAUAUGUAGAGAACCAGUCCCUGUUGGGAUACAUGUGACAGGAGUACUCUGAAUCUAAGUUCCAUUCAGAAGUAAGAUGAUAGCUUUUGCUCGUUGACACCAACAAGAAAUUAUCACAUUUAUCCUCAACUACACUAGCAUCAACAACGUCGGCUUUUUGCUUAUCUUUCUUAUCGUUUUCAUCAUCAUUUUUUAUAUUAUUUUGAAAUUUCCAACAUUCUGCCUUAACAUGGCCCGCCUUUUUACAAUAACCACAAUAUUUGUGAUGAUUUCUGGAGUUGGACCUUGCUUUAGACCUAUUUUGAUCUGUCUUUCUGGUUUGUCAUUUGCCUCUUGCAACUAGAACUGAGGUUUGCCCGUAUGAUUUUUUGUUUGGGCUUAACUCAUUAUUGAGUUUAUCCUUACUCAGAAGAUUCCCCUUCACAUCCUCGAACGAGUGAUGGUAUCUCCCAUAAAUCAAAGUUUCCCUGAAAGUUUUAUAAGAAAAAGGCAAAGAGCAUAACAAUAACAUAGCUUGAUCCUUAUCACUAAUAUUUGCUUCGAGAUUCUAUAAGUCUUUAAAAAGGGUAACAAACUCGCUAAUAUGAGUUUUGAUGGACUCACCUUUAGCCAUUCUGAACAUGUAGAAAUGUUGUUUUAAUACUAACCUGUUGGCUAGAGAUUUUGUCAUAUAUAAGGUUUCUAGUUUCUUCCAUAACAUAAACGAUGUUUUCUCCUUCAAAACCUUCUAUAACACAUUAUUCGUGAGAUAUAAUUGAAUAAUGGAUAGAGUCUUUUCAUCGAGCUCUUCCCAUUCUGACUGAUCCAUAUCUACGAGCUUUUUCCCUGUAAUGACCUUUUUCAGACCGUUCUAAACCAAUAUUGUUGUCAUUCAAACUUUCCACAAACUAAAAUUUACAAUUCUUCAAACUUCUCAAUAUCAAACCUUGACGUUGCCAUCUCUAAACGGGUUGACUGUAAAAAUUAAACUAGCUCUGAUACCAUUUUGUGGGGGAAAAACCCAUUAAGCAAUGAAUAAAGUAAAUAAAAUAAGAAUCGAAAAGAUCGAACAUGUAAAUUUUGCAUGGAAAACUCCUCAAGAGAGGAUAAAAACCACGGGAAAAAACAAAUUUCACUAUAAUAAAGGAGAGUACAAAAGAUGGAGGAGAGAAUUAAAAGAAAACCCGAAGCCCUUCAAGAAAAACCCUUCAAAACAAAGAAUAAAAUUCUCUCAAUCUAAAUAAAUUUUUGUUAUGUAAAACCUAGAGUAACUAAGGACUAUUUAUAGUUGAAAUUUGUAGCAUAUAUGACUACAACAAUUAGAGUUUAAGUGGGAAAGUAGAAACAAAGUUUAACUAGGAGAAAAAUAAAUUUUGGUCAAAAUAAGAGGCAUUCUUCCACACCUUUCCAAAUAAUACCUUAAGAGAGUGUCACAAAGUUACCCAAUGGAAUAGCAAGAUACAAAAGCUUAAGAUACUCCAAAACAGCAAACAAAGUGAGACCACACUAUUGCCUAUUUAUAGGCGUCUACAAGUGAUUAUAAGAUAGUGUUUUGAUAAGCUUUAAACUCUCCUUUAAAAGUUGAAAUUAUCAAAUUAAUUAUCUUGAAUAUUUAUCACAUAAAAGACUUUAUAACCAAGUUUUCCAAUAGCUUCAAACACUCUAAAAGGUAAGGAUAAGGAUAAGUGCCCAAAUUUCGAACUCCUCUCCUUCCUAGGCUAAUCAAAUGGAUGAUAAUCAUAUUCCAAUUUACCAAGAAAUUCUCUUAUCAUUUGUUGUUAACUAAUAUUAGAACAUAAGCCAUUAAAAGUCAAACAUGCCAACACCCAAAAAUGUUGAUUGCUCCAAAAAGCUUGUUUUAAUUGUUGUUCAAACAAGUCAGUACAAUUUCCAACAAAAAUUAAUAAUAACUAAAAAAUAUUAAAAAAUAAAAAAAUAUAUUUAAUAAAUGAAAAAUCAAAUAAAACCUAAUAAAAAGCUCAACCUUUUGUUAAAAAAAAUCAAAUAACUGAUAGUGUCUAGGAGAUGAGGAGUUAUACAUUUAAAUAUAUUGUAUUAUAUUAUUAUGUCGUAUAUUAAAUUAACAUUUAUAAUCUUUUUUUUUAAGGAAACCGUUAGUCUCAUAUUUUCGUCUUCUGUUUUUUUUUUCCGGUUAACAACAAAACUAGAAAAUACUGCACUUACACAUGUAUAUAUGUUGACCAUAUCUAAGAAAUAUGUUACUGAAUCAUGUGAAAUUCAUUCCCUUGAGCCAAGAAAAAGGAACGUAAAAUCAUGUGAGUUCACGUGGCAAUUAGGUAGAAAUUAGACAACUUGUCUAUGCUUCAAUCAUUAUGAGGCAAACCAAGACAAGUUCAACUUUUUUUUUAUCCUCUCACUGUGAAACCUUUUGCAGGAAGACUUAGGAACAAUAGCUAAGCCUAAAUCCUGCUAGAAUCACAACAUAUUGUUUUGUUUAUUAAAAAAAAAAGAUGAUAUUGGUCUUUGAUAUGUAAAAUUGAUCUAUACAUGCAUUGAUGUUGAGCAAUUUUUGUUUGAGGAGUUAACCGCUACAUUAUAUAGAAGUAAUUAACGUCUUGGGGAUUUUUUAUGCAAAAAAAUAUAUACAUAAAUUUAUAUGAAAAAUACAUGGUUAAAAAAAUUUGUAAAUAAAGCCUUGACAUGGUAGGUAAAAGUGGAAGCUAUAGGCUUUGAGUAACCAUAUUCAAGACCCACCGUACACAGUUGAAUGUAUGGGUUUUAAAGUCCUAUUAUUAAUUGUUAUGUGUUGGUUUUAGUUUGAUUAAUUAUAUUAUAACUUACAUUGUUUCUGUUUAUAAUUUAUAUUUUAUGUAAUAGAUUGAUUUUUUGUCUUAAUUUUUAGUCUAUUUAAAUGAUAUAAUUGUUUAAUUCUACACUUAAUAGUUACUUUGACCUAUAUUUAUAUUUUAAUUUUUCUGUAUUUUUAAACUUUAAAAAAACAUAUAUUUAUAUAUAGAAAGUUUAUGAAUAAAAUUUCUUUUUUCGAAAAACAAUAGAAAGCAUACGCAUUUAAUAUUUGGCAAAAAUAAAGUGAGUAAUGAAAGAUUGAAUUAAGGCAAACUAUAUUUGAUAGCAUCUUUGAUUGGUAAAGCCACCAAUAUCAGAAAACCGGAAACACUAAGACUAAUACGAUGCAUUAAUCAGCGGAGUAGUUCAGCAUUAGUGAUGAAGAUGAAAGUGGUAGAUACAAACCUUUUUCAAAGCAUUAAACACACUCAACCAUAAGCUGAAACAUGAAAAAGAAAGAAAGAAACCUUGGCAUUGAAUUGGGCCAACUACCAACGCCUAACCAUAUACUAUUCGUACGUGUUUCUCAGUUCUUUUGAUAUCCCUUCACUCAACUUUUGGCUAUAAAAACCCUCCUACGCUCAAGCCCUAACCACGACAAUCAGCUAUAGUACUUCUACUCCAAGCAAGCAUUUUCCUUUUCUUGUGAUUAAUCGAUAUGGCUAGCUCAAUGUCCCUUAAGCUUGCAUGUGUGGUGGUGUUGUGCAUGGUGGUGGGUGCACCCCUGGCUCAAGGGGCCGUAACCUGUGGUCAAGUCACAAGCUCCCUCGCACCCUGCAUUAAUUACUUGAGAGGGACUGGUGCUGGUGCUAUUCCCCCAGGUUGCUGCAGCGGCAUCAAAUCUCUCAACUCCGCCGCCCAAACAACACCAGACCGGCAAGCAGCUUGCAAAUGCAUCAAAAGUGCGGCCGCCGGCAUUCCUGGCAUCAACUUUGGCCUUGCAAGCGGACUACCAGGCAAGUGCGGUGUCAACAUCCCUUACAAGAUCAGCCCUAGCACUGACUGCAGCAGGUUCGUAUGAGUUGUUUCAUUGCUUAUGCUUAUUAAUUGCUCAACAUUUAAUGGUGUGUCUUUUGUUGUUUCAUUUGCAGCGUCAAGUGAAAUUUUGGCAUGGAAUGUUCAUCAGCUAGUGGAAGCCAAAAUAAUGAUAGCUACAGAAUAAAAAUGGAUGUUUAAAAUCCAUCCGUAGGGAUAGCAGAGGAGUUAUCCUAAUUUUAGAGUUGUGCGUUGUGUACUAGGUCGGUUUUUGCGACUAUGUAAUACUAUCUUUAUCUACAAAUUAAUAUCACUCAUUAUUUUGUGUUUCUUCUAUAUGAUAUUUAUCUAUAUACCCUUCUCUCAAGCAUUUUAUAUCAACAUUCACGUGGUCUAAUAAUAAUGAAAAUCAUGAUUACUCAACCCUAAGUUUAAUUAAAUCAAUUUAUGCACCGGUUCUGUUCUUUAGUUGCAUGUACCGGAUGCAAUUCCCAUUGCAAUCUGUUUUGUAAUUGAAAGGUUAUACAACUUGCUAUAUAUAUCGACAUAUUUUUAAUUGAAAAAUUUUGGGCUCAUUCUUAAUUUACUUUAAAUCUUUAAAGUGGACUACUCCUUUGGAGACAUUUCUUUUUAAAUGAAAAUAUUAGAAAUACAAUUAAGAGAGAUUAUUCAUCUGAUCAUGUUGAAACACGGAUCAAAGUUCAAAGUUCAUGAUCAUUACGCACAAAACGUUUUAUGAAGAUUAACUGAUUAAACGAGAUUAUUAUUUGAUCCACUUGAACUUGCCUGACUCGUGGAACACAUGGAAAAGUCUAUCUACUUAAACCUUUGGAGGUUCAGUGAAACUCUCCAGUAAAAUUAGAGUUACCAGAGUAAUUAAUGUAAAGCCUAAGGGAUAAAAAUGUAUAGAGUUUAAAUCUCAUAGGACUCUCAUCUUAUAAAUAAGUACUAAUAUCAGUCGUCGAUAUAAUUUAAUCUGUAUCAUUGGAUCUAGGGGAGCUCAACUAUAAAUAGAGACCUCCUUCAUUUGUAAUCAUCUCAUUGUACUCAUGAACAAAGCCAAAAAUAUUUUUUUGGGAUAGAAUUAAAUUAUAUAUUUUUACAAUAGUAAAAAUACAAUUUCACUAAUUUAAUAGUUAUCUUUAUAAUUUUUAAAGAAUUAAAUCAAAUUUUUAUGAUGGGGAAAGUGAAAUUUUACCAUUAUUAAUUUUAAAUUUUAUAAAUUAUAAAGGGAUAUAAAUGAAAUUUUUUCUAUUUUAGAAGGGAGGUCCCUACCAGCCCUCUUAGUUUCACCACUAAUUGUACUUCAUUCCUUCUUGAGUUAAAGAAUUUAUUAAGAGUAUUUACUCAAACACCUUGUAUACAUCGUUUUCUUAUAUCUUUUCAAUUCUCUUAUUGCUCUUUCAUUUUAAGUUACUUCCACAAUAUUUUUUGCUAACAUAGAGAAUUUUUAGGAAAAUUAUCACUUUUCGAGGGUUAGGUUGACUUAGGCAAAUUUAACGAAAAGAAAUCACUUAAAACCACACGAUUUAUUUAAAUUCUAAUCCCAUAACAGUAAAGUUUUGAUAUUUGAGUAACUCAACAUUUAUGUUUCAUGAAAAUAAAAAUAAUGAGAUUCACUCCUUACAAUAAAAUUUCUAUGUUGCACCUAAUUUACCAUUCACAAUAUGAUACUCAUAAUUAAGAUUAAUACAAUACAUGGGUUUGUCAUAAUGUAAUCUGAAAUAAGAAAGUAACAUUUUUUAAAUAAAUAUAAUUAGAAUCUAUUUUAUUAGUUCUGAAUUUUCAAAGUUUAUAUUAGUUUAAAACGGUUUUAAUAAUUCUUAGUUACAUAUCGCUGAUUAAACUUUUAAAUUUAAAUUCAACCGAUUCAUCUAAUAUAAUUCUAACAACAUUAAUAUAUAAUUUUUGUAUUUUUAUAAACACAUAAUUCUAAAUAUAUAAAUUCUUAAGUUGGUGAAUUGUUUAUUUUACACUAAUUUUAUAAUAAACUAUAUGCUAAUGAGAUAAUUUAUUUUACUAAAUUAUCAUUAAUGCUCCCUGAUUAGGAAUGUGCAUACAAAUUUGAAUAUCGCUGAAGAGAUAGCGAUUGUUUGUAAUAGAGAUUUAUCGUAUAAGUCUCAUCAUAAUUUCAUUAUCUUAGAAUCUAAACACAUUUUAUACAAAAAUGUUAUUUUAAAAUUAAGUGAUGUUUUGGUUGAAAUAAUUAAGUCAAAAUUUUAAACUUAAGUUUCAAUUUUAUUAUAGUAUUUUUUUAUUUAAAAAUAUGAAAAGGCAAAAAAUACUCUCUUAUUAAUAUUUUUUUUUAUUUUAUAUUAAAACUAUUUAGUAAAUUCUCAAUAGAGUUAGUAGCCGGUUGACUCGUGACACCAACUCAACUAAGGCUUAAUAUAAGUAUAAAUAGAUGAGUAAAUUUAGAAUAAUUAUUGUUAAUGUAACUGUAAAAAUUUACCAUUACAGUGUAAUGGAUUUUAAAGGGUUGAUUCUAAAAUCUGACUCUAAAUUUUUCAUCGAGCUUUGCUCUAACAACACACUUAGACGAUGGGAUCUCUCCAACAUUCUCGGUGAAAUUAAUUUUUUUGCUACAAGUAACCAACGAGGAAAGGGUGGAGGAGAAGAGUCUCGAUUCACCUAUGAUAGGAUGAGUUAAGGAGGGAGAGAGCGAGAGAGCUACAGUUGUUGUCUAGGUUUUCAGGGGAGAAAGAGUCGAUGCUUGGUUCCUCAUGCACCAGAGCUUACAUAGGGGAUCACCCAUUGUCCUGUAGUGUCGCGUAACUGACAAUGUUGUGUCCUACAAGAUUGUGCGUGCCAGCCAAGUGACAAGGCCGUCAUAGGUCAAUUGUCAUUAUAUAGUGUAUUGUGUGAUCCUACUCUAACAUUCUUGUCUUUGGGGUUGUACGAGACUAUUACGCUUUAGUGGUCCUCACGGAACUGCGUAACGAGCUAUCUCUAGGUAGUUUAGAUAGGGUUCAUGGGAGGUCAUUUGUGAGCAAUCCUAAGCGAAGGAUCGCUACGAAAGGUUCUUAACGAAGAGUCAUACGCAAACUGCUUCCAAUGGAGAGUUGUUUGCAUAUUGCUUCAUGUCUUGCCACGUAUUGAGAUGGAAAUAUAACAAUAACAUUAAAUUUUUUUCACAUGGACUCAGAGAAGCUAAUACAAUCCCAGACGCACUAGUUAAAAUUGGCACCCAUAGGAGUCAUUUAUUUCAUGUAUUUUGGGAUAAAUUUUUGGUGUUGUUGUAUGUGUUUCUUUAUAGCAGUGGUAUGCUAGUACAGCACUUGAACAUGCCUUGCACGGAUACUUUUUAUGAAACUGUAAGUCGACUAAUAAAAACGAAGUUAUGAAUAAACUGUACAUCUAUCUACCCACCUUCUUCCCUACCAUUUAUCCCCCGCCUUACUUUGGAAAAGAUUUAGGAGGGUUUCAGAUUUUACAUUUUAAAUUUUAGAUUUAUAUUUCAAAAUCCAUAAUCAUUUUUUAAAUUUGUGGAUCUACUCUAUUUAGUUGGAAUUUUAAUAAAUCUAGAAAUUUAAUAUAUUUAUGCUAAUAUACGCAUUACAUUCAUUUAAUUUAAAUAUAAAAUGACAUUAAAAUAUACAUGAUCUGAAACAUAUUAUUAUUAGACUUUUAGUCCCACCAUUUGCAAAUGUUAUUUGUGAGUUUAAAUCUCAUCAUGUAUUGGUUCUCUUCAAAAAAUUUUGAUUUAAAUCUAAAUAUAUUUAUGUUAUCAGUUAGUUAUGCUUUGUACUAUAUAUAUUCUAUUUUUAAUUGAUCAAAUAUAUAUUAUUUUUUAUUGCACUAGUAAACUAUUUAAAGAAAAUGUUAUUAUUAUUAUUUCCUUGGCUUUUCUUUUAUUUAUUUGGAACAUUAAAAAAUGAAAGGCUUUUCUUUAACUCCAUAUUCGUAUAACUUUUUUUUUAAAUAUUAUAACUAAUUUUAUAAUGCACACAAAAAUAGACAAAGAAUUUAUAAUUUUUUUUUAAGAAGACAGAAUUUAUAUUUAAUAUAAAAUCAAUCCUCGUUGAAUAGGAUUGCUUAUUACGACACACCUGUAAGCUCAUUAAAAUCAAUUUGGGGUUAGUAGAGAUAUAAAUCAUAUCAUUAAUUAUUUUUUUAUAUUGAGUCGGUGUGAUUUAUGUAAUUUAUUAUUCUAAUUCAUUUUAGGGAAUUUUUUAUGUAUAAAUCUUGUGUUGAAAUCAUAUAAUUUAUCUUACAAUUAUGAAUUUAUCUUUUGACGCGUCGAAAAUUAUUUAUUUGAAGGUUUUAUUAAAAAAUAUUAUUUAUAUUAUUUAAUAUUAUCGUCAAUAACUUUUUAUCCAGUGACUAGAAUAUUAUGAUAUAAAUAUUAGAGUUUAGGUUUGAUGACAAAUAAUUUUAUUCUCCACCCUUAAUUAUCCAAUAUAUAUAUAUUUCAUAUUACUUAAUUUUUUUAAAGUCAAAUUUUAUUAAAGAAUGAAUAUGAAAAAAUUAAAAAUAUUUCUUUUCUAAAAUAAUUUGACAAGCAAUAAAGCAUAAAAAAAAUUCCAUAAACAAUAAUUUCGAAUAAUAAAUUAUAAACUUUUGAUAAAGAUGUACUCAAAUAUCUUAAUAACUAAUAAUAAAAUAUGUAUAUAUUUUUUAAUUUCAUGUUUAAUUUAAAAUUUUUAAAAUAUUUCUUCAUAUUACAAAUGUAAUUUGUCUCCCUUUUUUACAAUAGUUGGAUCACUCUUCAUAAUAUACACAAUAAUAUAUUAUAAAGCAAUUUAUAAACAAUAAUAUAUUAUUUAUAAAAUCUUUUAAAAAUUAAAAAUUAAUUCACACGAUGAAUCUGUGCAUCUAAACAUAUCAACUACUUAAUAAUAUAUUUUGCAUACAAUUUGAUAAUAGUCCAAUUUGAAAAAAUAUAUAUUUUUGUGCUUUCUCAUAAAAUUCUUAAAUAACCCAUAAAAAGAUAUUAUAUGUUUUAAGUGCAUCUGAAUUUUUUCAACUUUAGAGUUAUUACAAAAGCAACAAAACCAAUUAAAUUAAUAUUUGGUUGGUUAAAGUUUAGGCGUUAAUAACUUAUUUUAUAUAGAUAUAAAAACAUUCAUACAUUCGUAUAGUGUUCAUAAUAUUUUUAUGCCAUUUAAUGUAUGAAUUGAUUUUCCAUAUCUUCUUUGUAUUGUUAAUUUUAACACUAUAUUUUUUUACAAAAAUUUAAAUUUUUAUACAUAUAUAAUAUUAAUAUAAAAUUUAAUUUAAUUUUCAAAAAGCUUUGAGCCAACAUAUUCAAAUUAGUCAACAACCUAACAAAACAAGUGGUUGAGGUUGCUUGUUGGCGCUGAUAUAGAUCCGACUAAUGUCAUUCACUACGAAAAUAAUGGAAAAGGCCACCUGUGGGGCCAACUAGGUAGAUAUAUUAUGAAUUGAAUGACAUGUGGCUGGUUGUAAUACCUCAUUGCAUUCAUUGCUUCAUUCACCCCCUAUUGAAAGUGAUAGAUUUUUUCUUUUAGGGAGAUUUAACUUACAAAUUCAUACUCUCUUUUUUUUUUUAUCAUAAGAGGUGUUUAAACUGUUUUUUUUUAAGUUUGGUAUUUCGGUUUAAUCAAAUUAUUAAGUUAAAAAAAUUUUAACCCAUUAAUUAGUAUCUAAGCUACAUAUUUUUUUCAAAUUGAUACCUAAACAUUUUUUUAUCCUACGUGGUACUUAAAUUAUUCUUUCAUUUUCCAUUUAAUACCAAAAUAUUAUAUUCAUUAAAAAAAUCUAAUCAAUAAUAGAUUGACAUGUAAAAUUUUAAAAAAAUAAUUAAUUCUUCUCUUCUCUUCUCUUUUUUUUUCAAUUAUUUCCCUCAUUUUAACUUUUUAUUUUUUUUUUCUUUCUUCUUCCUUUAUAAUGUCUAACAAUGACAACAAAUGCAAUGCUCAAAAUUCGCCCUCGUGAGGUUAAGACUAUGGAAAUUAAUUUUCUUUUCGAACUAUAUCGCUUGUAUGUUAGACCUGACGAGAUCGUAAAAAUUCUUUCAUUGAUCAAAACCAAUUUUUUUUCAGAAUCAGGCUAACAGGUCAUACUUUUGUAGGGGUGAGCGUCUAAUCGAAUCAAAUAGAAAAAUUUCGAUUUAAUCAAGUUGACGAGUCCUAUUUUAUCAUCUUAAAAUGAUUUAAAAUUUUAUCGAAUCGAAUCGAAUAUAUUUGUCUCCAGUUAAUUGAAAAAAAUUCUUUGGAUCCUUGUAGCCACUGUCACUCAUCAUAAUCAAAUUUGUCCAUCGUAAUCAAAUUUGUUAUUAACUUUCAUCCCUUCAUAAUUUAUUUAUUAAUCUUUUAUAUACGGGUUAGCUUCUUUGCUUGCUUAGUUGCUUCAAUUAUCUUUUAAUUCUUGUCACUGUGUAUUUUGAAAUUAAAAAAUAUAUUAAAUGUAAAAAAAUAUUUUUUUAAUAAAAUUUAUUUUAAAGAUAAAAUGUGAAAUUGGUACCAAUAGAAAGUUUUAACACAAAUAUUGUAUGACAUCACCAAUGAUACAAUUUUAACAGAAAUUGAUAAAGAUUCAACAUGAUUAAACAACUUAAUAAUAUAAAUAAUACAAAAUGUGAAAUUUAAUUUAUAAUAUAAAUAAUAGCCAUAAAUAAAAUUAUUACUAUUUAGGUCUAAGGAUUUUUUUUGGAGGAUUUUGAUUUUUGAUUUGGGGAUAAAGGGUGAGAAGUAAAAGUUUUGGGGGAAAAGUAGAAGGGUUUGGGACGGGGUAGGGGUGGGGGUGGGGUUGAGGCUGGGGGAAGGGGAAUAAAAGUUUCGAGGGUAAAGUUUGGAGGUUUGGGGUUGUAACACCCCAAACCCGGCCUAGAUGUUAGGACCAAGCCUGGAAAGCUACAACAAAUCAUUCCAAAAAAUGUCACUUUUAACUAAUUAAAGUUUAAUUGUCAGAAAAUGUUUAAAUAGUUGAACUAAUGUAGAAAUAUAAAUUUGCAAUCUGUAAUUCAAGAUAAACAACUAUAGUAUAAGUUUAAUUAAAGCGGAAAAUUACUAAGUAAGAAUGACUGAGCUCCCGCCACGGCGACCGGCCUAAGUCGAUGAGUUACCAAAAAUUCAGUCAACAGACAAAAUGAGUCGGUAAACACAACAUGUAAAUUAUAUUUUUAUUAAGCAAAACAACAGAACAUAUCUUCAGUUUUUCAAAAUUCGAACAGUUUUCAAAAUCAUAUACGGAAGCAGAACAGAAUAUGUCAGUUACACACCAUCUCCAUCCAACCCUACACACCAAAAAGGUAUGGAAUGCCCAUUCAUCCCUACACACCACAUAGUGACCAUAUGUCAUGUUCAAAAGGUUACAAACUAAAUUCUAGGACAGAAUGUGAAAGUCGCCAAAAUUAGAUACAUUUACGUGGCUUAGCCACCAAUCUUAGUAGAUUAUUUAACUGCCACAACUUCCUCCUUAUUCAAUCCCAACCCCAAUGCAGAUGCAAAGUUACAGAUACAGAUAUAAGCAUAGAUGUUACAGAUUCAGAUUAUACUCAGUUAACACAGAAUACAACUAUUCGCUAGUUUACAAUUCUAUGAUGUAUAUAAAAUAAUAGUUUAUACAGAAACAAAUUACUAGUCAAUGGGUUUUAUAACCCAAAUCGGAUCAUACAAACCCUAAGGUAAGCCUACGUUCGACUGGAACGACGUUUAUAGCCCUAACGAAAAAUUUGAAAUUUUGACCCAUACACUUGUGUGGAUUCACAUGUCUUGGAAGGCUGGCCUAUGUGGCACACGAUCUAUAACAUGGCCUGGCACACGACCAUGUGGCUCAAAAAAAUGAGUUACACAGUCUAGCACAUAGUCAAGCACACGUUCAUGUGACUCAAUUCAUAAAAUUUCCUUCAUAUGGCCUGGACACACGAACGUGUCCUAGCGCGUGUGACUCUAAUCCACAAAUAGUAAGUUACACGACCUAGACACAUGCCCACAUCCUUGGCUUGGUGACCCUAAUACACAAACAGUAAGUUACACGGCUAUAUGAUUAACAACCAUGUGUUCCAGUGUUCGCAAAUCAUAAAAAAAUGCGUUUUCUUUAAACACUUGAUGUAGUUUCGAUGUAGAAGCAACACACAAGAAUUUGGAACCUAAAACGACAAUUAAUUGACCAAUUAAACGACUAAUCAACUCAAAAUUCCAAAAUUAGCACUCAAAACUAACGUACGUCGAAAACUUCGAUGCAACCAACCAAAGCAGAAAUUUUCGCUUAUUGACAAGCGAGCAACAAUAGUUCAGACCUAAUUUCGCAGGAAAACAUUACUUUUGAAACCUUUUCCUAAAAGAAGAUCCAUUAGAACUAUUAACGAGAUUUUACAAUGAUUGGCAGUAAUAUCGAACCUCGACGAAACAGAAAAAGUCUAGCAAAAAAUAGGCAGAAAAAAACAACAGAAAUUACGAAAUAUCCUUGCAAUCAACGUAAAAAACCACACAGAUUUCCCAAUUAAGCACGAUAGCAAACUUACGGAAGCAAUCAAGCAAGAAAGGUGUAAUAGCCCAUUUUUAGUAAAAUCAGAACAGUGGUUUCGGGACCACAAAUCUAGAGUCAAAAAUAUAAUUUUAUUAUUAUUUUAUGGUCUACAUCAUGAUAUUAUUACAGUAUAAAAAUUUUGUUAAGAAAUUUUACCGUUUACAUGUUCAAUUUGAUAAAAAGGACUAAAUCGCGUAAAGUGCAAAAGUAGAGUUUUAAUAGCUAAAGGUAUUAAAUAGCUAUAUAAAUUUAAAUUAGAGGUCCUUAUAUGGUAAUAACCCAUAAAUGUGUUAGUGGAAUGUCAUGGCUUGGUAAACUUGUAAAUUGAAAUAAUUUUAAAGGUCAAAUAAAUAAUUAAGUAAAUAAAGGCAAAAUUUAGUAAAAUAAAGCCAAGUAUAAUCUUUUAUCCUCUUUAUUCAACCGAUUAGCUUAGAAAAAGAAGCCAUUUUUUCUCUUUAUGGUUCGGCAAGCUUGUUUCCAUCAAUUAGGUAUGUGUUUUGUCCCCCCCUUUUUUUAUAAUUUCUAUGUUUCUAGGAUCGUUGUAACUUAAUCUAGCUAGCCUGGGAAUUAAUUUGUGAAAAUGUUAAAGUAUUUGAGUUUUACUAUUGAUGAACAUGUUAGGGUUUUGAAGUUUAAUAGUAUAAAAUAAAUGGUUGUUGUUAGAUAAACAACCUUUUUAAAGGAAUUUUUUAUGAAAUUAUCAAUUAGGGAUUAAAUUAAAAAAUAUGAUAAAUUUGUGGUACAAUUUUGAAUUUGUGAAAUAUAUGGGCAGCUAUAAAUAUGUUUAUAGUUCGGCUAGGCUUGGGUUUGGAUAAAAUCGAAUGAAUUUCAUUUUUCGAGCCUACGGACUAAAUUACAAAGUAUUAAAAGUUACCAUUUUGCCAAAAAUGUAUGCUGGACUAAAUUAAAAAUGAAUUAUAUUGAAUUGAGUUAAAUUAAUUCGUAUAGAUCCGGUUAGACCUCGUAUGGAGUUCUAUUAGGGCAAAGGAAAAAUAUCAGAUUAGUCGCCUUCGUAUCUACGUACACUUGUCGAGGUAAGUUCAUGUAAUUAAAUUGUGUAAUUAUAUGCUUUGAUUGAAUUAGAUGUAUGUUAUUUGCAUUAUCAUCAUAAAUGAAUAUCGAUCGCAUAUCUGAUGACGUACGACGAUUACCGAGCCCCAUUUGAACCUUAAGAAUUAGUAGGAUAUAAAUAACAUGUCAUUAGGGUUAUCGAUUUCAGUUCUUAUGAGCUUACCGAUACUCAGCUCGUAUGAGCUUACUGUUAUUCAGCUCGGAGGAGCUUACUGUUUACAGCUCGUAUAAGCAUACAUGUACAUGAGUUGAUGAAUUACAGUUUAAUACACCUCGUGUGUACUACUACAUAUCCAAUAAUAAUCUAAAUGGUUCAACGUGCACUGUUCUGUUAUGAUAUUACAUGAGUUCAAUACGAACUAAUACAGGUAUUUACAUAAGAUAUAUGAAAAUGAUUUGUACAUGAUAUGUAGAUACAUGAUGUGAAAAUUAUAUGUACAUGGAAAUUUGAUAAUUGUUGAGCUCAUACAUGUUUCUUGAUAUUUAUAUGAAUUACAUGACUAAAAUGGUUGAUCAAGAUAUGUGUUUAGGCUUCUAUCCAAAUUGAGUUUGGAUAUGUUUUGUAUGCUUACCUUAAAUGUGACUAAAUGGUAAGUUAAAUUCUAUGUUAUACGAACUUACUAAGCUUAAAUGCUUACUCUGUGUUAUUUUUCGUGUUUUUAGUGAUUCAGAAGCUCGUUCGGGUUGGAAGCUUGUCGGAGCUAUAUCACACUAUCCAUUGGCUCUUUUGGUACACUCAAUUGUUUAAUUUCAGUUAUAAUGGCAUGUAUAUGUUAAUUUGGCCAAUGUUGGCUUAUAUGUGUUUUGUUGAGAUUAGCCAUUUGUUUGGUUUGUGUUAUAGAAUUUUAGAUAUGUUCAUAUUUUGCUUAUUAUAGUUGACGUGUAGUUUGGUUCAUGAUUGAAUAAAGAGUGGUAAAAAGGUAGCCUAAUGUGCAUUUCAUAUAUGUGUUUUGGAAUGUGAAGAAUUGAUCAUGAAUUAGUGUCUGGAUAUGUAAGGCAUAUAAGUUAAAUAUGUUAGUAUGUGAAAUACAAUUUGGCAUCAAAUGAUGUGUUUUGGAAGGCAAGUAAUUUGGUAAGAAAUGAUGUAAAUCUGCUUAAUAAACUUUGGAUGCAAAUAUGCAUAUAAGUGAGUUAAACAUUUGGAUAUAAUGAAUACAUGAAAAUUCUUAUUAUAAGUUGUCAUUUGAGGUGCCUAAGGGCAUAUUGGUUGUAUGUAAUAAUAUUACAUGUUUUAAGCUUGAUUUUGGCUGGUUUUGGAUGCCUAUUUAUGACUUGGUUAUAUGCAAAAUGUUGUGUUUAGGUUGGUACCAAGUUGGGUGAGAAAUGUGGCUUGGAAAAUGACCUAUUUUCAUACACAUGGGUAGAGACACGGGCGUGUGUCUCAACCGUGUAGGUGAUAUGGCCGUGUGUCCCCUGUAUCUUUUAAAGAAUGCAAGUUAGUAUGCUCACACGGCCUGGCACAUAGGCGUGUGGCUUGGCCGCGUAACCCAAGUCAGUGAGUUACACGGGCAUGGACACAGGCUGGGACACGGUCUUAUGUCCCUAUUUCGAAUACCCACACAACCUAAGACACGGGCGUGUCUUUUGGCCGUGUGAGUCACACAGCCUGGCCACACGGCCAUGUGACCCCUGCAGUUUUGAAAUUUUUAUAAGUUUCUGAAAACUUCUCUGAAUUUUUUAUUUAGUCCCGAAUUAUUUCUAAGGUGUAUUUUGGGUCUCGAGGACUUGUAUUAGGGACAAUAUGCAUUAUUAUGAUUGGUUUCUGACAUGAAUACUAUAUGUUAUGAAAUGUUUGAAUUUUCUGUCCAUUUAAAUUGUAAACUUCGGUAAUACUCCUAACCCUAUUCCAGCGACGGAUUCGAGUUAGGGAUGUUACAAAAGGAGAAAAAGAAAAAAUAAGGAAAAGAAUUGUAAGGAAGGAGAAGAACAAAAAAUAAAAAUAAAAAAACUAAAAAUAAGUUUUAAACAAAAACAAUUAUUAAAAUAAAAUUGAUUUCCCGAUAGCACACCAAAAUAUUUCCUUAUUUCUUAUGCAGAGACUCAAACAUGAGACCUUAGGUAAUAUAAAACUUAAUCAUUAAACCAGAUGACUCAUUCUUGACACAAAUUAAUGUAGACACAAACUUAAGUCAAACAUUCAAGAAUAAGAGUUGAAACAAAAGAAUAAUAAAAUUCUCUAAAAGUACGACUUGAACCCUCGAUCCAAAAACCAACACAUAUAACUUAACCACUGAAGCAGAUACUUGCUUAUAAAUAGACACUAAUAGUAACAAUUCAAAAUUUGGGGCGUUACAGGGGCAGACAAAGAGGAAAGAGUAAAUUUUUGGGGGAAAAGUAAAAAUGUUUGGGGUUUGGGUUUUGAGGUAAAAUGUAAAAUAUUAUAGUUUGGUAUUCGGCUUAAUCGAAUUAUUCGGGUUAUUUGAAUUCAAAAACUCAACUUGACUCGAACUUGAAAUUAAAAAAAAUCUAGUUGAUUUGAUUAAUUCGAUUAGAAUAAUUCAAAAUUCGAGCUUUUUUCAAUUUUUUCGAGUCUAUUCAAAUUUUGCUCACCCUUAAUACUGGGAACCAAUUAGGAUACUAGUUUGGAGAUAGGGCUUGAACCAAUUAACCUGCAAACUGAUACAGAUUUAUUGAGCCGAGCUAAAAAAAAACUAGUUGAACUAGUUUUCUCUAUUUUUUAUUUUUAUCUUUAUGAAUUUUUAAUAAUUGAUUUCAUCAAACUGGAUAAAUUGAUUAAACCAGUAACUAAUGAUCUAGCUAGUUUGAAUAUGGUAAUUUUUAAUUGGUUAUCAUUUUUUAAAUAGACUUAACGAUUUGAGUAAAAUUUAAACUAACAAAUGUAUCAAUUUGAGAAAAAAUAAAUUAAGUACCACAUGUGACAAAAAUGUUUAAGUAUCAAAAUAAAAAAAAUAUAAUUUAAAUACAAAUUUGUAGAUUAAGGUUUCUUUUAACAAACUUAACGGAUUAAGGAAAUUAUCAAUUUGAGAAAAAAAAUAAUUUCGAUAACAGUCGCUGGUGACAAAAAAGGAAUUAACUACCAAAAUGAGAGAAAAGGGAAAAGAUUGAUAUAAUGUGAAUUGAAUGACAUGUGGCUGGUUGUAAUACCCAACAAGCUUUAACAGGUGUCACUGAUUAAAAUUAUAUCAUAUGUAUUCUAUCAAAAAUAUAUUAUGUAAAAUUACAAUUUUUAAAUUUAAUAAAAAAAUAUAUUAAAAAUUUUAACUCCGGCCAAAACGUGAAAUAAAUCGUUUUUUAACAGUGUUUUGGAAAAAAAAAUUAGGGUUAAGUACCGAAAUGAUCACUAGAGUAUUACUUGUGUUUUAUUUUGAUUACUAAAUUUUUAAUUAUUUUUAUUUUAGUCACUAAACUAUAUGAAAUCAAAUAUUUUUGUCACUAAAUGUUAAUGACCGUUUGAAAAUUUUUCGAAAGUGUUGAAAUGUGUUAUUUUUUAUUUGUCUAAUAAAAAAUUUAAUCUUCUUUACACAUUCUAUCAAUUUGAUUCUAAAUAUAAAAAAUCAAUAAAUUUAACACCAAAUGUUUACAAAAUUUGUCACUUUAGUUCAAAUUCUAAAAAACAAAAUUAAUAAAUUUAGCUCUUAACAUUUACAAAAUGAAAAUUUUUAAUUUUUAAAAAUUUUGUAAAUUAAAAAGAAAAACAAGUGUAAUAAUUGUAAAAAUUAUUAACAAUUAAAAAAAUCCAUAAAGCCGUUAGCUACCUCAUAGUCAGUGCCAUUUAAAAACAUGCUUAGCCAUAAUAGUACAAGAAUUAAUGAAAAAGUAGAGUAAAAUUCAAAACAAUCAAUCUUAUCGAUAUACUUUUUCAAGGCUUUUAAUGUAAACUAAAAAUUCUUGUCCCAUCUUGUUCUUCUUCUUUUUUCUACAUUGGUUUAAAUUAUUAUUUGCUAUUAAGACAUUGUCAAUUUCAGUAUUUGUCUCAUUGCUUGAUCUUCACAAGAAAUUCUAGAAACAUAGUAUUGUGUUUUUGAGAAACCGUGAACCUUGUUUUGUUAAUCUAGGUUUACACCAAAUUUCAUUAUUGUACUCUACUUGUGAUUUAUUUGUGAUUCUUUUUUCAAUUUCUUGUAUUUGAAAAUAGAGUAUUAGUGAUUUUUUAGUACUGCUGCUAGUUAUGUAUGAAGUUGCUCAAAUUUAUGUGUUUAGCCAAAGGGUAGGGGAAUCAAUGCAUCCGCUACACUUACUUUCAAUGUUUCGCCUUGUCUUGGGGUUAAACUAAAGUUGAAGUCUCAUUUUAAAGUUGAGAGAUUAGAUCGUGGUGAUGAUAAUUAUUUCUUUUUUUUUUUUAAGUUUAUUUAGGUUUGUGUGUUGAGUUUUUUAAAAAAAAAUUUACAAACUUUUAAAAAUCAAAUCUUGUCAUUUUGUAAAUGUUGAUAGUUAAAUUUAUUGAAUUCUUUUAGAAUUUGAAUUAAAAUGAAAAAUUUUGUAAACAUUGAGGGCUAAUUUUGUUGAAUUUUUUUAUAUUGAAGACCAAAUUGAUAGAAUAUAUAAAUAUUAAAAAACUAAAUUUAUUAUUAGACCAAUAAAAAAAAACCAAUUCCACACUUCUUUUAAAUUUCAAACUGCUCUUAACAUUGAGUGAAGAAAAUAUUUAGUUUUAUAUUAUUACCAAAAUAAAUAAAAAUAAAAAUUCAAUCAACCAAAUAAUCUAUAAAUAGAUUUAGAAUGUUGCAUGAUAUAUAUAUUAAAAAAAAGAAAAAAAAACGAUGCAUGUGCCCUAAUGUUGUGAAGUUUUUUUUUUCAUUGAAAAUAACAAAAUAACUAUUUGUUUAUAUUUUAUAUUAGUUCUAUGGCAUACCGCGUGGAAAAGGAAAAUUCAUGUAAAUAAUAUAUUUAUAAAAAUUUAUAUUAAAACUAAAUGAGAUUUUAGUUGAAAUAGUUAAGUUAAAAAGUGUAAAAUUUAUGAGCUAUAAGUUUAAAUCCUAUUGUAGUGUUAUUUAUAAAAAAAAUGAGAAAAGAUAAAAAUACCUUUAUAUUAAUAUUUGUUAUAUUAUAAAAUAAGGAUAUUUUUAACAAAUUUUCAAUUGAAUAGAUGUUUGGGUGAAUCCUAAUACCAAUUAAAGUAUAUAUACACAAACAAUUAUAAAUCAAAUUACUUUUAAUAAAAUGCUAUCAUUCAAUUCAAUGACAAUAAAUGCAUUUAUAAAUACAUCAAAUGUAAAUCUCAUGUUUAUAAGAAAACACGUAGAAAAAAAGUUAAACCAAUAUUUGAGUCCUAGCUGUGGAGGCAUGAUUGAGUGAAAUCAAAUGGACGCUGGUUUUAAUUCUAUUGAAAGAAACCAAUAAUCACGUAGGUUGGCAGUUGAACAUAAUUGAAUGGUCUCAACUUUUAAUGUGGUGUUAAUGUUUGGAUCGGAUAAUCUCAACUUACCUAAUAGCUAGGAAAGUAAAAUUCAAACAUCACCCGCUACUACUUUUGGCUAUAAAAACCCUCCUACCCUCAAGCCCUAACCACGACAAUCACCAAUAGUACUACUACUCCAAGCAAGUAUUUUCCUUACACGUUUGUUUUUCUUGUGAUUAAUCGAUAUGGCUAGCUCAAUGUCCCUUAAAC